rnacentral:lncRNA from 1 species
UGGACCAAAAGGUCGUCUAUUUGUACAAUCGCUUGUUUUCUUUUAGGAUUCAUUUUUUCUUUCUUUUUUAAAUGUUGACGAGUAUUCCACUCAUGUCAUUCCCUCCUAGGAAGGUUAGGGUAUGAAUGCGACACUUGCUUCUUGCAAAGUCUUCUUCGUGUCACCAAUGUCCAACCUUCUUCGUCAUAUGACAUUGAUUUAUUAUCAAAGCAAAGGCGAAGAAGGCUAUCUUAACAUGACACUUGUGUUUGCUUUGGUUUUGGUGACUCACAUUGAAUAGUAUUGGCACAUGUCCCUAGUUUCUUAAGUGGAACAUGUAAUGGAACAGGAUCAAAUGACUCAAAUGUGACUGUAGCAUGAUUUGACUCCACUACUUCAUCCAAAUCUAAAUGAAUUCUUCUUUGCUUUGCAAGUUUCAUUAUGAGAUCUUUUAAAAUGAAACAUUUCUCCACAGGAUGUCUGACAAUUCAAUGGUAAUGAUAGUAGUUUGGAUCAUUAACACAACCCAUUCCUUUUGGACCCUUGCACUCAGGUAACUUAAUAACCUUUUUCUGGAGUAUGUCUUCCAACAUGUUAGGCACAUUAGAGUCAAGAAAAUGAUACUUCUUCUCCUCUAAUUCCUUCAAGGUGAAUCGAUGCAUCUCAUUUUCCUAGGUUGGUCCGACCUCUUUUACUUCCUUUUUUUUUUAAUCUCUUCUUAAGAUUUUGACAGGAGUUGUAUUUAUCAUCAUUGACUCCUGAAUAGGUUUCUUCGAGGUCUUGUCACUCCUUUUCCCAUCAUGCCUUUCUCUUUGUCGAUCAACGGUAAGGUCCUUCUUAGAACCAUGGUUGUCUAUGUUGAGCUCCAUGUCAUGUGCUUGGGUAGCUAAUUCUUCAAAGGUACAGGGUCUUAUCCCUUAGAGAAUGUAUAAGAGACCCCAAUGCAUUCCUUGUAUGCACAUUUCCAUGGUUGAUACCUCAGAUAAUCUAUCUUUUCAGUCAAGGCUUAAGGAACGUCAACGGUUGAUAUAGUCUAUAACCGGCUCGUCUUUCCAUUGCUUAGUGUUAGUAAGUUCCAUCAUGCUUACAGUUCAUCGGGUCCUAUAGAAACGGUUGAGGAAUUCACAUUCCAUUUAGUCCCAACUAUCGAUACACUCAGGUGUAAGGUCUAUGUACCAAUUGAAAGCAUUCCCUCGGAGAAAACAGACGAAUUGUUUAACUAAUAAGUCACCAUUUGUACCUGCAUUGUUACAAGUUUCAAUGAAAUGGGCAAUAUGUUGUUUUGGAUUUCCCUUCCCAUCAAAUGAUUGAAAUUUUGAAGGUUGAUAACUCGCAGGCAUACGUAGGUUAUCAAUCCUCUUAGUGUAAGGUUUAGAGUACAUGAGCGUACUCUAUAAGGGUCCACCGUACUACGCUCUAAUGGUGUUAGUUAUCAUGUCCUGAAGUUGUUGGAUAGAUAAGGAUGCCACUAAGGCAGAUUCCGCCGUUUGUCUCUCAACUUGGAUUGUCCUAUACGCAUGUGGUGCAUCAUCGAGAGGAGAUGCAACAUUCGGAAGGUGGUUGAGCCCUUGACUUGACUCACCCAUAAUUUGUUCUUAUGUCUUAACCUUGUUUAUGAGGGAGGCUAUUUGCAUAUCCUUCUCCUGGACCGUUUUGGUGAGUUUAGCGAUGCCAUGAGCCAUCUCUACUAACUGUUCCUCUACGAAUGUAGUGCCGAUUGCCAUUACCAGCAUAGUCAUUGAGAAGGGAGAAGUAAAAGAGUCGAAAUGAUUGGAGUAGUUUUCCUCCUUUGACAUUCCAGUUAGCGAAUCGGAGUAUGAGUCGGUGAUAGAGUUGGCAUUGGUAAUAAAGCUAGGAGAUUUAUCCCUAAAGUCCUGUAGUGUUGAAGGGAGUUUUCCCCUACUACAAGGACUAUGGCUCUUUGCCCCCAACAUACUCACUUAUUUGUUUUAUUGAGAGUGAAGAUGUUGAUUUUGCUUUUCUACGAGUCAUGAGGCCUGUAGCGGCGUCAUGUGUUGAUUGUGCAUUGACGAUCUUGUCAUUGCCCUUGUUUACAUGCACAACUUGAGUUCUUUUGGGUGUCAUCGAUGAAGUAGAGAUUAAUCUUCUAAAAAGAUACGAGAGACAGAGAGGUCCCAUUGGGUGUGCCAGAAAUUUGUACGCACAAAUUUCGUAAAUGGUCCUGCCAAAUUAACAAAAUAAAUAGGAAAAUAAUGCAAACAAAAUAUUUAUUAAAAUUGAAAAUAUUGUGGGUAAAAUCUCAAAAAUAAUAUUAUUUCCAAAAGAAUAUUAUCCCUUUGAUUCUUUUGCCUUGAUCACACUUUGAAAGACGAUGAUGAUGUUUUCUUGAUUUCGAAAAUCAAUCGAGGGUCACAAGUGGCUUAUUCCCGAAUGAACUCGUUAAAUGGCAAAGAACGUGUUUAGCAGUUCUACCGUUUACCAAACUUGUAGAGAAAUUUGAUGAAACUUUUUCUUUUGUUGUGAAACCUUUUUUUCCUGUACAAAAUUGCCUUUGGAUUUUCUCCUUAAGAUUUUCCUUUCUGAAUUUUUUUUUUAUUUCUCAAAUUCUUCCUCUCAUUUCUUGAAAGAAAACACCUCUAUUUAUAGGUGAAGAUAUGGAAUUGGAAUUUCAAAUUCUCGGAGUUUAGUUGCUUAAUUCAAAGGAUUUAGUUCCUUGAUUUUAGCAAAUUUUCUUCUCCCGAGAGGUUUUACCAACAAGAUAAUAAUAAUAAUAAUAAUAAUAAUAAUAAUAAUAAGAAAAUUAUUAUUAUUAUUAUUAUUAUCCUUUUUAUAGUUGGAGAUUAGGGAAACUUAUCUAUAAGAGGAUACAUAUAUACUCAUUUUGAAGACCAAAUUAGUGGUAAUUUAAUCCACAAAUUUUUUUAUGUUUACAAAGUAGUACCAUUUUUUCCAAGGAUUUGUGUUGAUCAGUGUUAUUGUGAAAUAACACCAUCUCAUUUCACAUUAUUUCAUCAUCGCAUAUGACAUUGAGCAUGUAAUGAAUAGUAACAAACCUCGCCAUAAACCAAAGAAGAGUGGUACAUUUUUCCUACCAUGGUAGAAAUUAAAGACAAGUGAUACAUUCUUCCUACUAUAGUAGUACUUUUGACAUAGUAGAUUUUUCAUAAAGGAGUGGUACCCUCUUUUUCUAAGGGUUGUGUUGAUCGGUGUUAUUGCAUAAUAACAUUCACUCAAUUCACGUUAUUUCAUCAUUACCUAAUACGUCGAACACAUAACAAAUGGAAACAUAUCUUAAACCAAAGAAGAAUAGUACAACAUUCACACUACAAUGAUACUUUUAAUACACUUUAGUGGUGUUUUUUAUUUAUAAAAGGGUGGUAUUCAUUUUUUCAAGGGUUGUGUCGAUCAAUGUUACAUUAACACCCUUUGAAUUCAAGUUAUUUCACCAUUAAUAAGACGUCUAGCACGUAAAUGAUGGUAAAAUAUCUUAGUUUAAACCAAAAAAGAGUGAUACAUCCUUCCUACCAUAAUAUUACUUUCAACAUUUUUAUAAGUACUUUUUCAAAAAGGAAUGGUACCCUUUGAAUAAGCAGAGGUAUGAAACUUGAGUUGUGCAAUGCUUUGAGGUGCACCAACUCAAUGCUCCAAGUGUAUGUUAUUUUUUUUCUAAAUCACUUGAAAGGUGCACAAGUUCAGCUUGCAAAAAUUUAAAUUUAAAUCAAAUUAAGAGAAAAUUAAUAUAAAUGAUUGAAUACAACUUUUUAUGAAAAAAAAAAUAGAUUUUAUUAUUUUAUUUUAUAUAAAUAAAAAAAUUUAAAUUUGAACAAAACAAAAUUUUAGAACCAUAACUAAGUUUUUAUCUUGUAUAAUUAAAAAUAUUAAACAUUUUAACCAAGAAGAAAGUUAAAAAUUGUGAUCAAGUUACAUCCAUAAGAAAAAAGCUAAAACCAUGAUUAUCAACUUUGAUUUUCACAUGAAUUUUUUUUUAAAAAAGAAUAUAAACAAUUAAAUAAUAUGAUAAAGUAAUAAGAUUUAUAAAAUAAAUAAAUAUUUUAUUUAGGAUAAAUAUAAAAAAAUUUAUGUCCUAAAUCACAAUUUAUUAUUUUUUAUUAUUAUUAUUUUUAUUUGUUUGUUUUUAUAUUAAAAUUUUUUUUAUUAAUUAUUUAUUUUAUAUUAUUAUUUUAUAUUUAAAACAUCUAUAAAUAAUUAAAAUCAAUAAAUAUGAGAAAAUGAAAUAGUGAAAAAAAAUUGAAAAUAGAAAAUUUUCAUGAAGUCAACACAUUAAAAAAAUGUGGAGAUAUUAUGGAAUAUAUAUAUAUAUAUAUAUAUAUAUUCUUGUGAAAAAAAAAAAAAAAAACCAACAAGGACAUGCUCUUUGACUUCUCAUAUCAAAGUUUUUUUUAAUAAAAAAUAUUAUGGUAAUAAGAGAAGGUUAGAUAUAUGCAUUUCAUGACUCACUUCUAUCUAUUUCUAUCUAGGGCAUGUCUUAACCAAUUUGUCUUAAUAGUUGUUCAUGUGACAUGACACGAUGGAAAGGUAGUCAAAAGACUUUUAUUUCUUUAAUACAAGAACACAUCUCUAGUCCAAAAAAAUUCAAAACAUUUCUUUCCAACCACAUAGCUCAGCAAACCCAUAUCACUUAGCAAACUUAAGCAAACACUCCUCUUACAUUACCAAUACAACACUACUCAAUAGAGCAUAGACCGUGAUAUUUCCCUUUUAUUCAAUACCAAACUUCUUUCUCAUCCACGUGACAAAGUCAUGGACCUUGCGGGGUCUUCGAGGGAAGACCCAUGUGCCCCUUCUACUCUAUACCAAACCUCUUUCUCAUCCCCAUGAUAAAGCCAUGGACCUUGUGUGGGUCUUCCAGAGAAGACGACACGCUCUCCUUUUCCAUGCACCUCUUGGUCCAAGCGAUCAACUUGGGGCACUCCGCCUCCAUGCUGAAGUUGCCAAAGGUCUCGUAUGCAUAAAACCAGCAAGAGAAGGUCACCAGAGCCACAUCUACAAACCCAAUUUUUUCACCACCGAAGUAAGGCUUCUCUCCAAGCUCUCCUUCCAAAAGCUUAAGGCACUCUAUGAAUUCCUUCUUGGCUGUUUCCUGCUCUUCUCCUUUGGUUGACCAUAUCUUCCUUCCAAGUUCAUAGAGCUGUGGAAAACAAUAAAGUCAAAGAAAUUUAUGUAUUCGCCUUGCUUGGGGAAAAAAGGUAUUCUUGAGAUCUGUUUUUCCUGAUGGAACGAACAGAAUUCGUAUUCAACAUAACAAAGAAAUUUAAACCCAUAUCAGAAAUGCAGAGUAGAGUCCUGUUGAACAAACAGCAAGGAGAAUCAGUAAAAGUUCUAGUUUGGAACCCCAAAGCCCACAAAACUCAAUAGCAGAAGGGAACGUGUGAAGAAACCCAGCAUUUUGGACAACUCCCUCACCAUAAUCAAAAUCUGAGUCAAUCGCCAUGAAUAAAUGGAAAAGAAUGCUUUAAAUCAACAGCAAAGGCAUACCUUCUUGUCUAUGUAGUCCGCCCAGAACCUGGCCUGAGCUCUCUGGUAUGGGUCACUAGGCAAAAGCGGAGAUUUAUCGCACCAAACCUCAUCAAUAUACUGAACUAUUAUCAGAGACUCACAAAUGGGCUUUCCAUUGUGGAUCAGAACUGGGAUUUUCUUAUGAACUGGGUUCAUCUCAAGAAGCAAAGGGCUCUUGUUCCACAGGUCCUCCUCUCUAUAUUCAUACUUGAGACCCUUCUCUGCCAGGGCAACUCUGACCCUCAUACCAAACAUGCUAGGCCAGAAAUCCAACAAGAUAAUCUCGUCUGCCAUUGCUACUAAUGUGAUUGAUAAGAUUCAAUCUCUUUAGUAUUGAUGAACAACACAGGGCAAAUUGCUGAGUAUUUAUAGCAAAUUUCAGAGAGUGGGUUAAACCCUUGGAUACUUCUAGGAGGUGGUGAUGCUCAUUCCUUAUCUCAGCUUUCAUUUUCAUUUUCCAUUCUAUCUGGGUUUCGUAUCUCCAGAAUUUGUGAAUUAUGCAAACUUUUGUUAUGGCAUGGUAAAAUAUAGAAGCGUCACGAUAGUUGGUUGCUUCCACGACAUCUCAUUGCUUUGAUCAUUCCACGUCAUCGCUUUCGCCAGCCCUGUCAAUUAAGUACACUGGUCCUCCGCAUAAUUUCCACCACAAAAAUGAUGUUGCAAGGAAAAAAAAUGAUAUUGUAGGGAAAAGAAAAUAGAACUUGUAUACUUUUAGAUCGACAAGUCACUAUUGGUCCCUUCCUUAGUUCUUAGAUUCCUGAAAUUAAAUAAAUAUUUAAACUUUAUGUGUAUUAUAAAUAUUUAAAAUUUCAGUGGUGAUUGUAUUUUUAUCUAAGAUCUAAUUUUUUUUUUAAUUUGAAUAAAUUAAGUAUUGUUAAAUAUUUAAAUUUUUUAUAUUUUAAUUAUUAGUAAAUGUUAAUAAAUAUUAAAUUACUGAUCUUUUACAUUACAAAAAUAUUUAUAAAAUAUAAUAUUUUAUUUCUUGUUAAAUUAGUUUGCAAUCCAGCAUAUUUUUUAAUAUUUAAAUAUCAUAAUUCAUUAACAUAUUAAAAUUUUAUAAUAAAUAAUUAUGUAAUUGAUAAGAAAUUGGUAGUAUGAUAAUAAGUAUAAUUAUGGGGUAUUUGGUAAACUCAAUAAUUAUUAUUUAAUGACUUAAGUUGAUUUUAAGUAAAAUUAUAUUUAAGUUAUUGACUUAAAACUUAUCACUUAAUUUUUACUUUAAAUAUUAAGGUUGUUUAAUAAAAUUAAUUUAAAAUUUAUUCUAAAUCAUCAAAUUGAUAUACUUAACCCCAUAAUUAUAAUGAGGGUAAAUGAGAUCGAGUAACGAUGGAAGUUGUAUAAUAGCAAAAGAAAUCGUGGAACUAAGAUAAAUGAGGGUAAAAAGAUAAAAUGAAAACAUGGAUUUAAGAAUAAAUUAAUUAUUUUUACUUAUUACUUAAAGUUGUUUUUUACUUUUAAGUUAUACCAUUAAAUUAUUUUACCAGCUGUAUUUAAUUUGUUUAAUAACUUGAAUUAAGUUAUUAAGUUGAUUUACCAAAUUCCCACUUAGACUUGUUAGAAACUAUUAGAACUUUUUCUAAGUUAGUAUAUGUUUAGAUUUGAAGAUUUGUGAUUGAAAUAUAUAUUCUUUUUUAAAUUAAUCAUUGAUUUUUGGAAUUUUAUCGGAGUAUCAACUUUUAAUUUAUAUUUUUUAAAAUUAUUAAUUCUAAUAAAUAUUUAGAUGAAUGUGAAUUAUGCUUUAGAAUUUUGAUUAAAAAAAUCUUAUUAGAAUUGAUAACUAUUUUUAUUUUUUAUAAAGCUGAAUUUUAAAAAUUUAUAUUAAAUAUUUUUCUAAUUUAAAUUUUAUGAUUUUUAGUGUAAUUUACUUUUUAAUUUUGAAUGAGUAAUCAAUAAUAAUUUGCGGAAUUCAAUUUUAUUAAGAAUGGGAUAAAUUAUGGGGUAAAAAUAAUGGAAACAUGUGGGGAUUUGAAAUUUUGUAAAUUUAUCUUUUAGCUAUCAAUUUAUGAGAAAAUUUUAAAUCUGAUUUUUCUUUAAAAAAAAUGAAAAAUGAAAAUGAAAAAAAAAAAACAAAAAAAAAAAUCAAAUAUAUUUGAUGCUUUUUGUGAAUGACAACUUUGUUAAUUUCUAAUAAAUUUAUUUCUCACUCAAAUUAUAUAAAAUUAACAUAGUUUAACUAUUUUUUAAAACAAGUUAUCUAUUCUUUUUUAAAGGAAUUUAGUUUAAAUUUUUGUGAAAAUUUGUAUUUAAGCAAGUACUCUUAAUUAAUGAUUAAAAGCUUUUUUAUUUUUUAGUUUUUCCCCAUAAAGAAUUAAAUAUUAUAAUUAAUCCUAGUUUUUUCAAACUCUUAUAAAUAGGAGACUUGGGUCAAUGAAAUGGAUACCUCAAAGUUAUUUUAGAAAUCUGUCUUUUCUCUAAUUCUAGUCUCUCCAAAAGAAAACUUUUUUUUAUCAUCUAAAAGGUAUGUGAUAAACUUCUACUUUUAUAUUAUUUUCUAUUUAAUUUAUCCUUUUUUCGAUGAAGAAACUAGAAAAUAUUUUUUUAUAGACAAAAAUUAUGAAAAAAAAAAAUCGCAACUAGAAGUUAUAAAAAAAAAUGUAAAAUAUGUACAAUUGUAUAGCUAGAGGUUAUAUGAGAAAUUAUAAAGUUAUAAAAAUAUAAAGAACGACUUACAUGUAAUUUCUAAUUUCUUUUAAUCAUAAUGAUAUAACCAAAUGUUACACAAAACAAAAUUGUAUAGUCAAAAGUUAAAUAAUGAAUAUUUCAUAGCCUAAAGAUGUAUACAAAUUUACACAUUUUUGUUAUGAUAAAAAUAAUCCAUAGCCAAAAACUAUGUAAGGUAUCAAUUUGUAAUUUUUAUUUUGUUAAUUCUACAUGAUGUUCAUGCAUUUCUUUUUUACCAUAUUUAUAAUAAUCCUUUAGCGAUAAAAUAUAACAAAAUCUUAAAUCAUUAUGCUUUUAUUAAUGAAUAUAAACCUGAUAAAAUAUUGUUAGAUAAUUUUAUUCAUUUAUUUAUAAUUUAUUUUGGUAAAUUGAAAUAUUAUUCUAAUUAAAUUAUUUCAAAUAUAGUUUUCAAAUAAUGUCAAAUCUUACCAAGUUUGAGUUUGUUACACUCCCUAUUUCAGGCAAAACUAUUUAUAUGGAUUUUAGAUGCUAAAAUUCACCUAAACGAUAUGAAUCUUGAAAAGACCAUUAAAGAAUAAAAUGAGGCAUCCUCACAAGAUCGCACUGGAGCAUUAAUAUUCCUUCAUUAUCACAUUGAUGAAGGAAUAAAAGGUGAAUUCCUUACAAUCAAAGAAUUUUCAUCCUUUGAAAUAAUCUAAUGGAAUGAUACUUUGAUCCUUUGGAAUAAUAUAACAUAAUGAUAUGGCCACCACGAGAUUAUAAUCCUUCCAAAAGCACAUCAUGAUUGGAUGCACUUGAGAUUACAAAAUUUCAAGUCUGUCAAUGACCACAACUCGACUUUAUUCAAAAGUUGUUCACAAUUUAUAUGGAGAAAAAAUCAUUAAAGAAUAUAUCCUUGAAAAGACAUUUACUAUUUUCCAUGCCUCGAAUGUACUCCUAUGGCAACAAUAUCAAGAGCAUAAUUUCACUAAAUAUUUUGAAUUAGUUUAAUGUCUUCUUAUGGCUAAACAAAAUAAUGAACUUCUACUUAAGAAUCAUCAAUCUCAUACUAUUAGGUCUGUGUCAUUACUUGAAGCAAAUGUCACAUCCGUCCAAGCUCCUAGACAUUGAGUUGGACUUGGACAUGAACAAGGCUAAGGACACAGUCAUGGUCAUGGUAAACAUAAUUCUUGGUACCAUGGUAAUUAUAGUCAUUAGAAUAGACAAAACAAUUCAAACCAUUAGAAGUGGAAUAAUUCAAAGGUGCAACCUAAAAAGGAUAUAUAUAUAUAUAUAAUCACAAAACAAACAUGAUAAUAAGAAUGAAUGCUAUAGAUAUGGUAUGAAAAGGAUGUAUGUAGGAUUUAGAAAUGACCUACGAGGAACAGGAAGACCUCAAAUUCAUUAUGAGGCUUCUAUAAUUUAAUAUUUAGACCCAAAUAAGAAUGGAUAGAACCAUGGUCCACCUUAAAAGAAAAGUUUUUUUUUUUUUUUGAAGAAUUUACAUACUUUUCUUAAGAAUGUACGUAUUUUUCUUAAGGAUGUACGUAGACUUUGAAAAUGACAAACGAGGAAUGGGCAGCCUCAAAAUUAUUACAAGGCUUCCAUAAAUUAAUAUUAAAAACCUAAAUAAGGCGAAAUAAGGUCACAAUCUGCUUUUAAAAAAACGCACAUAUUUUGUUUUUUUAAGAAUGUACAUGUUUUCCAUAAAAAUAUAUGUAUCUUUUCUUAAGAAUGUUCUUAAGGUUUAGAAAAGCCUAACAAGGAAAAGAAAGACCUCUAAUUCAUUCUCAGGCUUCCAUAAGUGAAUACCUAGACCUAAAUAAGGUCAAAUAGGAUUAUAGUCUUAAGAUAGAGCUCUUAAGAGCAUAACAUGGUGUAUUAAGUUUGAAAUUCAUUAUUUAUUUAAUGAUGUUCCCAUUUCACUUUUAUCUAUCUUUAUUCCAUGUAUUAUAUUUUAUGAGAAGUCUUGUCAGCAUCUUUUGCAUUGUACAUGACUUAGGUGCAUUAGGAGUUGCACAGAAGAUCUUUAAGCCAUGGGUUCCUUGCAAAUAAUUGACUUGUUCACAACCGGUUUAUGGGUCUAGGCAACCCUUUAGAAGUUGUAGUGCACCACCUCCUAAUUAGAGGGAUGGUUGGUCUUCGUUAUCGGGAUGGGUUUCCCAUGGUGAGUACACUACUAUGUAUGAUUACAUGUUGGACAAGACCUACGAUGAGCCAUGACUUAAGACUAUCAAGUAGUCAUGACCUCACCAAGCUACUUCAUUGUGUUAUCUCUCAACCUUGAGAGAAUAUCGAGAUUGUGUUAAAAUUAGCAAUGACUUUUACCUAUGAGUGAGAUCGUAAGUUGGAUCAUAUAUUCCCUAUGGAUUGGGUCACUGUUGAUGGAAGUCGGUAACAAUAGGUAUUCUCAAUAGACACCAUGAUAUCUCAUGGGAUUGAGACAACGUGUCCCCUUGGGUGAUCCUAAGGGGAUGUGUUCAUGGAAACUAUGGCCAUAAUAGUUCCUUAAGUAGAACUUGACACAGGCUCUUUGAGAGCUAAGACAUGUCAAUUGAAUAUACAAUAGGAGGAUUUGUAACUCAAGGAUAGUAGAGGUAGUCUUGAAAGGUUGAUAGCUUUCACCUUGUUAGGCUAGAACACCAGUUCAUGGGGAGAGUGAACACAAUGGAUACUAGGUCACAGACCCGAGUACAUAGUGUCUCGUUGUUAUUUACAUAGGAUAUUGGAGUUCAAUUGAUUCUUUGUAAUAAGAUGUUGAAUCAACUUCAUAAUUGGAUCCUGAGGGAGUUAGUACUCUUAUGGAUCCUAAUGGUCCCCGCUCUAAGCUUAUAUAUCUUUUUGGCAUAGUUAUGAGUGUCGAAUUGACUCUAGGUUCACUUUUGUGCAUAAGGGCAUUUCGAUAAUUAUGCAAGAUUGCAUAAGGGUAAGUGAACAAAGUCUAUAGAUUGAGCUAAUUAAUUAAUUAGUAGGCCCUAUUAGGUUAAUUAAUCCAUUAGGAUCCAUUUUGGGAUAAAUUAAGUUAUCCAAAUCCAUGUGGGCUCAAGUCACUUAAGCCUAGUUAGGAACCCUAUAAAUACCCCCUAGGGGUUAGAGUCUUCAUCACUUUUGUCUUCCACCAUUUAGACAGAAAGAGAGCAAUAGCCUCUACCUUUCGUUCUUCCCUAUUGAAAGUGUGCCAAGAAUAAAUUUGAGUCAUCAGGCAAAAGACCAUGGGUUUACGAGACUUCCAACAACUUCAAUGUCAUCUUCAACACUUGCAAUUUAAGGUUUGAAACAUCCAAACCUAAAGGUUAGCACUUUAACCAUAAAGAUCAAUUUAAAAAAAUAAAUAAAUAAAUUGGUAUUGUUUCCGUUCCUUAGAUCUACGAUGCCAACACACAGUUCGCUUGAAAAAAAUGCAAGUAUUUUCUUCAAAAUAUAUAUAUUUGUUCAGAAUGUAUGUAUUUUUGUAAAAGAUGUACCUUAGGUAGGGUUCCACCAUGCCAAAUGAGGUUUGGGAAGCUUUCAAAUACAUUUCGUAGAGUACAUAAGUCAAAUCUUAGACCCAAAUGAGUGUGAAUCUGUCAUGUUAAGUUGAAAUCAAAUGUACAUAUCUUUCUUAAGGUGUUAUAUUUUUCUAAAAAAUGAACUUAUGAGUGUUUAGCUAGGUUGGCAAUUCCGGAAAAAAUUUCUAAGUGUCCCCUAACUUGGUUUACCAAUCCCUCUUCGGACUACAUGACCUUUGAAGAUUAAGACUUUGCUAAAAGGUCGAGGUAUGUAGCCAAGUCUGUAGUGAUUAAAUGUGAGCCAACCCUAUUUUUUCAUCUUUAAAUGAGUAAAGAAAGCUGAGAGAAAUAUUGUUGGUGCAAGGCUUUUGUUCCCCUGUUUCUAGAUCGAUCCAGGUAUAGGGGCAAAUCAAUCCAACUAACCUAUUUUUAAGAUCAAUUUUCAACCUUUGGAUUAAGGUUUCACUCUCAUUUAAAAUCAAAUCUCCCCCAUUUCUGGAAAUGGUGACUGUAGUAUCCGUAAGAGAUUUUUUUUCUUUCCUCACCAUUUAGAAGGUGUUUACCUAUGAAGAAAAUCCAUCCAAGUUUUCCAAGAAUUUUUUUUAAAAAAAUGGAUUUUCUGAAAAUGAACAAGGGUUGAUUUCUAAAACAUUCAUAUUUCAUUCUCUUGGUUUUGUGCAAAAACCCAUUUUCUUCUUGUAUGAAUUCAAGAAGAAAUCGAGCUUAGUGCAAACUCCAAGUGUGUCCCGAAAGAAGAAGCUAAGAAGCUGAAAAUGAAGGUACUAGUCAAGUGGUUUGGGAAAGAUUGGUUGGCUUGAGCAAGGUAAAACCUUGUAUUCAGAUUUUAUUUUUCAUAGUGGAUGUUUUCAAUCAGUAAUAGGCCCGUGGUUUUUUAUCUCUUCGGAGAUUUUUCAUGUAAAUUUAUGGUGUCUCAUUGUCUCCCUUUCUCUUCUUAGCAUCAGUUUUCAAUUUCAACAAUUUAUUAUAAUUUUGAUUGUCUACUAUUUGAUUGAAUGAUGAAGAGAAAUGACUAUGAAUCAUCUUUGAAGUUGUUUCUAAUUGUUAAUCAUUGAUAUUUUGAGGUAUAUUGAUCUUGCUUUUAUCAAAAUUUAGUUUAAGUUGAUUUGGGUUUGGGAGUGUUAGAUCAUGUGCAUGUGAAUUACAUUUGAAUAUUGUUAGGGAGUGUUGUUGCAUUCAUAUAUGCAUGUGAUUUAUAAUUUGUGUUUUUGAGACUGUGUGAAGAGAAGAAAAAUAUUCAAAAAGUUUUAAGGUUUGCUAAUUUGAGUUGAGAUUUUGUUUAAUUGGUCAAAACACCUAUUCAACCUCCCUUAGGUGUAUUCCACUAUUGAGAUUCACCUUUUCAAUUGGUAUCAGAGAGGGUUUUUAAAGCAAAAAUCAUUUUCGAUCCUUAAAUCUCAAUCAGGGAACCUCAUUAAGAGGGAGCUUCCAUUAGAAGACCACCUUUCUUAACCAGUGAAAAUUUUUCUCAUUGAAAAGUGAGAAUGCAAUAUUUUCUCAAAAUGCAAAGUGAUAAAAUUUGGAAUGUCGUUGAAUUUGGUUAGUCUCCACCUAAGGUGUUAGAUAGAGAAGGUAAAUUAACAAAUGUUAUCAAGCCAAAAUUGAAAUGUGAUAGAAGUGAAAAUGAAGCAAGUGAGAAUAAAGCUAGAGCCAUGUUCUCCAUCUUCAAUGCCAUUAGUACGAAUGAAUUUCAUAGCAUUGCCACAUGCACUUUGGUUAAAGAAGGCUUAGGAUAUCCUCUAAGUGACUCAUGAAGGAACUAAUGUCGUGAAAAUGUCCAAGCUUCAAAUGUUGACAUCUAGGUUUGAGACCAUUAGGAUGGAUGAUCAUGAAACUUUUAGAGAAUUUCAUGCAAAAUUGAUGGAUAUUGUGAAUUCUAACUUCAAUCUAGGUGAAUCCAUCUCUAACUGAAAGAUAGUUAGAAAAAUUUUAAGAUCUCUUCCAGAUAAAUUUAGAGCUAANGUUACCGCCAUUGAAGAGUCUAAAGAUGUGGAUUCCUUGAAGAUAGAUGAACUUGUAGGUUCUCUCCAAACCUUUGAGAUGAUGCUUGUAUCACCUAGGAAAGCUAAGGGAAUUGCUUUAAAAGCUAUUAAAUAAGAGUCCCUAAGUUUCGAAAGUGAGAAUGAUGUCAAAGGGUGAGCUUACUAAGUUUACUAAAAAAAUUAAGAAGUACAUGAAAUUCAGAAAAUCCAAGAAAGAAUCAAAUGAUGGUAAAAAUGGAGGAACUCUAUUAGAAAAAAAGAAGAAUAUGGAGAAAUGUGUGAAAAAAGAGUUGGUGAUUGAGUGCUUUAAAUGUGGAGGAAAUGGGCAUUAUGCCGCCAAAUGUCCCUCAAAGAAAAAAAAAAUGAAAGAAGGUCAUGCAAGUCACUUGAAGCAACAUAGAAUCUUGUCAAUCAAGUGAAAAAGAAUCCAAUGGAAGUGAAGAAUACACUAACUUCAUAGCCUUUGCUGCAAGUGUCAAUGAGAAACCACUCAAGAAAGAGGUCUUAAGUGAGUCAUGAGUCAAGUGACUCCAAUGAUGAUGACAUGAAUUUUGACAUAGCAUAUGAGACUUUGUAUAAGGAAUGCUUGAGCCUUAAACAAGAACAAGUCAAGUGGAAGGCUUCUAAGAAUAUUCUAAUCAAUGAGAUUGAUGUCUUGAAGGGAGAAAAGAAGGCUUUGCUUGAAAAAAUUGGAUUUCUUGAAAAUGACCAUUUGGAAGUGAAAAAAAAAAUAUUAUGUAUUGAAAAGUGAAUCAAAUGUUCAAGGAUGAGUUAAGUCUUAAGAAGAAAGAAUCACAUCCUAGCUCUAAGAGGAUUAAUGAGUUGAUCAAUUUAAGGCGUAAAUCUUUUGAUAAACAAGGCUUAGGAUUUGUUGAUGCAAAUACUACUCCAAGUAGUGGUAAAACAAUUUUUGUUAAGCCUUGUGAAAAAUAAUAUCCUAAGAAAACUCAUUCUCAAAUCAAGUUUCAUUGCAAUCAUUGUGGCAAAAUGGGACACAUUUUUCAUAGAUGUUGUACAAGAUUGUUUGAUAACUUUCAAAGGAAGUUGACCAACCUAAUGAAUGAAUGUUAUGCUUUGAAGAAUAGGUUAUUGAAUGAGAAUAAGAGAGUGUCCAAGAAGUGCUCAAAGAUCCCUCAUAAUGGUGAGUUGAAAGGAAGCACUUUGAAUGAAAAGACAAGUCUCAAAUGUUAAACAAAUUUGGGUGUGAAUGAAUUAGUUGAAGUGUUUUGUUGUCCAUACCGCACUUAGAGCUAGUGAGUCACACUCAUGGCAUCUUGAUAGUAGAUGUUCACAUCAUAUGACUAGAAAUAAAUCUUUGUUCACUUCAUUCACUGAAUUUGAUGGAGGAAAUGUGACAUUUGGAGAUGGUAAUGUGGCUAGGGUGAAAGACAAAGGUACCAUUUGUGCCCCUGACAUUCCUAAUCUUGAAGAGGUCUUAUAUGAAGGUUUAAAGGCUAACUUAAUUAGCACAAGCCAAAUGUGUGGGAAUGAGUUCAAUGUAAAAUUUUCACAAACUUUUUGCAAGGUGUUUGACUUGAAUGAUGUAAGUGUGAUGAUUGGCUUGAGAACUUGUGAUAAUUGCUAUGUUGUUAGUAAAAAAUCUCCUUCAUCCUCUUCUCUCGUGUGUGGAAGUUCUAAAAUUGCAUGUGUUAAUCACUUGUUGCAACAUAGAUUGUUACAAAAUGAAAAAGAGCAUCCCAUUGUAAAAGUUAGGAUUGGUAGGGGGGAUUUGAUGAUGCCAAUGUUAUUGAUAGGCUAGAGAACCAUGUUCUUCAUUAUAGAUAAAAACAUGUGGACAUUAAGCAUCACUGCAUUCAAGACUUGGUAGAAGACAAGGUUGUUUACUAGAGGUUUUCCCUAUAGAGAGUCAAAUUGCUAACAAUGUUACUAAACCUUUGGACAUUUCUAGGUUUGAAUCACUUAGGAGCCCCAUAGGUUUAUAUAUUCUCUGUUUAACUGCCUCUAGAACUUGUCUAGGACUCCUCUUGCAUAUCCUUGAGUCCUAGUUGUCUUCCUAAGUUCCCAAAUAUCAUCAACUUGAUGUUCUUUUUGUUUUGGUUCAAUAUUUUCUCCAUUUUUCAUAAAUUUUCAACAAUUGUUGAGUUCAUGAGAGUGACAUGCUUAUUCAUUUUGUUUAAAAGUUAAAUUAACUCAUAAUGAUCUUAAAAGCUUCAAGAUGUAUUUAUCUCCAUGGCUUGUUUGAUAAACAUGAUAUUGAAUCCUUGCUAUUUUGAUUUGGUUAGAUAAACUACAAAUGAUUAGCUUCAUUUCUAUUAAGUGAGUAAGAGCUCAUUGUUGGACCUUGUGUUUGCAUAAUGGUGAAUAAUGCUCUUUAAAGUCUAAAUGAAAACUUAUACCCAUUUAAUGAGCUUUAAAGAGUGAGUAAAGACACCUGGAAUAUCCUUGAGAGGUUGAGAUGAUCAGUCUUUGAUUGUUUGUCCUCUCUUUGAAAUUAAUUUUUUUUUAAAUGAAAAAGAAAAGAAAAAGAAAAUAUGAAGUUUCCCGGAAUGGAUAUGGCUCCGUGGCAAUGUUUCAAGAAUUAAAAAGCCUCCAUUGCAAGAGUGGGACAUCCCUUAUGUUGUUAUGUUGUAAAGACAUCCUUAGAGAUCCUCAAGUCAAAAAUUGAUCUUAAGGGUAAAACUUAAAGCUUUGUAUUCCUUUCAAUGCUAAAUGUGAAAAGCAAAUAGUGUAUGAAUUUUAUUAAAGGGAUGUGAUUAGGUCAUGUUGAACAGAAAUCUGGCCAAGAGAGAUGCAAAUUGACUUUGAUUACUACUCAAAAAGUACUCUUUUAUAGCUUGAAACUAACUGUUUUAAACACUUUUGAGUAGUAGUUAAUACAUUUUAACUCAAUUGGCACAUUAAGAAACCUAGCAAGGGUUACUAAUCAAUUUUUCGCAAGUUUUGGUGUUUUUGGUAGCUAUUUGAUCAUUGAAACAAGCCAAGAAUGAGGGAGAAUUUUGUGAAAUCCAUGGCAAUGCAAGUUAAAGCUCAAAUACAUGAAGAAUCCAAGCUUUGGAGCACUUCAUAGCCCUUUUCCAAGCCAAUUAGAGAUGCAAGAAGGGAAACCAGAGGAAGAAAUCCAACAACCAGCAUUUCCGCAUGGCUGUGCGAAAUUUCGCACACCAUACGAAACCACUUGAGGCAACCAAAAAAUUUCUCACAUCAUGCGAAAUUUCCCAAGGUAUGCGAAAUCUUCCUGUGCACCAACUCCGUUAGAUUUUUAUCUCUAGAUAUUUUAUGUAAUUUCCUAUUUUCUCCUUAUAAUCAACUUAGAUAUUUUCAUAUAUAUUUUUUUAUAUAUUUAGUGUGUGUAACAUCUUUUGAUAUAGACACACAGGGAUGUAAUCAGAGAACGCUUGUAAAUUCCCCGUAGUAAGAAAUAUACAAAGCUUUUGCUCUGUCUUUUCUUUUCAUUUUGUUUUCACUCUUCUUUCUAGUCAAACAACCUCUAAGGAUGAUUUCUCAGGGGAUGAGUGGCUAGGUUUUACGUUUCUUGGAGCUAUGGAAGCUAGGUGAAGGACUCGAAUGCAAAGAUGGGAGUUGUCCUUACUCUAAAUGAAAGUAGUUGUUAACCAUUAAUGGUUUUUAUUUUAAGGUUUAGCUUUAAAUCCCUUAAAAGCACCUUGAAUGGCCAAUACUUGGUAAGCUUUUUGAAUUCUAUGGAUGCUUAGUGCUAGAUCCAUGGAUGUCUAUUAGUUAUCAUUUAUGAGCUAUUGGAAGGUGGUUCAAGGUGAGAGUCUUUAGUGUGUCAAGCCAUUAAUGGGAAGCAACUAUUAUUUUUCAUGAACCCUUUGGAUCAAAUCUUAAUUGCUAAAAAUAAAAUCGGUUCGGGAGAUAACCAUCCUUAUAUUAUUGUCCCCAACGCGAGGAAAAGAUCCGGAAUCUCCCCCUUUGUCUAAGGAACCCAAUCCUAGUGACCUAAAGCUCCAAGAGACCUUUUCUUUGUAGUCAACUUCACCUAUUAUUUUUGCUUAACUUAAAAUCAAUCUUUGCAACCACAAUUCCAUUUUCUUUAAAAGCUAAUUUUCAUAAGGAAAAACACCAUUUUAUUUCCUUCACUAAAGUCAAUUGUACGAUGAAAACCCAUCCUUGUGGACGAUCCUAGAGCCACUAUACUAUGUUAGCUAUGCUACCCUAGUGUGAGGUGAUUUAGGUUUUAUAAAUUUUGUUGAUAACACCCGUCUAAGCCAGAAUCAAAUGGCAUGACUACAAUGGGGAUGAAUCAGACUUCUUGGAACAUUAUCUUGAAUUUCUCUAGGAAGGAAGAGUAUCUUGAAAAUGAUUUUUGGCUCAUAAAUGAAUAUAGGUUUCUAAGUGGAAAUUAUUUAACAUUAUCACCAUUUUAUGGUGUCAUGAGUGAGUUUUUUUUAGCUUAAGCUUCCUUGUUAGAGUGUUGAUAAUCAUUUGUUUUUUACCUAUUCAUUUGAUAAAUUUGGAAAGUACUUCAAUCUCUAUGUUUAUUAAUUUUGUCUAUUGUUAUGUUCUUGGAAGCAUUUUUGUUCAAUGUGAAUCAAUUCUAACUCAUUAAUUGAAAGAUAAGUAUGUCAUCCUAUUGUAUCUCAUCUUUGGUCGAUCAAUUUUCAUUUUUUGGAAAGCCUAUUCGUGUAUUUCUUGUGAUUUUUCGAUAGUUUUUGCCUAAGUCAUUUUUCAAUUGGGUGUCGAUCGAUCUACUGAAUUUGUGGAUCGAUCCAUUAUGUGCACAAUGUAGUGACCGAGAGCCCUUGAAUGAAUCUUGGAUCGAUCCACCAAGAUCGAUACCACCUAGUACUUGUCUCUCACACACUUAGCCAUUUUUUUCAAAUUUGGUUUGUUCAAACCUAUGUGACUGUGUAUCAUCAAGAGCACAAUUGAAAAUUGGAUCGAUCCACCAAGGUCGAUACCACAUAUGCAUUUGUGAAAAAUUCCAUUUUUGCCCCCAACUAGUUAUACUCAUAUGGUUUAAUGGAUGAGGGGUAUUUUCAUAAUUAAAAGUAAAAAAUUGAAAAAGUCAAAAUUCCUAAAUCUGUUUUUCCCAAUUCAUUUCUUUCAAAAGCCCUAGGUCUUUUGUUUCAAAGAAGAGAACUUCUCUACUCUAAGCUUCUCUUUAGCCAUCAUCGUCGAUCCAUCAUUCUGGCCACUACCAUCAAAAGUCUCUACCACUAGAAACCUUUAUCGUCAGACUUCCUUAUCUGGUGAGCGUUUCAGGUCUGGCCAAUCCCACUAGACAGCCUCGUCAAAUAGCCUAGAAUUGUUGUGUUGCUCAACUCAUGUCAUCAGCUUGUGUGUCUCUUCUUAGUGCGUCGGUGUUUUCGAAAAUUGCCUUCUACAUAGUAUGUGUUGGCUAGGACCUCCUGUGUGCAUCACUAGAUUGUAUCUCAUUCAAUUGGGAUUCCAUUCCAGCAGUUGGAAAUUCCAAUCAGCCCUUAGGACUGUGUUUUUCACAGCACAAUCAACACAACGCAAUCUACACUUCUGGAAAUUGUGUUCUACAUAGCCCAUUUCUCUUGUUUUUUUUUCUACUAUUUUCCAAUGUCCGUGUCUUCAAUGCAACUUAUUUGCAAGAGUUCUCAUUUCCGGCAACCAUUAUUGUUUGAUUUAUCCAUUUUUUUCUCUUCUAUUAGUCUCAUUUGGAACUUCUCUGCUCUAAGCUUCUCUUUAGCCAUCAUCGUCGGUCCAUCAUUCCGGCCACUACCAUCAAAAGUCUCUACCACUGGAAACCUUUAUCGUCAGACUUCCCUAUCUGGUGAGCGUUUCAAGUCUGGCCAAUCCCACUAGACAGCCUCGUCAAAUAGCCUAGAAUUGUUGUGUUGCUCAGCUCAUGUCGUCGGCAUGUGUGUUUCUUCUUAGUGCGUCGGUGUUUUCAAAAAUUGCCUUCUACAUAGUAUGUGUUGGCUAGGACCUCCUGUGUGCAUCACUAGAUUGUAUCUCAUGCAAUUGGGAUUCUGUUCCAGCAGUUGGAAAUUCCAAUCAGCCCUUAGGACUGUGUUUUUCACAGUACAAUGAACACAACGCAAUCUACACUUCUGGAAAUUGUGUUCUACAUAACCCAUUUCUCUUAUUUUUUUCUCUACUAUUUUCCAAUGUUCGUGUUCUCAAUGCAACUUAUUUGCAAGAGUUCUCAUUUCCGAAAACCAUUAUUGUUUGAUUUAUCUAUUCUUCUCUCUUCUAUUAGUCUCAUUUGGAUUAUUUAUUUAUUUAUUUAUUUUUAUUUUUUUGUAGAGUCCUCUCACAGUAGUUUUAAUAGUUUGAGAUUUCAUUUUUGCCUUGGAGUGUUCCUAGUUUCUAGGAAUGCUAAUCCUAGGCUUUGGUUGUUCAUUUUGAGUGGUCUUCAUACAUUUUCAUGCUUGAAAUCUAUUUUCAUGGUGAUAAAGCAUUUUUUGAAAGUUUUUAAUUGAAACCAUGUGAUAGGAUUCAAGAGGAGAUUCUCAUAUCCUGUGAUGGGAGUCAAGGGAAGAUUCUUGUAUCCUAUAAUUUUUUUUUCUGGAAUGUUGAUAUGGAUACUUGGUGAUAUGUGAAUAUUUGAUUUUUGGGUAUUUGACAUUUUGUUGAAAAGUGGAUGUUUGUUGAUUUGGAUGUGAGAUAUUCUGCUAUUGAAUUCUCAUCCAUUUGUCGUUUUUCUUGGAUAGAAAAUGGGAAAUUAUAACUUUUUGUCUCCUGCUAGGACAAAAAGGAGAAAACAUUUUACAUGGAUGUUGAUAUGACAUGUAGUUGAUCAUGACGGCUUCUUUGUGUUUUGUUGCUUUGGAUAUUUGAUAUGUUGAUCAUGAUCACCUUUUUUGUAUAUUGAUGGAUAUUUGACACGUUUUUGAACUCAUGAAUGCAUAUUAAUUAUCUUUAGACAAGUUAUUUUUGUGGAUAUAUGUGGAUAUUUGUGUGUCAAUUCAUUUGAAACUUAUGGAAGUGUCUUGGUAAUAUGUGCAAGUGCUACUAAUGUUUUUUCUUGAGAUUUAUUUGCAGGAUUUGUAGUACCUUUAGUUAGGUUUUGAGUGAGUGAGUGGCCUUGUAUGAGAGUUGGGUGGGACUUACUUGUAUUCAUUUGUGUUGUAAAGGGUUUUGUCCCAGAAUUUUCAAAUGGGGAGAUUUUGAGUGUUUAGCUAGGUUGGUAAUUCCGGACAAAAUUCCUAAGUGUCCCCUAACUCGGUUUACAAAUCCCUCUUCGAACUACUUGACCUUUGAAGAUUAAAACUUUGCUAAGAGGCUGAGGUAUGUAGCCGAGUGUGUGGUGAUUGAAUGUGAAUCAACCCUGUUUUUUCAUCUUUAAAUGAGUUAAGAAAACAAGGAGAAAUAUUGUUAGUGCAAGGCUUUUGUUCCCCUUAUUAUGGAUUGAUCUAGGUGCAAGGGCAAAUUGAUCCAACUAACCUAUUUUUAAGAUCAAUUUUCAACCCUUGGAUUAAGGGUUUCUUUCUCAUUUAAAAUCAAAUAUCUCCCAUCUCUAGAAGUGGUGACUACAACAACUAUGAGAGAGUUUUUUCUUUCUUCACCAUUUUAAGGGUGUUUACCUACGAAGAAAAUCCAUCCAAGUUUUCUAAGAAAUUUUUUUAAAAUGGAUUUUCUGAAAAAAAAAAAAAAAAAAAAAAAAAACAUAGGGUGAUUUUUGAAACAUUCAUAUGUAAUUCUCUUGGUUUUGCGCAAAAACCCUUUUUUUUUCUUAUGUGAAUUCAAGAAGAGGCCGAGAUCGAGCUUGGUGUAGACUCCAAAUGUGCUCUAAAAUAAGAAUGUGAGAAAGUGAAAGUGAAGGUACUAGUCAAGUGGUCCGGGAAGGAUUGGUUGGCUUGAGCUAGGUAAAACCUUGUAUUUAGUUUUUAUUCUUCAUAGUAGAUGUUUUCAAUUGAUAAUAGGCCCAUGGUUUUUUAUCUCUUCGAAAAAUUUUCAUGUAAAUUUAUGGUGUCUCAUUGUCUCAUUUUCUCUUCUUAGCAUCAUUUUUUAGUUUCAACAAUUUAUUAUAAUUUUGAUUGUCUAGUAUUUGAUUGAAUGAUAAAGAGAAAUGGCUAUGAAUCAUCUUUGAAGUUGUUUCUAAUUGUUAAUCAUUGAUAUUUUGAGGUAUAUUGAUCUUGUUUUUAUCAUAAUUUAGUUUAAGUUGAUUUGGGUUUGGGAGUAUUAGAUCAUGUGCAUGUGAAUUUCAUUUGAAUAUUGUUGGGGAGUGUUGUUGCAUUCAUAUAUUCAUUUGAUUUAUAAUUUGUUUUUGAGACUAUGUGAAGAGAAGAAAAAUAUUCAAGAAGUUUUAAGGUUUACUAAUUUGAGUUGAGAUUUUGUUUAAUUGGUCAAAACACCUAUUCAACCCCUUUAGGUGUAUUCCACUAUUGAGAUUCGCCUUUUCAGAACCUAUACUUCUACCAUGCUACAUGAAGUUUUGGAAGGCAUAAAAUACAUUUUGAGGCAUAUAUAAGUCAAAUCUUAUAUCCAAAUUAGGUUGAAUUGGGUCAUGGUUAACCUCAAAUCAAAUAUAUGCAUUUUUCUUACGAAUGUAUAUAUAUAUAUAUAUAUAUAUAUAUAUUUAAGAAUAUAGUUAUUAUUGUAAAGGAUGUAUUUUUUCUUAAGAAUAUACUUUUUUUUGUAACAGAUGUACCUAGGGUUCUCCCAUGCCAAAUAGGGUUUGGGAAUGCAUCAUGAGGUAUAUAAAAGUUAAAAUUUAGACUCAAAAUAGGUCGAAUAAGGGAAUGAUUCAACUCAAAUCAGAUGUAAAUACUUUUCUAAACUUUUAUGCAUUUUUUUAAAGCAUGUACACAAAGUUAUAUCAUGUUGAAUAGGGUAUAAGAAGACCUCAAAUGCAUUCCAAGACCUACAUAAGUGAAAUCCCACACCCGAAUUAGGUUGAAUGAGGAUAAGAAUCCACAAUGAAAUGAAAUGUACAUGUUUUUAUACUAGAUGUACCUAUUUUUCUAAAGGAUGUACUUAUUUUUAAAAAAAAGAUAUAUGUAUUUUAAGAAAUAUAAAAUUUAAUUAAAGAAAUGUUAAUACAAUUUUUAUGAAAAUAAUUUUUUUUCUAUUUUAUGUAUAUAAAAAAGUUAAAGAUUUUAAUUAAAAAGUUAGAACCAUGAUCAAUUUUAAAUCAUAUGAAAAAUUAAAACGAAUGUUAAUAUGAAAGUUCAAAAAUUUAAAUUAAAAUGAUAUAACAAAAAUAUUUUUAGUUUAUUUAAAUGUUAUAAUUUUACAUGCCCUAUCAAUGUCUUGUCAAAUUUUUUUAGUACAAAAUGGAAUAAUAAGUGAAUACUCUUUUAUUUCUUUAAUACAAAAAAUACAAACCAAGCAUCUCUCAAAAUCUUGUUCCUUGCUCUUGAAUAUAAAGUAAGAUAAGCUCGUGAACUUAUUCACAGUAAAAGUUUUGCUAACCUACAGUCACGCAACACAUGAAGGCAUUAUUCGACUUUAUUCAGGCAUCGAACACAAUUCGGCAAAGCUGCUAUAUGUCUUUUGAAGUGAUUUUCAUUUGUCAGCAACUUGUUGUGCAAAGCCAGCCACAAAAAGGAUCUAAUCCUUUGGGAACCCCUUCAUUUCCACAAGGCCAUCCAAUUCUUAUUCAAUUCUAUCCAGCAACUCUCUUCAAUCAGUUCAUAAGUCGACUUGGUAGUUGACAACGCUGACAUGAAGGCCAAAAAUAGUGGAGGAUUGUACAAGAGCACAUAGCACUUGACCCAAAUUCUCAAAAUUUGCUGUUGAAAAGUUUUUAGCCUAUUUGGCCAUUUCAUUAAAAAAAAAAAUUUAAAUUAAAAAAAAACUAUUUUUAAAAAUUCAUAAAAUUGUUUGUUAGUUGUUUUCUAUUUGUAAUUUUUAAAAAUAAAGUGAAAUAAAAAAACAUAUUUUAUAAAACAAAUAGAAAUUGUUUUCACCAAUUUUUAAAGACAAAAGAAAAAUAUAGAGGAAUUAAAAAAACUAUAAAAACCAAAUAAGAUUGAAGAUGAUAUCAUUCUUCUUUACCUCUUUCUACUAUCUAAUACUGAUACUGAAAAUCUUCAAAUAUAAUAUUCUUUUAAAUUACAUGUGUUUUUAUGAAUUUCAUUUAAUUUAAGAAAUUUUUCAUUGAUAAAAUAAAUUCUAAAUCAAAUUAUACUUUAUACAUAAAAUUUACUAAUGUUUAAAAAUAACUUAAAAGUUAAAAACUGAUUUAGUUAGUACUAUAAAGUCAUGAAACUCACUAACAUUGGAAUGCCAUAUAGCAAAAUUCAUUUGAAUGUCUUGGCUAGUUUUUUCUUUGCAUAUAAUCAUAUUUUUACAAUUUUUUUCACUUAGUAAAUAAUCACCAAAUCAAGUAUGACUUAAUGCAUUGAAUUUAUUAACAAGUCUAAGUAAUUCUUAAAAAUAAAUUGAAACGCAAAUAGUGAUCCAAUUAAUACCAUAAAUUUAUGGACAAAAAUUGAACUUGAAUGACUUUAUUGUUUCCAAUUUUGUUUCAUUGGACAAAUAAACUUAAAAUUAAACCAAACUUAAUGUGUUGAAUUCAUUAAUAAAUUUAGUAAUUUCUAAAAAAAACUUAAAACUCAAACAAUGAUGUAAUUAAUAUUAAAAAUUUAUUGAUGAAAAUUGGUCUAAAACUACUCUAUUAUUUUUCUUCUACAUGGAAUCAUAUUUUCCCAAUUUUAUUUUACUAUAUAAAUAAACUCAAAAUUAAACAAAACUUAACAGUCUAGUAAUUUUUAAAUUAGAAUAAUAUUUGAAAUAAUUUAAUUAGAAUAAUAUUGAUUCGACUCAUGGUAGCUUAGCUUUAAAGGCGUAUCAACAAAAUUUAUACCUUGAAUACUAUUACUAAAGUAGCCAAGCUACUAUAGCAUAGUGGUUCUAGGAUCGUUCACUGGGAAGGGUUUUCGCAAACACAAGUGAUAUUCAAAUUAGGAAAAUAGGUGAUUUUCUUAUGGAUGUUAGCUUUAAAAGAAGAUGUAAAUGUUUUAGAAAGAUUUAAACUAAUCUAAGCUAACAUUAAAGACUAAAAUGAAAGGGUGUAAAAACAAGUUUCUCAAAGAUAGGAUAGCUAUGCUCUGGCUCUUAUGCAAAUUGGAAAUCUCAGGAUAGGCUCCUCGCGUUGGGGUUGCAACUAUGGUGAUGCUUGCUUCCCGAACCGGUAUGGAUUUAGCAAAUCAAGUUUUAAUCCUUUAAAAUGGCAAAACAGAUGGUAGUGAAUUUCAUCAAUGGUUAUUCACCUUAGACUUCCUUUGAAUGGCUCGUAAGAGAUAACUAAUGGUCUAAAGCCAAAAGCUUACCAAAUAUUGGCAACUCAAAGUCAUUCCAGGUGAUAAACUUACCUUUCAAUGGCCAUUGAAAUUGGUUCUAACGGAUUAAUGCAAAACUUGGAAUUGAAAACCUCACCUUCCAAUAGCUCGUAGGAGAUAACUAAUGGAUAGUAAUCCAAAAGCUUAUCAAGUAUUGGCCGUUGGAAGUUGUCCAAAGGAAAUAAAAACCAAACUUUGCAUUAAUGAACCUUUAAUGAAAAACGACUACCUUACCUUCCAGGUGCGAGAAAUUUCCAUGGGAGUGCAUCCAAGCCAUCACAUAACAUCCAUACUUUGAGAAACUAAAAGUUUUAGCCAAUCAUCCUCUGAGGAAAAGCCCUCAGAGGCUGUUUGGCUACUAAGAAAAUAGAAACAGGGAAGAACAGGAGAAAAGAGCAAAACAGAGCAAGGCUCUGUAUAUUCUAUAUAUUGAUCGAUUUAUAAUUACAACGGAUGCAAGGGAAUAUAUAUAGAGAAGUUUUUCCAAUCCUUCCUAGCUAAGAAAUCUUAUGAUUCGUGGAUUACAAGGAGAAGAAUGGAAAUUUAUACAAAAAUAUCUAAAAGAAAAGAUCUCGUGUGGAGUCGGUAGAAACAGGGGAAAAUUCGCACGUUGGAGUUCCAAUUUCGCACGUUGAUUUGAGGUGUGCGAAAUUCUCGCACAGUGGACUGAGGAAUUCGCACCUUGAACAGUGGUGUGCGAAAUUGUCCCUCAGCUUGAUGCAGUUGUCUUCCGAAGGCCAUAUCUUUCUCAAUUCAGCUCCAAAUCGUACAUGGUUUGAACCGUUGGAUUCUUGACUUUCUGAGCUUUGAAAUGGUAUAUAGCAUGUAGAAAAUGGACUUCGGGAAGUGCUCCAAAAGUGCCAAAGAAGACUGCAGUUGCUGUCCUCUGUUUUCCUCUUUGCUUCUUUUUGCUUCUCUUUCCUCUUCUCCAUUGUUCUUUCCUUGCAUACUUUGAACGAAUUUGGCAAAGGGCUAUGGAGCUCCAAAGCUUGGUUCUUCAUGAAUUUGAGCUUCCAAAAGCUUUGCCAUAACUUGUCCAAGUAGCUCCUCUAUCAUUUGGCAUGCUUGAAUUGAUUCAUAAGCUGAUAUAAACAUGUAAACUUGCCACAAAAUGGUUAAAACCAAUUACUAAGGACCUUAAUGAAUUAAUUGGGUUAAAUGAAUAUGAUUACUACGCAAAGGUGCUUAAAACCAUUAUAAUUAGGUCUACAAAAUAACACUUUUUGGUAGUAAUCAAAUAUUUUAAUUUAUUAAAAUAAAUCAUAAAUAAAUGAAUAAAAUUAUCUAACAAUAUUUUAUCAAGUUAAUAUUUGUUAAUAAAACUAUAACAAUUUAAGAUUUUGUUAGAUUUUAUCGCUAUAGGAUUAUUAUAAAUGUGGUUUAAAAAAAUGCAUGAACAUCAUGUAAUAUUAACAAAAUAAAAAUUACGAAUUGAUCGCUCUAUGGAUUAUUUUUAUCAUAACAAAAAUGUGUAAAAUUGUAUACACCUUUUAGGCUAUGAAAUAUUCAUUAUCUAACUUAUGAGUGUACAAUUUUGUUUUCUCUAACUUUUGAUUAUACAUUAUAAUUAAAAGAAAUUAGAAAUUACAUUGAAGGUUGUUUUUUAGAUUUUUUUUAACUUUAUAAUUUAUAAUAUAAACUCCAGCUAUACAAUUGUAUAUAUUUUUUAUAACUUCUAGUUGUGAUCUACAAUGACUCUAUUGUUUCUCUUCUAUAUGAAACUAUAUUUUUUAUUUAUUUAUUUCACUAGACAAAUAAAAUCCAAAUUAAACAAAACUUAAUCCCUUAAAAUAAUUAAUGAGUUUAGUAAUUUUUAAAAUAACUUAAAACUUAAAUAGUGGUUCAAUUAAUAUUAAAAAUUUAUGGAUAAAAAUUGGGUUUUAAUGAGUCUACUUUUUUUCUAUACAUACUUAUAUUUUUAUAAAUUUUUUUAUUAAAGAAUAAACUUCAAAUCAAGUAAUUGAAUUCACUAACAGGUUAAUUUUUUUAUUUUUUUUUAAGUUACAACCUAGUAAAUAGAUCUAAUCACUAUAAGAAAUAAUAUAUGAAAACCAAUUGUAGACCCCAAAAUUUGUCCUAAUUUUAUUUUUACAUUGAUAUUGAGUUCAAUUUUAUCCUUAGAUUUAAAUUUCGAUUACAUCUUAAUUGUUUAACCCACUUACACUAUUUUUUUUAUUUUUUCUCUCAUCUCUCCUCUCUCUUCAUCUUUCUCCUCAUUCUACCUACUCCACCUACUUCCCUUACCCAUUUCCUUCUCUUACACGUCUAAGCCACUCCCCAUACCCCCUCCAAGCUUUUUUUUUUUUUUUUUAUCAUCUUUCUCUACUCUCCUCUCUUCACUUUUUUUUUCUCUCCAUCAUUCCUUCUUCGGGCUCCCUUCCAACACCACAACCACUCCACAACCCACACACCAGACACGGUCAACUUCCCCAUCUCCUCUCUUCCUUCUUUCUUUUUUUUUUUUCCUUCCCCUCAACUCUCACACAUGACGGUCCCCAUUUUCUCUUUCAUUUCUUUUCUCCUUCUCACAGUCCUUCCCUCUACAUUGCCAUUUUCCAAAAACUCCCACUGUCACACGCUCCCCAUCUUCCUUCAUUUUUUUUUCCUGUUUUUUUUCUCUUCUUUCUUCUUUCCUUUUCCCCUCUCCACACUCCACGGCCACUAUUGGCCCUCCACUGCCCGCCACUACCAGUAGCCACUGCCAACAACCACCACCCGCCACUGUCUGCCAGUCAUUGCCAACUAGCAAUCCUACCAUCCAUAGUUCUAAAAAAAAUGGGUAAAUUUCUGAGAAGAAAAAGGCUAUGCUUAGUUAAGAAAAACACCCAAAAGGGAGGGUGAAUUGGGUUUUUAAAAUCUUUUCAAUCACAACAAAUUUAAACAAAAUAUAAGCAAAGCAAAGAGAUAGAGUUUAGAGAAUUCAAACUCGGGUUUAUAGUGGUUUGGCACUUCCUUGCCUACGUCCACUCUCUUCAACCUCCUAACCGAGUGAGGAUUCCACUAACUUGAAGCUUCAACCAAGCUUCCAAUCUUCUUACACUUGGAUUCCGGUUUCAAUGGGCUCUUACACAACCUCUUCAAGAUUCAACCCUUUUGAAGGCUUUAACACUUAGAUUGUUACAAGAUAUAAUCACUCAACCUAGCUUAAAGAUGGCUCAAAUACAAGACAAAGCUAGGAUGACAAACAAGAGUGCACUAAAGGAUAUGCAAGUGGUGAUUUAAUGCACUAUGAAAUAAAUGAGAGCUUUUUUUAUCAAGAACAGGUAGGUAGGCUUUGAAUGCAAGUGUUAUCUUCACAAUAAAUGAAGUGGAGCUCUCAAUUUAUAGGUUUCUAAGCUCGGGAGUCAAAAACAACAAAAGGCAACCUCGACCGGUUCACUAGCCGUUGAAGCAUUUAAUGCAUGACAGGUUACCGUUGCCUCAACCGGACCUCGAUCAAUAAGGGAAUCACCUCGACCGGGAAGAGAAGGCUACUGGGAGAGAGAGAAGGUUUUUGACCUUCCUCGACUGGACGACCUCAACCGGUUCUCGACCGGACGACCUCAACCGGUCGACCAGUUCCUCAACCGGUUGACCGGUUGGCCAUAGCCUCGACCGAUUGAGCCUUUUUGGCCCCGAAAAACCUAUUUUUUUAUUUCUUUCUUUUCUAACACUUAGGCAAGGUCUUUAGGUAAAUUAUUAAGCCAAUUUUGAAACAUUUUGCCUAAGGUAAAUUAGUUAAAAACUCGGGUUUUAAUGAAAUCGAUGUUUUAAAGAAUAAACCGAGUUUUCUAAGAUGCAUGAAACGUAUGAAAAUCCUAAGUGCACUCAUGCAUUCAUCUUACAUUAGGUUCCUAUGAUCACAAGUCUUCCAAGCGUCUCGAUCUUGUAUGCAUUUGGUCUUUUGAUGAAUUUUUGAGUUUAUACCUGAGAUUCUUAGACAUUAAACCAAUUAGUCACUUAACCAUGGUUUGUUAUCAUCAAAACCCGAUUAGGAGAACCCUUGGGCUAACAAUUUCCUUUUUACUUUAUUUUAUUUUGAUUUUUGUAUCUUUAUUUUUUUAUUUUCGUUUGCACAGUAAUUGAUUUAGACUUGGAUCUAUUGCUUAUUAGUUAUUUAUUUGGGCUUAUUGGAUUGGGUUUGAGAUAUUAUUUUCUUUGGUCAUGUGUAUUAUUAAUGUGGGUUUGUUGAUUGAUAUGAAUUUUUGACCCAUAAUGUGGGUAUGAAUUUUGGGCCCACAAUGUUGGUGGAAUUUGAUUGAUGACUUGAAUAUUUGAUAUGAGCCUGACCAAUUUAAACUAUUUAAUUUGGAUAUGGGACAAUUAUGGUGUAUAUUAAAUUAGGCUUGGAUUAUGAGAUAUUAAAUUUAGGCCUAAUUGAAUUUAUUUUAUUUUGUGAUAUUUUGGGCUUGGCUAAUUGUGUUGUAUUUUGAUUAUUAAUUUGAAAAUUUUGGAUUAAGAUUUAUAGCAUGUGAGAUGUUUUUGUUAGGUUAUAUUUGUUCAUUUGUGCCCAUUUUGAUUGACAAAAUUUAUGAGACUAAUUUGAAAUUUGAAUUUGAGUUUGAAUAUUUGUUUGGGAUUUUGUACAUCUUUGGAUAUUUACAUUUGAGCUAUUUUGUUUUUGCAUGGGCCUAUUCUACAAUUCUGUUGGCUGAGUACAAAUUUAUGAUACACGGAGCACGAAAUUUUAUGGAAGAAUAAAAAAGUUGUAUGAAGACAUUAAACUAGUUAUAAGCUUAUUUGGGUACACAUUUUAUUUCCCACUUUUAUUUGAUUUUAUUUCUAUUAGUUCUUGUAAAUAUUCGUUUGUAUAUAUUUAUUGUGUACAGAAUUGAAUAUUUAACAAAUCAAAAUUUUCAUUUAAAUAAGAGGAAUAAUUCAGUAAAUAUGUUCUAAUAAAAUAAUAAUUUUAAAAUAUUCUUCUUAAUAAAAGAAAGUUUUUUUUAUUAAUAAAAAUUCAUAAAAAUGCUUUUAGAAAAAUUCAAAAAAAUUGUUUUUAAUAGAAUUUGAAAAAUUAUUUUUAAUAAUAAUUGUCCAAAAAUGUCUUUGUUUAAUAAAAAUUGUCCAAAAAUUGUUUUGUAAAUAAAGUUGUCCCAAAAAUUAAUUUUUAAUUAAAAAUUCUUUUGCAAAUAAAGUUAUAUUCUUUUUAAUAAUUUGUACAAGUCACUUUUCUUUUACUACAAGAAAACUUAUUUUUCCUGACAAAAAUUUAGGGGCGAAUUGUAAUUUUGUCGCUAAAAAUUACUUUUACCGAUGAAAUUUUAGAUAUCGUUGCUAAUGUCAAAUUUAUGAAAACUUUUUGUAACGAAUUUGAAUUUUUCGUUGCCAAAAGAUAUUGCGGGAAAAUUUGGCGGCUUUUUUUGGCGCAAACGCUAUUGUGAUGAAAAAAAUACUAUUUGCCAACGAAAAUAUUUGUUACUAAAUACAAUUUUUUUGUGACGAAAAUAAUUUCCUUACUAAAAGUUACAAAUUUUUAUCCAUAUUUGCUUACAAAAUGGUUUCAUCAGUAAAUAUAUUAUUUUCUGACAAAAUGAGUAAUUUUGUCACUGAAUAGUGUUGCUAAAUUGUAAUAUUAAUAAGUCAUAUUGACAAAUAGAUAAAAGGUUUAUGCUAUAAAAUAAUAAUACGUAUUUUUUGAGACUUGAUAUUUAAAUUACAAUAUUUUAUUUAUAUAUAUAAUAAUAAUACUAAUUAAAGAUUCAUAAAAUUAAAUACUAGAAUAUAGAUUUAUAGAAAUUUAAAUGUUUUGUUAUGUAAUAAUAGUAUUGUUAUGAAAUAAUAAAAAGGUAAAUUAUUUAAGCAAUUAAUUUUUAUAGUGUAAUAUAUAUGUUAUAUUUUUUUUAUAUAGAUAAUAACAAAUAAUCCAAGAUAUAAUAUAAAUUUAUUUAAAUUUCAAUAUUAUUAUAUGAUGUUAACCAAACAUAAAUAAUUUUAAAUCUUUUUUAUUAUACAAUGUAAAAGUUAUUUUUGCAAGUUUAAUAUAGUAGUAUUGAACUUAAAUUAGCUAUGAAUAAGUAAUGAUCCUCUAAUUUGUUCUCAUUCAAAAUCAUGUCGUCUGAAGUAAAUUUAUACUAAUAUUUAACUACCUAGUUUAAAUUAAUAGAUUUUUAUAAUUAUUACUUGGUUUUUAAAUAGUUGUUCAGAAUUGAAAUUAUCAAAUAAAUUACCUAGUGUCUAUAAAAACAUUAUAUUUGCAUAGAAUUUCAAAUAAUACUUGUGUGUAUAAAAAAUAUCAUAUAUUAUCAAUACAUAUAUGAUUGCAAUUAAAUAUUAUAUGAUAUGAUAUAUGGCAUUAUAUGCCUCACUACUAUAAUAUUAAUAACAAAAUAAAAAAUGUGUCAUAUAUAUAUACACAUAUUAUAAUGGGUAUAUGAAGAAAUUAAUAUAUGAAUGAUAUAAAUUGUAACAUUUUAUAAUAAUCAACAGUAUUUGAAAGCAUAUUUAAUGUUAAAAUGAUAAUUUAUUUACUUUAUAAUAAGUGAAUAAUUAUUAUAUUUUUAUUUCAUUCAUGAUUUUUGUGCUUUCAAUAAUAAAUUAAAUGGAAAAUAAAAUUAAAUAUUGAAAAUUAAUAGAAUUAUUAAAACUUUAUCUUAAUAUUUUAAUAUUUAAAAUGUAUAUAAAAUUUAGGUGUAAACAUAAUUAUAUAUAAUGUAGGCACUUUAAUAACUCAAAUGAAUGACUAUCCUAGUGGUGUAUAGUUAACUUCGUAAGCUUGGGAAGUCUGAACACUUUAUUGAUCUCAUUAUAAAUUUUUAUUUUUAAUUGUUAAAUAUUAAUUUAUCAUAAAUGAUUACUUAUUAAAAAUAAAAUCAUAAAUUAUAUCACAAAAUAGUAAAUGUUGUAUACUAACUUGUAAAGAAGUUUUUAUAUUUGUAUACAAUUUUUUAAUAAAACAUGUAAAACAAAUAUAGUUAUAAAAAUAAUUGUAACAUAUAAUAAAAUAGUAUAUCAUUUACAUUUAUAGUGUUUUAUUGCAUUUGAUAUUUUUGUUUGAAAUAUAAGAGAAAGAAAAUGAAAAAUAUAAAGAUGACUUGUUGACACGAAUUGUUGCACUUAGGCUUAUUCACUUUGAAAGUAAAUUUAUACUAAUAUUUAAUUACCUAGAUUAACCUAAUAAAAAUAUUUUUUUUAAUUAUUGUUUAGUUUUUAAAUAAUUGUUAAUAUUAGAAAUUAUCAAAUAAUAACCUAAUUUUUGUCAAGAUAUUCUAUUGACGUAAAUUCCAAAUAUGGUUUAUGUUUAUAAAGAUAUCAUAUAUCAUUAAUGAAUAUAUGAUUGUAAGUUAAAUAUCAUAUGAUACAAUACAUUGUACCAUAUGCAUAACUACUAUAUUAUUAUUUUAGAAAAUAAAAAAUGCAUUAUAUAUUAGUAAUAUAUUAUAUACAUAAAAACAAAAAUUGUAAGGUAUCUAACCACUUCUUAAUUAACAAUUGAUUAGUUUAAUUUUUAAAUAAUUUUAUGAUGUAUUAAUGAUCUUUAGCUUAACUACUAAAAUAAGAUAAUAAAUUAUGCCACAAAAGUAGCAACUAUUAUAGCUACUAAUUUGUUAAGGAUUGUUUUACACUUUUAUAUGUUUUUUAAUAAAAUAUUUAAUCUAUGAUUUUUAUUCCUUGCUUUAAAUUUCAAUUUUUAUUUUACUCUAAUUUCUAAUAUAUAAAUUCUGAUUUUUAAAUUUUUAAUUUUUAAUUUCUAAAUUUUAAAUAAUACAAAACUCAUAAAUCUUACAUUUUAUUUUUAGUCAAUUUUGUAAUUUAUAAAUUCUAAUUUUUUUAUUUUCUAAAUUUUCUAAAUUUUAAAUAAUAAAUAGUCCCAAUAAUAGGCAAAUAAUAAAGUUUCAAUUUUAUUUUUAAUCUAAUUUUUAAUUUAUAUUUUAAAUUUUUAAAUUUUUAAAUUCUAAAUUUUAAAUAAUAUAAAACAUAUAACAUCAUGAAAUGCAUUAAAUGCGCCGAGUUGUAGCAGCAUGCUACUGAGAUUUGGUUGUAGAGACGGCACAAUGGAUGGUAUGGAGUAUUGGUUGGGAAAUGAAAUGAAAAGAAAGUGAAAUAAAAAAGAAAAAAACAAAUCUCCCAAGCACCCACGUAGCACUGGGACUUUGAAAAGUGAGAAGACUUUCUCACCAACUCUCCAUCAUUUGCCUACAACUUUGAAAAUGAAAAAGAGCAUUACUUCCCACCACAUCUCUAACAUCUACCAUAACCUCCUGAACCUUCCACCAUUUUCACCAUCUCAUCUACCUUCUUAAAAAAUUGUUUCCCACUUGCAAGCCAUAUUCACCAUUCUCCACCAAAGUUUACCGAGCCGGCAAAGCUUCUUAUCUACCAUUUUCAUCGGUCUGUUAUACUACAGAAAUCUACCACUNNNNNNNNNNNNNNNNNNNNNNNNNNNNNNNNNNNNNNNNNNNNNNNNNNNNNNNNNNNNNNNNNNNNNNNNNNNNNNNNNNNNNNNNNNNNNNNNNNNNNNNNNNNNNNNNNNNNNNNNNNNNNNNNNNNNNNNNNNNNNNNNNNNNNNNNNNNNNNNNNNNNNNNNNNNNNNNNNNNNNNNNNNNNNNNNNNNNNNNNNNNNNNNNNNNNNNNNNNNNNNNNNNNNNNNNNNNNNNNNNNNNNNNNNNNNNNNNNNNNNNNNNNNNNNNNNNNNNNNNNNNNNNNNNNNNNNNNNNNNNNNNNNNNNNNNNNNNNNNNNNNNNNNNNNNNNNNNNNNNNNNNNNNNNNNNNNNNNNNNNNNNNNNNNNNNNNNNNNNNNNNNNNNNNNNNNNNNNNNNNNNNNNNNNNNNNNNNNNNNNNNNNNNNNNNNNNNNNNNNNNNNNNNNNNNNNNNNNNNNNNNNNNNNNNNNNNNNNNNNNNNNNNNNNNNNNNNNNNNNNNNNNNNNNNNNNNNNNNNNNNNNNNNNNNNNNNNNNNNNNNNNNNNNNNNNNNNNNNNNNNNNNNNNNNNNNNNNNNNNNNNNNNNNNNNNNNNNNNNNNNNNNNNNNNNNNNNNNNNNNNNNNNNNNNNNNNNNNNNNNNNNNNNNNNNNNNNNNNNNNNNNNNNNNNNNNNNNNNNNNNNNNNNNNNNNNNNNNNNNNNNNNNNNNNNNNNNNNNNNNNNNNNNNNNNNNNNNNNNNNNNNNNNNNNNNNNNNNNNNNNNNNNNNNNNNNNNNNNNNNNNNNNNNNNNNNNNNNNNNNNNNNNNNNNNNNNNNNNNNNNNNNNNNNNNNNNNNNNNNNNNNNNNNNNNNNNNNNNNNNNNNNNNNNNNNNNNNNNNNNNNNNNNNNNNNNNNNNNNNNNNNNNNNNNNNNNNNNNNNNNNNNNNNNNNNNNNNNNNNNNNNNNNNNNNNNNNNNNNNNNNNNNNNNNNNNNNNNNNNNNNNNNNNNNNNNNNNNNNNNNNNNNNNNNNNNNNNNNNNNNNNNNNNNNNNNNNNNNNNNNNNNNNNNNNNNNNNNNNNNNNNNNNNNNNNNNNNNNNNNNNNNNNNNNNNNNNNNNNNNNNNNNNNNNNNNNNNNNNNNNNNNNNNNNNNNNNNNNNNNNNNNNNNNNNNNNNNNNNNNNNNNNNNNNNNNNNNNNNNNNNNNNNNNNNNNNNNNNNNNNNNNNNNNNNNNNNNNNNNNNNNNNNNNNNNNNNNNNNNNNNNNNNNNNNNNNNNNNNNNNNNNNNNNNNNNNNNNNNNNNNNNNNNNNNNNNNNNNNNNNNNNNNNNNNNNNNNNNNNNNNNNNNNNNNNNNNNNNNNNNNNNNNNNNNNNNNNNNNNNNNNNNNNNNNNNNNNNNNNNNNNNNNNNNNNNNNNNNNNNNNNNNNNNNNNNNNNNNNNNNNNNNNNNNNNNNNNNNNNNNNNNNNNNNNNNNNNNNNNNNNNNNNNNNNNNNNNNNNNNNNNNNNNNNNNNNNNNNNNNNNNNNNNNNNNNNNNNNNNNNNNNNNNNNNNNNNNNNNNNNNNNNNNNNNNNNNNNNNNNNNNNNNNNNNNNNNNNNNNNNNNNNNNNNNNNNNNNNNNNNNNNNNNNNNNNNNNNNNNNNNNNNNNNNNNNNNNNNNNNNNNNNNNNNNNNNNNNNNNNNNNNNNNNNNNNNNNNNNNNNNNNNNNNNNNNNNNNNNNNNNNNNNNNNNNNNNNNNNNNNNNNNNNNNNNNNNNNNNNNNNNNNNNNNNNNNNNNNNNNNNNNNNNNNNNNNNNNNNNNNNNNNNNNNNNNNNNNNNNNNNNNNNNNNNNNNNNNNNNNNNNNNNNNNNNNNNNNNNNNNNNNNNNNNNNNNNNNNNNNNNNNNNNNNNNNNNNNNNNNNNNNNNNNNNNNNNNNNNNNNNNNNNNNNNNNNNNNNNNNNNNNNNNNNNNNNNNNNNNNNNNNNNNNNNNNNNNNNNNNNNNNNNNNNNNNNNNNNNNNNNNNNNNNNNNNNNNNNNNNNNNNNNNNNNNNNNNNNNNNNNNNNNNNNNNNNNNNNNNNNNNNNNNNNNNNNNNNNNNNNNNNNNNNNNNNNNNNNNNNNNNNNNNNNNNNNNNNNNNNNNNNNNNNNNNNNNNNNNNNNNNNNNNNNNNNNNNNNNNNNNNNNNNNNNNNNNNNNNNNNNNNNNNNNNNNNNNNNNNNNNNNNNNNNNNNNNNNNNNNNNNNNNNNNNNNNNNNNNNNNNNNNNNNNNNNNNNNNNNNNNNNNNNNNNNNNNNNNNNNNNNNNNNNNNNNNNNNNNNNNNNNNNNNNNNNNNNNNNNNNNNNNNNNNNNNNNNNNNNNNNNNNNNNNNNNNNNNNNNNNNNNNNNNNNNNNNNNNNNNNNNNNNNNNNNNNNNNNNNNNNNNNNNNNNNNNNNNNNNNNNNNNNNNNNNNNNNNNNNNNNNNNNNNNNNNNNNNNNNNNNNNNNNNNNNNNNNNNNNNNNNNNNNNNNNNNNNNNNNNNNNNNNNNNNNNNNNNNNNNNNNNNNNNNNNNNNNNNNNNNNNNNNNNNNNNNNNNNNNNNNNNNNNNNNNNNNNNNNNNNNNNNNNNNNNNNNNNNNNNNNNNNNNNNNNNNNNNNNNNNNNNNNNNNNNNNNNNNNNNNNNNNNNNNNNNNNNNNNNNNNNNNNNNNNNNNNNNNNNNNNNNNNNNNNNNNNNNNNNNNNNNNNNNNNNNNNNNNNNNNNNNNNNNNNNNNNNNNNNNNNNNNNNNNNNNNNNNNNNNNNNNNNNNNNNNNNNNNNNNNNNNNNNNNNNNNNNNNNNNNNNNNNNNNNNNNNNNNNNNNNNNNNNNNNNNNNNNNNNNNNNNNNNNNNNNNNNNNNNNNNNNNNNNNNNNNNNNNNNNNNNNNNNNNNNNNNNNNNNNNNNNNNNNNNNNNNNNNNNNNNNNNNNNNNNNNNNNNNNNNNNNNNNNNNNNNNNNNNNNNNNNNNNNNNNNNNNNNNNNNNNNNNNNNNNNNNNNNNNNNNNNNNNNNNNNNNNNNNNNNNNNNNNNNNNNNNNNNNNNNNNNNNNNNNNNNNNNNNNNNNNNNNNNNNNNNNNNNNNNNNNNNNNNNNNNNNNNNNNNNNNNNNNNNNNNNNNNNNNNNNNNNNNNNNNNNNNNNNNNNNNNNNNNNNNNNNNNNNNNNNNNNNNNNNNNNNNNNNNNNNNNNNNNNNNNNNNNNNNNNNNNNNNNNNNNNNNNNNNNNNNNNNNNNNNNNNNNNNNNNNNNNNNNNNNNNNNNNNNNNNNNNNNNNNNNNNNNNNNNNNNNNNNNNNNNNNNNNNNNNNNNNNNNNNNNNNNNNNNNNNNNNNNNNNNNNNNNNNNNNNNNNNNNNNNNNNNNNNNNNNNNNNNNNNNNNNNNNNNNNNNNNNNNNNNNNNNNNNNNNNNNNNNNNNNNNNNNNNNNNNNNNNNNNNNNNNNNNNNNNNNNNNNNNNNNNNNNNNNNNNNNNNNNNNNNNNNNNNNNNNNNNNNNNNNNNNNNNNNNNNNNNNNNNNNNNNNNNNNNNNNNNNNNNNNNNNNNNNNNNNNNNNNNNNNNNNNNNNNNNNNNNNNNNNNNNNNNNNNNNNNNNNNNNNNNNNNNNNNNNNNNNNNNNNNNNNNNNNNNNNNNNNNNNNNNNNNNNNNNNNNNNNNNNNNNNNNNNNNNNNNNNNNNNNNNNNNNNNNNNNNNNNNNNNNNNNNNNNNNNNNNNNNNNNNNNNNNNNNNNNNNNNNNNNNNNNNNNNNNNNNNNNNNNNNNNNNNNNNNNNNNNNNNNNNNNNNNNNNNNNNNNNNNNNNNNNNNNNNNNNNNNNNNNNNNNNNNNNNNNNNNNNNNNNNNNNNNNNNNNNNNNNNNNNNNNNNNNNNNNNNNNNNNNNNNNNNNNNNNNNNNNNNNNNNNNNNNNNNNNNNNNNNNNNNNNNNNNNNNNNNNNNNNNNNNNNNNNNNNNNNNNNNNNNNNNNNNNNNNNNNNNNNNNNNNNNNNNNNNNNNNNNNNNNNNNNNNNNNNNNNNNNNNNNNNNNNNNNNNNNNNNNNNNNNNNNNNNNNNNNNNNNNNNNNNNNNNNNNNNNNNNNNNNNNNNNNNNNNNNNNNNNNNNNNNNNNNNNNNNNNNNNNNNNNNNNNNNNNNNNNNNNNNNNNNNNNNNNNNNNNNNNNNNNNNNNNNNNNNNNNNNNNNNNNNNNNNNNNNNNNNNNNNNNNNNNNNNNNNNNNNNNNNNNNNNNNNNNNNNNNNNNNNNNNNNNNNNNNNNNNNNNNNNNNNNNNNNNNNNNNNNNNNNNNNNNNNNNNNNNNNNNNNNNNNNNNNNNNNNNNNNNNNNNNNNNNNNNNNNNNNNNNNNNNNNNNGUUCUAGAAGUUAUCAAAAAUGGAUUUUCCAUGGGGAAGAACAUGAAUCUCAACCUAAUGAGCAAAAUGAUAUUGGUGUUGAUACAGAAAUUGUUGACGCUACUGAUGCUGAUAUCCUUAAUGAAGUUGCGGAUGCAUUAAAUGAUGCAUGUGGACACAUAGACAAUGAUAUUAACUUAGAGGAAUCUACUACUCAUGGAAAAUUUGAUUACUUACUUGGUGAAGCUAAUAAAGAAUUGUAUCUAGGUUGUAAAAAGUUUUCUGCUUUGACAUUCCUUGUGAAGUUAAUGCAUAUUAAAGUCCUCAAUCGUUGGAGUGACAAGUCUUUUGACAUGUUACUCCAAGUUUUAGUUGAUGUUUUUCCAGAAAGAUCAAACAUUCCAAAGACAUACUAUGAUGCUAAGAAGAUGUUAAGAGAUUUGGGCUUAGGAUAUGAUUCAAUCCAUGCAUGCAAGUAUGAUUGUGCAUUGUUUUGGAAGGAGAAUGAGACUCUUGAUAAAUGUUCAAUGUGUGAUGAGCCACGAUAUAAGUUCUGUAAUGGAAAAGGUAAAAAAAUUCCUCAAAAAGUAUUGUGUCAUUUUCCACUAAAAUCAAGGCUACAAAGGUUAUUCAUGUCAAGGCAUACAGCAUCAGCUAUGAGGUGGCAUAAAGAAAACUGAAUCAGUGAGGAGGGAGUCCUAAGGCAUCCAGCAGAUUCUGAAGCUUGGAAGGAUAUGGACACCCAAUUCCCUUGGUUUUCGCAAGAACCUCGAAAUGUUAGAUUAGGGCUUGCAACAAAUGGUUUCAAUCCAUUUGGGAGCAUGAGUAAUAGUUAUAGCAUGUGGCCAAUUGUUCUUGUGCCAUACAAUAUGGCACCAUGGAGAUGUAUGAAAGAGAUGUUUUUCAUGUUAUCAUUACUAAUUCUAGGCCCACAAGCCUUAGGGAGAGAUAUUGAUGUAUACCUACGUCCUUUGAUAGAAGAAUUAAAAGAGUUAUGGCAUGAAGGUGUUCAAACAUUUGACAUGUCAACAGGAGAAAACUUUCGCAUGCAUGCAUGUGUUUUAUGGACAAUAAAUGACAUUCCUGCUUAUGGGAACUUGGCUGGGUGGAGUACAAAAGGAUAUAAAGCAUGUCCAGUUUGUAAUGAAGACACAUCGUCACUAAGUAUUAGAAGUAAAAUAUGUUACAUGGGUCAUCGACGUUUUUUACCUCUUGAUCAUGGAUGGCGAAGGAGUAAACAACACGAUGGUAAGCCGGAGUUUCGACCACCGCCAAGAAUGUUCUCUAGUGAUGAAAUAUUGCAACAAUUGUGUUGUCUUAAACAUCAGAAGCCUAGUAAGCAUCCAAACAACGUUGAUAGAAAGCAAAAACGGGUGCCUGAAGAAUUAAAUUGGACAAAAAAAAGUAUUUUCUUUGAGUUGGAGUACUGGUCAAAGUUGAAGUUGAGACAUAAUAUUGAUGUUAUGCAUGUUGAAAAGAAUGUAUGUGAUAGUGUUGUGGGAACUUUGUUAAAUAUUGUAGGAAAAACAAAAGAUAUAAACAAAGCUCGCUUAGAUUUGGCUGAUAUGAAUAUAAGGAAAGAAUUGCAUUUGCAAAUACAAGGGAACAAAUUGGUAAAACCCCAUGCAUGCUACACAUUGACUGUAGAGGAAAGGAAAGAGUUCUGUAAGUUUCUAAAGUCUGUUAAAUUUCCAGAUGGUUAUGCUGCAAAUUUAUCUAGAAAUGUUAGCAUCAAUGAUGGGAAGAUCUCAGGGUUAAAGAGUCAUGAUUGUCAUGUUUUGCUGCAAAAAUUACUCCCUAUCGCUAUUCGUCCAUAUUUUAAUAAAGAUUUGUGUACAACACUGGUUGAGUUGUGUAGUUUUUUCCAAAAGUUAUGUGCAAAGACCUUGUACAUGAAUGAUUUGGAAAAAUUAGAAGAAGGGAUUGUCUUAAUAUUGUGUAAGCUUGAAAGGAUAUUCCCACCAGCUUUCUUUGAUGUCAUGGUUCACUUGAUGGUACAUUUACCACGUGAGGCCAAACUUGCUGGACUAGUUAGUUAUCGAUGGAUGUAUCCAUUUAAGAGGUACAUUUUUACCUUUUUUGUUUAUUAAUAUUCUCAUCUAACUAUGUUACACAAUACAUGUGUUAAGGCUUAUUUAUUAACACUAUUUCUAUUUAGGAACUUAGGAACAUUGAAAAGAUAUGUGAGAAAUAAAGCUCGACCAGAAGGUUCAAUUGCAAAGGCAUACAUCGUGAAUGAAGCUUUAAUGUUUUGUUCAAUGUAUCUUACUGGAAUUGAAACACGUUUUAAUCGAAGUGAAAGGAACGAAGAUCGAUUUGAACAUCGAGUACAAGAAUGUCUUUCCAUAUUUUCAUAGCAAGCUCAACCAUUAGGCUGUCGAUAACAUCUCCAAUUUUCGAAGGAAGAGUUAACUAAGGCACAUUGGUAUAUCAUGAAUAAUUGCCCAGAGUUGAGACCAUACUUAGAGUAAGUUUUAGAAUCAACAUUAAAGAUAUUUCUUUAAUACCUCGUUACUUAAUAUCUAUUUAAUGAUGUAGUGAACAUACAAAAGAAUUGGAGAGGACAAGUUCACAUAACUUAGAGAAACGACAAGAACAAGAGUUUCCUAAGUGGCUUGCAGAUCGUGUAAGUUUUAUUUGUGUAAUUUGCUUGCUACAAUAUAGUUGUAAUGAACUAAUAUAAUUUUAAUAAUAUUUGAUAUUAAACUAUAAAUAAUUAUGUACAUUUAUAUUGUAGAUGAAAGCUUUGCAUGUUAAACAAUCACCAGAAGCAACUGAUGAACUAUACUCAUUAGCGUGUGGACUAGAUAAUCGAGUCCACACAUACAUGGGUUGUAUUGUUAAUGGAGUUCGCUUCCAUACAAAAGAUCAUGAUGAUCGGCGUAUCACCCAAAAUAGUGGGAUAUGUGUUUCUGGGGAGCAUGAUGGUGAGGAGGUUGAUUUCUAUGGUGUUUUAUCAAAUGUGGUUGUUUUGAACUAUGUCUUGGGGUAUAAGGUUAUUCUUUUCAAGUGCACAUGGUUCGACACAAACCAAAAGAAGAAGAGAAUAAAACAUGACUAUAAUUUUACCACAAUCCAAGUUAUCUCCACCUGGUAUGACAAUGAUCCUUUUAUACUUGCUACACAAACACAACAAGUUUUCUACCUAGAUGACUACAAAAAUGGUCAUAAUUGGAAAGUAGUACAAAAAGUGAAUCAUAGACACAUGUGGGAUGUACCAGAAAGGGAUACUAAUAUAGAAAUCGAUGAAGAAGUGUGCGGGGGAAGUGAUGAAGAAGCUUACCAAGAUAAUGAAUCUCAUGAGCUUAACUGGUUUGUAGAGCAAGAUGAUGGAUUUGAAUUUCAACGAUCUGACCGCUUAAACAUUGAUCUAGAAGUUGUUAAUGAUAAUGUUUUGAUUUUAGAGAACAUGAAUGACAAUGAUGAUAACUUCAUAUGUGAUGACAUUGAGGAAGAAGAUGAAACACUAGAUGAUUAUGCUAAUGAGAAUGAAAUGUGGCUUUCAAGUGAUAGUGAAAGUGAAAGUGAUUAAAGAGACUGGUAAGCUACAUUUUAUUUACUUUAUUAUAUGUUAAAUAACAUAAUGUAAUCUAGGUCUAGUUCUUUAAAUUUNNNNNNNNNNNNNNNNNNNNNNNNNNNNNNNNNNNNNNNNNNNNNNNNNNNNNNNNNNNNNNNNNNNNNNNNNNNNNNNNNNNNNNNNNNNNNNNNNNNNNNNNNNNNNNNNNNNNNNNNNNNNNNNNNNNNNNNNNNNNNNNNNNNNNNNNNNNNNNNNNNNNNNNNNNNNNNNNNNNNNNNNNNNNNNNNNNNNNNNNNNNNNNNNNNNNNNNNNNNNNNNNNNNNNNNNNNNNNNNNNNNNNNNNNNNNNNNNNNNNNNNNNNNNNNNNNNNNNNNNNNNNNNNNNNNNNNNNNNNNNNNNNNNNNNNNNNNNNNNNNNNNNNNNNNNNNNNNNNNNNNNNNNNNNNNNNNNNNNNNNNNNNNNNNNNNNNNNNNNNNNNNNNNNNNNNNNNNNNNNNNNNNNNNNNNNNNNNNNNNNNNNNNNNNNNNNNNNNNNNNNNNNNNNNNNNNNNNNNNNNNNNNNNNNNNNNNNNNNNNNNNNNNNNNNNNNNNNNNNNNNNNNNNNNNNNNNNNNNNNNNNNNNNNNNNNNNNNNNNNNNNNNNNNNNNNNNNNNNNNNNNNNNNNNNNNNNNNNNNNNNNNNNNNNNNNNNNNNNNNNNNNNNNNNNNNNNNNNNNNNNNNNNNNNNNNNNNNNNNNNNNNNNNNNNNNNNNNNNNNNNNNNNNNNNNNNNNNNNNNNNNNNNNNNNNNNNNNNNNNNNNNNNNNNNNNNNNNNNNNNNNNNNNNNNNNNNNNNNNNNNNNNNNNNNNNNNNNNNNNNNNNNNNNNNNNNNNNNNNNNNNNNNNNNNNNNNNNNNNNNNNNNNNNNNNNNNNNNNNNNNNNNNNNNNNNNNNNNNNNNNNNNNNNNNNNNNNNNNNNNNNNNNNNNNNNNNNNNNNNNNNNNNNNNNNNNNNNNNNNNNNNNNNNNNNNNNNNNNNNNNNNNNNNNNNNNNNNNNNNNNNNNNNNNNNNNNNNNNNNNNNNNNNNNNNNNNNNNNNNNNNNNNNNNNNNNNNNNNNNNNNNNNNNNNNNNNNNNNNNNNNNNNNNNNNNNNNNNNNNNNNNNNNNNNNNNNNNNNNNNNNNNNNNNNNNNNNNNNNNNNNNNNNNNNNNNNNNNNNNNNNNNNNNNNNNNNNNNNNNNNNNNNNNNNNNNNNNNNNNNNNNNNNNNNNNNNNNNNNNNNNNNNNNNNNNNNNNNNNNNNNNNNNNNNNNNNNNNNNNNNNNNNNNNNNNNNNNNNNNNNNNNNNNNNNNNNNNNNNNNNNNNNNNNNNNNNNNNNNNNNNNNNNNNNNNNNNNNNNNNNNNNNNNNNNNNNNNNNNNNNNNNNNNNNNNNNNNNNNNNNNNNNNNNNNNNNNNNNNNNNNNNNNNNNNNNNNNNNNNNNNNNNNNNNNNNNNNNNNNNNNNNNNNNNNNNNNNNNNNNNNNNNNNNNNNNNNNNNNNNNNNNNNNNNNNNNNNNNNNNNNNNNNNNNNNNNNNNNNNNNNNNNNNNNNNNNNNNNNNNNNNNNNNNNNNNNNNNNNNNNNNNNNNNNNNNNNNNNNNNNNNNNNNNNNNNNNNNNNNNNNNNNNNNNNNNNNNNNNNNNNNNNNNNNNNNNNNNNNNNNNNNNNNNNNNNNNNNNNNNNNNNNNNNNNNNNNNNNNNNNNNNNNNNNNNNNNNNNNNNNNNNNNNNNNNNNNNNNNNNNNNNNNNNNNNNNNNNNNNNNNNNNNNNNNNNNNNNNNNNNNNNNNNNNNNNNNNNNNNNNNNNNNNNNNNNNNNNNNNNNNNNNNNNNNNNNNNNNNNNNNNNNNNNNNNNNNNNNNNNNNNNNNNNNNNNNNNNNNNNNNNNNNNNNNNNNNNNNNNNNNNNNNNNNNNNNNNNNNNNNNNNNNNNNNNNNNNNNNNNNNNNNNNNNNNNNNNNNNNNNNNNNNNNNNNNNNNNNNNNNNNNNNNNNNNNNNNNNNNNNNNNNNNNNNNNNNNNNNNNNNNNNNNNNNNNNNNNNNNNNNNNNNNNNNNNNNNNNNNNNNNNNNNNNNNNNNNNNNNNNNNNNNNNNNNNNNNNNNNNNNNNNNNNNNNNNNNNNNNNNNNNNNNNNNNNNNNNNNNNNNNNNNNNNNNNNNNNNNNNNNNNNNNNNNNNNNNNNNNNNNNNNNNNNNNNNNNNNNNNNNNNNNNNNNNNNNNNNNNNNNNNNNNNNNNNNNNNNNNNNNNNNNNNNNNNNNNNNNNNNNNNNNNNNNNNNNNNNNNNNNNNNNNNNNNNNNNNNNNNNNNNNNNNNNNNNNNNNNNNNNNNNNNNNNNNNNNNNNNNNNNNNNNNNNNNNNNNNNNNNNNNNNNNNNNNNNNNNNNNNNNNNNNNNNNNNNNNNNNNNNNNNNNNNNNNNNNNNNNNNNNNNNNNNNNNNNNNNNNNNNNNNNNNNNNNNNNNNNNNNNNNNNNNNNNNNNNNNNNNNNNNNNNNNNNNNNNNNNNNNNNNNNNNNNNNNNNNNNNNNNNNNNNNNNNNNNNNNNNNNNNNNNNNNNNNNNNNNNNNNNNNNNNNNNNNNNNNNNNNNNNNNNNNNNNNNNNNNNNNNNNNNNNNNNNNNNNNNNNNNNNNNNNNNNNNNNNNNNNNNNNNNNNNNNNNNNNNNNNNNNNNNNNNNNNNNNNNNNNNNNNNNNNNNNNNNNNNNNNNNNNNNNNNNNNNNNNNNNNNNNNNNNNNNNNNNNNNNNNNNNNNNNNNNNNNNNNNNNNNNNNNNNNNNNNNNNNNNNNNNNNNNNNNNNNNNNNNNNNNNNNNNNNNNNNNNNNNNNNNNNNNNNNNNNNNNNNNNNNNNNNNNNNNNNNNNNNNNNNNNNNNNNNNNNNNNNNNNNNNNNNNNNNNNNNNNNNNNNNNNNNNNNNNNNNNNNNNNNNNNNNNNNNNNNNNNNNNNNNNNNNNNNNNNNNNNNNNNNNNNNNNNNNNNNNNNNNNNNNNNNNNNNNNNNNNNNNNNNNNNNNNNNNNNNNNNNNNNNNNNNNNNNNNNNNNNNNNNNNNNNNNNNNNNNNNNNNNNNNNNNNNNNNNNNNNNNNNNNNNNNNNNNNNNNNNNNNNNNNNNNNNNNNNNNNNNNNNNNNNNNNNNNNNNNNNNNNNNNNNNNNNNNNNNNNNNNNNNNNNNNNNNNNNNNNNNNNNNNNNNNNNNNNNNNNNNNNNNNNNNNNNNNNNNNNNNNNNNNNNNNNNNNNNNNNNNNNNNNNNNNNNNNNNNNNNNNNNNNNNNNNNNNNNNNNNNNNNNNNNNNNNNNNNNNNNNNNNNNNNNNNNNNNNNNNNNNNNNNNNNNNNNNNNNNNNNNNNNNNNNNNNNNNNNNNNNNNNNNNNNNNNNNNNNNNNNNNNNNNNNNNNNNNNNNNNNNNNNNNNNNNNNNNNNNNNNNNNNNNNNNNNNNNNNNNNNNNNNNNNNNNNNNNNNNNNNNNNNNNNNNNNNNNNNNNNNNNNNNNNNNNNNNNNNNNNNNNNNNNNNNNNNNNNNNNNNNNNNNNNNNNNNNNNNNNNNNNNNNNNNNNNNNNNNNNNNNNNNNNNNNNNNNNNNNNNNNNNNNNNNNNNNNNNNNNNNNNNNNNNNNNNNNNNNNNNNNNNNNNNNNNNNNNNNNNNNNNNNNNNNNNNNNNNNNNNNNNNNNNNNNNNNNNNNNNNNNNNNNNNNNNNNNNNNNNNNNNNNNNNNNNNNNNNNNNNNNNNNNNNNNNNNNNNNNNNNNNNNNNNNNNNNNNNNNNNNNNNNNNNNNNNNNNNNNNNNNNNNNNNNNNNNNNNNNNNNNNNNNNNNNNNNNNNNNNNNNNNNNNNNNNNNNNNNNNNNNNNNNNNNNNNNNNNNNNNNNNNNNNNNNNNNNNNNNNNNNNNNNNNNNNNNNNNNNNNNNNNNNNNNNNNNNNNNNNNNNNNNNNNNNNNNNNNNNNNNNNNNNNNNNNNNNNNNNNNNNNNNNNNNNNNNNNNNNNNNNNNNNNNNNNNNNNNNNNNNNNNNNNNNNNNNNNNNNNNNNNNNNNNNNNNNNNNNNNNNNNNNNNNNNNNNNNNNNNNNNNNNNNNNNNNNNNNNNNNNNNNNNNNNNNNNNNNNNNNNNNNNNNNNNNNNNNNNNNNNNNNNNNNNNNNNNNNNNNNNNNNNNNNNNNNNNNNNNNNNNNNNNNNNNNNNNNNNNNNNNNNNNNNNNNNNNNNNNNNNNNNNNNNNNNNNNNNNNNNNNNNNNNNNNNNNNNNNNNNNNNNNNNNNNNNNNNNNNNNNNNNNNNNNNNNNNNNNNNNNNNNNNNNNNNNNNNNNNNNNNNNNNNNNNNNNNNNNNNNNNNNNNNNNNNNNNNNNNNNNNNNNNNNNNNNNNNNNNNNNNNNNNNNNNNNNNNNNNNNNNNNNNNNNNNNNNNNNNNNNNNNNNNNNNNNNNNNNNNNNNNNNNNNNNNNNNNNNNNNNNNNNNNNNNNNNNNNNNNNNNNNNNNNNNNNNNNNNNNNNNNNNNNNNNNNNNNNNNNNNNNNNNNNNNNNNNNNNNNNNNNNNNNNNNNNNNNNNNNNNNNNNNNNNNNNNNNNNNNNNNNNNNNNNNNNNNNNNNNNNNNNNNNNNNNNNNNNNNNNNNNNNNNNNNNNNNNNNNNNNNNNNNNNNNNNNNNNNNNNNNNNNNNNNNNNNNNNNNNNNNNNNNNNNNNNNNNNNNNNNNNNNNNNNNNNNNNNNNNNNNNNNNNNNNNNNNNNNNNNNNNNNNNNNNNNNNNNNNNNNNNNNNNNNNNNNNNNNNNNNNNNNNNNNNNNNNNNNNNNNNNNNNNNNNNNNNNNNNNNNNNNNNNNNNNNNNNNNNNNNNNNNNNNNNNNNNNNNNNNNNNNNNNNNNNNNNNNNNNNNNNNNNNNNNNNNNNNNNNNNNNNNNNNNNNNNNNNNNNNNNNNNNNNNNNNNNNNNNNNNNNNNNNNNNNNNNNNNNNNNNNNNNNNNNNNNNNNNNNNNNNNNNNNNNNNNNNNNNNNNNNNNNNNNNNNNNNNNNNNNNNNNNNNNNNNNNNNNNNNNNNNNNNNNNNNNNNNNNNNNNNNNNNNNNNNNNNNNNNNNNNNNNNNNNNNNNNNNNNNNNNNNNNNNNNNNNNNNNNNNNNNNNNNNNNNNNNNNNNNNNNNNNNNNNNNNNNNNNNNNNNNNNNNNNNNNNNNNNNNNNNNNNNNNNNNNNNNNNNNNNNNNNNNNNNNNNNNNNNNNNNNNNNNNNNNNNNNNNNNNNNNNNNNNNNNNNNNNNNNNNNNNNNNNNNNNNNNNNNNNNNNNNNNNNNNNNNNNNNNNNNNNNNNNNNNNNNNNNNNNNNNNNNNNNNNNNNNNNNNNNNNNNNNNNNNNNNNNNNNNNNNNNNNNNNNNNNNNNNNNNNNNNNNNNNNNNNNNNNNNNNNNNNNNNNNNNNNNNNNNNNNNNNNNNNNNNNNNNNNNNNNNNNNNNNNNNNNNNNNNNNNNNNNNNNNNNNNNNNNNNNNNNNNNNNNNNNNNNNNNNNNNNNNNNNNNNNNNNNNNNNNNNNNNNNNNNNNNNNNNNNNNNNNNNNNNNNNNNNNNNNNNNNNNNNNNNNNNNNNNNNNNNNNNNNNNNNNNNNNNNNNNNNNNNNNNNNNNNNNNNNNNNNNNNNNNNNNNNNNNNNNNNNNNNNNNNNNNNNNNNNNNNNNNNNNNNNNNNNNNNNNNNNNNNNNNNNNNNNNNNNNNNNNNNNNNNNNNNNNNNNNNNNNNNNNNNNNNNNNNNNNNNNNNNNNNNNNNNNNNNNNNNNNNNNNNNNNNNNNNNNNNNNNNNNNNNNNNNNNNNNNNNNNNNNNNNNNNNNNNNNNNNNNNNNNNNNNNNNNNNNNNNNNNNNNNNNNNNNNNNNNNNNNNNNNNNNNNNNNNNNNNNNNNNNNNNNNNNNNNNNNNNNNNNNNNNNNNNNNNNNNNNNNNNNNNNNNNNNNNNNNNNNNNNNNNNNNNNNNNNNNNNNNNNNNNNNNNNNNNNNNNNNNNNNNNNNNNNNNNNNNNNNNNNNNNNNNNNNNNNNNNNNNNNNNNNNNNNNNNNNNNNNNNNNNNNNNNNNNNNNNNNNNNNNNNNNNNNNNNNNNNNNNNNNNNNNNNNNNNNNNNNNNNNNNNNNNNNNNNNNNNNNNNNNNNNNNNNNNNNNNNNNNNNNNNNNNNNNNNNNNNNNNNNNNNNNNNNNNNNNNNNNNNNNNNNNNNNNNNNNNNNNNNNNNNNNNNNNNNNNNNNNNNNNNNNNNNNNNNNNNNNNNNNNNNNNNNNNNNNNNNNNNNNNNNNNNNNNNNNNNNNNNNNNNNNNNNNNNNNNNNNNNNNNNNNNNNNNNNNNNNNNNNNNNNNNNNNNNNNNNNNNNNNNNNNNNNNNNNNNNNNNNNNNNNNNNNNNNNNNNNNNNNNNNNNNNNNNNNNNNNNNNNNNNNNNNNNNNNNNNNNNNNNNNNNNNNNNNNNNNNNNNNNNNNNNNNNNNNNNNNNNNNNNNNNNNNNNNNNNNNNNNNNNNNNNNNNNNNNNNNNNNNNNNNNNNNNNNNNNNNNNNNNNNNNNNNNNNNNNNNNNNNNNNNNNNNNNNNNNNNNNNNNNNNNNNNNNNNNNNNNNNNNNNNNNNNNNNNNNNNNNNNNNNNNNNNNNNNNNNNNNNNNNNNNNNNNNNNNNNNNNNNNNNNNNNNNNNNNNNNNNNNNNNNNNNNNNNNNNNNNNNNNNNNNNNNNNNNNNNNNNNNNNNNNNNNNNNNNNNNNNNNNNNNNNNNNNNNNNNNNNNNNNNNNNNNNNNNNNNNNNNNNNNNNNNNNNNNNNNNNNNNNNNNNNNNNNNNNNNNNNNNNNNNNNNNNNNNNNNNNNNNNNNNNNNNNNNNNNNNNNNNNNNNNNNNNNNNNNNNNNNNNNNNNNCUUAGUGAACCGUCAAAACCAGGCCCUGGGAGAUUGUUUGAGACCAUACAAGGAUUUUUGGAGUCUACAAACCUUGUUGAAAUUUGAUGUUGUCUCAAGUCCAGCAGGAAUCUCCAUGUAAACUUCUUCCUCUAAGUCACCAUUGAGGAAGGCACUCUUCACAUCAAGUUGGUGAAGCGACCAAUCAAGAUUAGCUGCCAAGGAUAAAAGUAUACGAACAGUAUUGAGGUUGGCAACUGGAGCAAAAGUUUCUUGAUAGUCAAUGCCAUAGGAUUGGGUGAAUCCUUUGGCGACCAACCGAGCCUUAUACCUGUCCAUAUUACCAUCUACCUUGUAUUUUACUGUGAAAAUCCACUUACACCCAACUGGUUUCUUACCUCUUGGGAGGUCAGUAAUUUCCCACGUACCAUUCUUUUCUAGCGCCCGAACUUCCUCAUCGACUGCCGCCUUCCACUUAGGAUACUUGAAAGCUUCCUGAAUAUUCCGAGGAACUUGUAUCUCUGUGAUGCUAGAAGUGAAUGCACGAAACGUAGGUGAUAGCUUAUCAUAAGAAAUAAAAUUUCCAAUGGGAUGCUGAGUGCAUGAUCUAACUCCUUUCCUCCAAGCUAUGGGCAUAUUAAGAAUAUCAUUUUCUAACUCGAAAUCAACAGUACCAUCAAGAGCGUUGUUACCUGGAAGUUUGCUUGGAUUAGGACCCGGUUCAGCCUCAUGGGUUUGUUGAGAAAGUGCUCCUUCCUCCGUUUCCUCUUGGAUGUGCUCCUUAUCCCACAAGUCAACAAUGGACUCAGGCUUAUUAAAUGACUCUGGAGGAAUGUGAUUUUCAGUGGUGAUGGGUGACUCACUGAAUGACUCAAGAUCCCAAAAUUGAUAUUCCUGAGUUGAAUUCUCCCCCUGAAUAUCGUUUUUGGGAUAGUAAGGCUGGGUUUCAAAAAAUGUGAUAUCCAUUGAAUUGUAGAAUUUUCUUGUGACUGGAGAGUAACACUUAUACCCUUUUUGAUUUGAAGAAUACCCAAGAAAGAUGCACUUGAGUGACCUAGGAUCAAGUUUACUUCUUUUUUGUUGAUUGAUAUGAACAAAGACAGAGCACCCGAAAAUUUUGGGUGGGACGGUGGAGAUGAGACGAGUAGUCGGAAAGGAUUUUAGGAGUGUUUGACAAGGUGUUUGGAAUUUUAGUACCCUAGACGGCAUCCUAUUGAUGAGGUAGGCUGCCGUAAGGACAGCUUGCCCCCAGAAUAAUUUUGGAACAUUCAUGGAGAACAUUAGUGAUCUAGCCACCUCUAACAAAUGCCUAUUUUUCCUUUCAGCGAUUUCGUUUUGUUGUGGGGUAUCAACACAUGAACUUAAGUGAACUAUCCCUUCUUGUGCUAGAAAUUCUCCUAGAAUGGAGUUGAAAUAAUCCCUAGCAUUAUCAGACUUUAGAAUUUGUAUUUUUGACUGGAAUUGGGUCUGAAUCAUAUUUUUAAAAUUUUUGAAAAUUUGACUCGUUUCAGAUUUUUCUUUCAUGAGGAAUACCCAAGUUAAUCUAGUGUGAUCAUCUAUGAAUGAGACAAACCACCUAGUACCAGUUACAUUUUUUAUUCUUGACGGACCCCAGAUAUCGCUAUGAUCAUGAGAUGGACUAGACUCUUNNNNNNNNNNNNNNNNNNNNNNNNNNNNNNNNNNNNNNNNNNNNNNNNNNNNNNNNNNNNNNNNNNNNNNNNNNNNNNNNNNNNNNNNNNNNNNNNNNNNGGGAAGUGAUGAAGAAGCUUACCAAGAUAAUGAAUCUCAUGAGCUUAACUGGUUUGUAGAGCAAGAUGAUGGAUUUGAAUUUCAACGAUCUGACCGCUUAAACAUUGAUCUAGAAGUUGUUAAUGAUAAUGUUUUGAUUUUAGAGAACAUGAAUGACAAUGAUGAUAACUUCAUAUGUGAUGACAUUGAGGAAGAAGAUGAAACACUAGAUGAUUAUGCUAAUGAGAAUGAAAUGUGGCUUUCAAGUGAUAGUGAAAGUGAAAGUGAUUAAAGAGACUGGUAAGCUACAUUUUAUUUACUUUAUUAUAUGUUAAAUAACAUAAUGUAAUCUAGGUCUAGUUCUUUAAAUUUAUGUUAUGUGUUGUGAUAUUCCUUUUUUAUUAUUAUUUAUUUGUCUUUAUUGUUAUUUUAUUAUAGAUGACUCCUGGACGAAAGCGGUCACCUUCUGAGUUAACUCAACCACCCACAACAACACCCAUGACUCCUUUUUAUGUCGAUGUUCCAAUGCACACAUCCAAUGAGGGCACUAGUAGUUGUAAGAAACUUCUUACAUUUAUAUAUUUUACUUAUUAUAAUUUUGUAAGAUAUUUUUUUUUUAAAUUUUAAAUUAUAAUGAGUUGUAAUUUAAUUUUAGUCUUUUUAUUAACUCUUAUUAAUUGUUAAAGUUUAAUCAAUAAUUUCAUGGUAGCACCUAAUAAAGAAAUUUAAGAGGCAAAACUAGAGGUGUCAUUCUUGACAAACUUAUUGAAGCUAAUGGGGGCAAACCUCUUCCGAUCACAAUCAAGCCAUCUAAUGGGAAGCAAACAGGAAAAUAUUGUGAGAAAUUGUCAAAUGAGAUUGGGUUAAUAGUGAGACAACAUGCACCUGUUAGAGUGGAAAAAUGGAACCAAAUGCCUCGAGCUGAGAUCAAUACAAUGCUUGAUCGAAUCAAGGUAAAGUUGCUUGAAAUAUAUAUAUAUUUUUUAGCUUGUAAUUAUAACUAAUUGUUGGUUAUCUCUAAACUUACUUUAUCUCAUAUUAGUUCUUCCCUUGUUUGACUAUGAAGGAAAAGUUUGCCCUAGAUUUGACACAAGAGCAUGUGAAGAAAAGUUUAGAAAAACAAUUAUCUGACCGCUUUAGAAAUUGGAGAUGUGAUUUGCACAAGCACUUCAAAAAGUUCCCAACUGUGGUGGAGGCUAAGCGAAAUCCUCAUGAAUCUGUGUCAAAUCAGGAAGAUUGGGACUACUUUUGUGAUAGAUUUUCAAGUGAAGAAUUUAAGGUAAAGUUUUCAAUGAAUAAUCAUUCAAACCUAUUUCUUAUUGAAUAUUCUACUAACUAUAUUUAUAUUAUUUUCAAUAAUAACUAUUAUUACAGCGUCGUUCAGCAAUCAAUUCAGUAAAUAGAUCAAAGAUGCCUUUUCAUCAUCGAGGAGGCUCUCGUUCAUUUAUCCAACAUGGUCUACAAGUGGUAAAAUAUAAAACUAAGGUUCUUUAGUUAUUCAUAUAACUUAUAAUUCUUAAUAUUAAUGCAUAAUACUUGACAGCCAACAGAGAAUGGAGAGAUGGUUGGCCAAAUUGAACUAUUCAAACUAGUUCAUUGGAAAAGUCAAGAUGGAUGGAUAAAUCAAGAGGCUAGAUAUUAUUAUGUAAGAUUAUUUUGAUAGCUUUCUAUGUUUAAAUCAUGUUUGGGAUUAUGAAUCUUUGUGGAAGUGUCAUCGUGAUAGUUUAUUUACCAUGUUUUGAUAAAUAAGGCACUUCCUUGGUAGUUUUCAUAAAUCUAUAAAUUUUGAUUUGGUUAUUGAUUGCUUGGGUGUUCAAUGUUGUUAAAUUGAUUAAUAGCAGGGAAAAUUUGGCAAAGUCUAAAAAUUAGGAGAGACUAUGCCAAAAUUUCUAUUGAAAUUUUAUCUUACCAACUUAUUAUUAUAACUUUUCUUACUCAAAAUUACAUUUAAGAUUAUUAGUACUUGUAAAGUAUUAUUAUAUCAACUUGUAUACUAGAUUCUUAUUUCAAUUUUUAUAUUAUUUAGUGUGUGAUUACAAGCUAAUUAGGUUCUUCUUAGGUAGAAUCCUUGAAGUAAACUUUUGUUUGGGCAUUAACUAAUCAUAAAUCUUUAUUGUUAAAUAUUUGAUUAUGUGGUUGGUAAAAAUUUGUGGAAAUAGUAAAGAAUUAAAGAGGGAUUAGUAUAUUAUUAACUUGAAUAUAUAAUAGGUCAAAUUUUGGAAAAAAAACUAAGAAAUAUAAGAGAAUAUGCCAAAAUUUAAAUAGGAUUUUUAACUUGUUAACUUCUUGUUAUAAUUUUCUUUGCUUAAAAUUAAGUUGAGAUUCUAUGUACUUUUCAAUUUUUACCAUUUUAUUAUGUAUAUAAGAAUCUUGUUUAUGUGAUAACAAGUUUAGAUACUUUUUUUAGCCAUUUCUUUGCUUAAAAUGAAGUUUAGGAUUAUAUGUGCUUGUGGGGUGUUACAAUAUUUGUAUAAAAAAUAUCAUAUCCUUAUUUGAAAUCUAAUAUUAAGGGACUAUUCCAAAAUUUAAUUAGGAUUUUUAACUUAUUAACUUCUUGUUGUAAUUUUCUUUACUUAUAAUUAAGUUGAGAUUCUAACUACUUUUCAAUUUUUAUCAUUUUAGUAUGUAUAUAAGAAUCUUGUUUAUGUGAUAACAAGUUUAGAUACUUUUUUAGGCAUUUAUUUGCUUAAAAUGAAUUUUAGGAUUAUAUGUGCUUGUGGGGUGUUAUAAUAUUUGUAUAAAAAUAUCAUAUCCUUAUUUGAAAUCUAAUAUUAAGGGACUAUUCCAAAAUUUAAUUAGGAUUUUUAACUUGUGAACUUCUUGUUAUAAUUUUCUUUACUUAUAAUUAAGUUGAGAUUCUAACUACUUUUCAAUUUUUAUCAUUUUAGUAUGUAUAUAAGAAUCUUGUUUAUGUGAUAACAAGUUUAGAUAUUUUUUUAGGCAUUUCUUUGCUUAAAAUUAAGUUUAGGAUUAUGUGUGCUUGUAGGGUGUUACAAUGUUUGUAUAAAAAUACCAUAUUCUUAUUUGAAAUCUAAUAUUAAGGGACUAUGCCAAAAUUUAAAUAGGAUUUUUAACUUUAUAACUACUUGUUAUAAUUUUCUUUACUUAUAAUUAAGUUGAGAUUCUAACUAAUUUUCAAUUUUUAUCAUUUUAGUAUGUAUAUAGGAAUCUUGUUUAUGUGAUAACAAGUUUAGAUCAUUUUUUAGGUAUUUCUUUGCUUAAAAUUAAGUUUAGGAUUAUGUGUGUUUGUGGGGUGCUACAAUGUUUGUAUAAAAAUACCAUAUUCUUGUUUGAAAUAUAAUAUUAAGGGACUAUGCUGAAAUUUAAAUAGGAUUUUUAACUUACUAUCUUCUUGUUAUAAUUUUCUUUACUUAAAAUUAAGUUAAGAUUCUAACUACUUUUGAAUUUUCACCAUUUUAGUAUGUAUAUAUUAUUCUUGUUUAUGUGAUAACAUGUUUAUAAACACUUUUUUAGGCAUUUCUUAGCUUAAAAUUAAGUUUAGGAUUAUGUGUGCUUAUGGGAUGUUACAAUGUUUGUAUAAAAAUACUAUAUUCUUGUUUGAAAUCUACUAUUAUUUACCAUAUAAUAACAAAUUAAGGCACUUGGAUGUUUUGUUGUGCUAAAAAUCAAUUUGAUUAUUAACUAAUUUGAAAUUCCAAUGCUUAUAUUUAUUAUAUAUAGUAGGUAUAAUUUAAAAAAUAUCUACUAAAUAUGGGAGAUCAUGCCCAAAUUUAAUGGAAAUUUUAAUUUACUAACUUAUUAAUUAUGUUUUGGUUCUUUUUUUUUUGUUUUAUUUUUUAUUUUGCAUAUAUAGGAGAAGAUGUUGGAGCUUUAACGCCAGCCUAUUGCAGAAGGAGCUGUGGCUAUGACUGAGGUAGAAAUUUGUGAGAAAGUUUUGGGACAAAAAUCAGGAUAUGUCAAGGGCCUUGGUUUUGGCCCUAAACCAAUCUCAUUUUCUAAAUCUAAACCAUCAUCUUCUGAGCGUGAAAAUGAGUUGGAGCAUAGACUUAUUGAGACUCAACUACUUGUGGAGACUCAACAACAAUAACUUGAGACUCAACAAGAUCGAAUUGACCAAUUGGAGGCCUUCGUACAAAAACAAAAUCAACAACAUCAUCAACAAUUUGAAGAAAUAUUGCGUCAUCUAUGAUCAAGCCAAGGGUCCUCAUGAUCCCUUUUUUUAUGAUGUGCAUAUGAUGGACGUUCAUUUCUUUUUUUUGCCUAUGCUAAUAUAGUUGUUUUGUGAUAGACAUUUUGUUAAACUAAUACUUUAUUUUGUUUUGUAGUUAUAUUAGCGUAGAUAUUAUACUACUAUGAUCACAUGUUAUGGUUACAUAUAUUAAUUACCAAUGAAGUUAUGUGAUAUAUAUUUUGAUUUUUGUAAGCAGGUUUCAGAAUUAACCUUUCUAUUAUAAUUAAUGUUUUAAAUACCAAAUGCCAUACAUUUGUAAUAUGAAAAAUAAAAAAUGUAAAUACAUUUCCUGACAAAAAAAAAAAAUUGUUACUAAAGAUAUUUCCUGAUGAAAUAUUUUUGUUGCUGAAGAUUGUUGUAUCAUCCACAACUAAUUUAUAAUUCACUGGCAUACGUUUUAGGGACAAAAUCAUUUUGUAAAUAAAAGGAUUUAGCAACGAAAUGAAUUUGUCAGUAUUAAUGAUAAAUAUUUUAGUUCAAAAAAAUCCUUUAGCAAUGAAAUAUCUAUUUCAUCAAGAAAAACUUUUAGUGACAAAAUGGAACUUUCGUUGGGAUUGCAAAGCAUAGGGAGACGAAAUUAAAUUGUUACAAAAAAUAUUUGGCAGCAAAAUAAAUUUGUUAGCACUAAGUAUUGACGACUUUGAGGACAAAAAUUUAUAUUUUUUAGUGGCAAAAAUUCUUAUUUUUGUUAAUGAAAAAUUUCGUUGGGGAAAAUAUUUAGUAACAAAAUUUUUAUUUCAUCAGGGAAAAUAUUGGGCGACGAAAUAGGAUUUUUGUCGGGAAACUUUUAGCGACGGGUCUAAGGCAACGAAUGUGACACGAAACAUUUUUCGUUGGGAAAUAUUUUUGCAGACGAAAUUUCGACUUUUAGUGACAAAAUAUUUUAUCAUUGAAAGUUAAUUUUCUUGUAGUUAAAUGAAAACAAAUUGAAAUACUUUUGUAAAUAAAAUUGUAAUUUUUUUUUGUAAAAGCAAGUAAAAAUCAUUUUUGUUGCCAAAUUGAAAUUUUGCAAUAAAUUAUUUUGAUAUAAUAAGUGAAAAUAAAUUUUUUUGAAAAUUAAAUACAAAUGAAAUUGAAUUAAAUCAUUAAUUAAAAAUAAAUUGAAACUUCUUUUUUGGCAAUAAAAAAAAAUUAAAAUCAUUAAUUUAAAAUCAUUUUUAAUAAAUACUUUGAAAUUUCUUGAAAAUUAUUUUUUUAAUAUUUUUUUUUAGUUCAAUAAAUCAUUUUGCAUAAUUCUCUUAUUAUUUAUUUUGUGUAUUCUUGUAAUUAGAUUUCAUCAUUAUUUUUGUGUAUAUUAAUUUUCACCAUGACUUGUACAUACUCAUUUACAUGAUUAUUUUUCUUGGUAUCCAUAAUUAAUUAAUUAAUCAUCACAAUUUCCUUAAUUCAUUUAGUAGAGGGCAUACGUAUACAAGCUUAGAGGGGUGUUACAGCUCAUUACAAUACCUUCCCGAUAUGUAACGGGGGACUCAAACUCAAUUUUUCACAAACUUGUUUUUACUUCGAGAGUCACAUUUAAGGUUUUUCUUUUUUAUUUUGUUUUUCCCUUAAAAAAAUAAAACAAAAAUCAGUAACGACUUUAAGUCUUUUUUAAAAAAUCAUAUUUUUUACCAAAUAAAUAAAAAACGAGUCUCGUUGUCGAGUGGAGACGCACAUGAAAAACGUAGGUCCACACCGAUAUAUUAUAUUAUUUUUUAAUUUAUUUAUAAUUUAAAACUAAUUUCAUUUUUUAUAAGACCUCAAUUAAAUUUCUAUUAAUUAAAUUUAGAAUAUUUUUACAAAAUCAAUAUAGAAAAAUUAUUUAAAAAAAAAAAAAAAAAAACCAACUUGUAGACUCCUUCUCUUGAGCUCUAUUUUUUUUAUGGUCUGAAACAAGGGGGCAUGGCAUGACCCAAGGGAGAAAUUUUCGAUUUUUUAGUGAAGGAGGGGACACCUCCCAAGAAGGUAGCUGCCUUGGACGUGUGGCAAGGGAGAUUGGCUGCCCAUGAAAGUGGUUGCAAGCCCAUGCUUGCUGUGAGGUGAAUAGGAGAGUGGGUGGUGGCUUGCCAAGGAAGGGAAAAAGAGAGAGAAAAAAGGGGAGUUAGAGCUGAGGGCAAGGGUGGAGCCAGAGAGAAAGGAGAAGCCCGAAUGAGAAGAAGGGAGAGGUACGACAUUUACCAUGACUCUUUGGACUCACUUGAUGUAUAUAAUCUCCUUAUUUUUCUCUUAAUAGUUUCGAGUAGAUUAUUCGAACAUAUGUUUCGUUUUAUGGUUCAUAGUUAUGGUUUGGAUGCUACUAUCUCUUUCAUAUUUUUGGUUUGUUUUGAGAGCAAUGAAGCUCUGUUUUAACCUCCUCCUCAUGGCCAUUACCGUGCUCAUCAUCCACCCCCAAUACCCACAUCGUCACGCACCAAUAUACCAGCUCCAUUUCAUCACCAUCCCACGUUCCAUGCAUGGCUGUCACCCUCACCCAUCCUCCCAAUCACCUUUUCUCUCUCUACCCGCCAUACCCAUCCUUCACCCGCAUGCGCGGAACCUGGUAUAUUUGGCUGCCCACCAUGCCCGCGUUCAGCUCAUCUCCACAGGAACCCCCAAAGCCGCCCGUCUACACGCGUGUGUCCCAUGCAUGCAAGCCGCCCCAUCCCUCAUUUUUUUUUGCUGCAUGCACCGCGUCGACAAGGCGUCUGCUCCUCACCAGCCACCAUCACCCGCUCCAGCCAUGCGGGCAUUUGCACCAGCCACCAUGGCGGCAGCAUCUCUUGGAUGCCAUGGGACUACCACCAUUGCUCCUUGAAGACUUUGAAGACUAAAAUAUGAAGAAUUUGAAGACAAACUAUGGAGGAACACAGACUCAAUUCAUUCUGUGAUUCUUUUUUUUUUUUUUACAAUGAAAGAAAGCAUAAAUAAAUAGCCUACAGAUAUGAGAUAAUUCCGGAAUGGUACACUAUCACUGGACGGAAUUUCCCUUACAUGGAAAGUGUUACAUGGAAAGUGAAUAAACUACCUUGCUAGAAUUACUCCUAAAUCAAUUAUAAUAAAGGUUGUACAUUACACUAAUUCAGGGAAGUAAACAGAGGAUGCUAAAUAUGGGGAGGAACAUGCACAGGCAGGAAGGCGACGUGGGCUUGAUUUCCAACACUCCCCCUCAAGCCGCGUUGUAGAUGUUGAUCAUUCCAAGUUUUUCUGUCAGAUCUUCGAAGUUAACUCGAGCAAGAGCUUUUGUGAGAAUGUCAGCCGUUUGAUAGUUUGUCGGAGUGUAGCUGACUUUGAAAACUCCUUCUUCAAUCUUUUCCUUGAUAAAGUGUCGAUCUAUCUCCACGUGCUUAGUUCGAUCAUGAUGAACCGGAUUCUUAGCGAUACUGAUGGCAGCUUGAUUGUCGCAGUAUAACACCAUGGGAUGCUUCAAUGGAACCCAUAAUUCUUCUAGCAGCCUGUUCAACCAGAUUUCCUCGCAGAUACCUUGUUCCAUAGCACGAAAUUCUGCCUCAGCACUGCUACGGGCUACCACUGACUGUUUCUUGCUUCGCCAUGUAACCAAGUUCCCCUAGACAAAUGAACAAUAGCCUGAAGUUGAUCUCCGAUCAGUCACUGAACCUGCCCAAUCUGCAUUUGAAAAAAUCUCAAUCUCUUUCUUUGUUGUUCUUUGAAAGAAAAGACCCUUUCCCGGUGUCAUCUUGAGGCACCUCAAUAUUCUGAUCACAGUAGUCAUGUGUUUUUCGGUUGGAUUAUUCAUGAAUUGACUUACCACACUAACGGAGAAGCCGAUGUCUGGCCUUGUAUGAGAAAGAUAGAUGAGUUUCCCCACAAGACGUUGAUAUCUUCCUUUAUCAACUGGCGCACUUCCAUCACUUUCUUCCAGUUUGACAGUUGUAUCCAUAGGUGUUUCUGCUGGCUUGCAUCCUAGCAUUCCUGUUUCAUUCAAUAAGUCCAGAACGUAUUUGCGUUGUGAGACUGCUAUACCUUUCUUUGACCUAGCAAUCUCCAUUCCGAGAAAGUACUUGAGGUUUCCAAGAUCCUUGAUCUCAAAUUCCUUUGUCAGUAAUUUUUUAAGUAAGUCAAUUUUCUCUUCAUGAUCACCUGUCACNNNNNNNNNNNNNNNNNNNNNNNNNNNNNNNNNNNNNNNNNNNNNNNNNNNNNNNNNNNNNNNNNNNNNNNNNNNNNNNNNNNNNNNNNNNNNNNNNNNNGAUAGUGCCACAACAUAAUUGCACUAUUGUUAUUUUGACAUGAAACCGAAAAAGAAUUACUACCAACUGCCAUUUGAGGUUGUUCUUGUGGAUCGUGGCGCUCCUUAAGGAUGUAGAGUCCAGAGCAUUCCUCAGCAUUGCCAAUCGUCUUCCCCGAAUCCAAAUCCUGAAAUUCACAGUGAGUGGAGGAAAAAUUAGUAAUACACCUCUUUUCCUUAGUGAGUUUACUAAUUGACAAUAGAUUACAGUCCAAGUUAGGAACAAGGAGAACAGAGUUGAGAGUAAGAUCCCUUGAUAGCACAACUGAACCUGUUCCGGCAACCUUUGAUAGUGAACCAUCUACUAUUCGGACUGUUAAAUUAUUUGGACAUGAGCUAUAUGUAUCAAAAAUUGUCGCAUCUCCCGUCAUAUGAUCAGAUGCUCUUGAAUCCACGAUCCAAGGUUUUUUACGUUUCUUACCAGCAGUGAAGGCACUCAAAAAAUUACCUUUGUGAGCCAAGGUUCCGGAACCAAUGACCUGGUUGGAAGAUGAGCCAGUUUGUGACUGUACUGACAAAAGAGGAGACAGUAGUUUCUGAAGCAUCUCCAUUUGCUCCUUAUUAAAAGGGCUAGCUUCAGGUUGUGGCGAUUGUUCAUCGGUAGCCACAUGAUUGCCUCGUCCUUCUUUCUCAGGUGGUUGACGUGGCUUCCAAUCUACUGGCUUUCCAUGAAUCUUCCAACAAGUUUCUCUUGAGUGUCCCGGCUUUCUGCAAUGAUCACACCAAGGUCUACCUCCUUUAAUUUUUUGACGGUUGUCAAAAGGAGCGAAUUGAGUCUUAAGAGCCGAGCUUUCUGCCAUAUUCAAUUGUUGAUGGGAUCCCAUCAUGAGAUUUUUCCGACUUUCUUAGCAACGGACUUCAGAGAAUGCCUCUCUGAGGCUAGGUAGAGGUUUUACUCCCAUGAUUCUUCCUCUAAUUUCAUCAAGAUUUUUGUUCAAGCCUAACAAAAAUUUAAACACACGUUUCCCUUCGACAAUCUUUUUAUACAACAAACCAUCUGUAACACAAUUCCAGUUAUGAACCUCAAACGUAUCAAGUUGACGCUGAUUCGUCCCUAGCAGUGGAAGUGGCAAUGACACCAUUUGAUUCGAGGUUCGAUCCCCGGCAACGGCGCCAUUUGAUUCGUCCCUAGCAGCGGAAGUGGCAAUGGCACCAUCUGAUUCGGGGUUCGAUCCCCGGCAACGGCGCCAUUUGAUUCGUGCCUAAUUGGUGUCUCAGCUGAUUCGUGUCCAGCUGGUGCUCCUUGAUUGAGGGAUUAAUCAACAAAAUUUAUAACCUAUUACACCAUAUACUAGGGUAGCAAAGACAAAGCUACUAUAGCAUAGUGGCUCUAGGAUCGUUCACUAGGAUGGGUUUUCACUUCACAAAUGAUGUUAAUUCAAAGUUGAAUUGGUGCCUUUUCAUUUCAAGGUUAGCUUUAAAAGAAAACAUAAAGAUGCUUGAAUGAAAAAAAUUUGGUUUUAAACUAACCAAAAAUAGUAACUGAUUUUACUUAUAAAGAAAAGUGUUUCUUGGAGUUCAGAUCACUAGGCUCGUUCCUCAUACAAAAUGGAGAGUUCCGGUCACUUGUUUAUUUUCCUCGCAUUAGAGAAUUAACAUAUAGUUCCUUCUCCAACCGGUGUUGUACAGAUGCUUCCCAUUAAUGGGUUCAAACACUAAAUCUCUCUCACUGAUGCAUCUUGCAAUGGUUCAUGCCUCUCACGAGCACUUACCAUUCAAGAUGAUCUUUAACCUUGGAUUUCCCUUCUCAAACUCGCAAGAGAUAACUAAUGGAUGUCUCCUUGGAGUCCAAAAGCUUACCAAGUGUUGGCUAUUCUAGAAAAUCCUACCUACAAGUCACCUCCCAAAGGCUCGCAAGGGGUAAACUAGUGCAUUUCCAUGGUUGGAAAUCACUUGCCUUACCAAGUGUUAGCCCAGGUGACUCUAAGGUGUUUUAAGUUAACUAAAAACAUAGAAAUCACUAACGGGUUACACUUUCUCUUCAUUAAAAACUAAAACAACAAAACUUCCAAAUUAUGCAUGUGGAAACUUACCCGGCUUUCCUCACUCCAAGAGACAAAAAGCUUAGCCUCUCAUCCUCUGUGGAAAAAUCCUCAGAGUUUGGUUGGCUAGAAAAUGAAAAUGAAAGAGAAGACAAGAAUAUAUAUCAAAAACAGAGCAAGUGCUCUGUUCGUUGAUUCUAUAUAUUGGAUUACAUGAUAUAUCUGAUUACAUGCCCCUCUUACAGUGGAUGCAAGAGAGUUUAUAUAGGAAUGUUUUUCCAACCUUCCCAACUAAGAAAUCUUAUGGUUGGUGGAUUACAAGGAGAGGAAUGGAAAUUUAUACAAAAAUAUCUUAAGAAAAGAUCUAAAAGAGUCGGUGGCAAAUAUCGGGAAGCAUUAAGGACCAUUUCGCAGGUGAAAAUGGUGUCUGCGAGAUUUCGCAGACACUCAAGAGGGCUGCGAAAUAUUUUCGCAUCAACAAGCUGAACUCGCAGGACUGCGAAAUUGGCUUCCACCUUGAGGUUCUCAGAGUUCCAGCUUGUGGCAUGUAUCGGGUAGCUUCAGGAGGAAUUCCAUAGCACUGUACAAAAAGGCUGCGAAAUUCUCGCAACAAAAGGCUGAAUUCGCAACACUUUGGAGUGAUCUGCUUGCAAUGGCUGUAACUCCUUCGUUUCAACUCCAAAUCGUGCACCGUUUGAAGCAUUGGAUUCUUGACUUCCUGAGCUUUGAAAUGGUAUAUAGAAUAUAUAAAAUGGACUUCGUGAAGUGUUCCAAAAGUGCGCAAGAAGACUGCAGUUGGCUUUCCUCUGUUUUCUUCACUCUGUUUUCCUCUUCUCCUUGCUUCUCUCCUUGCAUACUUUGAACGACUUUGGCAAAGGGCUAUGGAGCUCCAAAGCUUGGUUCUUCAUGAAUUUGAGCUCUUCAUUGCUUUGCCAUGGAUUCCAAAUAACUCUCCUCAAUCUUGGAUUGUUUUGGUGAUCAAAUUACUAACAAAAACACCAAAACUUACACAAUUUGAUUAGAAAUGAUUGCAAGGGUCCUUAACAUGUUAAUUGAGUUAAAAGGCAAUAACUACUACUCAAAAGUGUUUAAAAGGAUUAAUUACAAGCUACAAAAUAGCACUUUUUGAGUAGUAAUCACUCCCCCCAACCGACAUAUUGCUAGUCCCUUAGCAAUGAAGGUGAUAAAAACUAAGUAAACUAUAAUAAUAUACAUAAAAUGGAUCAUGCAAAUCACUCCAAAAAAUGAUAUGAGUGGCAUGAUGGACAUCCAUGGAUCAAUAAAGAUGUGAAACUCAACCUAUAAUAAGAGUUGUCAAAGCAUUCACUUGAUCAUAGAGUACAAAGAAUGGAUAUUAUGCAGGUUUAAGCAUCAAAAGAAUUUCCACUCUCAAAAGAUCCAAAUCAAAUUCUUCCACUAAAAGCUAAGUGUUAAUGUGAUUAGCUUCCGAGUAUAGUAUGGAUAACUAUCAUCUCCCCCCAACCUAAGUCUUUCUUUAAGCUUAGCAAAAUUAACCAUCUCUUGAUAGGCUAGGAACGCACCUCUUAUUCACAAUUCUUUUCACUUACUAAACUUAACCAAUUCACCCAUGUAACAAGCAGAGGAUCGGUGACUCCCAACCAAUAAAGGCUUAGGGCACCAGGCUUUAAAGGCUUUCGCCACCCCUUCGGACCAUGCUCAGGUUUCAAGGCAAGUAAAGAAGUUUAUUCUUUUUUUUUUUUUUCUUUUUCUUUUUUCUUUUUUCUUUUUCUUUUUCUUUUUCUACAAAGACUCAUUGGUCUUUAUGAGGUGUCCCAACACUAUUAAAGAGAGGUUAAGGGUGUCAAAUUAUGAUUUCUCAAGCUUAGAGGGUGAGAUAGUUUCACAUCUUAUAACCGGAAUCUAAUGUAUGUGUGUGCGAAUAGCUUAAGGUGGAAGAGAUAAGUUUGCAUGCAAUGGGAGUUUCAACAAUUCAUCAACUUUUAGAAGAGCAUAAUACAAACUCUAAGACUCAUGUAAUCAAGUUGAAACUCGACUUCUCUCAUUUAAUUUUGAGAGUUAAUCCUUAAUAUCCAUGGAGUUUAAAGCAAAAAUUUUAAAAAUUAAGCAAAAAACAACUAAAUUACCAAAAUAACUUAGCAUUAUUAACAAUACUUACUUCCUCAACUCUCCCCCCAACCAAGCUGAACAUUGUCCUCAAUGUGACAAAAGCGAUUAAAAAAUAGGGAGGAAGUGGUACCUCCUUAGUGACAUGGAGUCUGAGUCGUAUAGGAGAAACCACAUGUUUCAAAGAAAACAUAAAAGAGUUAGUGAGUAGAGGAAAUAAAAAAAUGCCAAGUUUAAACAAAAAAUGAUGUCUAUGUAUGAUGCAUCAUCAGUAAUACAUCCAAUCCCAGAAUAUAAGACAUCAAAACAUGGAAUUAUCUAUACUAAUAUAAUAUGUAAAGACAAAAAGUAAAGAGAUGAUCAUGUAAUGGUAAGGUCCUGUGGAGCUGAUGUGUCUGUGGUGGCCUCUUGAAUGGGUUGGAUCAGGAUUUUGGCCUCUGUUCUGGUAGUCUCCUUAAGUGGCAUGGUCUCCUCAGCUGGAGCUCUCAGUUAGAGCUAUGAGCUUUGAUGGUUUAAGGAGGUCAGAAAUGGAGUGAGAGGCUUGGUGUGUGUGAUCUCAAGGUGUGCGGGGCUCUCCUCUUCAGAUGCAUGGUUGCAGAGCUCUAUUGGCAUUUUAGCAACUUCCCUUGGCUUUGCAAAGUGUUUUUGCAAAUCACCCUCCAUUUUGCAAGUCAAUUUCGCAAUUUGAAGGCCCUUUCUAAGCUUGGAGGUGAUUUCAUAGCCAUUUCGAAGCUUGGAGAUCAUUUCGCAGAAAAGUGGCAUGUUCACAGACCAUUUUUUAAGCUUGGAGCAUUUUCGCAGCUCAUAGGUGAUUUCGCAGCCAUAUCGAAGCUUGGAGAUCAUUUCAUAGCCAUUUCAAAGCUCAAAAGUGAUUUCGCAGGUGUAUCGCAGCUUCAAAAUGAGGGGAAUUGUGCUGCAAAUGGCACUCGUGUGCCAAAAAGUGGUUUCGCAGCUGCGAAACACCCUUCCAAAUGGCGUCUCGGCUGCGAAAUUCCCGUUUAGCUUUGCGCGCUUGUCUUCAAACGGCCAUAACUUCUUCAUUUCAAAUCCAAAUCGAGUACCGUUUGAAGCUAUGGACUCCUGACUUCUCAAGAUUUGAAACGAGAUAUCAUGUGCAUAAUUUGAGCUCCAGAAAGUGCUUCAAAAAUGUGUCCAACAGUAGCGAAAUUGAGGUGCGACAUUUCCGUUCAUAGUUUGCACAGUCAUCUUCAAAUGGCCAUAACUUUUCUGUUUCAAAUCCAAAUCAAGUACCGUUUGAAGCUGUGGACUCUUGACUUCCCAAGCUUUCAAAUGAGAUAUUGUAUGAAUAAUUUGAACUUCGGGAAGUGAUCGAAAUGUGUCCAACAAUUGCCAAAAUGGGGGUGCGGCUGUGAAAUUGGGAUUUUUCAUGUUUUGGAACUUCGCAGCCGUUUCGUAGCUGCGAAAUGAGGGUUACUGUGCUGCGAAAUGGCACUCGUGUACCAAAACCGGCUUCGCAAUUGCGAAAUACCCUGCGGAAUGGAGCUUUGGCUGCGAAAUUGAGAAUUUUCACGCUUUGGAGCUUCGCAGCCGUUUCGCAGCUGCGAAAUGAGGGUCACUGUGCUGCGGAAUGGCACUCGUGUGCCAAAAGUGCUUUCGCAGCCGCGAAAUCCUUUGCGAAAUGGGACUUUUGUUGCGAAAUCAGCCUUUUUCACUUCGCAAUGCGUUUCGCAGCUGCGAAACAUAUGCUCCUGUGCUGCGAAGUGGCACUCGUGUGCCAAAAUGGGUUUCGCAGCUGCGAAAAUUUUCGCAGAGACUUCUACAGUGUUGCGGAAUGGUUUGGCAACAAAAUGCCGAUUUCGCAGAGGCUGCGAAAUCUCGCAGACCCUUGUUUUUCCCCUGUUUUCGCUCCGUUUGACUCCGAUUUUGCUCUGAUUUUUUUUCUUCAAUUUCUUUGCAAUUCCUCUUGAUUUUGAUCAUUCAAAAACCUAUAUUACAUCAAAACAAAUUAGAAUUAAAGCAUUGAAAUCAAAAUUAAAGCAUUGAAAUCCAAAUUAAAACAUUGAAAUCAAAAUUAAAACAAGAAAUUAACAAAACAAAAAGAUAUGGACUAGCUAGUCUUUAAAAAGACUAAGUCCAUCAAAAAAUUUGCUCAUGAUUUAGCUUGCCCGGAUCCCAUAUGAAGCUUACAUCCCUCACUUGAGACUUGGUUUGUAUGAUUUUGCCAUACAAAGCUUGGAGAAAAGGUGGAGGCAUGCGUUUCAUCAUUUCUUCCUUGAUGACUAUCCUCUGUGGUUCUCUUUGUACAUUAAUAUCAUAGCCAUCAUUCUCUAUGCUUUCCCCCUUUUUCUUUCCUUUGAUUUCCUCCCUAUUUUCUUUCUCUGUUUCACUCUCUUCCUUAUGCUCUAGCUUGCAUGUGGGCAGAUCAACCUCUUUACCACUCCUCAGAGUGAUCACUUCUUCAAUUUCCUUCACCAUUGAAGAUUCUCCCUCUUGAGCCUCCACUUCAUGGAUGCCCUUGGAAUUUUGACAAGGUUGAGAAGGAGAGUUUUCUUUCUCUUGCACUAUGUUGAGGUUGGCAAGCCUUGAGAUUGAAUCUUGGAGAAUAUCUAACUUUUGAGAUAGAUCAUUUUGCAUUUCAUCCAUCCUUUUAUUCAAAGUACUCUCCACUCUAUCAAUUCUUUGAUCGACUCGAGCAUUGGUGGCUUCUUGCUUUUCAAUAAAAUCUCCCAUGACCUUGCAAAGAUUCACCAUAGCUUGUUCAAGGUUUGAGGCUUGCUGUGGUGCUUGAGCAGGUUGCUGAUACUGAGGUGGCUGUGGUUUCCAAGAGAAAUUUGGAUGGUCCCUCCAAUUGGAAUUGUAGGUGUUGCAAUCACCAAACAUUUCCCUCUCGGCUGGAAUGGUAGGACACUCAUCCACCAAGUGCUCAUAUGAUAGACAAAUGGCACAAGGCAUAGCUUGCAAUGAUGACUGAGAGAUGGCUUGCACUUGUUGCAUAUUCGUCAUUUCUAGCUUUUCCAAUCUCCUUUCCAUAGCUGCAAUCUCUGCCUUCAUGUUCAUACCAUCAUUCAAAAUAUACAUCUCACCCUUAGCUUUAGGUUGAGAUGUCAUUCUUCCCAUAUCUCUAGCAUUUGGUUCAUUCCAUCCUCUUGAGACUUCAGCCACAUAACUCAUGAAGUUCAUGGCUUCCUCUGCUAUGGUAUUCAAUAUGGCAUGCACAACUAGCAAUUUAUGAAUUAAAAACAGAGAACACAAAAGAAAAUAAAAGAAAAACAAUUCAAAGAAAGAAAAUUAAGGUAAACUAAAAACUAAAUAAAAGGUAUACUAAAAUAUGAACAAUAAAGAAAUAAAAAGAGUUAGUAAAAGGAAAAGAAAAGUCACCAAACUUGUGAUGAAGAUCACAAGUACUCUAGAAAGGUGAUAUCACUGUAAAGUGGCACCAUCCCCGGCAACGGCGCCAUUUGAUUCGUCCCUAGCAGUGGAAGUGGCAAUGGCACCAUUUGAUUCGAGGUUCGAUCCCCGGCAACGGCGCCAUUUGAUUCGUCCCUAGCAGCGGAAGUGGCAAUGGCACCAUCUGAUUCAGGGUUCGAUCCCCGGCAACGGCGCCAUUUGAUUCGUGCCUAAUUGGUGUCUCAGCUGAUUCGUGUCCAGCUGGUGCUCCUUGAUUGAGGGAUUAAUCAACAAAAUUUAUAACCUAUUACACCAUAUACUAGGGUAGCAAAGACAAAGCUACUAUAGCAUAGUGGCUCUAGGAUCGUUCACUAGGAUGGGUUUUCACUUCACAAAUGAUGUUAAUUCAAAGUUGAAUUGGUGCCUUUUCAUUUCAAGGUUAGCUUUAAAAGAAAACAUAAAGAUGCUUGAAUGAAAAAAAUUUGGUUUUAAACUAACCAAAAAUAGUAACUGAUUUUACUUAUAAAGAAAAGUGUUUCUUGGAGUUCAGAUCACUAGGCUCGUUCCUCAUACAAAAUGGAGAGUUCCGGUCACUUGUUUAUUUUCCUCGCAUUAGAGAAUUAACAUAUAGUUCCUUCUCCAACCGGUGUUGUACAGAUGCUUCCCAUUAAUGGGUUCAAACACUAAAUCUCUCUCACUGAUGCAUCUUGCAAUGGUUCAUGCCUCUCACGAGCACUUACCAUUCAAGAUGAUCUUUAACCUUGGAUUUCCCUUCUCAAACUCGCAAGAGAUAACUAAUGGAUGUCUCCUUGGAGUCCAAAAGCUUACCAAGUGUUGGCUAUUCUAGAAAAUCCUACCUACAAGUCACCUCCCAAAGGCUCGCAAGGGGUAAACUAGUGCAUUUCCAUGGUUGGAAAUCACUUGCCUUACCAAGUGUUAGCCCAGGUGACUCUAAGGUGUUUUAAGUUAACUAAAAACAUAGAAAUCACUAACGGGUUACACUUUCUCUUCAUUAAAAACUAAAACAACAAAACUUCCAAAUUAUGCAUGUGGAAACUUACCCGGCUUUCCUCACUCCAAGAGACAAAAAGCUUAGCCUCUCAUCCUCUGUGGAAAAAUCCUCAGAGUUUGGUUGGCUAGAAAAUGAAAAUGAAAGAGAAGACAAGAAUAUAUAUCAAAAACAGAGCAAGUGCUCUGUUCGUUGAUUCUAUAUAUUGGAUUACAUUAUAUAUCUGAUUACAUGCCCCUCUUACAGUGGAUGCAAGAGAGUUUAUAUAGGAAUGUUUUUCCAACCUUCCCAACUAAGAAAUCUUAUGGUUGGUGGAUUACAAGGAGAGGAAUGGAAAUUUAUACAAAAAUAUCUUAAGAAAAGAUCUAAAAGAGUCGGUGGCAAAUAUCGGGAAGCAUUAAGGACCAUUUCGCAGGUGAAAAUGGUGUCUGCGAGAUUUCGCAGACACUCAAGAGGGCUGCGAAAUAUUUUCGCAUCAACAAGCUGAACUCGCAGGGCUGCGAAAUUGGCUUCCACCUUGAGGUUCUCAGAGUUCCAGCUUGUGGCAUGUAUCGGGUAGCUUCAGGAGGAAUUCCAUAGCACUGUACAAAAAGGCUACGAAAUUCUCGCAACAAAAGGCUGAUUUCGCAACACUUUGGAGUGAUCUGCUUGCAAUGGCUGUAACUCCUUCGUUUCAACUCCAAAUCGUGCACCGUUUGAAGCAUUGGAUUCUUGACUUCCUGAGCUUUGAAAUGUUAUAUAGAAUAUAGAAAAUGGACUUCGGUAAGUGUUCCAAAAGUGCGCAAGAAGACUGUAGCUGGCUUUCCUCUGUUUUCUUCACUCUGUUUUCCUCUUCUCCUUGCUUCUCUCCUUGCAUACUUUGAACGACUUUGGCAAAGGGCUAUGGAGCUCCAAAGCUUGGUUAUUCAUGAAUUUGAGCUCUUCAUUGCUUUGCCAUGGAUUCCAAAUAACUCUCCUCAAUCUUGGAUUGUUUUGGUAAUCAAAUUACUAACAAAAACACCAAAACUUACACAAUUUGAUUAGAAAUGAUUGCAAGGGUCCUUAACAUGUUAAUUGAGUUAAAAGGCAAUAACUACUACUCAAAAGUGUUUAAAAGGAUUAAUUACAAGCUACAAAAUAGCACUUUUUGAGUAGUAAUCAGACGCCAUAGACGAGUAAGAGUAUUGAAAUAUUCAGUUAACGUAAGGUUUCCUUGACGCAAAUCGUGGAGGAUGCCUUCAAUCUGGAUGAUUUCAGAUGUGUUUUCCUUGUCUGAGAAAGUUUCUUUUGCAGUGUCCCAGAUUUCUUUGGCAGUAUCAAAUGAUAGAAAAUUUUCACCAAUAUCAGUGGUCAUAGAGUUGACUAGCCAGGACAUGACCAUAUUAUUUUCUGCUAUCCACUUUUUGUAGGUUGAUGCUGUGGUUUUUGGUGCCACCGAAGCUCCGGUGAUGUAGUCAUCUUUCUCCUUUCCCUGUAUAAACAUUAAUAUGGACUGAGACCAUUGCAAAUAAUUUUGCUCAUUCAGUUUAUGGGCUGUGAUUGGAAGAUGAGAGGUUUCCAUCUGAUGAGAGGAUGAAGACGAUGAGAUGAUGAUAUCAGAAGUAGAGGAUGAUGAGUUGGUAGCCAUUCCAAAGGCUGGACCGUAUUUAGGCAUAAACUAGAAGAAUAGAAUUGAGUAGGAAAAAAAAAUACUGACUAAAGAUGAAGACGAUGAGACAGGAUUAAACCUGCUCUGAUACCAUGAAGAAUUUGAAGACAAACUAUGGAGGAACACAGACUCAAUUCAUUCUGUGAUUCUUUUUUUUUUUUUUUACAAUGAAAGAAAGCAUAAAUAAAUAGCCUACAGAUAUGAGAUAAUUCCGAAAUGGUACACUAUCACCGGACGGAAUUUCCCUUACAUGGAAAGUGUUACAUGGAAAGUGAAUAAACUACCUUGCUAGAAUUACUCCUAAAUCAAUUAUAAUAAAGGAUGUACAUUACACUAAUUCAGGGAAGUAAACAGAGGAUGCUAAAUAUGGGGAGGAGCAUGCACAGGCAGGAAGGCGACGUGGGCUUGAUUUCCAACACUCCUCUCUCCAUGGUGUCGCCGGUGGUGGGAGCUUCCUCUAAGGAUGAUAUCCAGGCGGAGAGGCAAGCUAUGAAGGAGAUGAAGUCUUGGGCUUGAGAAGAAGCCCAACCCAAGCAUGUUGAUGGAGCCAUGCCAUCUCAAAUAAGUGGGAUGUGAGGGGAAAUGAUGCCUUGGGCUUGCCCAUGGUGGGAAUGGAUUUGGGCUUAAGUUGAGGCACCAGGCCCAAGCUAUGAUGAUGAUGGUGCCUUGGGAAGAGAAUGUGUGAAGAAGAACCCAGCAUUUUGGACAAAUCCCUCAUCAUUAUCAAAAUCUGAGCCAAUCGCCAUGAAUCAAUGGAAAAAAAAUGCUUUAAAUCAACAGCAAAGACAUACCUUCUUGUCUACGUAGUCCGCCCAGAACCUGGCCUGAGCUCUCUGGUAUGGGUCACUAGGCAAAAGCGGAGAUUUAUCGUGCCAAACCUCAUCAAUAUACUGAACUAUUAUCAGAGACUCACAAAUGGGCUUUCCAUUGUGGAUCAGAACCGGGAUUUUCUUAUGAACUGGAUUCAUCUCAAGAAGCAGAGGGCUCUUAUUCCUAAGGUCCUCCUCUUUAUAUUCAUACUUGAGGCCCUUCUCUGCCAGGGCAAGUCUGACCCUAAUACCAAACAUGCUAGGCCAAAAAUCCAACAAGAUAAUCUCGUCUGUCAUUGCUCCUACUGUGAUCAAGUAUUGAUGAACAACCCAAGGGAUAUUGUCAAGUAUUUAUAGCAAAUCUCAGAGAGUGAGUCAAAACCUUGGACAUUUCUAGGAGGUGGUGAUGGCGUGAUGCUCAUUCCUUAUCUCAGCAUACACUUUCCUUCCAUAUUAUAUCCUUAUCUCGGUUUUCUUUCUCUCUCCAGAAUUCCAAAAUUUUAAGUUUUUCUAUAUUUUUUUAUCAGUCUAGAAUUUUUUUUUAUCAAAUCUCAGUUUAAUGUAUUCACUUUUUUUAUUAAAAAAAAUUAAAAAUGUCAGUUGAGAUAUUCUUAUAUUUUUAUCAUUUGUACAAAAAUAAUUUAAUUUUAAAAUUAAUAUCAUAUUUAAAUCCAAAAAUAUUAUCAGAUAGAAAGCAAUUUAGCGUUUUUUUAUAUAUAUAAUAUCUGCAUUCAAAAAAAAAAAAUCAGCACAUUUAUUUAUUUUUAAAAACUUAUUAAAUUUUAAUUUUACUAGUAAAUAAUAGAAAUUAAAAUAAUGAACUUGUGCCAUAAGUUUGUGAGAGAAGUAAACUUUGGUUAUGGAGCAUCCAAUGCUCUGGUUGCUUCCACGAGAGGUCAUUGCUGUCGUCAGCCCUGGUCAACUAAGUACACUUGUCCACUCCAUGAAAUAUAUUUAUGUUAUUUUUUAUUUUAAAUUUUUGGUAGGAGAACUCUUCGCUAUGAGAAAAAAACACACUCUCAAAUGUGGGAGAUUGUCAUAAAAAAAAAAUUAAUAAUAAAUAAUAAUAAAUACGGGGUGAUCUCACCACUUACAUAUCUCCUCCGUCAUAAAACCAGAAUCAUUGAAUAUGGUUCUAGUUUACUAUGGUUCUAGCUUUAUGGCUUGAUUAAAAUUUACAAUUUUUUGUUUGUAUUAAAAUAAAAUAGAUAUAUAUUUUUUCAUAAAAAAAUCAUAUUAAAUAUUUUAUUUUAAUUUUAAAAUAUUUUUAUAGUUCUUUGCUCUUAAUAGAUAAAGACAAAAGAUUUAUACUCUAUUUAGUAAUUAUUUUUUGAAAUAAUUUUCUGUUUUUGAAAACCAAAAAAGAAAAAAAAAAAACAAGAAAACAAGAAAACAAAUUUGACAAUUUUAAAAAAAAAAAAUUGAUCUUAAAAGCAAAAAUAUGGUAUUUUUGAAAACAUAUUUUAUUGGUUUUCACUUGAUUUUUUUAUGGUUAUUUAAAAAGUAAACAUGCAACAUAAAGAGUGAUUAAAAAUAAAACAUUACACAUAAAAUUUAUUAUUAAAAUAUAUUUAAAAAUAUAGAAAACAACUUAAAAAUAUUUCUAUUCCAAAACAAAUUUUUUGUCUAUAAAAUAUCAAAAAAGAAAUUUCAAAAACUAUUUUUAAAAAUUUAUUUUUCAGAAUUGUUUUAAAAAUAAGUACACCAUAUAUAUAUAUAUAUAUAUAUAUAUAUAUUAUGUAUGUGACUCAUUUGCUCUAAUUGGACAUGAUCUUCCAUUUUUGUAGGCCUAGGCUGACAUAAAGGGCUUUCACUUUUUUUAUGGGCUUGAGGCUUUCACAUAUCCCAUUCUACAUCCUAGAACCCUACGUACAUCAAUUGAAAAAAUAGAUACGUCGUAUUAAAAAAUAAGCACAUCUUAAAAAAUAAGUACAUCUAUACUUGACUCAUUUGUCCUAUUUUGGACAUGAGCUUUCAUUUUUAUAACUGACUCAUUUGGCCAAUUUUUUGAGGUCUUUGCAUAUCCCAUUUUGCAUAGAAGAACUUUGGGUAUAUCCUUCAGAAAAAAUAAAUACAUCAUAUUGUAAAAAUAAGUACAUUCCCUUAAAAAAUAAUUGGUACAUAUUAUUUUCAUUGUAUAGGUGACUUGUUUGGCUUAUUCUUGUUUGGCAUGUCUUAUCCAACUUGUUUUAAUACUUGUUUAUGUGACAUGAAACGAUGGAAUGGACUAGAAUCUCCCCUGUGACAUUUAGUCAACUUCAAAUAUCUUAGUAACUCUAGUUAGAAUUGUUGAUUAGGUCAUCUAUUUGAACUUUUAUGCACCCUAAUAUCUUGUGAAACACCCUCUAGGCUCUAUUAUAUGGUAGAUAGCUUUAGAAAAUGUCCCUUUUCUUUUUCAUAUGUAAAUUUUUGUCCUCAUCUGGAACCUCCUACAAACCCUUUCCAAUCCUUUACCACUUGGGCAAGCCUCAAGUGGUACCAUUAAAGUGAUAAGCUUUAGAAGAUGUUCUUAUCACUCUUUACUUCAAUUUUUCCUAGGUUUUUGCCAUAUCUAAGGAUGAAGCAACCAAAAUCCCUAAAACUUUUAAAAUUAGCUAGGCUUCUUUUAUUGUAAAGAGUUUGAGUAGCAUCAAUUUUAUAGUAAAUCUAUUAAUUAUGUAAUAAGUUGUAUUAACUUCCUCUACUCAAAACUGUUAAACUAAGCCAUUUCCAUUAAGCAUCUGGAUGCCAUAUGUUGAAGAGUUAUACUUUCUCUUUGUAAAUCUAUUUUGUUAUUAGUUUCUUGUAGGUUUUUAAAGGCAUAUGUACAUUAGAAGUUACUCAUUCAUUCAAUCCGUCCAUCUCCAAAGAACAUGAUGCUUCCUUCAUAUUCAAGAAGGCUUGUAAAUUUUGUUUCAUCACUGUGUUAAGCAACUAUGAUAAAUAAAUAAAUAAAAAACAGUAUGAGUUUUCUUCUAUUACCCAAAUUCUAUGAAAUUAUUUAGAAGCUCUUUUUGGGGUAAUUCAAUUUUCUGCUUUGUUCAAGGGGCUUUUUAUUUUCUUUCAUUUUAUUUUGAAAAUCAUUAGGUUUUCUUUUCUUGAUUCCCUUUUCCACUGUCCUGUUAAUCUGCAUUGAUAUUAUUUAUCUUAAUUAAAUUAGCAUCACAAAAAAUACUUUUAUUUACGUACGAUCUUUAUUAGAGAAUAUGAUAUAUAUUAUGAGUCCAAAUCUUAAUGAUACAAGCUUUUAGAAAAAUUGGUUUUGUCAAUAAGAUAUUAAAAUGUCAUUUAGUGAAAGAUCAUGAGUUUGAAUAUGUUUAUUUCUCUAAUUAAGCUUUUAAUUUUUUUUUUAAUAUAUAGGUUUAUGAGUUUGUUUUAAUACUUGUUUAUGUGACAUGAAACGAUGGAAUGGUAGUUAAAAACUCUUUUAUUUCUUUAAUACAAGAACACAGCUCAGCAAACCCACCAACCCUCAGAAAGGGAUUUCAACCGGAAAGAUUAACGAUACAAUUUCAAAGAAAAAACUUAAGCAAACAGCCAAACACUCAUAUAUAUUAUCUAAUAUUAACUAAACAACACUACUCAAUAGCCCAUGAUGUUUCCCUUUUACUCUAUACCAAGCUUCUUUCUUAUCCUCACAACAAAUCCAUGUGCCCCUUCUACUCUAUACCAAACCUCUUUCUCAUCCCCAUGAUAAAGCCAUGGACCUUGUGUGGGUCUUCCAGAGAAGACGACACGCUCUCCUUUUCCAUGCACCUCUUGGUCCAAGCUACCAACUUGGGGCACUCCGCCUCUAUGCUGAAGUUGCCAAAGGUCUCGUAUGCAUAAAACCAGCAAGAGAAGGUCACCAGGGCCACAUCCACAAACCCAAUUUUUUCACCCCCGAAGUAAGGCUUCUCUCCAAGCUCUCCUUCCAAAAGCUUGAGGCACUCUAUGAAUUCCUUCUUGCCUGUUUCCUGCUCUUCUCCUUUGGUUGACCAUAUCUUCCCUCCAAGUUCAUAGAGCUGUGGAAAACAAUAAAGUCAAAAGAGAGAAAAGGGUUAUUUUUUUGGAGCAUUUCAUCAAGUUUCAACUUUCCGUAUAGUUGGACAAGUUUAUUAAGGACCCUUCAGCAUAGAAAUCUCANNNNNNNNNNNNNNNNNNNNNNNNNNNNNNNNNNNNNNNNNNNNNNNNNNNNNNNNNNNNNNNNNNNNNNNNNNNNNNNNNNNNNNNNNNNNNNNNNNNNAAAAAAAAAAAAACAAAAAACAAAAAACAAAAAAACAAAAGAAAAUGCUUUAAAUCAACAGCAAAGACAUACCUUCUUGUCUACGUAGUCCGCCCAGAACCUGGCCUGAGCUCUCUGGUAUGGGUCACUAGGCAACAAUGGAGAUUUAUCCUUCCAAACCUCAUCAAUAUACUGAACUAUUAUCAGAGACUCACAAAUGGGCUUUCCAUUGUGGAUCAGAACCGGGAUUUUCUUAUGAACUGGGUUCAUCUCAAGCAGCAGAGGGCUCUUGUUCCUCAAGUCCUCCUGUCUAUAUUCAUACUUGAGGCCCUUCUCUGCCAGGGCAAGUCUGACCCUCAUACCAAACAUGCUAGGCCAGAAAUCCAACAAGAUAAUCUCGUCUGCCAUUGCUACUACUGUGAUCGAUAAGAUUCAAACUCAGUUAUUCAAGUAUUGAUGAACAACACAAGGGAAAUUGUCAGGUAUUUAUAGCAAAUCCCAGGGAGUGGGUUAAAACCUUGGAACUUCUAGGAGGUGGUGGUGCUCAUUGCUUAUCUCAGCAUUCAUUUUCCUUCCAUAUUAUGUUCUCAUCUCAGUUUCGUUUCUCACUCCAGAAUUCCCAUAUGUAUUUUUUUAUUAAAUAUAAUGCUUCCAGAGAGGUCAUUGCUUUGAUCAUUCCACGUCGUUGCUGUCGUCAGCCCAAGUCCAUUAAGUACACUGGUCCAUUCUUGCAUCCUUUUGGGCGGACAAGUCAAACUAUUUUAAACUUUGUGUUUAUUAUAACUCCUUAAAAUUUCUGUGAUGUUUGUAUUUUUAUCUAAGCUCUAAACUUGUUUUUAAAUUCCAAAUCUACUUUAUUUUUACGUAUGAAAAAUAUCUAUAAAAUUAAUUAUUUUAUUUCUUUUUAAAUUAAUUUGCAAUCUAAUAUAUUUUUUUAAACAUUUAAUUAUUAUAAUUUAUCAACAUAAUAAAAUUUUUAUAACAAUUAAUUAUAUAAUCAAUAAAAAAAAUAGUAAUAGGAUAGUAAGUACAAUUUCUAAUUAUAUGUUUAAAAAAUUUUUAAACAUCUUGAAAGUUGUGUGGUUUGAUGACAGUCAAAUACUUGUAAGUGUUUGUAUAAUAUUAAUAAGCAGUUGAUAUGGCUUAAUUUUCUUACAUCAUUAUAUUAUAGCUUCCUAUUAGCGCUNNNNNNNNNNNNNNNNNNNNNNNNNNNNNNNNNNNNNNNNNNNNNNNNNNNNNNNNNNNNNNNNNNNNNNNNNNNNNNNNNNNNNNNNNNNNNNNNNNNNGAAUCUUGUUUGACCUAAACUUCACCACCACAUCCAGGCAGCUUGCUUGGGCUGAGAUUUGGUGCAGGGAUGGGAGCCGAAGUGCUCCUGGAGAUGCAUCUGCAUAGACUGUCUUAUUUAGCUGUGAAUUUGUAAUAUGUAACUCUACUGGCAGCAAAGAUAAACAAUAAUGAUGAUGAUAACAAUGAUAUAAGGAAAAGGGUUCAAACUUCAACUCCCCCUCCAAACACUAAUCCCAUAAAUAUUACUAUACUCAGAUGGUUACAACUUAUUUUCGACACAAUAACAAAAUUAACUGAAAUAAAAUUAUUCUGGGACAUAUUCCUAAAUAAUAGAAAACGUUUACUUCUAGACUUCUUAGUUGAAAGCAAUACAAAAACCCAAAAACAACAAAUCAAUCUUUCAUGUUCUUAACAGUUACUGUUCAAACACUUUUUGUGAUCAAUAAAAUAACAAAAAACAAACAAAAAACAAAUAUGGAAAAUAAAAUAACUGAUUCUACAUCUCCACUGGUUUUAGCUACUAGUCAAACACCUUCUGGACUUGGUUCUGGUUGACAUUGGCAUGUUCCAUUGAGAAAACAGAGUCAGGAACCAGGAAUUUUAAUGCUUACAUCUUCUCAAUUAUAAAACAUGGUGAGUGAAUGAAAGUGAUGUGUCCUGGGCUUGUUCUGAGGGGUAGAUGGUUUGUGAUUAUCACACAGGGACCUUGUUUUAAAUUUGUGACUUAGAGUUUGGUUAUUUGCUAAUAUUUACUUGUGGGGUUGAAGCAAGGAGAAGGUUUGUGCAAAAAUAGGAUUAUCUUCAGUGAUUUUUAUGGGGCUCCAUACUAAUGGAUGGACCUUUUAAUGGACACCUGCACAUGUUCUUUGUUUCAAGAUUGUCAAUGAGAGCUAGCACAUACAUCAUGAAUAUUUAGCAUGGACAAGGUAUCCCUAUAGUAGUAAAGAGCAUACAAUCAAUGCUUGAAAUGUCCAGAUCACGUGCCUAAAAGGAUGGGGCUUACUUGUUGAAUAGGCAGAACUACAAAAAAUCAUGGUCUGAUAAAGAGUUAAGACUGAAUUCAUGAUAGUUGACACUGUUAACGAAAGCAAUAUUUCUAGCAGUCAUUGAUCAGUCAUGACAGUAAAGAUUGCACUAAUAAACUCACACAUUGUUUACAAGGGAACACCUACCUGGGGACAUACCACUUGGAGAGAUAAAACAGCUAGAGUAUGAAAUUUAAACCACACAAAUCCCAAGGUAACAUUUUUUUGACAAACCAUAUGUAUUUUUAAACAAGGAAAAAGGCAAAAUAUUCUACAAAAUUUCCUGCACAAACAAUGGGAAGGGGGCUCCAAAAUGAGUCAAAAAGAUGGUUUUAAUUUCACCAUACACACAUAAAGCAGUUUGUACUUGGCUUGAUACUCAACCUAUAAAAUAAGAUAUAUUUUUUUUAGUCUUCUCUUUUGGAGAAUAUUAAAAAUAGACAGAAAGAUUCAGAUGAAUUAGAUGUCUUCUGCUCCAAGCGUCCAACUAUCUUGGACUUGUUCAACUCUGGAUUCUGUUUCUUUUAUGGAACUCGGUUUCCUCAGAAAGAGGACACUGGGAAAAGACAAGCAAUUAAGAAAUGCAGUAUAUAUCAGAAAAUAUCCAAAGGCAACUGAUAUUAUAUUGUUGUUUUUCAGUAAAUAUCAUUUGUCAACCAAGAAAUGCACCAUCAGUGUAGUGCUACCAGUGCAACCAAGAGGACUGAACUGACACUUAGAUAAGAUUAUCGGAUUAAAUCAAAGAAUAAGCCUAUAUUAAGGUUAAGCAAAACCAUAUCCAAAAUGAGAUUUCAAAAUUUUAUUCCAAGGGCAGAUCGUACAACCGUUCUACUUCCAGAAACACAAACUAAAAGAACAUUAUAGAAUUCAGCAUAUAUGUGGAAUUCAAAAUCAAAUCCAACUUCUUAUAAUAAAAUAAAAUCAGCUAUUGAACAUAAAAAUUUGCAACAGAACAUUAUACCAUAAUAAUAUCAGAAACCAAAUAUUAUCUUUGUUGGCCUUCAACAAUUUGAAACUUUUCCCCAUUCUUAUUUGCAUGAUUUCUAAAACCCACAAUGAUUGGUUUUAUUUUGAAUGUAUUUUACUUAGUUUUAAAGCUGAAGGUAUGUUUUAUUCAUCAUUGGUGUGUUUAAGUGCAAGUGAAGUUCCAAGUUGGUCACUUGUCUUCUUCAUCUUCAAUAUUUGCUUUACAGCAUCUUAUUAGUUUCAUCCUCACCUCUUGCUACCAGAGAUGAAAAAUAAGAUACAAAGGCAUGCCUUACCUCUUGCCUUCAAAAUUACUCAUGUCUCUGUUCCCUCAGGAAGAGCCACCAUCAUCUCAAUCUCUCGUCCAGGCCAUGCCUAUGAAAAAAUGUGAAACUGUAAAAAGAAUUCCAUAAGAUGAAUUUUUAAGGCACAAAAUUUGGAGCUGUUAGUGUAAAGAAUCUAACCAUUGUCACAAACAUGGAAUAAUUCAUUCAAUCAAACACCAGCUUCAACAACUAUGCAUACCUUAGAGUGUAACUACUGAAAACGGAAUGGUAAAAUUAAAAUUUCUGCCCAAACAAAACUAGGGGAAAGAGUAAUAAAAACCAGUUCAAACUUCCAUGACAAACAUAUUGAAGAACAACUAAUAGAUCAAUUUCAUAAUUCUUUGAUCAAUUUGAGCAUUAAGAAUCAGGAGCAACUUAACAAUAUGAAAAGGUCAUAACACACUCAGUUACAAAUAACACCCAGAUAGAAUUUUGGAAAACCAAAUACAAUAUGUAAAAAAGGUUAGAUCAAAUGUCUGCAAUAGCUGGACAUCAAAUCAUACAAAGAUUUAGAUCAGAUAUUUGGAUCAUUGCAGGUAGCACAAUUCCGACUGGCCCCGUUGCAAUGAGAGCAAUGUACAAUUAUCUGUUCUCUAAAUUUGGCCUGAUUCGUUGCCGUCGAGGUCUUCCAAGACAACGUUUUGUAACAGGAGGAUCAAGAGAAACAUGCACAUAACCAUUUGGAUCAUGCACAUUUCCAUUUGAAUGAACUGUUGGCAGAUUCUGAAACUCAAGUGGAUGCAAAGUGCCAGAAUAAACCAUUUCCUGCUUGAACAAAUGAUACCAAUCAUCAACAAAUUCAUAAAUAUCUUGGUUCAUCUUCUGUAUCAUUGCGCAUGCAUGCUCACAUGGGAUGCCCGACAUCUGCCAAGCCAAACAAGUGCAAGUAUGCUGCCUCAAGUCAACACUUAUCUUUGCCUUCCCAUCUGAAAAUGUUUCGCUUUUGGCAAUGUUAUGCAAGAGUUUAUCCUCAGUUUUUGGGCCAAUGGAUCUUUCCCAACUCUGCAUUGUGGUUUUAUGCUCAACUAACAAAGAGGCUAGCAUAUCCAUGUGCUUCUCAAUGAAACUAAAUAUUGUGUGAUGUUGUUCUUCUUUGACCCAAGCACUAAAUGACCCAAAGAUAUUAGUAUUCAUUUUGUCCCAACGCUUUUUAGGGAACUUUGACAUCGCCCAGUGUUCAGGAUUGUUAUCUUCAACCCAUUUGGCCAAGUUAGCAUCAAAUCUCCUUAAGUUCUCCAUUGCACUGUUGUAACCAAUUUCUAACCUUGCAUAUGCAACAGCAUCAAGUAGUUUAAGAGCGUUAUCUUUACCUUCCCUUCCCAUCAUCAACUGGUGGCUAAAGUCCUCCUUUAGAUGACAAUAACAAUAUGCAUGGUUUUCAACUCCAAAAACCUCUGCAACACUACGAAUAAUCGCAUGAUGCCUUCCAGAAAUGAUGACCACCUCCAUUUCACCAACUAACUGCUUUAGCCUCUGUAAGAACCAAAACCAGUUAUAAUAAUUUUCCGAACUCACAAUGGCAUAUGCUAAUGGAAACAUGUCAUCAUCAGCAUCAUAUGCCAAGGCUGAAAACAAAGCACCUUUGUGUGGCCCACUCAAGUUGGAUGAGUUAAUGGAUAUGAUAGGUCGGCAUCCCAUUAAAAACCCAUGCACAAAAUCCAUGUGCAAUGAACAAUUGCAUGAAAUUACCUUCGUCUGAGGAAGUCCAUUCAGCAAUUGUCCCAGAAUUAGUUUCCAUUAACUGCUUACAUAACCAGGGCAGCAACUUAUAUGAAUUGUGUAGAAGACCAAAUAUUCUCUCCUUCGCCUUCUCUUUACAUUUCCAAGCUUGAUUGUAGGUCAAUUUCACUCCAUGCUGCCUUUCAAAAUCUUCACAGAUUUGACGGGGCAGGUAAUCAGGGUUAGCCCUUAUCAUAUCAUCAAUUAGAAGAGCCGCUUUAUUUGGUCGUAAUGCAGGCACUGAUGAAGACUCCUCCUGUGCAGAAUGAUUAUGUUAGUUUUCAAAUGUGUGCACUCUCACAAUUUUGGUAGCCCCAACACCACGAGCAGUUAUCUUCCAAGGACAUCCACCAGCUGUGCAACAUGCAGUCAUGUGCUUUAAAGAAUUCCUCUUGAACUUGUAGUUGAAUCGUCCAGCUAAGGAGGUAAGGUAUAGUGCAUUCCGGAAUUCAUCAGCAUUUGUAAAAAUUUCCCACUACCUGAUAUAGCCUUUCCAAGAGUACUUGAAACUGGAGGAAUUGCUUCUAACUCUAUGCAUCUUGAUGCAACUUCAUGUCUCUGAAUGAUGUUAUCAUCAUUUACACCUUGAGAUGAUGAUGAUGGCGAUGAAAAAUGAUUGUUGUCCACAUUAACACUGCACGAUUAACAUAUUCAUGUAAAGUUAGAAUAAAAAAGGAGGAUAAAAUUUAAUCAUGCUGAUAAGCAAGAUAAUAUGCAGGUGUGACUUACAAAGUGCUUUGUUCAUCUAUUACUCCUUGCUUUACUCCUCCAUUAUGAGCUUCAAAUGCAUAGACUCUUGAGAAACCGUCAUUGAAGAGGACCAUGCUAUAUAUGUCAUCAUCAUCAUCCAAUGGCUGGAGUAAAGAUUUAUCAAACUUCAAGGUGCACUUAAAUGACAGACUAGAUGGGUCAAUUUGGACUUUCUUACUUGCUUUAAAAACAAAUUCAGCAUGUGAGAUUCCUUGAUUAAUACAUAUGCCAUUAGUACAUCCACCUUUAUAAUUGAUGGACCCAUUGUCAGCCUUUAUGAUCUCCCCUCCAAAAUAAAGAUAGCAAUAUAUUGAUAUUACUUUCCAUUUACCUACUAUAAAAUAAUGCAACCAAUCCAUUAGUAUGUGCUAUACUUGUUCAAGCCUUCAAGGUAAAAACUACACUUAAUUUUGGUUCCAACGGUGAAAACUAAGUUCAAAUCAUGUAUAUAAGAAGGUUUAAAACAACACAACAUCCCAAAAAGUCUAAUAUAUGAUAACACUACACCCCAUAAUUUAUACCUUGUGCCUUUUUAGGAACUAAAGUUCCCUAGAAUUGAGGUAAGACGGUACGAAAAUCAAUUGGAAAUGAAAGCAAAGAGAUAGCAUAGAAUUUAAGAGUAGCAUAAAUCAUAAGUAAAUAUUAUUUAUAAUUUUGUUUUUUUUUCGAUAACUGAGGAACCUUCUAUGGCCAAGCCCUUAAGACUCUCCAUGGGGACCCAAACCUUGGGGUGUUGACCACACUCUAACAACCAGCACCAAGUAAAUCAAGGUAUCAUCAGUAGCAAGAUUCAGGGACCACACCUCCCAACAUUCGCCCUGACCAACUGGGCUACUCUGGCAGACUAAAUAUUAUUCAUAAUUUAAAAAGGAAAAAAGAAUCCGAAAGAGAAAACAGUACAAAGUGCCUAUUCUGAUUUGAAGCAGAGAAAAAAAAUGGAAGUUUGACCUUUUUGUUUUCUUAAGAUGUAUAAUAGCGGUUUGACUUCUAAUUCAAAAGUGUUACAAUAGUUAAGAAAGCCUUAAAAUUGCUAAUUGAAGUAGGUUCAUUAUUGUUAUUCAUUUCAAUACAAACAAAAGGUGGUUAAAGGGAUAUUGUAACCAAGUUUUGAACAAGAUAAGAACAAAAGUAAAAUUGUCAUUCUGAAACCAGCCUAGUUUCAACACAGCCAUAUUCCUGCUCUGGUUCACUCUAAUAAAUAAAAUUUCUUGUACAAUGGAACCACAUCUCAUGAGCUAGGGAACAUCUGGUUUGAAGGAAAGAGCUGCAAAUGCUACUUGGUCAUAGCUCUAUUUUAACUAGGUAUCCCUAUUUUUGACUAAUAUAAGGGAUAAAGUAAAAGAGCAUGCACAUGUGGACAAGCGCACACACACAGAGACAGAAAUUUAUAGGAAACUGCAUCAAUUCUACUAGAUUAUUCAUAUUUGAAGAAGGGGAAUGAAGUGUGGUACCAAAGCAAUUCAAUAUGUAAAAGUUUCACAUAUUUCAAUCACAAAAAUAUUUCUACUUCAAUGCAAUUUUUAAGAUGCUAAUAAACUUUCAGAAACCUUAGCAAGUAAUUUGCCAGGCCAAAAGAAGUAAUGAAUUGCAUUUACAUCCAUAUAAUAACAAAACAUCUAAAAAUCAAAGCAACAUCCUAUCUCCAUACAAACUCAUCCAGCUUGUAAUAGCAAUGACGAAGGAAGUUAAAGGAAUUAAAUCAAAUUUAUUAAUUCCGUUGAGAACAUAUAACAAAUGCAUGAGAGAGAGAGAGAGAGUAAAAAAACUUAUUUAAUAAAUGAAACUUUUUAAGGCCAUUAUUUAUUUUUCCCUGAGUAAACAAAAAUUUAGUAGCAUAAAUCAUGGACGGAUGCAUAUGUAUCUAUGUGUAUACAACCAUCAACUAAUAUUUAUCACUUAUCAGCACAAACAAUAAAAAUCUAGAACCAUGAUUCAUACACUCAAAACCCCAAAUCUGCAGGGGAAAAUGAUAGCAAAGCCUGCCAACUUUGUCUCCGGAUGAAACUCCUGAUAGAUUGCAACUUUUAGCAUACAUCUGUAUGAAGGCCCAAAAGAAAUAAUAUAAAAUCGAGUCCAUCGAUAAGGUAACAUGUCACAUAUGAAUCAAUCCCUUGAAAGUUAUACAUGGGACAAAUUUCAAAAUUCAUUCAUUUCUUGUAGCUACAAUUUGAACAAAAACUCGGGUUUCAUCUACUUGAUUCAGUAAAUACAACAAUAUUUAUAUCUCACAUGGGUCAAUGCAGUUUAAAACAUAUUUCUUAACCAUUAAAUUGCUUUGGGGUUCUGUUAUACAUACUUCAACAAAACUUUGUCUUAAAAAAUUUCUAACUCGUACUUUGUACACAGAAUAUAUGGUUACUUCAUUCUUUAUAUAGCCAAGAAGUAUUGUAGACAAACUAUAGCAGAUACAGCAUUAUUUUUAUGCAAUUAACUAGAUACAAUAAUUUAUAUUAAGCAGAAAGCCAUGGUCACCAAAAAGAGGGGACCAAAGAAAGAAUUAGGUCUCUAAAAUUACAGGCGAAAUUGCAUAAAACUUAAUGAAGUUCCUGAAAGGACGAAAUCGUGGCGAAAUUGUUACUGUGAUAAAUCACAUAAAUUAGGAAAUCAAACACCUCACAGGAACAACAAAUCUACCAAAAAGAGCAGAGCCAAAUAGUGAAAUUGAUAAUCUUUAUCAUUCAUUUUUUCAGUAGAAUUGAAGCUCUCACUACAAAAUUUUCCCUGAAGUUUGAUGGAAUUAAAGUCCCUGAAACUGGCAACAUUUUAGCAAAUGAAGCCUCCUCACGAAGACAAAAUGCACAACGAGGGUGUCUUUGAACUCGAAACAAAUUGAAGGCUAAAAAGAACAUAAAAAAUUACAGGGCCCUUCAAAAUCAUUAAAAAAAAAUUAUAUUAAAAUAGAAUCCAGUCCACAGCUGAUAAUGUACGAUAUUGGGCUGUUUGGAUGGUGAGAAGGUUAAAUAAAUAGGUGUUGGAACAUUUACCUAUAAGAGAAAGAAAAUGGGUAAACUUGGGUGACGGGCCUAGAGCCUCCUUUCAUUCAUGGUGUUUGAGUUAAGAAAUUUCUGAGGACUGUCGGAGAUUUUCCGAAAUUUUCCCGCCUUUAGGGUUCUGCUUUACAUGCAGGAGAGGUGAGAGGGUGCACGGAUGUCUAGUGUGGUGCAAAAUCCAGCAGCACUAUGCGUGUGUUGCGUUUUUGCUAAUUAAUAUAAUUAUUUUUUAUUCAAUAUUCAUAAAAAGUAAUAAAGGAAAAAAAUAUCAAUCCAAAACUACCCUACUCGCUCUUAUUUUAACCCAAAGUUUGAAAUCCAACAAAAUUGAUGUCAAAGUAUAAUUUGAAUACAAAAGUCAUUUUUACUAAAAUUAUUAUUAUUAUUUUAAAUAAUGUUAGAUUAGGUUUGACAGUGAUUUUAUAAAAUAUUUAUAAUCUUUUUAAUACUUUAAAAGAUAAAAUUUUUUUAAGUGUUACAAAGUUCAGAAACACUUCCUAAGAUUACUAUCAAACGCAUUUUUAAUAUCUAUGCUUGUUCCAUAUGGUAUAAGUGUCACAUUUUUUUUUUCUUUUUUAUAAAUUAUAAUUAAAAUAGUAAAAAGAAAAUCUUUGUUACUUCUAAUAGAGAUUAGAUAUUGAAAUAUUAAGUAUGUUUGUUAAUCUCUCAAUUUAUUUAGAACACAAAAAAAAAACAUGUUUAAUAAUAUAAAAUAGAAAACAUCAUGGUAUUUUUUGAGAAUAUCUUUUGGUUAUAUUCAAUUUUUUUCAUUAUUUGAUGAGAAUUGUUUUAAAAAAUAAUUAUACAAAUAUAAAAAAAAUGACUAAAGAUAAAAUAUUAUAAAUAAAAAUUAUUUUAAAACAUUUGAAGUUUUCAAAUAAAUUUUUAUUUUACAAAAUAUCAAAAAAUUAUUUUCAAAUUAUUUUCGAAAACACCUUGUAGAUAGUUUUUAUAACAAAGCUUUUUUUUUUUAUGCCUAAUGAAUACAGACAUUUGAAAAGGAAAAAAAAAAACUAUACAGUACUCAAUUUUUGUGAGAGUAGAGUUUGAGGUUAAAAUACCAUUUAAUUUAUUUAUUAAAACUAGUAAAAUCAAUUAUUAUUUUUAAAAAAAAAUUAAAAAAAUAUUUAUUUGAUAAUAUUAUAAUAAUUAAUUAAAAAAAAUUGUAAGAUAUUUAUUUUAAACAAAAUAUUUAUUUAACAUACAUGGUCACUAAUGUUGGACACCUUCCCACUUAGUAGAGUAACCUAGAAUAUUAAUACAUUAUAAUGAGAGUAGAUGAUAAAAAAAUUUGCAAAAGGAACUCAAAAUAAGUGACUUUCUACUACAAAGGGUGCUCAACAACAAGAGAAACCCAAAAGAUGGAAAACUAGGGCUAAAUUAUGAAGACUCUAUCAAAUCUACCAUGAAGCUGGAAUUUGCCUUUUCAAAAUUCAAUCCAUUCAAGGGCAACAACUCAAUUGCUCAUGAAAUGUUAUUGAAUUCAAAGACAUUAUUCAUUGAAGUAGUGAAAAAUACAUUGUUGAUCUAUGUAUCCCAAAUAUUAAGUGAUGGGAAGUAGUGAAAGUGCAUUGUUGAUCUAUGUUACCCCCAAAAAAUAAGUUGACCAUCACCUAGGAACUUUGGAGUCCUUAAUAAGAGCAUUAUGUCACAGACUUAGUCUUUUCCUAAGCUUGUGCAACACUUAGACAAGUCAAGACACUUGAUCUUGCUAAGUCAGCCUAUCUCCUAAUGUUUAGCUUGCUAGGCUAAGAUGCUCACGACUCGGAAGCUUGAGAAGGCGUAGUAGGCAACUCUUAAAGAAUGGAAGUUGUUAUUACUCAAGGAAACCUUUACAAGUGCUUUUGGGAACUCACUUGCUUGGUUAGGAAGUGAUUUGGGUGGUCCAUUGGCCAAAUGAGGCCCUCACCUAUUUAUAGGCACCAAUGGAACUCUCUGGAACCUUGGAGGGUUCCUUACAAAUUAAGAAGAUUCUAGAAUACCCUACACAAUUCUAUGUACAACCCUAUGUACAAGAGAUCUCUAGAAUUCUUUAGAAAGCCUUGGACUCCUCUCAUGCCUUCCACCAUAGUGUAGAGAUGUGUGGACAUCUAUAGGCAUCUCUAGAACCUUCCACACUCUUCCCUCUAAUAGCUUAGUGUAGAUGGCUCCAAGAGUCUCUAGAAGCUUCUUGGGCUCUAUAUAAAUCCAUGAGGAGGCUCAUUUGAAGCAUCCUAUGACACUCUCCCCAUCCUAUUCCGUUGACGUCUUUUUUGUUGCCUCUUUCUGAAACCUCUCGAUGUGUUUCCAGAACCUUCUCAAGGCAUCCGCAUAUUCCCAGCUUACAUGCCUCCUAGGUAGUCCUUUCCAUCGGACUAGAUACUCUAUCACAGGAGGGACCCUUAUUCUCCUGGUGACCCAUUCAACCAGGAUAUUUUUCACCUCCUUUUCUUGUGAGGCCUCGGAUGGAUGCAGAUCCUUGCACUUUCGAUGCUUGGAGUGCUGCUUCCUCUUACCCAUCAAGUUCACCUUUCCCUUGGUGACCUUGUCGAUGUAUGUGCGGGCUACCUUAGCUUGCUCCCCUUUUGCCUCCUUUACUUGCACCCUUGAUAGUAAGGAGGUCUUAGGCGUACUAGACUUUGGGUUGAAUUGGAGGGCACCUAGUAACUGCAUCAAGCCCAUAUGUGCUUCGUCCUCCUGUUCCCUCUCCUUGAUCAUGGCAUUGAGCGCCUUUCUCUUUGGACAAUCCCGUGCCCAAUGUGGAUCGUCACAUAGGAAGCAUUUGAUUUUAGGCGUAAACUCCUUCCUUUCCACCUUACCCCUUCCUUCUCGAACAUUAAGCGUCUUGCCUAAUCCCAUUCUAAGAGCAUUGUGGUCCCUUGAGACCUCAUCUCCCCCACCCGUGGCGUGGCUAUCCUCCAAAGACUCAACCUUGGAGGAGUCUCCCCUUUUGUAGUCCGUUAAAGACUCUGCUACUGCCAUAGUAGUGGCUAAGUCUUGAACACCUCGACGCCUUAAUUCCUGCUCGGCCCAUUCUUGUAGGUUAUCCAUGAAGUUGAAUAGCAACUCCUUCUUAGUCAUAUUAGGAAUCUCAAGCAUGAGUGAAGAGAAUUCCUUAACAUAGUCUCAUAUCGAGCCUAUAUGCUUGAGACGCCUCAUGUUUUUCCUAGCCAAGUAGGCCACGUCCUCAGGGUAGAAUUGCCUUUUGAUUUCCCUCUUGAAGUCUUCCCACGUCUCUAUGGUGCAAAUGUCUUUCUCCAUAUCGGCAAACCUCUAAUGCCACCAUAGAGUAGUUGUGUUAGUGAGGUAGAGGGUUGCAAUCCUUACCUUAGCCGCCUUAUUAUUUAGUGCGAUAGCCUUGAAGUAUUGCUCCAUAUGCCAUAAGAAGUUGUCCAACUCCUUAGCAUCCCGCUUGCCACUAAACCAUUGUGGCUUCAACACCUCCACCCUAGAUGCCUCUUAGGUGGCCAUGACUUGUGCCAACACAACAGCCUUAUAGAUGGCCAACUCCUGCCUAACCUCAUGGUCUUGGGACUCCAUUCAAGUGGCCAAGGCCUUUAUCCUUGACUCCAUGUUAGCAAGCAUGCUAAAGACCUUUUCUUGGAAAGACAUGAACUCCUCAUGUGACACCGGUUGAACUUGUGAGCCUAGCACCCCCUCACGAAGGUCUUAGAUAUGCUCCCUUAGAUCCUCAAUACCCUUCUCCAUGCCUUGCUCGAUCAAGUCCACCCCUUCCCGGGUGUCUGCCAUGGCUAGCUCCACCUUGGCUAGCCUUGCCUCCAUGUUGGCUAUGGCAUCACGAGACUUAUCCUUCCUGCCCUUGCCCCGUGCAGUAGGCUCGAUCUCCCUUCCACGGGUUUGCUCGCUAGUCUCCUCCAUGUUAGAGCCCAACAUGCUUUCUUUACUAUGCUCGUUUCAUAGCCGCGCUCUAGUAUCACUUGUCACAGACUUAGUCUUUUCCUAAGCUUGUGCAACACUUAGACAAGUCAAGACACUUGAUCUUGCCAAGUCAGCCUGUCUCCUAAUGUUUAGCUUGCUAAGCUAAGAUGCUCACGACUCGGAAGCUUGAGAAGGCGUAGUAGGCAACUCUUAAAGAAUGGAAGUUGUUAUUACUCAAGGAAGCCUUUACAAGUGCUUUUGGGAACUCACUUGCUUGGUUAGGAAGUGAUUUGGGUGGUCCCUUGGCCAAAUGAGGCCCUCACCUAUUUAUAGGCACCAAUGGAACUCUCUGGAACCUUGGAGGGUUCCUUACAAAUUAAGAAGAUUCUAGAAUACCCUACACAAUUCUAUGUACAACCCUAUGUACAAGAGAUCUCUAGAAUUCUCUAGAAAGCCUUGGACUCCUCUCAUGCCUUCCACCAUAGUGUAGAGAUGUGUGGACAUCUAUAGGCAUCUCUAGAACCUUCCACACUCUUCCCUCCAAUAGCUUAGUGUAGAUGGCUCCAAGAGUCUCCAGAAGCUUCUUGGGCUCUAUAUAAAUCCAUGAGAAGGCUCAUUUGAAGCAUCCUAUGACAAAUAGCUCAAAAUAAAAGAGGAAAUCCAAGUAUUGAAAAAAAGGUUAGUUUUCUAAAUGUAGUUGACAUCAUUUGAUAAGGUAGUGCCUUAAAAUUAUGCUAGUUCUAAAUAAUUUGAGAGGGCAUAUGCUCUAAAAAUGCAAAUGAUCUAAAUAUAGGAAGAGAAAUCCAAUGAGAAAAAGAAAAAGAAAGAAGACCGUUAUCAAAAGGAAUUUUGGAAUUCAUGAUAAAAAAAAAAGAAGGAAAGUGGCCUACUCACGUAAUCCAUUAUGCAACUCUACUAUGCCUACCUAUGGUCCACUAUAUUUGAUGCUAUUAUAGUUAAGUUAACCCUUGACACUACUAUAAUUGAGUUUGCUAUUGACAUUGUUGCAACUAAGUUCACUAUAUUACAACCAUACUCACUAUUAUAGUCUUCUUACAAACAUACUCAUUAUCCGUACAUCUUUCGAAGGAACCCUUCAAGAUCUCAACUCUUUUACCUAUUAAGUGUAUCUUAAAUGAGCCUUCUAACUAUUGAAUUUUGAAGGUAAGACAUUAAUUCUCUACAACAUCAUCGAGAUUCAUCUCCAAUAAGGGUGGAUCUACCUUAAGAAUAGUGUUUUCAUCAUGGAUCUACUUUAAGAAUAGUAUUUUCAUCAGACCUUAAUAAUUCUAAUAUGAUAAGUACCUAAAUUCCCUUUUGUUAUUUCAUUAUUUGUUGAUGUUUUGUGUUCAACUUAGUUUAGACUUAGUUUCAACCUUCUAGAAUAUUUAAAAACAACCACGGUUGAAAAUUUCUCUUUUUUUGUUGAAAUUUCGAUGAAAUAUCGGUUUCGGCGAUCGGCGAUACGAAAGAAGGGAGCGAAAUGUCGAUGGAGAAAUUUCAGCAAAUUUUGGUUAAAAUCGUCGAAAAAUUGGCUCAUAGCGAAAUUUCGACGAUUUUUCUUAACUUUUUCGAUUGGUCAACACGGGUUAACAUGCUACAGUGCUUCUGUUACAGUGAAAUGCUACAAUAUGCCAUUACAGUGAAAGCUUGAUAAAAAUCCAAAAUGCUAUAGUGUGCUACUAUAGUGAAAGCUUGAUAAAAAUCCCUUUUAGUUUGUUGUUGGGGAGACAAAAGCUUCAAUUGAGGUGUGGUGAACCAUUAGGGCAAGUAUGCCCUUUGUUAAAUAUGUUGCACCAAACAUAUUUAUAUUAAAAGUCAUCAAAUAAACAAAAUAUUAAAAGAACAUUUUAAAUAACAAAUUAAUUAUAAUUAUUUGGGAAAAUUGUGUUUUGGGCCUAGCUAGGCCCAAAAAUUAAUGUAUGGUCCAUAUAAGUUUCAUAUUUAAGCCCAACACCCAAUAAAAGAGUGGAAAUUGAGAGUAAGGAUAUUGUCUUUAAAAAAUCCCUAAAAUACCCUUGACUAUUAAAUGAAAAAACUAACCAAUCACCUCACCUUUCUCAUUCUCUCUUUGACUUUUUUGCCCUUCUCUCACCUAUUUAAUAGUGGAACCAACUUGAAUAAUUUUUCUUCAUCAAAUAUGAAAGAUGGUUAAAAAUUAUUAUUACCAAAUGUAUUUUUGAAGUGAAUAACUUUUAAAUACCUUAUCAAAUAUUAUUCUUUUUUUCAAACUUACAUAAUAUAUAAUAAAUAUCAUUCUUUAUUUCAAACCUAUAUUAUUUCUUUAUGUAUAUUAAAUAAUUUUUAAACACCUAAAAUAUUAGUAUUAUUUGUUUACUCUAACUUGUAAAUUAGAUAUUAUCAAAUAUUAUAUUUUUUCAAAUUUAUAGAACAUAUAAUAAAUACUUUUUAAAUACCUCAUAGAAUAUUAUUAAUUUUUUUUUCUAACUUGCAAAUUAGACACAUGGUGUUUAUUAUUAUUUUGAAUAUAAUGUAAAUACUCACAUGCAUAUAUAUAUAUAUUAAUCAAGAAGACAAUAUUUAUAAGACUAAUUUACCAACCUUCCAAUAAUUUUGAAAAUGUAAAUAGAGUAAUUGUCCGAAUUAAAGUCUUCAAAAAUAUUCAAAAUUUCUCCAUUCCAAAAUUACCUAAUUGCUCUCCACACUAAUCCUAAAUAUUUUUGAAUAAAGAUUUAAAUAUUUAAAACCAUUAAAAUAAAUACUUUCUUAUUAAAGCAAUUUUUUCAAAGUAAUAAGAUAAAAAUCAUGAAAUCUUCAAAACUAUAAUUACAACAAAUAUUUUUAACUUUAAAACUAAUUUCAUAAUUUAAAUUAAUGAUUUUAAAAAAUAAAAAUGUUAUAAAAAUAAUUUUUUUAUUUUUAAUGCCAUUUAAAUAUGAUUUUUUUAAUCUCUAUUGAUAACAAUGAAAUUAUAUUUACAAAGGCAAAAUAGUAAAAAUAUAUAUUUCAUUUAGUUUACUUAUAAUGAACAAUUCAAACAUGAAUGAUUUUAAUUUUAUUUCCUAAGUGUUAAUUUUUGUAGAGAAUGUCUUAAUGACAUAGUUUGGUAAAAAAAGAAAAACAAAAUUAUCAAUAAUCGUCUUAAUGUCAAAUUCAAGUUAUUUAAAAAUCGUAUAAAACCUAUUAGAAGUCUUGUACACCCUUGUACACUUAGCACAUUUCCCUUGUACAGUUAGUGUAAUAUCCUUGUACAGUUAGUGUAAUACCCUUGUACAAUGACACAAAUUUCAUAUAUCUCCUAAUUUAUAUAUCCAUGUAGGUGUAUUAAUCAUAUUUUCAAUGGUUUGGUUGAGAAAAUGGUGGAUGACUUAGGGUCAAAUUUUUUCCCCAAAUAUCAUUAUUGGGAAAAAUAUUAGAAUUUUCAUGUAAGAAUUAAAUAAAGUGCAUGACAUAGGUGUACAAUCAUUGGGUGACAAGGAAAAUAAAAAAGUAGUUUAGAGUCAAUUAAAAUCAUUCACAAAGGGUAAUAUUGUACACUUUUGUACAAUUAGUACAUUUCCCUUGUACAGUUAGUGUAAUACCCUUGUAUAAUGACACAAAUUUUAUAUCCCUCCUAAGUUAUGUGUCCACGUAGGAGUGUUUAACCAUAUUUUCAAUGAUUUAGUUGAGAAGAUGGUAGAUGAUUUAAGGUCAAAAUUUUUUUUCUCCAAAUAUUAUUAUUAUGGAAAAUAUUGGAAUUUCCAUGCGGGAAUUAAAUAAAGUGCAUGACAUAUAUGUACAAUUCAUGAGUGAUAAAAAAAUAAAAAUAAAGGAAUGACUCAUAAUCGAUUAUAAUAUUUCACAAAGGGUACCCUUGUACACCUUUGUACAGUUAGCACAUUUCUCUUAUACAGUUAGUGUAAUACAAUUGUACAGUGACGCAAUAAAUAAAUAAAUAAAAUUUAUUACUUUUUUAUUUUCAUAUAAAAAAAAUAGUACUAAACAAGGUUUUCAAUUUCAUUUUAAAAAAUAGUUUUCAUUUUUUAAUUAAAAAUAUUUUCAAAAGGAGACAAUAUAGAAAAUAAAAAUUAUUUUUAAAAAUAAAAAAUAAAAACUAGAAAAAUAUUUUAAAACCAAACUCAAAUAUAAUCUAUAUAAUAAUAAACAAAUUUGUAACAUUUCAUAUAACUUAUUACUAAAAAUCAUGUUCAAAAAGUUAUUAAAAUAAGGAAGAAAGAAGAUUAAAAAAAAAAUAAACAUUUUAUUUUAUAAUAGUAAAAAAAAACUUUAAAAUACAUUUUAAUAUAAAAAAAAUUAAAAUAGUGAAUAUAUUUAUUUUAAAUAGUUUUUUAUUCAUUAAAUUAUUUACUUCUAAAAUAUAAAAGACAAAAAUAAAUGUAAAAUGUAAUUUUUAUUUAUUUAAAUUAAUAUUUUUUUAGAAAGUAUUUUUCAAAAUAGUCUUUGAAUCAUUAAUAUAAUUUUUUUAUUUAUAAUUUAAAAAUAAAAAAAUAAUUUUGAUUUUUCAAUUAUUUAUAAAAGAGUUUAAAAAAAUAAUGAAAAAUCCAAAAAUGAUUAAAUAAGAAAGAAUAGUGGCAUGUGAAGAGUGGUAGAAUAAAGACAAAAAUGAGUCAAGUGGGUAUUUUUGUCUAUUCCUAUCUCAUAUCCUUGAAAUCAAUUAUAGGUGUUUGAAGGACUCUUUAUUAAUUACCAAAGCCAAAUGGGUCUAAAGCCCAAUUCUCCCUAAUUAUUUUAUAAUUAAAUAAAAUUUUUUCAUUUAAUUGAUUACCAAAAAUAUAAAAUUAUUAUGAUAAUUUUCUUCAUAGUGUUUUUAAUAUCAUUAAUAAAUUAAUUAAAUAUUAAAAAGUUAUACAUAUAUCACAAUUCAUUUUAUAUAAUUUAAUACAAUUGAAUUAAAUGAAUCAUAAUUUUAAUAUUAAAUAUAUUUUAAAAUUAGGCAUAUUAUAAUCAAAUAUCACAAUAUUAUUAUGAAAUAAUAUUUGAUAUAAUUUAAUAAUAAAUGUACACUUAUCAAAUUCUUCAGCAAAACAAUUUUGAAAUGUCUAUUAUAUUUCUAAUUACAUUUUUAUAAGGUUUUUCUUACAUUCCUAUGAAUUUUGAUUAAUUUUAGGUCUAUCGAUAUUUUUUUUUCCAAAAUAUCUGUCGAUAUAUCUCUGAUAUAUCCGUAAUUACCAAUAUUUUUAUCCUUAAAAACAACACAACACCACUUGUACCAAAGGCAUAACACCCACUAAAUUUAGUUAAGUCAUUGAGGGACCCCCAAUUACUUUGAAAGAUUGGAAUGACACGUGGAACCACUUAUAUUCCAUGGAUUUCUUAUGUUAAUGGGAUUUUUUAAAAUUUUUAUUUGGUAAUUGUUGUGAGUAUUAAGUGGUAAGGUAUGACAAAUUUGAUGAGGACAUUCUUUACAUUUAGAGAUCCUAGCAUAUGGGUUCAAUUUGUCUUACUCUUCAUUAAGAAUUAACUUUCAAGGAAAUGUAGUUAAGGAUAUCAAAUGGAGGUAUUCUACAUCAAUUUUGAUCUAAAAAUUUAAGGUUCUAGUCAGGCUGAGCUUUUACCUAAAAUUAUUUAAAAACGUUUUAGGAUCAUGAAAUUAUCAAAAAGUUUAAGCUUUACUUUGAUUAUGACCAUCAUUACAAGUAAUUAUAUAGUACAUGUCUUUCAAAAUUUGUGAUAAAUCAAUAUUUCUUGAAUAUGUUUAUUAUAUUUGCUUCUUAUUAAAAUGCAUUAUAUAUAUAUAUAUAUAUAUAUUAUUUGAAUGUUUUGCUCAAAACUAGAUUUUUCUUUGGAUAUUGGUACUUAGGUAGUUAAUUAACUUCUUGUUAAAUCUUGUAAAUGGCAUGAUUAUGAAUGAUGAAUGUAUUUACUUUUAACGUUAUAAUACACCCUAGACCAAAUUUUUAUGAGACGAGGUACAAUUGGCAUCCAAAUAACCUAGUUAAUGUGCCAUGUGAAAAAAGGGUUGCAACACUAGCAAGUAGCUAAUAUAUAAUGUGAAUGUGCUUAGUAUCAUGUGAGGAAGGACACUCUUAUUGAAUUGCCAUGUGAUCAAUUAUGUUGAUGGCUAUGAUGAUGGGCACAUAUCAUUAUGUGUAUGAUAAUUUUUUUUAAUGUAACUAUGAUUUUUGAAGAUUUGAUUAGGCUAAUUAAUUUGAGAAGUUAAGGACACAAGUCCAUGAAAACCAAAAACUCACUAUUCACCUUAGCACUAUUUAUCAAGCUUAGAUUUACAAUUACAAGAGAAUUAUACAUUAUUAAUACGAUAAUGAUAUUUAAUGUCAUCAAUCUUCACUUAAUUAGAAUGAUUAAAGGUUGUUUACAUAGACUUCUUGUUUUUUAUUUUAAAAUUUGAGAUGGUACACUUUUUCUAUAUCUUAAUUUUUAAAAAUUCAUUAUCCUUUUAAGCUAAAUUUUUAAAAAUUCUUUGAUUUUAUAUUUCAUUUGUUUUAUGAAAGUAAAAAACAAGAAAUGCAUCCAAAUAACAUAUUUAUUAUUCACUCAUAACUGUUCUUUCCCAAAGUAUUAAAAAAAUUUGGAUUCACUAGAAUCAAUAAAUAUGGUAUUUUAAUCGUAAAUUUCAUAGGUCUUGAAUCAAUUUUUAAAGUAAUCAAUGAAUUAAAAUAACAAUGAAUUCAUUGCAAACUCAAGUCAAUGCUUAAUUAACCUCAAUUUGAAUAAUUAUUUUGAAUAUAUUUAAAUGAGUCACAAAAUUCUAAUAGCAAGUACAAACAGACCAUCAUCAAGUUGAAUGUAUUCAAGCCAAACAACCUCCAAACUUCCUUUCUCUUCUUAAUCUAUUUUAGAAUCUAAGGAAGAUAACAUUUCAUUAAUCUAUUUCAGGAACCCCAAAAUAUUGAAGAGUGAAAAUAUGCUUGCUUUCUUAGCAAAUACUGAAUCCUAAAUCUAUGCAUAUCUUAACUACAAAAGAUUUUAUUAGUGCUUUAAAUAAUCUUAAUUGCCAUAUAUUUAGAUUGUGAUGUUAUAUCAUUCAUCUUUUGUUUAUUAUCUUCCUCUCUGAUUUAAAUUACUUAUUAUUUUUAGCAAUUUUUUUUACAAUUAAUUUUCAUUUUUAUUAUCGAAAAAAUAAAGUAUUUUUAUUUUAAUACAAUGAGAGUAAAGUUCCCAUACUAAAAAAGUCUACAUAAACUUUAGGUAUACUGGACUCUUAGAAAGGCCUCUAUAUAAAUGCUUAGCCCAUCACUCUUAUUUUCUUGCCUCUAAAUUGCCAUGGAUGUAGGGCAUAGGAAGCCACAAGAAGCUAUUGGAGAUGGAGAAAACAAGACUUCUUCCUAGAAGAGUCUUUUUAGGACAUGACUUCAUACAUAAAUAUAGUAUCCUAGGCAUUUUUAGACUUAAGGACUGCCUUUUGGAUUGAUCAAUCGAGACAAGUGAGAUUCACCUUCUCCAAGAGAAGAGCGAGACCACCAUGAAAAGGCAUCUCACUUGGUGGGACUUGGUGUGGAUAAGGUUUAGAUCAGUCGUAGGGUUUUGCAUAUUCAUCAUCACUUGUUAGGAAGCUUGUAAUAGUGUAAGACUCGCCAUAUAUAGUAUUAUCUUAUGUCGCUUUGGGUCUCUCAUAUCGCUUUCCCUACUUUAUUACACAUAAUUCACAGUUGAAAUACCAGUCGUAAGAGAUCCUUUCUUUUAUCUUGAGUAGAAUUAAGUGAUUUUGUUACUGUAGAGAACCUUAAAUUACUUCAUUCCCUGUCCUAGUAUUAGGUUAGGUGCAUAUUCCUAAUACUCUAGAUCUAAGCACAAUGGAAACAUGGCAUUAAAAAACAAUAAUAAAUAUAGAUCUAAAGAUAGUGAAUCUUUACCUAAGAUUUAGAUAUUCCCAGACUGAUUCCUGUUGAUGUGAAAAACUCUAAAUCCAUAGAAGAUCCUGUAAACCCCCAAUCUCCCACCCUACUACUCUUCCUUGAAGCUUGAUACUCAGAUGGUAGAAGUCUCUAGAAAGAAGAAUGGUGGUAGAAGAUUGAAGCCUUAACCUAUAAGGGGUAUUUACAUGGUUCAUAUUGGGUUUAAGUAAUUUGAACCCAUUUUAAGCUUGAGUCACUUAAUCUAACCCAAAAAGGUCUUAAUUGAUUAAUUAAACCAUUAAAUAUUUAAUUAAUCAAUUAGCCCAUUUCAAAUAUGUCGUCUACUUAUUCCUAUGCAACCUUAUGUAAUUACCAAUAUGCCCUUAUGCACAUAGGUGAACUAAGAGCUGAUCCAACCCUCAUAAGUUGUGUUAUCAAGGUUAUGAACUUAAAUUAGGGACUAUUGGAACCCAUAGAAUAGUAUUUUCAUGGCUCUCUUAGAAUCAUACUUUAAAGUUGACUCAACAUCUCACUACAAUGAGUCAACUGCAAUCCUAUACCCCAUGUAUAGUAUAAUGAGAUACUAUAUGCUUGGGUUCGUGACCUACCAUCCACUAUAUAUGGUUUCCCCAUUAAUUGAUAUCUGUAAUCUAACAAGGUGAAAGUUAUUAACUUCUCAAAAUUACCUCUACUAUCCUUCAUUUAGAAGUCCUCAUAUUAUGUGAUCAACUAACAUGUCUUAACUCAUAAAGAGCUCAAGUUCCAAUUAAAGAACUACUAUGGUCAUAGUUGAUCUAAACGCAUGUCCUUAGGAUAACCCAAGGCAACACACUAUCUCAAUCCUAUGAGAUAUCAUGGUGCCUUAUUGAGAAUAUUGGUCGCUAUUGACUUAUAUCAAUUGUGACCUAAUCCCUAAGGAAUGUAUGAUUAUUUUAGGAUCUCAUCUAUAGGUUCAAGCAUAUGCUAACAGUGAUACCGACUCAAUAUUCUUUUCAAGUUGAGAUAAAUACAAUACAAUACAACAACUUAAUGAAAUUAUAACUACUAGAUAGCCUUAUGUUAUAACUCAUCGUAGGCUCUGUCCAAUAUAUAAUCUAUACACACUAAUGCACUCGUCAUAGGAACCACAUCCCGUUGACUAAGACUAAUCAUCCCUUUAAUUAGGAGGUAGUACACUACAACUUCAAAUAGAUUGCCUAAGUUCACAAAUUGAUUGUGAACAAAUCAUUUACUUGCAACAAGCUCAUGACUUGGAUCUUCUGUACAACUUUUAAUGCACCUAAGUCAUGUACAAUAUAUGAGAUGCAAGUCAAAACACUUAUAAAGAAUAAUGAAUGGAAUAAGGAUAGAUGAAAGUGCAACUGAAAUAUAAUAUAAAUAAAUAGUCAAUUCUAAAGUUUGUUACAUCAUGUAAUGCUUUGAAGGGCUCUAUCUUAAUAGUUGGGUUCAUUAUAGCUAGGAACAUUCUCUUAGACGCCAUUCUUGGGGCAACUAGGUGGGUGAUUAUUAAUCAUUUGUUGCUCACAUGCAGUAACCUUUAUAUUAUCAUGUAUUGCUUUAUUUUUUACUAUUGAUAAUGAUGUUAGUUGAUUGAGGUUUGUAAACCUCAAGUCAGUUGUGUGAGGCUUUACCUUUUAUUUGGAUCAUGAUCUUAUAUUGAGCAUGCUUAUUUUUUAAUACAAGGUUAUAAUAGUUUUAGGUUAUGUUUGGAAACUGUCUUUGGUUAGUGCAUUGAUAUUGAUGGGAGUGUUGAAAGUGGAAGUAGGCUAGAAGGUUGAACCACAAUAAAUCUUAGUGUUAUGUAAUUAAUUUUGUUGAAAUUGUUUUAAUUGCAUUUGGGAGCUUUCUUCAUAUUAUACUUUAGAUUAGCCCUAGGCUCUGGCUUCAAGAGAAAAAGACCUCUUCUUUUGUACUCUAUCUACCAAUGUGGCUUAUUGCACAUCUACUUCAAAAAACUCUAACCAUAGUUCAAAUUCAUAAUCAUAUAUAGAACAUAAUAGAUGAAUAUUAUUUAUUGGUAUUGCUAUUAUUAUUCCUUCCACAUUAUUAUUAUUAUUAUUAUUAAGCAUUUACAAUAUCAAUUCAUAAGCAUGUCCAUGGUUUUGCAUUUUCAUUCCAUGCAUUGGAAAUGAUAAAUCAACUUUCCUUAAUCUUUCAUUUUGUUUCACAUUUUAUUGGAUUGAAAAAUAUGUUAAUUUGAGCAUGGACUUAUUUAUUUAUUUAUUUAUUUUUUUUGCAUUUCUUAUUAAAAAUCUUGUAAAGAUAAAUAGCUAUCUGAAGUAAUAUUUAAGAAAAAAAAAAGAGAAAAAAAAAAAGCAUUCUUCCUUAUGAAUAUUAUAUACCUCUUUAACUUCUUCUCAAGAUUAUAUUCAUAUCUUUUUUAACUCAAUCAUAAAGGAAAAGUUGACUCCACUCUAAAUAUCUAUCAAUCAUAUGAGGAAAAAUUGACUAUGAUGAUGAAAAUCAUAGCUAAAUAUCCAAAAAUUACAUUAUUAACUUGCAAAAUUUAUCGUGCACUCACUAAAUUUUUUAAACAUUGAAAAUGUUAAUUUCAUGGUGUUAUCCUAUUUAAUUAAUUAACUAUUUCAUCAUAUAAACUUCUUAAAUAUAGAAAGAAGAUCAUUUCCUACCAUUAUCCUACUUAAGUACCAUAAUUUUUUAUCCUAUAAUCUUUUUUAAACAUAAUAAUCGCAUGGCGCUGUCCUAUUUAAUUAGACCACCAUUAAGCUGCCCAACAUCUCAUUCCUUUCAUUUCUAUCUUCUGAAAUAUUUUUUGUUCAUAAAGAUUUUUGGCCAUGUAGAAGAAGCGAGCCAAAAGCCAUGAAAAGGUUGAGAUGAGAAAGAUGAAUAAUGAAGAAGAUCGCCUUGUUUCCUUCUUGAAGCAUAGAUCUGGGAUCUACAGAAAGGCAAGUGAGCUUUUUACCCUUUGUGGUACAGAAGUUGGUAUUUUAGCUUUCUCCCCAAAUGGGGAGCCAUUCUCAUUUGGUCAUUGAUGCGACUCAUGGUAGCUUAGCUUUAAAGGCGUAUCAACAAAAUUUAUACCUUGAAUACUAUUACUAAAGUAGCCAAGCUACUAUAGCAUAGUGGUUCUAGGAUCAUUCACUGGGAAGGGUUUUCGCAAACACAAGUGAUAUUCAAAUUAGGAAAAUAGGUGAUUUUCUUAUGGAUGUUAGCUUAAAAAGAAGAUGUAAAUGUUUUAGAAAGAUUUAAACUAAUCUAAGCUAACAUUAAAGACUAAAAUGAAAGGGUGUAAAAACAAGUUUCUCAAAGAUAGGAUAGCUAUGCUCUGGCUCUUAUGCAAAUUGGAAAUCUCAGGAUAGGCUCCUCGCGUUGGGGUUGCAACUAUGGUGAUGCUUGCUUCCCGAACCGGUAUGGAUUUAGCAAAUCAAGUUUUAAUCCUUUAAAAUGACAAAACAGAUGGUAGUGAAUUUCAUCCAUGGUUAUUCACCUUAGACUUCCUUUGAAUGGCUCGUAAGAGAUAACUAAUGGUCUAAAGCCAAAAGCUUAUCAAAUAUUGGCAACUCAAAGUCAUUCCAGGUGAUAAACUCACCUUUCAAUGGCCAUUGAAAUUGGUUCUAACGGAUUAAUACAAAACUUGGAAUUGAAAACCUCACCUUCCAAUAGCUCGUAGGAGAUAACUAAUGGAUAGAAAUCCAAAAGCUUAUCAAGUAUUGGCCGUUGGAAGUUGUCCAAAGGAAAUAAAAACCAAACUUUGCAUUAAUGAACCUUUAAUGAAAAAGGACUACCUUACCUUCCGGGUGCGAGAAAUUUCCAUGGGAUUGCAUUCAAGUCAUCACAUAACAUCCAUACUUUGAGAAACUAAAAGUUUUAGCCAAUCAUCCUCUGAGGAAAAGCCCUCAGAGGCUGUUUGGCUUCCAAGAAAAUAGAAAUGGGGAAGAGAAAAGAGAAAUGAGAGAGCUCUGUAUAUAUUCUCUAAGUGUUAAACGUAAUAUCUAUUCUAUAUGAUCCAAGAGGUGAUUUCCACCCCUUAUAUAGUCUUUACAAAAGCAAAAGCUUGUGAUUGGUUAGUUACAAGGAUAAGAAAGGAAAUUACAUCACAAAAUACAAAGGAAAAUAUCUAAAGUGGAGUCGGCAAAAGCAGAGGAAAAUUCGCAACACGCAUGGGUUAUGCGAAUUUUGAAGGUGUUAUGCGAAAUUUUCGCAUAACCUGGAGCAGUUGGCUUCCGAAGGCCAUAUCUUCCUCAUUUCAGCUCCAAAUCGUACACGGUUAGAAGUGUUGGAUUCUUUACUUCCAGAGCUUUGAAAUGGUAUAUAGCAUAUAAAAAAUGGACUUCGGAAAGUGCUCCAAAAGUGUGAAAGAAGACUGCAGCUGCUGUCCUCUGUUUUCCUCUUCUCCAUUGUUCUUUCCUUGCAUACUUUGAACGACUUUGGCAAAGGGAUAUGGAGCUCCAAAGCUUGGUUCUUCAUGAAUUUGAGCUUCCAAAAGCUUUGCCAUAACUUGUCCAAGUAUCUCCUCCAUCAUUUGGCAUGCUUGAAUUGAUUCAUAAGCUGAUAAAAACAUGUAAACUUGCCACAAAAUGGUUAAAACCAAUUACUAAGGACCUUAAUGAAUUAAUUGGGUUAAAUGAAUAUGAUUACUACUCAAAGGUGCUUAAAACCAUUAUAAUUAGGUCUACAAAAUAGCACUUUUUGGUAGUAAUCAGUCAUCCAUGUAUCAAGUCAGUUACUAAUAAGCUUUUAAGUGAAAUACCAUACACCAUGUGAUGGAACCCAAAAUCUUCUUGAGCCUUACCAUCGUGUUAGGCUUAAUGAGCUUCACCAUAACUAUAAAGAAGCUUGCAAGCAAAAGAAAGCAGCCAAGGAGCAAGAAAAAAAAAAUCAAGAAAAAAAGCCUGAUCAAAGGCUGGUGGGAAGAACCUAUUAUUGAGCUUGAUAUGGAUGGUCUCAGGCGAAGGUCAGAUCUAAUUCAAAAGCUUCAUAAGCAUGUGCAACUCCAAAUCAAGGAGCUAUAGACCAUGGAAUCAUGUUCAACUUUACCAUCUAAUACCCAAACAGUUGGCCAUGGCCAUGCUAAAUAAAUGUGCUUUGUAUUAUUGAGAGUCUUGAACAUUUCAGUAUCAAACGAUAAUGGUUCAAUGCUUUUAUUUUUGAGUAAUGGGUUUUGUGUUGGAGUAGCCAAAAAUGUGAUAUUGAUUGAUUAAGCUUCCUUUUUCCCCACCGAAAAGAAGUCUUUUAAUAGUUGAUGUGGGUGACAUAUCAUGUGAUUCUUGUGUAGAUUCCUUAUCUUCAUAAUAGUAGGGUCGUUUUAUAUUUGUCUGGUUUUUGACCCUUGACUCUUGUGUGAUUUCCAUCUUAAUGAUCCUAGUAGAAACAGAUGAGCAUGAUGCUCUUGAGGGUUCAUAUUUUGAAAUUUUAGGAAUUCGAGAAUGACUGAAUGAAUUUGUUAAGCCCCAAAUUCUAAAAUUAAAGUUUAAUUAAAUUAACAUAGGCCAACUCAGACUUUUUGCACUUGAGAUGUGAAUUAAGGAAGAAUUUGGUGAAGUUUAAAGUUUGAGGGCAAACCUAAUUCACCUGUGUUAUUUAAGUUUUUGAACAAAGAAGUUCCCUAUAUUUGGAAGAAUUCAUGUUUUUCCUAUUCAUGGACUUUGUGUAUCGGAAAACUUACACAUUUUAACUCCAUGGCCAACCUUUGUAAAAAGAGUAUGCUUGUAUGGGUAUUUUUUUAAAUCUCUCAGAAAAAUAAGCAUCCAUAUGACUAUACUAAGCUCUCAGAGCUUGUUUUAGUCUAUAUAGUGCCUUUUUAUUUUUAUUUUUAUAAUUUAUGAACUUUAUGCUCACUUUUAGGCUUCGCAUACUCAAGAGGUUUAUCGAUAAAAACCUGUUCUUAUAGAUCACCAAGCAAAAAUACUGAUUUUACAUCUAGUUGGAAGAUAGACCAUGAGUUUUAAGAAGUCAAUGUAAUAAAUAGCUCGAUUGCAUCAUGUCUUGCAAUAGGAGUAAAAACUUCUUUAUAAUCCACACUAAACUCUUGUUUAUAGCCUUUAGCUACUAAGUGCACCUUAUUCUUGCCAUCUUUGUCAUUCUCCUUCAAUGUUGUCUUGUAUACCCAUUUGACACCAAUUUUUUGUGGUCUCUUGGAAGAUCAAUUUACUCCCAAGUGCUAUUUUGGUUAAUAAUUUCAGUUUGUCUUUCAUAGCCUUCCUCCACUUUGAAAGUUGUAGGAUUGAAAUAUGAAAAUAGAGCAAAAUGUGUAAGCAGGUUCUCAAUGGGUCAAUUUCUAUUUCCUUGUAAUCAAUCAUCCACAUAGGUCUUCUUCAACCAUGUUUUGUCCUUUGUUUAUCACCUCUUUAGCUGCAAUUGGGCUUUGAGCAUCAACAAGGACAUUUUUGGGUAACUUCGAGUUAUUGAACAUUUCCCAUAGGUUGUUGCCUUAUGCCAUCAUCAUCAAAAUCUAUUGGAAUACGUUUUUCAACACCAUUCUUGUUCCAAAACCAAGUUCAUUCUUAAUAAAAAAAAUAUCGUGACUAAUAAUGAUUUUCUUUAUGCUAAGAUUAUAUAGCUUAUAAGCCUUUGACUGAUCAUUAAUACCAAGACAAAUGCAUAUUUCUCCCUUGUCAUCUAGCUUUUUCCUCUUCUCAUCUAGAACAUGGACAUGGGUAUAGGCUAUGCAACUAAAAAUUCUAAAGUGUUAGGGUCUUCAUCUGUUCCAUGUUUCCUAUAGUGUUAUAUUUUGAACAAUAAAUGUUGUACUUCUCUUCAAAAUAUGAAUGCUCCAGUUGAUAAUGUUAGGCUAGAAACUCUUCAAAACUCUAAUCCUUGCCAAAAGACUUCACACCUCGUUAAGAAUCGUGCAAUUAUUCCUCUCGCAUACAUCAUUUUAUUGAGGCUAAUAGGCCUCUAUAAGUUGUCUUUUGAUGCCAUGAGUCUCAUAAAAAUUUGCAAAUUCAUAUGAGUUAUAAUCUCCCCCAUAAUUAGUGUACAAUAUUUUUAUUAAGCUAUUGACUUCUUUCUCAACAAGUGCUUUAUAAAGUUUAGAUGCUGCAGACACCUCAAAUUUUUCCUACAAAAAAUACACCUAAAAUUUUCGAUUAAAAUUAUCAAUGAAGGUAAUUAUGUAUCUUUUACCUCCAUUAUUUGGAAGAUGGAUUUAUUUGUCCAUAAAAGUUAGAAUAAGCCAACUCUAACGUCUUCUUUGUUCUCCAUGACUUUCCUUAUGGAGAUUGAUUGUGGUGUUGUUGGCUAACAACACAUAUUCAACAAAAACUUGUUGAGAGCAUUCAAUUUGAGAAAGCUUAAUCACCAUAUUUUUUUGCUGCAAUGUCUUGAGACCAACAAAGUUUAGACGCCCAUAACAAAAAUGCCAAAGCCAUGCUACAUCCUUCAAUUGAGUAGACACUACAAGAAAUUUCACCCUCUACCACAAAAUUUUUGGCCAUCAAUAUAAUUUCAUCUCUAAAGAUGAUAUUGGGAGACAAAAUUCAAGUUUGUUAUGAAAAUUUGUGUCUAAAGUUUUAAUUGAAUGUGACAUGAGGCCAAAUUAUUUGUGACGACAUCAUAAAUUUUAACAACAAAAUAUUUCAUGGUGAAAAAUAUAUUGGGAGACAAAAACCUAGUGUUGUCCCAAAAGGUAAAUAAUGGGUAACAAAAUUAUGUUGUUGUAAAAUAGUUUUGGAGAGAAAAAUCUUAACAAUGGGAGACAAAAAUAUUGUCCUAAUAUCACUAGAUGAAGGAACAAAGAAAAUUAUUGGGGAGGAAAUUGUUUUAUUGUAAAAACUCAAUAUUGGAGACAAAACUAUUUCAUCCCCAUUAAAAUGCAUUUUCCUUUUUCAAAAUGAAUUUAUCAUUUUUAAAUUUAUUUAUACUAUUGAAUACUUAACAUGAUUUAUUUGUUUUUUGAGAAAGUUUCAUAAUACUUUAAUAUUUAUGAAACAACACAAUUAUUAUUAAAGAAAGUAAAUAUUAUUUAGAAAUAAUGUGAUAUUGUCAUAUUAUAAUAUUAAUAUAAAUAUAAAUAUAAAUAUAUAUAUAGUAUUAAAAUUUAAAUAUAAUGACAAUUUUUAUUAUAUUUAAAUUUUAAUAUAUAUAUAUAUAUAUAUAUAUAUAUAUAUAUCAAUAUGUAAUAAUAUUUAAAUUUUAAUACUAUGUGUAAUAAAGUAAGAAUUUAAAAUUUUUUUAGCUAAUGUUGAAUCUUCAAUUCUGGAUAUCAUACUCAUGAUAUGUGAAAUGUAAUAUUUGUUUAAUAAAAAUAUUAUUUUAUUUAGUAUAUAACUUGAAAUUAUAUAUAAAAGAAUUUAAUAUGGAUUAAAUUAAUUACCUAAAAAAAAAAAGGGUUACAAUGUUUGGACCAUAAUAUUAUUAGUCUUCUUCUUGUUCUUGAGUACAAAAACACAAAGAUUAAUCUAGAAUGUAUAAUAUGGUAAAAUUCUAAUCAUAAUAUAUUUUAUUUUUAUAAUAUUUUAUUUUAUUAAUGAAUUUAUAAGAUAAUAACAUUUUUUUUGUAAAUUCUAUUAUAAUAUAACCAUCUAUUAUUCUUCUAAUCUUAUACUUCCUAUAAAAUAACUUUUUUUCUUUUUCUCUAAAUAAUAAUUUCAUUUUCAUGUAAAUACUUUGAACAAUCCUUAAUAAUAUAUAAUAAAAUAAAACAAAAAUAGAUUGAGAUUCAUUUCCAUGUUUAUAACUUGAUAUUUUAUAUAUCUAAAAAUGUUCAAUUAGGAAUUAGGAUUAAAUUGAUUAUAUUAUGCAAAAAUAAAAAAAUUAGUUACCAUGUGAGAACCCUAAUUUUAUUAAUCUUCCUUAUGUUAUUUACAGAUAAAAAUCAAUCCAAAUUGCGAAUGUACAAAUAAAAUAAUUUUAGUUAAUAGUAUAAACAUUUAUUACUUACCUACUUUUGUUGUUCCCAUAAAAUCAUCUCAUGUCUUUAUUUGUAAGUAAUUGAUUUCAAUGUCAAUAUUCUAAAUUAAAGUAUAAAAUAAAUUAAAAAAUAUUACAUUAAAAUAACUUAUUUUGUAUAUAAAUUUUUAUUUUAUAUAUCUAUAAAAGUCAAAUUUGGAUUAAAUUGAUUAUACAAAAAUAUAAAAAGGGGUUUGACAACCAUAACACUAUUAGUCUUCUUCGUAUUAAAGUAGAAAAAUGAAUCCAAACUCUAAAUGUAAAAGAUAAUGAAAUUUUAAUAGUAAGUUACAUUGGCUUUUUCAUAAUAUUAUAUUUUAUUAUAAUUCAUAUAUGAAUUUAUAAGAUAAUGACAUUUUAAUAAUGAUUUAUUUCAAUUCUUCUUUUUUUUUUCUUCUUAAUUUUCUAAUUGAUUUUUUUUUAAAAGAAAUAUAAAAAUUUAUAUAUGACUUAAAGUUGAUAAAAAAAAUUCAUUUCUCUUUUAAUAAUUUAACAAUAUAAUGUUUUACCAAUCUCAUCUUUUCUAUAAAAUCAUCUCAUUUCCUUAAUUUUUUUAUAGAUAUUUCUUAUGGUUAUUCUUUAGAAAAAAAAAUUCUAAUGUUAACUAUAUAAGACAAUAAACUUAUAUUUUUAAAAAUUAAUCCUUUAUAAAAAAAGACUUUUAUAAAAGUUUUAGUUAAUUCUAUAAUAGUAUAAGUAUCUAUUAUUUACGCAAUCUUGUUGUAGACCCCCUUUGGUGGUAAAAGGCUCGGGGGGAGGUGAUUUCGAAAGACUUCUCAUUAUAUUUAGAAGGGGUAGGGGACCCCUAGCGGCUGAAGGAUGGACCCCUUCUCUAGGCACGGACGUGCAGCUGCAGGGGGGCGGUUGCAAGCCCAUGCUUGCUGAUGCAUGAACAGGGGAGGUGGGUGAUGGUUGGCUGAAGAGAGAAAACAGAGAAGAAGACGUCUACGAGGGGGGUGGUUUUUGCAGGAGAGACGACUAGUGAAGGAGGAGGAAGGAUCUUUCUGCUGAUAGCUUGUAAGUAUUGCUCUGUUUCAACUCCCUUUCACAUUUCCUUAUUCUUUUGUUGCAAAAUGAUUCAUGUUUGGUCCCAAGGUGGUGAUUGAUAGUCAUGCAUUAGUUUAUUUUCCGUUCGUUCUAUUGGUUUUUCAAUCUGUUGAUGAUGCAUGAAGUGAGGUUACAACAAUUAAAUCCUCAGACCUCUCAUCCUUGCUCGGUUUCUUAGCGAUCUCUUUCUCCAUACUUCUUAUGCUACCAACCCCCUGCUCAUGCACACGUGGACUGCACACCCACUCCUACCCUCCAUUUUCCCUUCUCAUUUUCCUCUCGUUCUUCUCACUCCUCAAAACACCAGAAGUAGACGUCUACCAGGAUAGCAGCCGAAGAUGCUCAAAACUUCAAUCCCCAUUUCGAGCCUACCGCCAAAGCUCCAAAAAUCCUAGCAAAUGGAGAGCCUCCGAUGCAGUUCUGAGAGCACGAGGCUCUCUUGCGGCGCUCCGGCGAGUCCCAUGCAUCUCGCGUUCCACGUGAAGGCGUCGCCAUCAACUCUCCCCUCACCGUCGCCGCCCUUUGAAAACACUCUACCCAGCCCGCCCGCUACACACUACAAGGAAAAUGUCAAAAGAUGACGCUUUUUAAGUGUCAAGAUAGAUAUAAGAUGACGCUUUUUAAAAGCGUCAUAUAUUAGACUGUCAUCUUUUUAAAUCGCAUACGUUGACACUUUUUAGAAGCGUCAUCUUCUUUGCACGUCAACCAUGACGCUCAUAGUAAGUGUCAUUAUUUGAAAUAUUGACGCUUUAUAAGUGUCAUCAUAUGUUAAUAAUUUCAUUCAUGUCAAUAUUGACACUCAAUGAAGUGUCAUUGUAUAGGUAGAAGCAACAUUGACACUCAAUAUAAGUGUCAUCUUAUAACUUUUUAUUUGUAGGAGCAACGUUGACACUUAAUAAAGCGUCAUUGUAUAAGUAGAAGCAACAUUGACACUCAAUAUAAGUGUCAUCUUAUAGCUUUUUUAUUUGUAGGAGCAACAUUGACACUCAUAAUAAGUGUCAUCGUAUAGCAUUUUAUACCUUGACACUAAAAAAAAUGCCAUGUUUUUUUAACAUCAACCUUGACGCUUUUGAGAGGUGUCAUCUUCUGUUUAUUCAAGUAAAGCAUGAUGCUUUAAAAAAGCGUCAUCUUAUCUCAUAUAAAAUUUUAAUAGCCCAGAAAUUAAAAUGUCCUAAUUAUGCCCUGUUUUAUAAUUUUCUAUCAACAAUUAAAUUAAUAAUAAAAACUUAAUUUAAGAAUCUCCAUUGACAAAAAGGAUCAAAUAUGGUCUUCCUUUUUCACUAUUACAAUUUAUCCAUAAACAUCAUAUAUAAUCAACAACUAAAACCAACAAUUUUACAACUUCUUCUUCUCAACUUUGAAUUGUUCAUAACCUUCACUACAUCUAGUUUUACAUCAUUUUUCUUCCAAGUGCAAAAGGAUGGUUGUAACUCACUUUCUAGAUGCUCAAUCUGCAAAAUAAUUGAGAGGGUUACAUAUUUAUUAGUAUUAACAAAUAGUUAAGAAGCAACUUUGUAAAUGAAAUGUGUAUAUGCCAAUUUUUAAAUUUCCAAAAUAUCUUUCUUCCAUUGCAAUAAAUUUCAAAAUAUCAAAAGAACUCAACAAACUCCAAUAAUUUUAUUACACCAAAUUUCUAAAUAUUUUAGAACUCUCAUUCUAUUUUUUUUUUUUAAAAAAAAGUUUUUAUCUCAUUGACUAUUUUGGUAUGAUUUUUAUCUUAUUUAUGAAACUUCAACCAUUAACAUCUUCUCAUUCUUCUUAUAGGUUGUACAAGACAUUAGAUGUUUUGCAUGAGAAGAAACUAAGGAAUGAAAAAAAAAAACAAAAAAAACUAGAAGUCCGAAAAAUUGUAAAAUUGUAAAUUAACAUAUUUAUGUAAAAUUAUAAAAUUGUGUUAAAAUAUCUAUGUUCUUCUUAUUGUAUUAGUAUAUCAACAUUUAAUAACAUGAGGAUAUCUAUUAUCUAAAUAUGGAACUUGCAUGAAAUGAUCUCUAAACAUGGAAUUGAUUCAUAAAACUUACAAUAACCACAUGUUACCUCAAAAUUCUUUUGAUGAUAUAUUUUGAAUUGUUUGUGGGUGUCCUUCAUCAAGAGUAGAAGUGAUGUUGUUAAUAGAAUGACCUAUGCCUUUUUGUACAACCUGAAGAAUAUAUAAUAAACAAUUUAACAACCAAUUAGUAAGAGGUGCUAUUUCCUUCCAUAGGCUUAUUUGUAAGAAGUCUUAAACUAACUUCCUAUUUUUUAAGUAAAAGAAAAUGGAAGUACAAGAUAUUAUAGACUUUAAGCCCAUUAGUAUAGUAGGAGACCUUUAUAAAUUUAGAUUAAAGAAGUUUAUAAAGCUAGUAAUCUUAAAGACCAAAAAUGCUUUUGUAGAGAAUAGACAAAUUCCUAAUUCAUGCACAUGUAAUGAAACUAAAGGCUCUACGAAAAUGAGCUUGGACAUGUAGGAAUUUUUGUAGCUAUGCUAUUGUAGGAUUUCUCCAAAUCUAACUGAUAAUAAUUUGUAGAGGAAAUAUACAAAAGUUGUUACACCUACCAUGUCUACUUGGCUUCACCUCUCAAUAUGCCAACUAUACAUCAAUCAUAAUAGAGCAACCCCCAAAAUGAUCCAUAUUGAAAACACUGCCAACUAGAAGUACAAAGAUAUACAUUAACAAAUUAUCAUUGUGAAUAAAUCCAUUAUAAAAUUAACAUUAACAAAAUAUUGACUACAUCUUUAAAAGAAUAUGAAGUUGUAUUAGACUAUAAGUUAUAAGAGGUACCUUCAAACAUGAGUAAUGAUUAACUGAGUCACUAACAUAACCCAAUCUGAUUGAACUUCAUUAAUUUCCAUUUCACUAUAUGAUUUCUUCCCGCAAAACUGAAUUGGAGUGACAUAUACAAUUCACUAAGUUCAAUUGACCAAAAAAAAAAAAAAAAUGCUAUAGUAAAAUGACCAACCAUAUGAAUUGAAUUGAGUGCAAACCUUUGAUGUUAGUUGGUUUGGAUUAGCAAUGAUUUCCUUCAUAUAUCUCAUCACGUAAUACCCACAUUCCACACUACCUGGUUGUCUUGGGCACUAUGGGAAAAGUAUCAACAAUUGCAAUAAACACUAGAAUGAUGUUCUUACUUCUUUAGCAUCUUAUUGAUGAUCAUAUUAAUAACCAUCCAUUUUCUAAUUUUGUCAUAAAUUAAGUGGUGAAGCAAUAUAUUUUAAUCUAAACAAAUAAGUACUUACAACCACUUUCACCCAAGUUGGCUCCCUCUUUGAUGUUUUCUGUUUUUCCGGUGGGUUGAUUCUCAUUGCCCUACAAAAAGAAUUAAAAAGAUGUUAUAUAGACACUAUCAAUUGUAUUAAAAUAGGAGAAAAUAUAUACUUACAUGUUAACUAUGUCCUUAAGAUCAUCACAUGGUUGACAGGCCAUUGGAUUAAGGUAAUAUGCAAUCAUUUUCUUCAUCUCCAAUGCCACUAACACCCAAUGGAAACUAAAGAAAAGAAAUGAAAAUUGUAAUAUAGUAUCCACAAAUUCAAACAUCACAAACUAACUUACAAACACCAUAUUGAUAUUUAGGAUAAAAGGUUACUCUGGGUUGUAUGGAAUAAGCAUAUAUUCAGCAUGCUUUGUAUUCUUUAGUCGAUCUGCAAUAACCCUUGACCUGUUUUCCUUGCUUCCCUCUCCCAUUCCAGCUUUUGAGACCAAUACUGGAUUGACAAAAACAUAUCGUUCGGCCUGCUAUGCAUCAAUCAACUUUCUAUGCAAAUGCUUGAUUAUAACCCACAUGACAAGUUAUCAACAAUCAUUAUAGGUCAUUAGAAAAUAACCUUCUAUCUCAUAAUCUUGUGAAAAGUCAUUCAAAAAUUAUAAAAUCCCUUACCAAAUGUAGUAUAAAAUACAAUUGGAUGACACUUCUUUUGAUGAUAUUAUCAUUUCCAUAUCUUCUUUCAUCAUGAAGGUCUUGAAACUCUCACCAAAAACAUCAUCUGGGAAGUUUAUAGGGUAUGUUCUUGAUGUACUCAGAAUGAGGCCAACCAAUGUCUCAAAAUUUUUCAUAUCUUGUGGUUUUUCACCCUUGGAUUUGACUUCAACUUCAUUUACUUUUUGUUUCUUUGCUUUCUUAGAUGCUUGUACAAUUAAGAACCAUGGUACAAAUCAAAUUAACUAGUUUAUAUAUAUAUAAAGUCACUAUAAACUUUGGUAAUUAAAUUUACUUACUAAGAUGGGAGUACGGAUGAUGACCAAAUUAGUUGGCCACAAAACUUGGUAACCAAUUGCAGCCCCAACAGUAGUAGUUUGUCCAGGAAUAGGAAUGGGAAGGGGUGCACUUGAAUCAUAAGGAGCAUCAACAACUACUAAAUAGUUGGGACCACAUUCAAGUAUAAUUGUUCCACCUGCCACUAUAUUUUCCUUGGUGCCUAUGGCUGUAGACCCCCAUUUUGGGAACCUCACUUUUGUGCAUAUUUUGCAGCUCUUUUUGCCAGGUGUCGCAGCUGUGAGCAGCCACGUGUCGACUCCCGUCUGGUUGCUAUGGCAUCAGAUGGUGGAAUCAAGGAGCAAAUAAGAGGUUGACACGUGUAAAGGAGAUUUUGCAGGCGGUUAGGAGGAGCGUAUGAGAGAGGGGAUAUUCUGCAGAAAGUGAGGUUGCUUUUGGGAGGUUGGUUAGGAGAUAUAUUCUAGGAGGGCAUAUCCGGGAGAGAACAAAAAUAAGAGAAAAGGGGAUUGGUUGGUGGAAAGGGGCUGCAGAGUGUAGUGGUGCUGGUGGCUGUUGCUGCAAAGAUGGUUGGAGGGGCAAAUCCGGGAGAGAAAAGAGAUAUCGCCUAGAAGAGGAAGGCAGCUAGGAAGGGAUGCAGGGGGGUGGAGAGUCUGUUAGAGGGGGAGCGUCUCUUGCAAGUGGGCAGGAUUUUCAUGCUGGUCUGAGAGAUUUUUCAGGCAGGGUGAGUGGAGAUAUUGAUUUUUGAGGGGAAGAGGAGAAGAUCUUUUGAGCUGAGGAAGGUAGCAGGCUGCUAAGGAUUUGGAGAGGGGAGAGCUUUUGUUUGGGUGUUUUUUUUGGGAGAAAGGAUUCUGGAGAGGAAGCAGUAAAGCUUCUUUUGUGAGAGAGAACGAGGGAGAGAGAACAGAGAAGGUGGGGGCAAAGAGCGAGAGGGGGAGCUUGGGAGAGUAUUCGUUUGGUGUGGAGCAGCAAACUGUGAGGGAGAAGUUGGAAGCUGCAAGAAAUGUGAGUUUUUGGAGAGCUUAGAGAGUGAUAUUUCUUUAGGGCAUUGCUUGACAAGCAAGCCGGACAGGAGAAGAAGUUUUCUUAGAGCUUGAGGAGAGCUCAGAGAGAAAACCAGAGGGAACUUGCUGGUGAGAAUAGGAGGGGAUAUCUUUUUCUUUUCUAGAGGUAGCAGAGUGGAGAGGAAACAAGUUUGAAGGUAAGCAUCUCGGGAGUAAAAGGACUUCCUCAGGUAUGAUUGCUAUAGGCUUAUUGAUUGUUUUUGGCUGUUUAUCACUCUCAUAUGUCUCUUGUUGAUAUUUGAAUAUUUGUUGAUUUGCUUGGGGUGGAUAAUGGAGGCCACUUAUUGCUUGUUGAAAUAUAAUCCUGCCUACAUGUUUACCACUGUUAACCUUAGUGUGUUUUGCUCCUAUUAUGAAAAUGCCCAUAGUUGCCUUUGAAAUGUUGUUUCUCACCUAAUCAGAGGGUUCACGGAUGACUCAUGAAGUGAAACCUCUGAAAAUCACCUUUACUCAUUUUCUUUUGCGUUCUUUUCAAUGGCCUUUUUCUUUGUUGUGACCAAUACUUUGCUUCUGGGCCUCGUUCAAUGUAAUGGUUGUAAAAAAAAGUAGAUCUGGGUCUGGCUGUGUACUCAUUCAGAGAUCAAAUAUGUUGGGAAGAGACUAUGAUUGGGUGAUGAGAUUCUACUAUGAGGUUCAAGGGAGGUUCAAUCGGUUCAAUGAUGCCACUCUGAAUUUGUUGAUAUCCUAUGUGUGUAGAAGAGAUGCUCAGUGGGACUCCUUUGGGUAUCAAAACUCUGUUUCUCCCAGAUAUCAGUGGCAUGCUUAAAGGUAUAUUAUCAAGUCCUGGCCUGGUUGUAAGUAUAUCUAUUUCAUCUGCUGGAUUCUUGCGAAGAAAUCUCCCUCUAGUAGUUCUGGGAAAUGGGAAGACGUCAAUGGGAAUGUGUCUGUGGUUUCUGCUCAUGAGAAUAUAUUGAGUGAUCAGCCUGAGUUGCUGCAGCGACUUGGAAAGGACCUUUCUUUUGUUCCAAUACUGAUCUAUGACCCAUUGAUAGAAGUCUACUUGGCAGAUUUUUGAAGAUGGAGAGGCUCGAAAACCAUCUAUGCAUACUGAUGUAGGUCCCGUGUCUGAGACAAGAGGUGCAGAAAAUACCGAUUAUGCUGAUUUUAAUAAUAAAAACGGUGGGAUUUCUUGGGUCUUUAUUGUGAUGGUUGCCCUAUGUCACUCCCUCAUGAGGAAGAAGACACCAAAACAGAAUAUCUCGGUGAAAUGAAUUAUGGUAUCAGCAGGGAAUGUCUCAAUGUCGUUACUGAUGAGUAAACUGACAUGGUUGCUGAGAAAGGCGUUUGUUUCGACAAGUCAACAACAGUUGAAAUCCUGGAAGCUGUUCAUAAUCCCUGUCCCGUGGCAUUUGAAUACCCAAGGCACCUGUCACUAAGCCAACCUCAUGACUCCCCAUCCGUAGUCCUACAGCCGCAAGUGUUGUUCCAUUCUUGCAUGGUCACUCACCAAAGUUUCCCUCUCCAUUGAAUCCAAAUAUCCUCACACCAAUCAAGCCCACCCACUAAUCCAAUCCAUCUUUCAUCCAUCCCACUCUCUACCCUACACGCAUGGCAAACCCAUUUUUUUCUUAAUAUCCAUCUAAACCCAUCUCUCACUCAUGUUCGUGUCUUACCCACGUUCCAGCUCACUACAUUUCUUCAUACCCAUUGCCUAUAGCCAUACCCAUAUUUCAUAAUCUCCCAUGCAUGUUCAUUUCUUGAAAACCCAUUAAACCCUCUGAACCCAUAUUUGUUUGGCCAUGUAUGGCCAUACAAGACGUUUCCACCAAGCUCAUUAUCCCUGGAUAUUCAUAUCCGUUUCCUGUAGUUGGGCACUUGUCCCAAUUCACGUGACUUCAAUGGAGGCUGUGUUGAUGGAAGAUGUCAUUGCUUUCUUGGAUUUCAUGGUCAUGAUUGCAGUGUAUACGAAUGGAUGCUUGGGCAUGAUAACUGCCUAUAGAAGGUCUAAGCCAUAUGCAGAUCCUGAUGCAAAGAAGAUUGAUGAUCAGGGUGAUGAGGAAGUGCCCAACAAGAUGCCGAGGAAUCCAAGAAGCUGCUACCAUACCCAUGUCACCAUGCCUUACAAAUCCACUCCGUUUCUCCACCACCUUUAUGGAUUCUACACCAUCACCUAUCUAUACUCAAACCGUUGCCCCAUUUCUCUCACUAAAUCCCGCCACCCAGUCCACUCAUUGAUUGAGGAGACCAUACCCAUAUGCAUGAUCGUUUUAACGCAUGCAUGACCUUCUUGAAAGACACGAAGAUGUUUGGCGCGCCUAGAGCUUGACUGGCCACAUGUGAUGAGAUUCUUCUUUGCUGCCUUCGUCACGAUGAAGCUGUGAGCAUGAUGAGAAACCUCUUUGAUCAGCGCGAAUUAGUUAGAUAUGAUGACGAGUGUAGUCUAUCACACAGAGCAACUUGUUAUUCUAGUUUGUACAAAUCGUAACAUCAAUAUGGGAAGGUAUUUAUGUGAAAGGAAGCUGCAGGUUGUGAAAUAUUAACAUUGGUCCAAAUGUAAGUGAUCCUGGCUAUUUAGAUUUGGUAAGAAUCCGCUUGCUUCAAAAGAUACAGGUGAGGGAAUGUGCUGAGUUACUUGGGAUAAGUCUAUCAUUUAGAGUCCCAUUUGAGAUUGUGGGUGAUGUCAUGCUUAUGCAACUCUCCUGCAUUCAGCAAAGAGACAAAUCAAUUGUGGAAACUCCAAGGUAGACGUCACGUGGCGCAUUGAUAGAUAUUUGUGGAGUUUUUCAACUAGUUCAAAGGUGUCAUUGCAUGAAGAAUAACUGUAGCCAAGGAAAGGGCUGAUCUGGACGUUCUCUAUAUCAGAGCAUCAAAAUGGGAAUAUCAAGGUGCCGCUAACACACUCAUCACUAUCAUGUUUGCACAAUCAAAAGAGGAUGGAGUCGACCUAAUCGAACACGGACAGACCCAGACUGAAGACUUGCUGAGAACAGAGGCUCAGGCUUUGGGGUUAAGGUAAUUUCAAUAUGCCUAGGGAUUCUCAUUUGUGCCACUCAGACUCAAAAUAACCUCUGUAAGAAAGGAAGAGGGAUGAGAAAGCUGGCUACAGAGAUUCAAAGGAGAGUCACUACGAUUCAAGCUUCUUGGAUAACAUGCUGUUCAGAGAGUUUGCCAUAGAGUUUUGAGUUUUUGUUGUGAAAAGAUGGAUGAGAAUAUGUCGGUUGGUUGUGAGUAAGAAUUUCUAUGCUCGGCAUGCCAAGUCAGUAAUAGUUGAAGAUGGGAUCUAAAGGGCAAGCAAGGCUCAUAGCAUCGUGGCCUGAUUCAGUGACUAUUCUGGCAUCCAGUCAAACCUUCAGGGCAUGUAUCGCAUGGUCACCUUCAGGCAUACUACUUUGCCCAUGUGUCCUUCUCACUUCCUCCUUUCAUCUAUUUUAAAAAAAUAAUUUCCCACACUCUCAUUCCUCAAAAAUAAUUUUUCAAUUUCCAUUUUGUAAAUAACUCUUCAAAUUUUGAUUUUCAGAUAAAUUUCAACUCUCCUCCUUCAUCCUUAGAACCCCUUUGGUUCCAAAGUCUCUUUUUCCAAUAAAUCUUUGUUGCCAUAUUUCCUUUCGGCAUACAAUUUUCACAAUUCUUUUGUUUUUUAAAAUGUUUUAAAAUAAGCUAAAAUCAAAUUCCAUAAUUCUAAGUGAUAGAGUUUGCGGAAUUGAUUUAUGCAAAAAUGAAUCGGGCUUUGAUGGAGGCCCCACAUAUUUGACUUCAUGAUUGAUUGACUGAUUGAUAGAUUUAUUUGCCAUGCUUGAUUGGUUUACUCUAUUCCUUGAUAUGCGCUUAAUUAUAUCUGUUCAUUGUUCACUAAUCAUGUUUCAUGAUAGCGCGUUCGUGAUUGCCGCCCAGGUGCGCAUCUAUUCAUAUUUCGCCUAUUCUUUAUACAUGCUUUACUUCUCAUAUUGUGCAUGAUCAAUUUGAGUAUUCAUCAAUUUUCUCAUUGAUUGCCAUGUUAGCUUCAUUCUAUUAGUAGAGACCCGACUUUAGGGACUUAGAGGGGUGCUACGGUUUUUACCGUACCUUCCCGAUAAGUAACCUGACCCCCGAACCCGAUCCGGUUUUUCACAGACCGCCUUUUCCAAAAUAAGGAGUCACACUUAGGGUUUUUCUUUCUUAUUUUGUUUACCCUUUAAAAAUAAAACAAAAAUAAGUGGCGACUCCAAGUCAUUUUUCUUAAUCAAAUAAAAUCAAUUUUUCAAAUAAAAAUCGAGCUCGCCAUCGAGUGGGAAACGCAUUGAGCCGAAAAUGCGGGGUCCACAAUGGCCAGCUCACAUUUUCUAACCUACAAAACUCAAUUCACAAUAAUCACUUCAAUAUUAGUGGGUUUAUACAAAACUAACAUAAAUGCAUUAUCAUCAUCAAUCACCUUAUAGCUCCUAUUACAAUGAUAAAUGCAAUUUCAUUUACAUUCAAUUGCAACAAACUUGCAUGAUAACAUUUCAGUCCAUUGCAUAUAACUCAACCCAUAAUUUAGACAUAUCCUAUUAUAUGUUGCCACAUCAAAGAAGACCAUAUAUGUUGCCACCAACAUUUGAAGUCAAUUCAAACAACAAAAUUAAAUUAAAUUAUUUCUCGUAUUAGAGGAAACUUUGUCAUCAAAUUAGCUUAAUUGAAUAAAUACCUUCUUCUGUGGUUCUAUUGCUUCUGGUGGGGUCACAUCUUCAACUUUACGGAUUGCCUUAUCCACUGCUUCUGGUAGGAGAAGUUGUUUUUGCUUCAUGUUUGAACUACUAACAUCAGAUUGGGGAGUAACAACUCCUACUUGAGUCAGUUUUGCUAGCACUUCUGCCUGAAAUAUUCUUUGUUCUUCUUUAGAUGCUGCUAUGAAAUCCCUGACAGCACGAUCUACAGCACUAUUGAAAUAUUGGCGAGGUGUGUAGUGCUUCCCUUUGGCCCUAACUCGACCACUAUACUCAGGAGUACCCAAUGCUUCCACAAGUAUAUCAUUACUUCCACUAACACUUCUACCAUUCUCUUGAGACACUUUCAAUAGCUUGUCCUUAAAAAAUAUUAAUUAUAAAGUUAAAUUGCAAAUUUGUUAUUGUAAAUAACUUAUUAUAAAUAUAUGUAAUUAAAAUUGAAAAAUAUUCACUUACUAUUUUCUCAAUUACUGGUAUGGCCACUUCAUCAAAGGUGUCGUCCUUUUUUUCCCUUGCUUUCUUCCAUAAUAUGCUUCGAUCAAUAGUUUCAGUUGAUCCACUUGCAACCAUCUUUCAAAAUAGGACAAUGUAUAAUAUAAUUAUCAUAUAACCCUAUUAUGUAUUAUGCAUAAAAUAAAUAAAAAACAAUUAAUAGGCUUAUACUUACCAUCUCUUCCUCAAGACCGGCAUAUCCUUUCCUACUUAGAUGGUGAUUAUAAAUGUUUCUCUUUCUUCUUUCUUUUUGAAUUUCUCGAUAUUCCUAUAAAUUAAAAUUUUAUAAUUAAUGAAUGUGAAUAAGAGGUAUGUAAAGAGUCUUAAUUAUACCUUAAAGUUGUCAGACAAUCUAUCUUUGACAAAUAUUGUCCAAUCUUCAUCCUCAAUAAAAGUAUAUUGAAUUGGUGGUCUUUUGAGGAGCUCCGGUUGGUCUUCGAAAGGAAGAAUGUACUUCACUGUUAGCAAGUUCUUAAAGGACCAAAAGCAUUUUCCCAUUGUUACCAUACAAUUCCUCCUGCUUUUAUGAUUUAAUGAAAAAGCAGUUUGCACAUUAAUACCAAACUUUAGUAAUUUCAAGAGGUUAAGAAUGAUAGACAUUUUGCAUCAAAGUGAUUUAAAUAAGAAAUGGUUACCUCAAUGUUGUCCCAUAACUUAUCCUUCAACUGUUUAGGUACAACAUGCCAAUUUUUAUAUCUUAUUGGCACCAUAGUGCGUGCUAACACGCCUAAGUAGCUUGUUAGAUGAACUGCUGAUUCUCCUAUGAAAAUGCCAUCAAGAUUGUACUUAACCGGCAACUUAACCCCCUUGCUUCUGUUUUUUAUAAUCAUAUGCUUCUGUGUCAUCCCUCUGUACUUCCUUUUUAUGGGUUUUUCUCCUUUCUUUGUCUCCAUUCUUGUAACAAAAAAAAAAUAAAAAAUGAUAAAGAUUAGUUAAAAUUAUAUUGCAUAUAACCUAGUCAAAGAAUAAUUGUAAAACAUAACUUUUCAAAGAAACAAAUCCAUAAUCAUUGUACAAUGAAAUGCAAUAGAUCAUGAAUUCAAUAGAUCUUUUUAGAAUUGUUCAUCAUAUAACAAGGAUAACACUUCAUUUAAACUUUUUUUUGUCCCGUUUUGUUUAACAUUUCAUUUAUUUUAAGCAACCCAAGGGCCUUUGUAUAAGAAAGCUAAAUUUGCAGUAGGAAUUUCCUAUAAGAAUCAACAUGGAAGGAGCACGUGGUUUCAACAAGUUCAUCAAGUCCAUAAGAACUUAUGAAAGCUUUUGGACUAUCGGUUUGCGUUACAUUAAGUUUGGAAAACACAACAUGCAUAUUGAUAAUAAAAAAUUUCAUAAUUUUUUUACUCACAAACAUAACUAAUUUAGUAUCUUCCAUGCACAAUUUAGGGAAAAGGUUUUAGUAAAUAUGUUAUUGGGAGAUGUUAAAGAAUGGUCAAUAUUUUGUGCAAAAAAAUAAAGAAAGGAUAAAAAUUACCUAUUUUGUGGCUGUUGCAACCCAUUCCAUGGCCUUUAUUCAUACAUUAGCAUUAAAAUACAGCUACAUAGAGGAUUUGUUCUCAAUCCAAAUCCCCUCACAAUCGCCUCGCAUACAUGUUGCAUCUGAGUCAUCCAUUACAUCAAGCGCUUCAAUUUGUGGCAAUGCCCCUAUAAAGGGAUGGUGUUUAAUCGAAUUGUCAACAAAGUCUUCACCUCCUUCCAUAUCCAAGAAAUCUUUUUGAGGAGUUGACAAAACAACUGACCAUCUUGGAUCAAGUUGGUCUUGCACAUAAAAUACUUGCUUAGCUUGGGAUGCCAAAAUGAAAGGAUCUGAUUUAUGAGCAAUUUUGCUAAAGUCAACUAAUGUAAAGCCAAGAUCAUCAACUUUUAUGCCAUUUUUAUUAUCAACCCUAUCACACUUGAAAACUGGUAUCCUAAACAUGGUAUAAUCAAGGUCCCAGAUCUCGGUAAUAAUGCCAUAGAAACAAAGCUCACCAAACACUGGAUUUUGAUCAUUUGCACUUGCGAUUUGCAUUGUUGAAGCUACAAUACUAACUCCACUAUUUUGGGUAGUUCGUAAGUCAUCUCGUUCCUUGGUAUGGUAUCGACACCCAUUAAUGACAUAUCCAUGAUAUUUAGAGACAUAAUAGCUAGGACCAUGAGCUAUCCACUUAAGGGUUUCAGAUAUAGGUUCAUUAUUACCAAUUGCAGCUUCAAUAUGUAAUUAUAAAUAAUAGUUAUUAUGUAUGUUAAACAUUAGUAAAAAGAAUACUUCACAUUUUAACACCAUUCCAAUACCUUUUUUCUCAACCAAUAAGUAAAAGUCCGCAGGUGUUCAUCCUGGAGCCACUUUUGUCUUUUUGAUUGACGAGGAUUUUUCAAUUUCAACCAUUCCAUGUGCUCUCUAUGUAAUUAUUUAUAAGAAAUUCAAAGUUAAUGUCUUAAAGUUAUUUUAAGUAUCAGACACAAAUAUUAAGUGUUAGUGGUUCUUACUCAAUAUAAGGUUGAACAAUAGUUGUAUUCUUUAAAACAUAAUGAUGUGCAUGUAACCACAAAUUGGAAUCAAUUGUCACAACUUGACCUCCAAGUAUUGGUGCCCCAACUUUUUGGUCAAUGUUUGCACUAAUAGGAAUCCCAAUCGCAUCCACAUUUGACAAAUACUCUAUACAAAAUUCAACAGCUUUCUCUGCAAUAUAGCAUUUAGCGAUACAACCUUCGGGCCGAUUACGGUUUCGUACAUACCCUUUCAAAACUUUCAUGAAUCUUUCAAAUGGGUACAUCCACCUUAGGUAAACUGGUCCACAAAGUCUCACCUCCCUUACAAGAUGUACAGUAAAAUGAAGCAUGAUAUCAAAGAAGGAAGGUGGAAAGUACUUCUCAAGCAAGCAUAAUGUCACCACCAAAUCAUUUUGUAACUUAUCCAGUGCAGACACAUCAACCACUUUGCUACAUAGAGCAUUGAAAAAAAACUCAAUCUACAAAUAGCAUGCCUUACAUGCUUUGGAAAAAGGGAUCGUAAUGACAUUGGCAAUAACUGUUGCAUUAAUGUAUGAUAGUCAUGCGAUUUAAGACCAUAAAGCUUCAAGUCUUCCAUUGACACAAGGUUUCUCAUGUUAGAGCAAUAACCUUCAGGAACCUUUAAUUGUGAUAAAGUUUGGCAAAAAACCUUUUUCUCCACUUUAGAUAACGUAUAACAUGCAGGUGGGAGAUAAGUUCGAUUUGAUUCAAACCUUGGCCCUAAUUCACACCUUAAGCCCAUCUCUAGCAAGUCUAGGCGAGAAUUAAGUCCAUCUUUCGUCUUACCUGGAAUGUUGAGUAAGGUACCAAUGAUGCUUUCACAAACAUUCUUCUCUAUGUGCAUUACAUCCAAGCUAUGACGAACAUGUAGGUAUUUCCAAUACUCAAGAUCAAAGAAUAUGGACUUUUUUUUCCAACAAUUUGUAGUAUUGACAUUCAACUUGCCUCGGGAGUUUUUAUUUUUUCCCCAUGAAUUAGAAAUGACAUCAAUUUUCCUUAGGAUUUCCUUUCCACUCAAUGGUUGCGGAGGUGAGCUAAACUCUUGUUUACCAUUAAAUGCCUUCUUUUGUUUCCUAAAAGAAUGGUUGCAAGGAAGAAAUCUUCUGUGACCUGUAUAUGAGUUCUUUUUCCCAUGCUUCAAUAUGUGAGAGAAUGUAUCUUGCCCACAUAUGGGACAUGCAAAAUAUCCUUUAACUACACAACCAGAUAAGUUUCCAUAUGCAGGAAAAUCAUUGAUUGUCCAUAGUAGAACAACUCUUAAUGUAAAGACCUUUUGCUGAUGCACAUCAUAACAUUCAACCCCUACAUUCCACAACAUUUUUAAGUCAUCCAAUAAUGGUGCUAAAUAAACAUCAAUGUCAUUUCCAGGUUGUCGUGGACCUGAUAUUAAUAAAGAUAGCAUCAUAAACUUCCUUUUCAUGCACAACCAAGGAGGAAGGUUGUAAAUGACCAUUAUAAUAGGCCAACAACUAUGUCUACUGCUCAUUGAACUAUGAGGAUUUAUACCAUCUGCUGAAAUGGCAAGUCUAAGGUUUCUAGGUUCUGAAGCAAAAUCAGGCCAUCUGUGAUCAACUAGCUUCCAUGAUGGGGAGUCAGAUGGAUGACGUAUUUUACCAUCAAAUUCUCUUUCUUGAGCAUGCCAUAUGAGGUCUUUUGCAAUUUUUGGGGACUGAAACAAUCUUCUAAAUCUUGGAAUAGGAGGAAAAUACCACAUUACUUUUGCAGGGACUCCCUUCCUCUUUUUAGUACCUGUUCCAUCUAACUUCCACCUUGAAGUUCCACAAGUAGGACAAGAAGUUGCAUCAUUCAACUCAUUUCUAUACAAUAUGCAAUCAUUGGGACAUGCAUGUAUUUUCUCAUAUUCCAUUCCCAAUGUAUUCAAUGUUUUUUUUGCUUCAUACAUAGAUAGAGGCAACUCAUUAUUUAGAGGCAACAUAUCUCCAAGAAUACUUAAAAGCUCUGAAAAGCUUUUAUCAGACCAUCCAUAUCGUGCUUUUAGGUUGUAUAAUUUGACCAAUGCAGAUAACUUUGUAAAGUUUCUACAACCAGGAUAUAAAGGUUUUUGAGCAUCUUCAAGUAAUGUUUCAAACAAUUUUGGGUCAUUCUUACGAUCAUCAUAUGCAACUUGAACUGUUUCUAUUGUACUAUCCACAUCGUUAAAUUCAACUGUAUGAUGCCAUUCUGCCCUACUAGUUGGUGGUCCACUUGGAGCAGCGUCUCCAUGCCAAUACCAUGUAUGGUAACUCUAAUCAAUUCCAUAGAAGAAUAAAUGUUCUCUAAUUUUUUGAGGAGUGUGGAAUAUCGUAUUACCACACUGAAGGCAUGGACAUUUCAUGGAGUUUUUAUAUGUGGAAUAUUGUAAUGCAAAUGCGAUAAAGCUUUCUACCCCAUCUGCAUAAUCCUUUGAUCUCCUAUCCUUUGACAUCCAAGAACGAUCCAUUUGAUGUACAAGAGAUAAACACAACUCCUAGAUACCACCAACAACUAAAGUUAUUAAUAAAAUCCUAUUAACAGGCUUAAAAUAUAUAAUCUACCAAAUUAAAAUUUCCCACAUUGUCACAAAACUUAGACCAAUCCAAAAAACGACAAUGUGCAAGUCAUCUAACAAUAAGCAAUAUGACAAGAAACAUAAUUAGUAUAUUAGGUUAUUCAAUAUUAGCAUAAAAAAUGGAUCUUAGUUCAUUCAUGAUGUUUGCUUUAUUCAUGAAUAGGAAUGAAAAGCAAGAUCUAACUUUUAGUCUUCUCUUAUAUUAUUGAAUACACUAAGUUUGAAAAUUUUAAAAACACAUAACCACAUGAGACAAUGAUACCAUGAACUAAAACAAUUAACGAAUGGAACUAAGAUUCGAAUGAAUAGAAGCAAGUGAUUUAUACAUGAUUUAGGCAUUCUAACAUCUCCAACAUCCUUAAUUAGGUGGUGGUUCCUAUCCCAUAUAGGAAUACAUAAUCCCUGUGUCAAUUGCCAAUAUACUUAAAUUCAUUUUAAAGAAAUUUCGGCAACAUUUCCCUAUAGUUCUCCAAGUACACAAAAUGGAUAAGGCACAAUAUGUGACCUUGUCCAAAUAUGCACCCAAAGAACAAGAAGAAAGACUACCAAAUUUUCUAAAAAUUGAAUUAAGAACAAGCAAUUAACUUCAUAGAUAUCAUGUUUUCCUAUACUGUCCAACUGGACAAUUCAAACAUCAUUUGCAGAGAAAAGAUCUUUAUCACAUGGAAGACAAAUUUAGUAGUUGUCAACUUGAAACUGGCUUAAAUAUACCCACAUUUCACAUUUUGACAACUUAUUGUCUUAGUAUGUAAUAAGAGAAACUUCUGUCUCACAAUGAUACUUGAAUGGGAAUUCUAAGGUUUCAUGCAUGCAUAGUUGAUUAAAACUAAAACAUAAAUACUUAUUAAAAUAUUACAUCUAGUUAUGUAUUAUAAAUUAUUCAUAUCAAUUGCAAUGGUGAGAAUAGGAAAAUAUUGUUUGUAAGCAUCACAUUUUAGGCCUAAGUUCACAAACUUUGCUAAAUCCAUUAAAGACCCACUACAUAAAGUUCAUGUUAAAAUUGGUUCAUCUCCAACCCCCAAAAUGAUUUAUCAAAGUUACUCAUUUUUUAGAGUCUUGAUUAAUUAGAUAAUCAAUAUAGAUACAUAUAAUUUGUAUUAAUAUAAUAUCAUGAUAUUUUUUUCAUUUUGUUAUUAGGCUUAGACUUGGGUAGAUUUCCCAAGUAAGGCUAAAGUAGAGCUAAGCUGCACCUUGACAUGUGUUCUACUUAUGUUGGGGGUGACCAUUCUAGUUUGGUGGAACAUCCAUGAAUGUUAUCGGUGGAACAUCCAUGAAUGUUAUCUUCUUGAUUUGGAGUAAGAACUUCAUUUUCUCAAUCGAAAUUGGCUGGAGCUUGCUGGUUCAGUUAGAGACAGAUUUGGUAAUGAAACUUGAGUGUGGGCAUCGGGUGAGGAAAAGGCUUUAUUACAUUUAUCUCUUUUUUUUAAUUGAAAAAUGUGAGUAAUUAUAAAAUGAACAGAAAAUGUCGCUUUUAAAAGCACCAAGGUUGAGGUUCUCCUACAAUGGCACUUAAAAAAGCGUCAUUAUUUGAAAUGCAUUGUACAAUGACGCUUUUAAAAGCGCCAAGGUUGAGGUUCUCCUACAAUGACACUUAAAAAAGCGUCAUUAUUUGAAAUUCAUUGUACAAUGACGCUUAAAAAAGUGCCAUUAUUUAAAAACGUCAUUAUUUCUCCCAUUAAAGCGCCAAGAUAAUGCAAGCGUCAUUAAUACCCAUUUUUGAGAAUAAAUAAUAGCACUUUAUAUAAGCGUCAAGAAAAAAAGCGUCAUAAAUUACAUUUUUUGUAGUAGUGACAAGAACUUGAUGGUCGCGGCAUUGUCGGCGACGCACGUGGCGGAAAGUCGACAGCCUGGACUAACUUUGAGAACCUUCGGCGAUGCCUCUCUCACCUCCGCUUUCUCCGUCAUAGUCUUCCUGAGGUGAAGAAGAAGAGCACAUGGCUGAAAGGCCCAAAGAGAAUGAGAAUGGAUUUGGGUUUUAGUAAGUUGGACCCAAAAGAGAAGCCCAAGUUUGUGAAGGCUUUAAUUGCCUUGGGCUUGCCCAUUGAUAUCUUUGGACCUGAGCUUGAAUUGGGGCACUAGGCCCAACUUGGUGAUGGAUUAUUGUAUUAGGUUUGCCCAAUGAAGACAUUGGACUUGGGCUUGAGUUGGAGCCCAAGCCCAGUUCGUGUGGAUGAUAGGCUCCAUGCCAAUCCUUCAAAUCAUUAUCCCAUAUUUAUUAUUUAUUCAAAGUCCAAUCUAUAAAAAAAGGUCACAUGUUUUAAUUUAAUUCUUCGAAUACUCUUUUAAAUCUCAUAUUUAUCAAUUAGAACUACUACCCUAUAUUCUCCUAUCUAUCUAUGUCAAUCCUUCAAAAAUCCUAAGAUUUAAUUUAAUUCUUGUUUAAAUCAUAUUUUCAUAAAUCAAAUCAUUAUCCCGUAUUUAUUAUUUAUUCAAAGUCCAAUCUAUAAAAAGGGUCACAUGUUUUAAUUUAAUUCUUUGAAUACUCUUUUAAAUCUCAUAUUUAUCAAUUAGAACUACUACCCUAUAUUCUCCUAUCCAUCUAUGUCAAUCCUUCAAAAAUCCAAAGUUUUAAUUUAAUUCUUGUUUAAAUCAUAUUCUCAUAAGUCAAAUCAUUAUCCUGUAUUUAUUAUUUAUUCAAAGUCCAAUCUAUAGAAAAAAGGUCACAUGUUUUAAUCUAAUUCUUCGAAUACUCUUUUAAAUCUCAUAUUUAUCAACUAGAAUUAUUAUCCUAUAUUCUCCUAUCUAUCUAUGCCUAUUCUUCAAAAACCUCACACUUUAAUUUAAUUCUUCAAGUACUUGUUUAAAUCUUAAUCUCAUAAAUCGAAUCAUCAUCCCGUAUUAUUAGUUGUUCAAAGUCUAAUCCAUUAAGAAAAUCCCAUGCCAUAAUUUAAUUCUUCAAAUACUCGUUUAAAUCUUAUGUCCAUCAAUGGGAAUUAUUAUCUUAUACAUUCAUUUAUUAUCUAGCCUAACCCUUCAAAAAUCCCAUGUUUUUUAAUUUACUUCUUCAAAUACUUGUUUAAAUCAUAUUUUCAUAAAUCGAAUUAUUAUCCCAUGUUUAUUUAGUUAUUCAAAGUCUAAUCCCUCAAAAAUCCCCUGUCUUAAUUUAGUUUCUCAGUAAUUCGUUGGAAUCUUGUUUUCAUCAAUUAUGAUUAUUAUCUCAUAUUCGUCUAUUUAUUUAAAAACUAGUUCUUCAAAAAUCUCAUGUCUUAAUUUAAUUUUUCAAUCCUAAAAAUUCUGCAAUUCAUCUAAAUUUUAUCCUCACUCAUUAGAAUCGUUAUUCCAUAUCUAUUCAAAGUCCAAUCUUUUGAAAACCCCCUGUCUUAAUUCAACUUUUGAUCCCAGAAAUGCCAUUAUUCGUCAAAAUUUUAUUCUUGUUAAUUAGGAUUCUUGUUCCGCAUCUAUUUAUUUAUAUAAGGUCCAAUUCUUGAAAAAUCUAAUUUCUGAAUUAAAACUUCAAUCCCAAAAAUUCUACUACCCAUCUUUAUUCGCCUAAAUAUUAUUCUCGUUAAUUAGUAUUAUAAUCUCAUACCUACCCAUUUAUUCAAAGCCUAAUCCUUUAAAAAUCCAAUGCCUUAAUUCAAAUUUUCAAUUAGAAAACUUCCACUAUUUUAUUCGUUCAAACAUUAUUUUUGUUAAUAAAUAUCAUUAUUCCAUAUUUGUUUAUUUAUUUAUUUCAAUCAUUAAAAUUCAACUCUUCAAAACCGGAUUUCCAAAUUUAACCUUUAGACUAAAAAACAAAAAAAUUCCACCAUUCACUUUUAUUAAUUUAAAUAUCAUCUUUGUUAUCGUUAUCAUAAAUUCCACGUUUACUUAUUUCUUUCUUCUAAAAAUUCCAAUAAUUAGAGUUUAAUUAUUCAGAGGUCCGACUUUCAAACUUAAUUCUCAAAAUCCCACUAUUCACUAUUCAUCCGUCCAAAUAUCGUUUUGAUUAAUUAGUAACAUUACUCCAUACUUACCCAUUUGUUUCUCUUAAAAAUCUCAAUCAUUAAAGUCUAAUUCUUCAAAUUCCGAUUUUUAAAUUUAGCUAUUUGAAAUUCCAAUUGUCCUAUCUCCGAACUUAAUUUUCAGUUUCCCAUGCUCCAAUUCCCGUAUUUAUCCCGCUACUUAUUAUUAUCAUUAUCACUAUCAUCUUAUUCAUUAUUUCUAUAAAUCCUACCUUCGAAUGAUUUCCAAGACCUCUAAUUUUUAUACAUCAACUUUCAUAAUUUCUACUUCUCAAAUAACUUACGAUUCUGAUCCCUUUCAAAAUUUAACUCCCAUAAUCCCAAUUUUUGUAACUUAGUUUUUCUUAAAAAUCCCGAACUUUCAAAUAAUUCUUCAAAAUCCCAAUUUUAUUUCAAAUUUAAUUUCUAAAAGUUCUCAUUCUUACAUCUAAUUCCUAAGAAUCCAAUUUUCAAAUAAUCUCUAAGAUUCCGAUUCUCAAAUGAAUUUCAAAAACCCAGUUUUCCUUCGAACAAUUUUAAUCCCUGUUUAGUGAUGCAUGUGAUAUGUUUUGUGCUCUAUAUGGUGUACUAACCCUCUCUAUUGAUAGCGCAUGGUGACUCGUUGCCCAGGUAUGUACCCAUUUUCCCUCUAAUCGUUGUCUAUGCAUGUCUCGAUUUUUAUGUGUGCAUGAUCAUUCAGAAUAUUCAUUGAUUUACUUAUCAAUUGCCACGUUAGCUUCAUUUUAUUAGUAGAGCCCCACUUUAGGGACUUAGAGGGGUGCUAUGGUCUUCACCGUACCUUCCCGAUAAGUAACCUGACCCCUAGCCCGAUCCGGUUUUUUAUAGAUCACCUUUUCCAAAAUAAGGAGUCGCACUUAGGGUUUUCUUUCUUAUUUUGUUUACCCUUUUUUUAAAAAUAAAACAAAAAUAAGUGGUGACUCCAAGUCAUUUUCUUAAUCAAUUAAAUUCUUUUGUUCAAAUUAAAAUCGAGCUCGCCAUCGAGUGGGAAACGCAUGAGCCGAAAUGUGGGGUCCACACUUGUACAUCCCAUAAAAUGACAUUAUGCUUUUAUCUAGAAGUAUUUGAUUUUAAUGUCAAUAAUUUAAAACCAUCCUUAAUAAUUAAUAAUAAAAUAAUAUAUAAUUAUAAAAAAAAUAAAUUUUUUAAAUUAAAAUCAUUUAUUUUGUUUUUAACUUUUACUUUAUAUAUAAAAGAAAUAAAAAAAAUUGAAUUUGGUUUGUAUUGAUUAUACAAAAUAUAAAAAUAGAUUUAUCAUGUACAACCAUAACAUUGUUAGUCUUCUUAUGAAAGCCUAAAAAUAAAUCCAAAUUCUAAAUGCAUAAGAUUAAAAGAAAAAAAACAAAAAAACAAAAAAAAAGCAUGAAAACAUUUGAGAACCAUAGUAUAAGUCUUCAUCAUACAAAAACAUAAAAUUUAAUCCUAAUUGUAAAUGUAUAAGAUAAAAAAAAUAAAAAUCAUACUUUUUUAAUAAUAUUAUAUUUUACUUUUAAUAUGUAUAUGAAUUUAUAAUAUAAUAAUUAACAUUUUAAUAAUAAUUUUCUUCGAUUCUUCUUCUUUUUUCUUUUUGUUAAUUUUCUUCUUAAUAUUUUUUAGAGAUAUACAAAGGCUAUGGAUCACUUCAAAGAAAAUAUAUAUUUUCAUAAAUUAUAUUAGUAAUUAUUAUAAUUCUAAAUAUAAUCUAUUAUAACAUUUUUUUCUUUUUAAAACACCAUAUAUUUAUAAGACCAAAAGAGAUUGGUUUCUUUAUAUUUAUCUUAUUUAAAAUAUAAAAUAUUUAAUCAAGUAUUUUUUAAGUAAUCUUGAAAUUUUUUUAAAAGAAUAAAAUCUCAAAAUAAAAACUUGUCCUAAAACUUGUUGUUUUAUACUUGGAAACUUUAAACCAAUUAUCAAAGUUUUAAAUAAUUAAUCUUUUAUAACAUUUUUACUUCUUAUAUAAAACACUAGAUAUCUAUAAAACUAGAAGAAAUUGAUUUCUUUAUAUUUAUCUUAUUUAAAAUUAAAUAAUAUUUAAUUAAGCAUUUAUGAAGUAAUCUUCAAAAUUUUGAAAAUAAUAAAAAUUAAAAAUAAAAAACUAUCCCAAAAUUUUUUACUUCAGAAUUGGAAAAUAUUUAAAGAAUUGGUAAGUAAUAUUGUAAAAUAUUAAAUGGAAACAAAAAUAAAAAAAGAAAUCAAAAUAAAAAGUUUUCCUAAACUCUCCACAAAAAUCCUCUAUUCUGUUUCUCCUUAAAUAGCAUCUCCAUUAUUUCAAGCCCAUCACCAUAUUCAUUGUCCAUCACCACAGACUGCCAUCAACUACUGUUGUUGAGCAUGGACUACUGUUGUUGCUGACCAUGGACUGUUAUGGAAUACUACUAUUGCUGAUUGUGGACUGUUGUUGUUGCUGACCUUGGACUGCUUCUAUUGAUCGCUUGUUAUCGUGGUCCCAUGGUGCUUUACAACAUUGCAAAAAAAGCAAAUCAGGUAUGUUAUCACCACUUUAUAUUUUUAUUUUAUUUAUUUUUAGAAUUUCUUGCUUAUUAAUUAAUUAGAUACAGAAAAAUAUUCUAUGAGCUUUUGAUUUUUACCUUUUCUUGAAUAAAUACUUUGUUGUGUUUUGAGUUAUGUAAUAGGAGUUGUUUGUGGCCUAUUAUUAAUGAAUUCAUCAAUGCUGUUAUCAACUUACCACCAAUUAUUCAGCCCUAACCAAUAUUUAAGAGAGUGAGAUCUUGAUUAUACAUCAUAAUAUCUAUCAUUAAAGUUGUUACAUACACACAAAUUUAUAUAUUAUUCUUUUAAGGGAAUUCAAUUAGCGAAAAUGAAAUAAAGAAAAUUAAAUUAAUAUCAUGUGUGAAAUAUUUUUUUUUUAUAUGGUUAUAGAUGAAAUGAAAAAUAUAAAGUUUUGUUAUUUUAUUAUUGUAGUUAUAGUUCAAUAUAUAAGCUCAUAGAAAAAUAUUCUAUGAGCUUUUGAUUUUACCUUUUCUUGAACGAAUACUUUGUUGUGUUUUGAGUUAUGUAAUAAAAGUUGUUUGUGGCCUAUUAUAAAAGAAUUCAUAAAUGCUGUUAUCAACUUACCACCAAUUAUUCAACCCUAACCAAUAUUUAAGAGAGUGAGAUCUUGAUUAUACAUCAUAAUAUCUAUCAUUAAAGUUGUUACAUACACACAAAUUUAUAUAUUAUUCUUUUAAGGGAAUUCAAUUAGCGAAAAUGAAAUAAAGAAAAUUAAAUUAAUAUCAUUUGUGUGAUAUAUUUUUUUUAUAUGGUUAUAGAUGAAAUGAAAAAUAUAAAGUUUUGUUAUUUUAUUAUUGUAGUUACAGUUCAAUAUAUAAGUAUAUUUAGAAACCCACUUUAUAAGUUAUUUAAAACAUUAAACCAAUUUUCCAUUAGAAUUGGUAAUAAGCGUAAAGAAUGAAUAAAGUAAAAAGUGUAAAUAAGGAAUAGGGUUGUUCGAAAUAUGCAUAUAAAAACAUUAGUAGGUCAAAAUAUAUGACCAACCAUGACUAGCUAUCCUUUUAUGUAAGUUAAUUUAUUUAUCUUGGAUAUUGAGCCAAUUGUCAAGGAAAAUAUAAAAUAUUUAUAUUUAGUUAUAAAGUAGUAAAUAAUGAAAUUCAUAUUUUAAGAUUGGAGUAAAAUGAAAUUUGUAUCAUUUUUACCUCAACUAUAUUGUUUUGAUAUUUAUAUUAAAUAUUGACACUAAUUUUGAAAAUUGUGGAUUUGAGAAAAAAAACUUCACUUUUUCAAAGAGGUUAUUUGUAUCAAAUUACAAUAAAAAACUAUUUAAUUAUUAUUUAUAGGCAUAAAAAAAAAUAUUUAUUGAAUAAAAAUUAAUUUAUCACCAGCUUGUUUGGCAUUUUAAUGCUCCUAUAAUUUGGGCUUGACAAAAAUUUACCUUUUAUUCCUUGUUUUAUAUAUACGUUUUUUUAUUUAUGUAUUGAUUUUUAUGAGAAAAUAAUUCAUAGACAUAUUUCCUACUUAUAAAUUCAAGAUAUAUAACAUAGAUUCAUAGUAUAGUUUAGACAUUUCAAAAGUUAAGAUUGGGGUAAAAUAAAGUUUUGUAUCAUUUGUACCUCAACUAUAUUAUUUUGACAUUUAUAUUAAAUAUUGACACUAAUUUUGAAAAUUAUAGAUUUGAGGAAAAAACUUCACUUUUUCAAAUAGGUUAUUUGUAUCAAAUUACAAUAAGAAACUAUUUAAUUAUUAUUUAUUGGCAUAAAAAAAAUAUAUUUAUUGAAUAAAAAUUAAUUUAUCACUAGCUUGUUUGGCAUUUUAACACUCCUUUAAUUUGGGCUUGACAAAAAUUUACGUUUUACUCCUUAUUAUAUAUAUAUAUUUAUGUAUAUAUAUUUAUUUAUGUAUUGAUUUCUAUGAGAAAAUAAUUCAUAAAUAUAUUUAUUUAUUUAUGAUUUUAAUUUAAAAUUUUUAUUUCUUUUAUAAUUAUAUAUUAUUUUAUUAUUAAUUAUUAAGGAUAGUUUAAAAUAUUGACAUUAAAAUCAAAUACUUCUAGAUAAAAGCAUAAUGUCAUUUUAUGGGAUGUACAAGAUUACGUAAAUAAUAGAUGCUUAUACUAUUAUAGAAUUAACUAAAACUUUUAUAAAAAUCUUUAUAAAGGAUUAAUUUUAAAAAAUAUAAAUUUAUUGUCUUAUAUAGUUAACAUUAGAAUUUUCUCUCUCUAAAGAAUAACCAUAAGAAAUAUCUAUAAAAAAUUAAGUAAAUGAGAUGAUUUUAUAGAAAAGAUGAGAUUGGUAAAACAUUAUAUUGUUAAAUUAUUAAAAGAGAAAUGAGUUUUUUUUUUUAUUUUUAUUUUUAUCAACUUUAAGUCAUAUAUAAAUUUUUAUAUUUCUUUUAAAAAAAUCAAUUAGAAAAUUAAGAAAAAAGAAGAAGAAUUGAAAUAAAUUAUUAUUAAAAUGUCACUAUCUUAUAAAUUCAUAUAUGAAUUAUAAUAAAAAUAUAAUAUUAUGAAAAAAUCAAUGUAAGUUACUAUUAAAAUUUUAUUAUCUUUUACAUUUAGAGUUUGGAUUCAUUUUUUCACUUUAAUACGAAGAAGACUAAUAGAGUUAUGGUUGUCAAACCCCUUUUUAUAUUUUUGUAUAAUCAAUUUAAUCCAAAUUUGACUUUUAUAGAUAUAUAAAAUAAAAAUUUAUAUACAAAAUAAGUUAUUUUAAUGUAAUAUUUUUUUAAUUUUUUUUAUACUUUAAUUUAGAAUAUUGACAUUGAAAUAAAUUACUUACAAAUAAAGACAUGAGAUGAUUUUAUGGGAACAACAAAAGUAGGUAAGUAAUAAAUGUUUAUACUAUUAACUAAAAUUAUUUUAUUUGUACAUUCGCAAUUUGGAUUGAUUUUUAUCCUUAAAUAACAUAAGGAGGAAGACUAAUAAAACUAGGGUUAUCACGGUAACUAAAUUUUUUAUUUUUGCAUCAUAUAAUCAAUUUAACAUCGAUGGUAAGAGUGGUAGGAAUGAUGGCUUCAGCAUCAGCAUCAAUCCAGAAGUCUAAAUCUCAGUAAGAGUGACAGCGAUGAUGGCUUCAACAUCAAUAGUGGCAAUCUACCCUCCUACUAAAACUCCACCAUGACUCGAUUAGUAACACCAUCAAGAGUAGUAACAUGAUCUUCAGUAGCUAGCUACACAAGCAAUUUCCAUUGAUUGAGCCUUUUCACCCUUCAUCACUUCUGUCUUAUCAACUACCUGAUGAUCUUUAGGUCCAAGCAUUGACUCCCAAUGAGAAGAAUCUGAGUCUACCUCAAUAAUAAUAACUGAGUCAACUUCCUUUGCAUGCUGCUCUUGCUCUCUAGUCUAAUUAGUACCUUCUUGAUGCUCUUCCUCUUCUCAUCUUCUUCUUCAGCUUCUUCCUUAGCUUGCACCUCAUUAACAUCAGCAGUAACAACAUCUGGAAUUCCCCCCACCUGAAGGUCUAUAUCAAAUGAAGGAACCUCAUGUCCUUUCCUUUAGCGAUAAGAGCUUCACACAGUCAGUUAACAGCUCUAUGGCCUGUCCAUCCUUUGCAUAAAUUGGAGCUUUACUUACAUAAAAUAUGGAAUAUCUCCUGAAGAUAAAGUGGGGACAGUAGAAAUAGUCGAAGGACCUUGUGUAGAACUUGUGACUAAAGGUACAUGAGCAACUGCCUCUUCAACUAUUCUGACCAUCUGCCUCAUCCUUUUCUUUGUACUUCUUUCCAUGAAAAUUCUGUAAAAUUUCCAAGCUUCCACUUUGUAAAAUUUUGUAGCGUCAUAUUUUUCCUCAUUCCCACUGAAUUUAAAACUCUUUCUAAUUGAAUAGCCAGUGAAAAACUUGGACAAUGCCAAUGCAUACUUCUUGCUGUGAGAAGUCUUGUUUUCAUUCACUUUUUCCACAAUAUAUAAAAACGUAUCCACCAUCAAUACAUGAGAUCACCAUCCCCCCUUACAUAAACAAUACAAUUCCUCUAAAGGAAAACCUCUCCUUUCUGUGACAUGUCUAUAAGGAGAGAAAUUGGUUCUAUACACCUGAUCCACAAACCAUAGCUCCUGUGAUGCCUCUAGUCUUCUGGCAGUUGUGGGAGAGCUAAAACCACAAGGCACUGAAGUGGCCACCAUCCUCUGGGAAGUAGGGUUAGUGUAAGGUAGAAAAUUUCCUCCUUAAGAUGGCAUUGUAGGCAACCCAAAAGCCUAUGCCAAAGAUUUUUCAGUGAUCAUCCCCUCUCUUUCAUUAAUGGAAAAAUGUAACACAGAUUUUCCAGGGGCUCUCCUCUCAAAGAUAGCAUAAAAAUCUCUCACCACAAUAGGAUAAACAUAAUCUAUGGAAUACACCAUAGGCUCUAUCCCAUAUCUCCUCAUUAGCUCCAUUGAACUCAUUGUCUCUGGAAAAGUAAUGUAUUCAUCAGGCACCAAAUAAUCACUGUCUGCCAAUAAGAAUGCAUUCCGGUUUCCUUUAGACUGGUAACUACAGCUUUUCCCUUCUUUUUUUCUGUCAAUUUCUUUGGCUAAACUUUUUCUAUUUCUUUAUCCUUCUUCUCAUCUCUUUUAGCUUUCUUUAUAGCUUCCUCUGGAGUCAUUUCAGUUCCAGGCUCUUUCUUCUGUCUGUUCAUAGUCUCUUUAUUUGGCUUCUUACUUGGUGUGGUUACUGCCACAUUCUUCUCCAUAGGAGACUUCCCUUUCAAAGGAGAUUUAUCCUCAGAUUGCACCUCUUUUUCUUUCCACUUUUUAUUCUUCACAGCUUGUAGUGAUUGUUCACUAGCUAUCAUCAGUCUAGGUGAUCCAUCAAUAAUGAUUCUUCCUAUCUGCUCAAUGACAGGUUGUACAUCAAUCCUUUUCAUAGUUGGGGCAUCUAAAUCUGAAUCAGUGGAUUCAGAUUCGUAGACCAUUAGUGCCUAACCCUUAUCUUUAUCCUUUUUUUCAUUCUGCAUUUUCAGAGUGCAAACAAAAAUCCGAAAACAUAUUACAAACAAGCUUGACAUUUCCAAAAACAGUAUAUAUUCAUUCAGAGUCAACAGAUAUUCAUAGAAAAUAAUUAAGGCAUAUUAAUGAAGAAAGGAUACAAAUGGCAGAGUUCAUCCAAACAUUCAUUCAAAGACGCAAAAUCUAUCCAGAAGGAUCAUUGCACAUGCAUAUGUUAACUUUGAUAUAUCCAUGUACAGAUUCUCAAACAAACAUCUGUUAUAGUAAAUAUAAGGGGUGCAAGUUAAAAACACUCCAAAAUUCAAUUUUAAGCACUGCAAGAUGACAAGUAGGAAAAAGCGCGACUAUAAUAUUUAGGUACAAAUCAAGUAGACAGCAGCACAUAGUAACUAUAAGGGGUGCAAAUAAAUCCUAUAGUUGCAGCCACGUGUAAACAUGGGACUAGAGGGUGUGAAACUGUAGCUGCGACCAUGUAUUUUCUUCUACUAAAGGUUCUAUUAGCUGCAGCUUCUCGUGGCCAUGACUACAAGGGUGUGAUGAAUAGGAAACUUAAAAAUAUAUUGUUUAUACACACGUGAUUUGAAAUUCAUUUCUAUGGUGAAAAAAUUUAUUAAAAUAUAAUUAUGUGAAGAAAAGAAACAAUAGUAAUUGUGAACCCAUUUUUAUUUAUAAAUUUCUGUUAUUAAUUAGUUCACUAUUUGAGUUUCAAACUAUUAUUUAAAGAAUACUAGACUCGUUAAUAAAUUCAAUGCAUGAAGUUUUGUUUUAUUUAAAGUUUAUUUAUCUAGUGAAAAAAAAAAAUUUUAAAUUGGUUUUAUGUAUAAGAAAAAAAAUAGUCAUUUUUGACAAUUUUUUGUCAAAAAAUUUCUAAUAUUAAUUUGAUCACUAUUUGAGUUUCAAGUUAUUUAUAAAAAUUAUUAGUUAUUAGCAAAUCUAAGCAUCAAGUCUUGCUUGAUUUGGACUUUAUUUGGGUAGUGAAUUUUUUUUUUUUUGCAAAAAUAUGAUUAUAUGUAAAGAAGAAACUAGUCCAAGUCAUUCAAAAUAAAUCCUAAUUUAUGACUUUAUAAUGUUAUUGGGUUCCAUGAUUAGUAAUUAAAUUGGGUUUUAACUUUCAAAUUAUUUUUACAAAUUAAUAAAUUUUAUAUAUAAAGUGUAAUUUGAUUUUGAAUUUAUUUAUUUAAUGGAAAGUUUUUAUUAAGGUAAAGGAAAUGUUGAAGGAGUCAAUGUUUUUGUUAUGGAUCUGUUGGGUUGUCCUAGUCUCAAGGUUAUCUAUUUUUUUGUUCUUUUGAUUUGUUGCAAAACAUGGUUGAAUUUACGUAGUUUAUAGGAGUUAGUCUUUACAUGGUUCAUGGUCUUAGCUAGUGGUUAAAAGUAGUGGAUUAGAGGUCUUUAUUUUCUUAGCAAUUUCCCAUUGGUGUACUGCCUCUUUAAAAGGCUAUUUGGUUGAUGAGAGAAGAUCAUCAAAAGUAAUUUUCUCUUCCAACUUUUCUAUACAUUUUUUAGCUUAAUCAAUUUUUUGUACUCUUCCAAGAUUUUUCCUCUACUUGUAAUAGUGGUAUCAGAGCUGGUUGAAAAUUGAGAAAGUGAGAAAAGUUAAGAGCCAAAAUAAAAAGAAAGGACGUGAGAUAAAGAGAAUUUUAGUAGCAGUUCUUAUUUCACUUUAUUUUGUUUUUGCAACAGCAACAGUAAGGGAUAGCCUCUAAAAACUUUGUCUAACUUAUAAUCCCAUACUUUGAUGGUCACUAUAUAUGACCAUUGGAGCAUGUUGAUGGAGAAAUCCUUUAAGGUCUAAGGAGUAUUGGCAGGUUGUCUUUGACAGAGUAGCAGAAUCGACAAAUAAUUUGUAGAUAGAGUACACGGACUUUUCAAGGCUUGAGCACUUGUCCUAAGGGGGUCAUGGUAUGUUUGUCUUCAAACCCUAGUGCCCAUGACCAACUAAUUGGUACUCAUAUAUUGACAUUGUGCUUGUUAUAAAAGCUAAGAACCAGUUAGCACUCUGAGGAAAUAAAAAUCUAAGAAAUUGUACCUUGUUCUAAAGAGAUUGGGGAGAAACCUUAAAGGGUAAGUGGCCUUUCAUCAUCCUCAAUACCUAGUGUCUUGGGAAGAAUCUUAGGAGUUGUCAAUUGAUCUUUACUAAGCUACAUAGAAGGAGCUUUCCUAGGAUGGACAUGUGAAAUAAAAAAAGAAAAAAGAAAAUAGAUAUGAAAAACAAUGGAAUGAAAAAGCAGAAAAUGAGAUAAAAUGGCGCUCUUCCAAAACUAGUCAUGAACAGUUUAUCUUAGGUAGAGGAAGGAAAUUCUUAAAAUAGGUGCUCCAUGAGGAUGCUCUUAAGCUAACAUUUGAGUUUUGUUAGGAAAUCACUUGUGAAGUUGAUGUCGAAGAGACUAAUGGAUUCUAAACAUUGAGGCAUGCUUUUGUAUACAUUUAUAUGGUGAGUGAAUCUUUUUGGAGUUAUGCUAUUUGACUAUGAGCUUAUUCUUGAAGGGAUAAUAUGUUUUCAGUAACUGAAUUUAUUGAAGCUAAUUCAUGCUAUUUAGUAGUUGUUGUCUUAAUUGCUUAGGAGUUUUACUCUUUAUUUAUUUCUAGAGACCAACAAAAUUUAGGUUGGGGAGGAAAUGAUUUGUGCUUUAAGUCAUGGGUUUUUUCUAUUCCCUAAAUGGUAGAUUCUAUAAUGAAAAAGAACGUAAACUACUCUCUUCAGUUUAUAUAUAUGCUAGUACCUAACUGGUCUGAGUUCUUCAAUUUCAUGUCCAAUGGAGAAAUUAAAGUUAAGGUCAAUCUCAGGAGAUUAAUAAUUGGCUCUGGUUUCAGAGAUAUGAAUAUGCUCUAGCUUGACAUUCUUGAAGUGGAUUAGCAGAGUGGGAUUCUCUACUCAGCUGAUUGCCUUUUCACUGAGUUCCAAGGAUCAAUAGGAGAUCGUGGAUUUGUUGACAUUCUCAUUCUGAGAGCAACUGCAUCAGUAUCAUACAUGUUUGCCAGUUGGCAAUAUAAAAUUGGUAUUUUGGUUCAUAUUUUCUACAACCUGAAAGCCACUAUCACUACCACCAACUAUAUGAAUAGGCAUCAAUUCUUCAGGACGAUGAAGAAGGUAGAGCAUAUCACUAGCUCAAAUGGAGGAAUGUGGUCCCAUAAUUCUUUAGGAAAUAAGUAUCUAGAAACAGGUAAAAAGAACCAAGAAUCUUGAAAGACUUCUUUCAUCUUGUUCAUGUUGCCUAAAGGACAACCUGUGGGCCUUUGAAUUAUGUAUUGAAACUAUCAAGUCAACUGGAAUAGAUUCAUUUCUGAAGCUGCAGGGUUUAUGGUCAACCAUAUACCAAACCCAAAGUUCUUCAGUAGUCUAUUGAGAAAAUCCCAUUUGGAACCUAACCAUGAGAAAGUCCCAGGUUUGUUUAAGGCUGGGCUGAACCUAUGUGCAACCUUCUGUCUUCUGGGACCUUCUCUAACUAUAGUUUCAUCAACACAACACAGCUAGCCUUGUCCCAGCUACUAAGGCUGGGUAAAACUAUUCUGAAUUAUUGUUCCAUGCAUAUCUUGUUUGUGAAUGAUCUCCACUAGGAUCGACUCUUAAGUAUGUACCGAUCAAGAAUCAAAUCUUGUUUGUGAAUUAUUGCUCCAUACAUUCGCCUGACCGUUGGAUGGGUGAAGAGGCAAUGCAGAUACUUGUCCUAUAUUCCCAUAGGUAUCAAACUUCAGUGCAGUAGUUGACACAUUGACUACCUUUCUGAGGUUAGGACAAGAUAAACUCAUUAGUGGAUGGAGAAUAGAAGACCAUAUACUAAUUUAUGUGGUUCAGAAUUUGAAUAAAGAUCAUGAUAAUAAGUGCGAGAUUCGCGCAUCUUUGGAGUGUUUCAAGUUGCAGCUAGAUUGCCUAUAUAAAGAGCAUGGAGGUUUAUAAUUUCCAGUAUCAGCAACAAAGAGCAGGUGUGAAUUAUAGAGAGUAAAUAGGGAAGUUGUCAACCUCCCUCAAAGGCUUCCAAUUUUCCUGGCUAAUUAUCAAGGUAAGAAAGUUGGAAGCCGGUGGGGGACCUUGAAAGCUUACCCCAGAAUCAAUAUUACUCAUCUGGUUAUUUGGUAUCAGUUUCCCUGAUCAUUAGGAAGACAGUAAGAUUGAUUUCAGGUGAGAUGUUUCCCCUUCUUCUCAAAAAAACUGCAAACUUUUUAGAGAUUUAUGCUUAUGGUAUUUUAAGAUCCCGUUUGAUAGUAAUUUUAAGAAGUGUUUAUAAUAUUUUUAACACUUAAAAAUUAGUAUCAUUCAAGUGUGAGAAAGGUUAAAAACGUUUUCUAAAAUCACUAUCAAACGCAAUUAAUCUAAAUCAUUUAUUAGAAAAUAGAUUUGGGAUAAGGUGGAAAACUCUUAGUACCACAUUAUUACCAAUCUUAUUUCAUUGCUCCUUUCACCCACACCCUCAAGAGUGUCAUCACUAGUUAUAGGGCAUUUUUAUCCUAUCAACUAAUGAUCAGGGUUUAUGAAGCAUUUUAAACACUGCCUUAUUAUGCAAUUAUUUAGAACCAUACCUUCUAUGGAUGAUCCCACAAUUUUGAUAGGGUGUUGUUUGGUUUUUGGGGUAAGUGAGGAGAGAAAAAAAUAAAUUAAAUUUUGGAGUUUAUGUUCUUACAUUUGGCAUUAUGUUUUAAUUGGUAUUAUUAAUAGAAAAAUAUUUAAGGACAUAUAGUGGAAUUUGAUUAGUUGUUUGUUUGAUCUAUGGGAGAAACGAGGAGAUAAGAAAAUAAAAUUAGAUUUUGGGGUAUAUUCUUAUUCUUACAUUUCGCAUGAAAGUAUAAUUUUUUUUCUUCUCUAGUUUCUCCAUGUUUGAAAUUGGUGUUUUAUUAGAAAAAAUGAAUUUAAGUUGAGUUUUGACCAAUUGUUGUUUGAUUUCUAGGAAAGGGAGGGAGACUAGAAGAAAGAAGGAUUUUGAAGCUUUCAUUUUAAGUAAUGCUAAUUUUACAUUUUUUAGGCAAACAAAGAAUUUCUAUAGGUGAUAUAAAUUCCUUAUUUGGUUGCUGAGAAAACAGAGGGAAGGAAGAAACAACAUAUAUACAUUUUGGAGCUUAUUUUCUUGUCCUAUUCUUGUUCUUACAUUUUCCAAGCAAGCAAAAAGGGUGUAUUUUUAUCUGGGCAAUAGAAGUUCAUCCUUUUUGUUUUUUUUUUAAUGUUUAUUUUGUUGUAACAAGUUCAACUGGAGUUAAAAAGGAGGUGUUUUGUGUGCAAUCCUGCACAUGUUUUGAGCUCUCUAAGAAUUUUGUGGCCUCUUUGUGCGAUUAGUAUUGGAAAUGAGUUAAUUAUAUUAUGCUUUGUUUGGAUGGGGAAAACUACAAGAGAAACAAAGCAAAUAUUUUCCUGAGUUCUAGGGCUUGUUUGUUGUCUUAGUUUUCAAAAGAUGAGAAGUUUUUCCUUCCUUGACUAAGGUGUUUGUUUUGAUAAUCAUAAGUGUUGAACUUUUUUUCUUUUGUUUUUUUAUCAGGUUUUGCAAGUUGAGGGAUUUCUCAUUCUUUUCUUGUAAUCUCUUAUUUUUAAAGAAUAUGUUUUUGUUUUUGAUAAAAAGUUCAUAAUUGUUGAAAAAAAAUGUGAAAAUCCCUACAAUCCAUUUAGUGCAUUUGAUCUAUGUAAAUAGAUUUAAUAGCUCCUUUUUCCUUUGAAAGCUCAAACUCUAGUGUCUCUUCUUAAGAUUUUUCCUUUUUAUUAUUUAAACUUCUCUUUUUUAAAUUAUUUAUACAUUUACAAUAUCAAGUUAGUUGAACAAAACAUUCAAUUUUUCUAUAACUCAACCAAACAUGUUUUUGUUGUUUUCGAGAACAAAAACUAUUUUCCAUAAUUUAGUUCCUAAACACAACUUUUUUUUUUUUUUUUUUUCUGAAAACACAAAAAACUGUUCUUAAAAACUAUUUUUCAUAAUAGUUUUCAAAGACACCAAUCAAACAAACCCUAAUAUUUUGACUUUAAGCAAGAAGAGUACCAAUCUCCACAUUUUGUAAUUUAAUAUCUAGGAGUUGCUAGAAACUUUUGCUCUGAUAUUUACAAUCAACCCUUGAGAAAUUGAGAUCUAUUUGGUUACCACAUGACUCAGGAGGUUUAUUAGGAUUUGGAUUAAGGUUGUUAUGGUUGAUAGCAUUGACUUAUCCUCAUGCAUAAUUGGCUUUGCUUGCAUCUAUUGACUUAUUGUCAUACAUAAUUGCCUUUGUUUGCUAGAAAAUUUUGCUGUAAUAUUUAUAAUCAACCAGUGAGAAAUUGAGAUCUAUUUGGUUACAUGUCUCUGGAAGUUUAUUAGGAAUGGGAUUAAAGUUGCUAUAGUUAAUAACAUUGACUUAUCCUCAUGCAUAAUUGGCUUUGCUUGCUAAACACUUUUGCUCUGAUAUUUAUAAUUAAUCCUUGAGAAAUUGAGAUCUAUUUGGUUACCACAUGGCUCAGGAGGUUUAUUUGGAAUUGGAUUAAAGUUGCUAUAACUGAUAACAUUGACUUAUCCUCAUGCAUAAUUAGCUUUGCUUGCAUCUAAUUUUUGUAAGUUAAAUAUUUUUUCAUGUUGAAAAGUUGGGUGCAUAGUUGCCUUUCAAAUAUAUUUGAAUAAAUAAAAAAUUUGAUAAAGCUAGAAAGGGUAGGCAAAAGGAAAUAAGAGGUUAUAUAAUACACCAUGGAAUAAUUAAAAUAUUCAAUAAAAUAUUUUUUUAAAUCCCCAAAUUUAGGUUUCAUAUCCACAUGGAAAGUUGUCAGAAACAACUUUAAUGUAAAAAAAAUUUAAGAAAAAUUACAAAAAAUUAUGUAAAUGUGAAAUGGAAUAGUUAUUUUAAAAAUAUGUUUACUACAAAUGGAGUUAGAAAGAAAAAUUAUUGUAGUUACAACAAUAAAUUGCUAUCAGGUUUUUAAAAAACUCAAAUUAUUAGGAUAUAAAUCAAACAAAAACAUAGUGAAUGAGGACAAAAAUUACAUAUUUAGUUAUAUUCAUUAUACUCAAAUAUAUCAAUAAAUUGUUUAAUAUUAAAAAUUUCUAUUUAUUAUUUAAGAAUACAAAAUAAUAUUUGAGUUGAAAGAAGAUUUUUGUAUUUCUUUUCUUUUUAUCUCAUUUAUGUAGAAUAAAAAUGGUAAACCUUACAGUGGGGGCUACUUGUGGCAUGUCUCAUAAAGUUGUUAUCUAUAUUUUUUUUCUCUCUUGGUUUGUUGAGGAGAAAGGACUAUAUCUAGUAUUGCAUCCCUAUCUAAUAGGAAUAAUAAACUUCCUUUACCCAUAUUGAAAAUCAAUCAAAUUUGAUGACUGUUUGAGAAUCAUAUAUAUAUUAAACAAUAUGAAAAACCAUAAAUGUAGGUGAAAGUAGGCCAAGAAGGUGAUGACCUAUAUAUGACCACAAAGACAAUAUAAUUAUUUUGCAAUUUUUAAUAAUAACACAAUUCCACCACAACUUGAAAUUAUUAUACAAGAGAGACCAACUUUACUAUAAAAUUAUAGAGAAGCAAAUUGGAAAAUGUGUACACAGCCACAUCUAAUCAACAUGAAGCAUUUUUUUUAUUGGAAACUAAUAGUCAAUUAUGAGUAGAAAUUUUAAUUUAUUAACUUACUAGUUGUAACUACUUUUCUUGUUAAAAUUUAAGUUUGGGAUUAUGAGUGCUUGUGGGUUGUUAUAAUGUUGGCAUAUAAAUGCUAGAUUCUUGUUUGAAACUUAAUAUUAUUUGUUGUGUUGUGACAAAUUUGCAGAUGAAAGUUUCCUUACACUAAAACUAAAUUUGGUUAAAUUUGAAAUUCAAAAUUUAAAUUACUUAUAUAUUACAUUUAUAAUUUGAAAAAUGUCUUAAAAAUGUAAGAUAUCUUACGAAAAUGUUGAUAGAAAUUUUGAUUUACUAACUUAUUAGGUUUUAUUUAUUUUUUUUAAAAAAUGGUUUUGUUUUAUUGUUCUUUUUCAUUCAUAUAUAGAAGAAGAUACUAGAGCACCAACACAAACCAAUAGAAAAGGAAGUUGUGAUCAUGACUGAGUUAGAAAUUUGUGAGAAAAGUGACCAAUUGGAGACCGUCCGUACUACAACAGUAAGAUCUACAACAUCAACAACCUUGCAUCAUCUAUGAUUAGACUAAGGGCCUUGAUUAUGCAUAUAAUGGAUCUUCCUUACCUUUUCUGUCUAUGUUGAUAUGGUUAUUUUGGGAUGGCAUUUUAUUAACCUAAUAUUUUAUUUUAUUAACAUACACAUUCUAAUCUUAUAAUCAUUUAAUAUUGUUACAUAUAUUAUCAACGAAGGUAUACAAUACAUAUUUUGAUUUUUGUAAGCAUAUUUUUUAAUGAAAAUUUUCAUUACAAUGUAUUAAUUGGGUACAAAUAGUACUAAAAAUAUAUAUAAUUACACUAUUGAAAUGAAGUAAUCCAAGUAUUCCAACAACUCCCCACUAACUUGCAAGGGCAUGAUAUGAGAUUUUAUUGAAUCCUAUUUAAACCUAUUACUUGUGGCCUUAAAGUUUUCUCAUUAAUUGUUCUUCUAAUUUUUUUAAUUUCCUUUUAUCACAAGGAUAUUGUUUGAAUGCUGCCAAAGCGGGAUAUGAUGUCUUGUUUCCUUUUGUAUGGUGUUGACCUAAUGUGAUCUCUAUUUCACAAGAUUAGAAGAAUGAUUAAAAUGUAUGCUGUUUUUCUCUUGCUUCACUUUUAAUGUGUAGCCUAUAUUGUACUCAAUCUUAGGUGGUGUUUGUUUUUUUACUUAAUUCUAAAUAGAACCUUAAUGCUUAAUAGUGUUAAAUAUUAGGUUGUUUGUUUUUAUAGUAUUUUAUUUCUAUUAAGUAUUAAAAAGUAAAAAAAAAACCAAUAUGUUAUUUUUUCUAUUUAGAAAAAACUACAUAUUUUGGCUUUUUCUAUUUAGUAAAAAGUUUAUAUUAAGUCAUGAAAAAGUAGAAAAACAAAUAAUCUAAAUUCUGAAAACAAAUUGCUUUCAGCAAAAAGCCAAAAAAACAAACACCACCUUAAUGUAAAUCUCAACCAUCAAUACAUCAUUUUAAUUUGUUAGAUAGGUUCAUGAAAAUUUCAUACGAGUUGCUAAUACUAUCGAUAUCUCUUGUACUCAUUUCAAUAUUCUUCAAUUUCUUUAUAAUUGGAUUCCAUUAAUAUACUCAGUAAGUCAUCAUUGACAGUUUCACCCACCUUCAUAGCUUUCUCUCUUUGGUCAAUAAUACCCCUUAACAAUUCUUGUAUCUCUUCGUCAGCUUUCUUUAUUCUUUUGUUUCCUUUCUUUUCGUAAAAAUCUACAUGUAAACAGUCUUGGUUGUAAAUGUCAUGACAUUAAAUAAUAAGAAAAGAUAACUGGAAAGAAAAUUUAUGGUAGUUGUUUAUCCAUUGCUUUAAUUUCUUCUUUUUUUUUCCUCAAUUUUCUUGGAAAUUUCAGGAAGCUUUAAAUUUGUUGAAACAUUUUAUGCUCACCACAACCCUGGGAUGUAAACUAUCAAAAAAAUCUUGAUGGUAAGCUAUGCUAGUUCUUCUUGGAGUAGUAAUAUCCUUCUUCCUUCUUCAUAGCUACUACCAAAUGUUGUUCAAGAAAUGAUAUGACCUUCCAAAUUUUGAAUAUGGAGCCAUACAUUCAAUUAACUUACCUGAACCUUUUGUGGAGACAAUCUCCCAUUUUCUUAUCGUAUUGCUAAAGCUUAAAAGAAAUGUAGGUAAAUAACAGUAAAAAAAAUAUUUAGCACCCAUAUUUUCAUGGUUGGAGGACCAGUCACUGCACAUUUGAAAUAAACAUCUUUAUCUAUGCAAUAUAACUUCCAAACAAUUUUCUUUUUAAAUAGCAUAAAAUAUAAUGUAUAUGAUUAAAAUUAAGAUGGAUAAGAAAACUAAAGAUGAAACUAAAAAGAUUAUAUAAUUUGAACUCUAUCUAUUAGGAUCUCCUUACAAGUAGGCUAAAAGGAAAAAAAAAAAGAAAGAAUACUUCAGUGAUCUUAGGAUGAUUCACAAGCUAAGGUUAGCUAGACGAUCAUUGCAAAGAAAGGAGCAUAAAAAAGAAAAUCCCUAAAACACAUUUUGAAUACAAUUUCAAACACUAUAGAGAACAAAGGCAAAAAAAAAAAAAGUUAGGAUUUCAGAUCCAAAGCAAGGAAAGGAAGAAAAGAAGUUAUUUUUUUCUUUUUUCAGGGAAAACUUCAAGUUGAGAGUUUUAUUUCAACUUAUUUUCCUUUUCCUUAGAGUAUAAUCGUUAGUUUCAUUUCCCAAAGAAUAAAAAAGAAAUAAUUAAUAGAAAAGUAUAUAGAUAGAUAAAUCGGCGUUUUAAUAAAUAUAGAAUUCAUAAAUCUUAAACCUGGAGUUUUUUUGAGGUUUUGAUAAUAAGAAAUUAACACUAUGGUGAAAAUAUCCUAUGGAUUUGUAUUUUUUAUUUUAGAGUGUUUUAAAAAAAGUGUUAGCAAUAAAAGCAAAUCCCACAUUCAUUGAUGUUUUGUUAUUGUGAUUAAAGCCAUAAGGCACUACAAGUGGAGACUAAGAUCAAAUCUCAUACUCAUUGAUGUUUUGUCAUUGUAAAGAAAUCCAUAGGAACUGUAUAUGAAGAUUAUAGGGUUAUUGUGGGGAAACUUUGAGAAUAGUACAAUAUGGUUACGAAAAUUUUUGAAAGUAUAUUUUUGAGGUUGGAAAAUAAUAAGAUGUUUCUUGGGAAUAAUAUGUAUUUGUAAGCCUAGUAGGUUGCACAAGUGUUUUUGGUGUGGUUUUAAGGUAUAGAAGAAUUAAUCUUAAUAAAACGUUAAAUAAAUGAUUUGGAUAGUUGGAUGCAAAAAAAAUUAGGAAAGCAAGUUAAGUCAACCUAAGUACAUGAAAUUGGAUAUUUCCCUAGAUGAAUUAGGGUUAAUUAAUAAAUAAAUAUACACUUAGAGCAGUAUUUAUCAAAACUUUAAUUUGAAUUAUUCCUUUAAAUCUCUCAAUUGAUUCAUAAGAAUUUUCCACAACUCUAUUCCUUUGGAUUUAUCUAUCUUGAGUAUAGGGAUUUUUUGUAAAUAUGUUUUUUUUUGUUAUAAAUAUUCAAAUGUAUUUUUUUUUGUAAAUUCUGAAACUGUUUAAAUACGCUUGAAAUACUAAACUUGAGAAUUAUUUUUAUUUGACUAUAUUUUUUUUCCUUAUAUGUGCAUUCUAGUUAUCUAGCCUAGUUAACAAGGGAAAAAAUGUUGACCUUUGUUACCCUUGGUGGGGCUAAAGAUGAUGUUAAAACCAAGUCAAUAGGGUGUUUAUCAACUUAUGAUAUACCAUUAGAUUGGUUCUGGUUCCAUUCACCAACAUGUAAGGAAUGUCUGAGGUUAGCCACUUCUAUAAGUCCCACUAUGAUGGGCUUUGUUAGGAAAUCGAGUCUUGUUUAUAUGUUGACAAUUUUGUUCCUUUUUAAUUUUGACCAUAGAAGUCUCUUUAGAUAGUGACUUGCUCUCCAUUGAAGAUCAAGAGUUGUUGUUUGUCCAACUGGGAAGUCACAGAUACAUUUAAAAAGGUUUGACUUGUGACAAUUUAGGCUCCUUCGAGGUAGCUACUUGGAGUGAAACGGACUUUGAUGAUAGUGCUUCCAUAGCUUUUGAAGAUGCAAGGUACGAUCUUAAUGACUUCUUAGCUUUUAUUGCAUCUGUGGAAUCUGUGCAUGAUAGUGAUUAUAAUAGUGAUAGUGAUGAUGAGUUUAAUGAUGAACAAAAGGCUGAAUUCUUGAGCAAUCUUGUUAUUGAGCAUGAAAAACUAAUUAAGAAUUAUUUAAAAGAUCAUGAUAUUCUUGAAGCUCAUAAAAACAAGACUGACAUUCUUAAUCUAGAAAAAAUUAAUUUACUUGAGAAAAUUAGAUUUCUUAAGUCUAAGGAUCAUUCUCUUCUUAUGAAGAACAAUACUCUCACUCUAAAGAUCAAGAGUAAUAAGCCUUCUUCAUUUGUAAAUGAAAUAUUUCACCCUAGAACUAAAGUGCUUAAUGAAAUUCUUGAUAAAUGUAAAACCCAUGGUGAUAAAAGAGGUUUUGGGGUAUAUUAACAAAGAUGAAACUCCCUCUAGUGGAGAAACUAUGUUUGUCAAAGGUAAAGAUGAAACCCUUAACCAAACAACAUCUCCUAAAAAGCCAUCACUAUGCAUACACUGUAACAAAACUAGACACUCUCAGUUUAGAUGCUACACUAGGUUCCUAGAAAGGUUUGAAUCUCAAAUGAGUAUGCUAAUGAAUGAUUUUAACUCCCUUAAAAAUAAUAUAUUGAAUAAUGGGAAAGGGAAUAAAACUAAUCAAAAGCUUAGAAGUCAACCUAAUUCCUUUAAGCCACCACCUAGGACUAAACAAGUUUGAUCGAGAAAUGAUAGGGUUAAAUGUCAAGUUGUGUUCAAUGCUCUUAAAGCUAAAUCUUCUUAUGACUGGUACUUUAAUAGCGGCUACUCAAGACACAUGAUUAGAGAUAAAACCUUUUCACAUCUCUUGAGGAUUAUAAUGGUGGGACAGUUACUUUUGGAGAUGGGCACUUAUCAUGUGUGAAAGGCAAGGGAAGUUUAUCUAUCCUUGGUUGUCCUAAGUUAGAUGAAGUUCUCUAUGUUAAUGGACUUAAGGCAAAACUACUAAGCAUUAGUCAAAUUUGUGACAAGGAGCAUAAGGUGAAUUUUUUCCAAGACUUAUGCAAGAUAGUUAGCAAAGAGGGAAAGGUCAUUGUCACAAGACAUAGGAUAGUUGACAACUACUAUGCAAUAAAUCCUAUAUUUAGAACACCUCUUAUGUGCAGUAGGACAAAGGUAGAUCCUAUUGAACUUUGGCAUAGAAGGUUAGGUUGCAUAAACAAUAGGGACCUUGUGCACUUAGUGAACAGUGAAAAAGUUAGAGGCAUCCUUAGACUUAGUGAUGAACGUAAACCCAUUUGUGGUGAGUGUAUGAAAGGUAAACAAACUAAGAGUUCACAUAAAAAGGUUAACCAAAUUAGGAUCGGUAGGCCUUUAUACCUUCUAUAUAUGGAUCUUAUGGGUUUAAUGCGGACUAAGUAGAGGUGGUAAGAAAUAUGUCCUGGUUGUUGUGGAUGAUUUUUCAAGAUACUCCUUUGUGAGUUUUCCUAGGGAAAAGUCAGAGACCGUUGAACAUUUGAAGUCACUAUUCAAUAGAAUACAACGAAAAAUAGGUCAUCCAAUUAUAAGGAUUAGGAGUGAUAGGGGGAAGGAGUUUGACAAUGUGGAUGGCCUCUUUUGCGAGUCUAAAGGAAUUAAACAUGAGUUUUCAACCCCUAAAACUCCUCAAUAGAAUGGAGUGGUUAAAAGAAAGAAUAGAUUGUUACAAGAAAUGGCUAGGGUGAUGAUUCAUAUGCAUAACACCCCUAUGCAAUUUUGGGUAAAGGCAAUUAAUGAAUCCUGUUAUACUACUUAUAUGGUUUUUCUUAUAAUUAUGGACUAGGAGAAAACAUAACCUUAAGUAUUUUAGGACUUUUGGCAGUGAGUGUUAUAUACUCAUGGAUGGGAGAACCUUGGAAAGUUUGAUGCUAAAUCUGAUGUAGGUAUCUUCUUAGGCUAUUCUAUUACUAGUAAAGCCUAAAAGUUUAUAAUCAAAAUUCAUAGAUUAUCUAUGAAUCCUCUAAUGUGGUUAUAAAUAAUGCUAGGUAUGAUCAGGAUAUAAUUGAGAGUCAAAUUUUAACCUAGGAUUUAAUUGAGUAACCCUAAAUAUGUGAAGAUCACGAAAGACAACCCUAAUGAUAUCCCUAAAAGAGACAUUGAUCCUAAUAAGGAUGAAUAUGUACCUCUAAAUGACACGUCUAAUGAAAUGAGGAAUAAGCAUAGAUCUAAAGUACUCAAGAACCACCUAAUUUAAAAUGUUAUAAGUAAUGUAAAUGAACGUGUGACAAUUGAUUAGGUACACAUUUGAUGAACGUGUACCUCUAAAUGAACAUGUACCCAAGAGCUACAUAGGUCUAGCUCGUAUACCUACGGUCUCUACUAAGCGAAUGGAGGAAAUCAUGACAAUUGAUUAAUUAAUCAAGGAUACCAAUAAUAGGACAACAAGACACAUAUAAGUCUUGAGGUGAAAAAAGUGUACAUAAGAAUGUACACAAUUAAUGAAUGUGAAAUGCACAAAAUAGAAUUUAAUUAUUUGUUAAAGUUGCAACAUUUCAAAGGAAGUUCAAAAGAAAUUUAUUUAUAUUGGGAACAAUUUUGAAUUAAAUUUUUCAAACUUAUUUAUUCACAAAGUUUCAAUUUAUUUACAAAAGAUUAUAUUUUUAUUCACAUCCAAAAUUAAUUAAAAAAAAACUUUUCUUGAUUUUAUUAAAAGAAUUUUGAUUGAAUUUGAAUUUAUUAAAGGGAAAAGCUCAAUUUGACCUUCUAUUUAUAAAGAAAUGAUUUUGGCUUACACUUUAUUUAAAAAAAAAAGAAAAAGAUGCCAUAAUUAUAACGAAACAUCAAUUCUAUUUUUGGAAAAGUGAUUUUUACAAGGAAAAGGGGGUUUACUUAUUUUAAUUAUAAGAACCAAAUUUCAAUUUACUAAGAAAAUAAAUUUUUAUAACUUUUAUUUACGAAAAAUAUUUCCAAAUUAAAUUUAUUCAAAAAGAGAUAUUUUUACAACUUUUAUUUUCUUUAGAUUUUUAUUAAAACAAUUUUCAGGAUUUUUUAUUAAAUCAAAAUUUGGAACUUUAUUAAAACUAUUUUGGAAUUCUUUAUUAAAAGAAAAUUUUGAAACUCUUAUUAAGCAAACUUUUGGAAAAUUUUAUCAGACACAAACUUAGAGAACUUUAACUUAAAAUUUUAAGAACUUCAAUUUAAAACACAUUUUAGGGAUUUUGAUUAAAAAACCAACUUUUAGAAAAUUUAUUAAAACACUGAGGAUUUUGGAAACUAACUUUGGGGGUUUUUAUUAAACAACUUUUAGAAGUUAAUAAGACAAACUUUGGGAGUUUAUUAAAAACAAAUUUUGUGAAUUUUUAAGAUUUAUUUUGAGAGUUUAUUAAGACAUGUAUUAAAACUUUUAAGACUUUUAUGGAAACAAACUUUAAGUAAAUUUAAAAGACAUACUUUGAGAACAACUAUUAAAAUAUUUAUUUUGAAAUCUUUAAUUAAGCCGAAUUUGAGAACUUUUAUGAUUUUUACGACUUUUAUGAAAACAAACUUUAAGAAUAUUUGUUUAAACACUUAUUUUGAGAAUUUGCAUUAAACAAACUUAUGAAAAAAAAUGACUUCCUAAAGAACAUUUAUCAACAAAUAAUUUUCAAUUAACAAACUUAUUAAAAUAAAAUGACUUUCUAAAGAAAAUUUAUUAAAACACACUUUUCAAAUAACAAACUUAUUCAAAAAAAAAAAAAAAAAACAACUUUCUAAAGAACAUUUAUAAAAACACAAUUUUCAAUUAACAAACUUAUUAAAAAAAAUGAUUUUUUAAAGAACAUUUAUUAAAACACAAUUUUUAGAAUUUUCAUUAAACAAACUUUUUAAGGGAAUUUCUCAAAUUUUAUGCCUCUUUGUCUUUCAAAGAAGAAUGUUUGAAAUUUUAUGCUUCAUUGGCUUUCAAAGAAUACUUUCACAGUGAGAAAAAUUGUAGAUAUCUAACUUUAAAUUUUGAAAGAUUUGAAAAACAAAUUUAAAAGUUAAAAAAAGAAAAGAAUUUCCCAAAUUUUAUGCCUCUAUCGCUUUCAAAAAAUAGUUUCAGACUUUGUUACAUAAGAAAAUUAGAGUGUGUUCGGCAAUAUUUUCAUUUUUUUUAGUGAAAAUAUUUUAUCUAAAAGUGUUUUCAAGGGAAUUAUUUAUAAAAUACUACAAGUGACUUUUCAAUACUAUAAGUAAUUUGUCAAUGCUACAAAACUGUUUCUUAACUUUUGUCAAACACCUUAAUUUUUUAUUUUUUUAUAAACACUUCUUAGGUUAGAAGUGUUUUUCAAAAACACUGUUAAACAAACUAUCUAACUUUAAAUUUUCAAAUAUUUGAAAAGAAAAAAGUUCAAAGAAUAAAAUUUAAAAGUUUGGCAAACAAGUUAGAAAUGUAAUCAAUUUGAGAUCAAGUAUUAAAGUGCUUCUUGCUCAAGCAAAGGACUAAGUCCUAGAUCAAGGCUUAGGUCCAAAGGUAAGCUAAUGUCACAGACUUAGUCUUUUCCUAAGCCCAUGUGGCACUUAGACAAGUCAAGACACUUUAUCUUGCUAAGUCAGCCUUACUCCCAAUGCUUAGCUUGCUAGGCUAAGAUGCUCACGACUCAGAAGCGUUAGAAGGUGUAGUAGGCAACUCUUAAAGAAUGGAGCUUUUAUUGCUCAAAUGAAGCUUUACAAGUGCUUUUGGGAACUCACUUGCUUGGUUGGUUAAAUUCUUGGGUGGUGCCUUGGCCAAAUGAGGGUCUCACCCAUUUAUAAGCACCAAUGGUACUCUCUAGAACCUUGUAGGGUUCUUUACAACUCAAGAAUAAUCUAGAACUUCCUACACUAGUCUUAUGUAAGGGUAUGUACAAGAUGACUUUGGAAUAUUCUAGAACACCCUACACAAUUCCAAUUCUCUCUUAGCCAAGUGUAGAGAUGUGUGGACAUCUCUAGCCCUCUCCAGAAGCUUCCAUACUCUUCCACUUUGUAGCUAAGUGUAGAUGUCUCCAAGGGUCUCUAGAAGCUUCCCACCUCCUAUAUAAGACCAUGGGAAGGGUCAUUUGAAGCAUCUUGUGACACUCUCCCCCACCUAUUAUUGUGCGAGCAAAAGCUUUGAUGCCAACAAUCACACAUAUGGUACACAAGGUUUUAACGUGGUUCGGCCAACCAUGCCUACGUCCAUGGAUGAGAGAGAAUGAUUCCACUAUACAAUAGAGAAUAUUAUAGAGGACAGAAUCAGAUACAACUUUUGGGUUCCCGCAACAUCCCAUGUUUCCCCACUCCUUGUAUCCAUACCCUACUACGAGCUCUCUCGCUCUACCGAGUACCUCCCGUUCUUUCUCACAUCUCUAUCCAACUCGUAUAGUCUCUACAUGUCCAUCUCCAUCUCAUGACUUUUUCCCCUUAUGACCUAGAAUAUUUAUAAAGAUAUUUUCAACAACCUUCCUUAUUCUAUAUGGAAGUCUAAUAUUACAAUAAUAUAUCAACCUAGAAAUAUUCUAUAUAAUAUUCUUUACAAAAAAAGGAAUCUAUACUAAUUAGGAAUUUGGGACACUUCCUAACAAUCUCCACCUUGGACCAAAUUCCAUGAAGUUAAUCUUCAAUCUCUCCAUGAUACAAACCUUUUUGUAUCAUAUCACCACAAAAGAGCAAUUGACUCCACCUUCAGUGAAAAUUCCUUUUGUUUUCAUUUUGUGUGCUUUGUGAUCUUUUACUCUUCUAGAAAUCUUCAACCCAAGACCAUACUAAAAAACCCUAAUUACAAAAAGCGGUUCCACAAUGGGUUAAACGAGUCUAUCGGCCCAAGCCUUUGCUCCAUGGACUAAGCCUCAAUAAAUCUCCCAUUAAAAAACCAUGCAAUAUUAUUCGGGUCAGGUCGUCAAACCAGAUCAAACAAAACUAAGCUCCACAAAGCCUAACAAAUCUCCCACUUGGAGACUAGUUCAAUCACCAACAUCAAACCGCUAUCCUCCAAGAGACAAUCCCUCAUCCCUGCAACUCAUCCUCCUAUCCUCAAGCUAGAAGACCAAUUGAAGUUGUGCACAACUUCAACUUCUCAAUAGUGACACCCUUAGUCAACAUGUCUGUCGGGUUCUUAAAUCCACAAAUCUUCUCAAGUAUUACUAGUUUAUCUUCAACAAGGUAACGGAUAAAGUGGUAUUUUUUUGUAUAUGCUUCAACUUUGAAUGAAAAGUCGAAUUUUUGGCAAGAAAAAUUGCACUAUGACAGUCACUAUGUAGAAUGUCCAUCUUCUACUUCUUACCCAAUUCAUCUAAGAAACCAUGUAGUCAAAUCAUCUCCUUUCCAGCUUCAGUUGUUGCAACAUACUCAACUUCUGUAGUAGACAAAGUAACAAUCUUCUGUAGAUUUGAAGCUCAUAAUAUAGUUGUACCACUUAGAGUAAAAACAAAACCAGUAGUACUCUUUCUACUAUUAAUAUCACCAGCAAAAUCAACAUCUACAUAACCCUGCAGUUUCAAACUUGCACCUGUGAAGCGAAGACAUGUAUCCAAUGAACCCUUCAGAUAUCUUAAUAUCCACUUGACUGCCUCCCAAUGCUGCUUUCCAGGCUUACUUAUGAAUUUGCUCACAACUCCUACUGCAUGUGCAAUGUCUGGCCUUGUACACACCAUAACAUACAUCAAGCUGCCAAUAGCUGAGGCAUAGGGCACCUUGCUCAUAUGACCCCUUUCUUCUUCCGUCUUCGGUGACUAUUCUUUGCUUAGUUUGAAAUGACUCCUCAAGGGUGUGCUCACUGGUUUAGCUUCAUUCAUGUUGAACAUGCUGAGAACUUUCUUCACAUACUCUGACUGUGAAAGCUUCAAUGUACCAUUAGCCUUGUCUCUAAUGAUUCUCAUACCAAGGAUUUGCUUUGCAACUCCCAAAUCCUUCAUUGCAAACUGUUUGGACAAUUGCUUCUUCAGAUUAUUAAUCUUCUCAAUGCCAGACCCUGCAAUAAGCAUAUCAUCCACAUACAAUAGUAAUAUGAUGUAAGAGUUAUCAAAAAACUUAACAUAGCAACAGUGAUCAGCUUCACAUCUCUUGAACCCAAUUCUAUGCAUAAAACUGUCAAACUUCUUGUACCACUAUCUAGGAGCUUGUUUAAGGCCAUACAAGCUCUUUCUCAGUUUGCAAACUAGAUUCUCUUGUCCUUGAACAAUGAACCCUUCUGGUUGAAUCAUGUAAAGGCCUUCCUCCAAGUCACCAUGAAGGAAUGUUGUCUUCACAUCUAAUUGCUCAAGAUGUAAGUUUUCUGCAACCACCAUUCCCAGUACAAGUCUGAUUGUUGACAUCUUCACAACUGGAGAAAAUAUCUCUGUGUAAUCAAUGCCCUCAUUCUGCUGAAACCCUUUAACAACUAAUCUGGCCUUAUAACGUUUGCUACCAUCAUGCUCAUUCUUUAUUCUGUAUACCCACUUGUUAUGCAAAGCCUUCUUUCCUACUGACAAUUCAGUCAGUUCCCAUGUCUGAUUCCCCAACAAGGAAUCCAUCUCAUCCUUCAUGGCUAACUCCCACUUGCUUGAAUUCUCAUCUUGUAAAUCUUCAUCAUAACACUUUGGCUCACUACCAUCACUCAACAGGAGAUAAUUUAAAACAGGUGAAUAACGCUGUGGAGGUCUAAUGUUCCUGGAAAAUCUGCGAACUUCAGCUACAGGUGUACUCAAAUCUACCUGAGAAUUUACAUUCUCCUUAUCUUCUUCACCCCCUUUUUGGACAGUACUUUCAGUCAAUUCAUCUAAGUUGAUAAACUCAGAUUUCUUUUGAUCUAUCUCUGUAACAUCUGACACUACAAUUGACAUGUCCUUGUACAUAACCUGUUCAUUAAAUAUCACAUUUCUACUUCUGAUGAUUUUCCUGUUUUGUUCAUCCCAAAACCUAUAGCCAAAUUUCUCAUCACCAUAACCAAUGAAAAAGCAUAUUUUAGACUUUGCAUCAAGUUUACUACGAGCAUCAGAAUCAAUAUGAACAUAAGAAACACAACCAAAAACUUUUAAAUGUGAAAACUUUACCUCUUUAUCGCUCUAAACCUCCUUAAGAAGUCUGAACUCCAUGGGAACUGAUGGUCCUUGGUUUAUCAGGUAGGCUACAGUGCUAACAGCAUCAGCCCAAAAAGUUUUUGGUAGUCCAACAUGCAACCUCAUACUUCUAGCAAGCUCAUUGAGAGUUCUGUUCAUGCGCUCAGCCACACCAUUUUGCUGUGGUGUCCCAAGAAUGGUCUUCUCCAUCCUAAUUCCCUGUGCAACACAAUACUCACCGAACCCUCCAUCUAUGUACUCUCCUCCAUUAUUUGACCUCAAACAUUUUACUUUCAAACCUAUUUCUGUCUCAACCAUGGCCUUCCAUUUCUUAAAAUUUUCAAAUACAUUAGAUUUAUUUUUCAGAAAAUAAACUCAUACCUUUCUGCUUGAGUCAUCAAUAAAACUGAUGUAGUACCUUGAACCUCCAAGGGAUGCAACCGGAGAAGGCCCCCACAAAUCAAUGUGUACUAGUUCUAAUUUUUUAGCCUUCAGUGUCCUGCCAGUUUUCAAGAAGCUCACAUUUUUUUUGCUUUCCUAAGAUGCAACUUUCACACAUGUCAAAAUCAAUGGACUUUAAUUCUGGUAGUUUUCCUUUUGACAACAACAUCUUCAUCCAUUUCUCACUCAUGUGACCAAGUUUGCGGUGCCAUAGGCUUAUAUCAGUACUUGCAUUAGCAACUGCAAUUGUGUCUCUUGGACAUGAGGUCAUAUACAGAGUACAAGUCUUCUUUCCACAAGCCAAUACCCUAGCUUCCUUUGUAACCUUCUAAGUACCACCAACAAAUAGUAUUGCAUGUCCUUCAUCAUCAAGUUGUCCAACAGAAAUCGGAUUCCUCUUCAGGUUAGGAAUAUCUCAAACCUUCUCCAGUAACCAAAUAAACCUAUUGGGCAACAAUAUUCGGACGUUUCCCAGACCCACAACAUCCAAGGCUGAACCAUCAGCCAAAUACACCUUACCAAAAUCACCCGCAACAUAAUUCUGUAUGAUUUCUCGAUGUGGAGUGGUAUGAAAUGAAGCUUCUGAAUCCAAAACCCAAUAAUCAAGUAGACUGUCUACUGCAAGAAGUAAUGCAUCUUGUACCUCUUCUGUUACAGCAUUAGUAGAAUCAUCUUCAUUCUUCUUCUUAAGACUUUUGUAUUGCCUUCUAAAGUGACAUGUUUUCCCACAGUUCUAUCAUAGUACUUGUUGGCCUGAUCUAGAUUUGCUUUUAUUUCGAUUAGAAUUUUUGGAUUUUGAUCUACCCCGGUUUGAAUUUUUUUCAUUACCUCUGUCUCUUGUCUCAAGGUUUAGGACAUAACUAGAUCCUGAGGUUUCGCUUGCAUCUCUUCGACGAAUCUCCUCAACUAGAAUUAAAUCUCAUAUAUCAUUGUACUUGAGUUUUUCCUUUCCCGUAGAAUUGCUUACUGCCAUCCUCAUUGCCUCCCAACUGUUUGGCAAAGAAGCCAAGAUGAUCAGAGCACGAAUCUCAUCAUCAAAAUCAAUUUCUACAGACGACAAUUGAUUUGUGAUUGUAUUAAAUUCAUUUAGAUGUUGUGCUACUGAGAUAUUUUCUACCAUCUUCAAAUUGAAUAAUUUCUUCAUCAGAUGCACCUUAUUGUUUGUGGACAGCUUUUCAUACAUACCAGACAAAGCCUUCAUCAGAUCUACUGUGGUCUUCUCUUUUACAACGUUGUGUGCAAUAGACCUAGACAGAGUUAACCUAAUAACUCUUGGAACCUGUCUGUCAAGAAACGCCCAUUCCUCAACCUUCAUACUCUCAGGUUUUGUCCCCAAAAGAGGCAGAUGCAAUUUCCUCCCAUAGAGAUAAUCUUCAAUCUACAUCCUCCAAUAUGCAAAAUCUGUGCCAUCAAAAUUUCUAUUAUAGACGCCUUUCCUGCUUCCUCUGCCAUUGCUCCCACUCAAACCUAACCCUAGGCUCUGAUACCAGUUGUUGUGCCAGUGAAAGCUUUGAUGCCAACAAUGUUAGUUCAAGAACACAAAGAUAAAACAAUCACACAUAUGGUACACGAGGUUUUAACAUGGUUCGGCCAACCAUGUCUUGAUUCAUGCCCAGUCGAUGUAUCAGUUGACUUAUGUCCAGCUGGUGCUCCUUGAUUGACGUAGUAAUCAACAAAAUUUAUAACCUAUUACACCAUGAACUAGGGUAGCAGAGACAAAGCUACUAUAGUAUAGUGGCUCUAGGAUCGUUCACUGGGAAGGGUUUUCAACUCAUAACUGAUACCAAUUCAAAGCUGAGUUGGUGCUUUUUCAUUUCAAGGUUAGCUUUAAAAGAAAACAUAAAGUUGUUUGAGUGAAAAGGGUUUGGUUUUAAACUAACCAAAAAGAAAGUAAUGGAAAUUACUUAUGAAGAAAAACAUUCCUUGAAGGUUUAGGUUCACAGGGGAGAUUCCUUAUACAAAACAGAGCUCCGGUCAUUUGGUUUGUUUCCUCGCAUUAGAGAAUUAACAUAUAGUCAAUUCUCUAACCGGUGUUGUACAGAUGUAACCUUUAAAUAGAUUCCAGCUCUAAUUCCCUCUCACUGAUGCAACUUGCAAUAACUCGUGCCUCUCAUCUAGCAUUUGCCAUCAAGGUGAUCUUUAACUUUGGAUUUCCCUUCUCAAGCUCGCAAGAGAUAACUAAUGGAAGUCUCCUCGGAGUCCAAAAGCUUACUAAAUGUUGGCAAUUCUAGAAAAUCCUACCUCCAAGUCACUUCCCAAAAGCUUGCAAGAGAUAAACAAGUGCAUCUCCAUGGACGAAGAUCACGUGUCUUACCAAGUACUGGCUCAAGUGAUUUGAAGGUGUUUUAAGUUAACUAAAAACAUAGAAAUCAUUAAAGGAUCAUACUUUCUCUUCAUUAAUCACUGAAACCACAAAGCUACUAAUUCUUGCACUUAGAACCUUUCCCUACAACCUUAACUCCAAGGAAUUAAAAGUCUAGCCACUCAUUCUUUGAGGAAAUUUCCUCAGAGCUUGUUUGGCUAGUAAGAAAACUAACAAGAAAACAAAUAUAUGAUAGAAAACCAGAGCAAGUGCUCUGGAAAUAUAUUUCUUGCUUUUCUUGAUUACAAUAUAGAUCGAUACUCUUUCGAUUCGAUAUCCUCUGUAAAGGAAAUUACAAACUAUUUAUAUGGGUUUAUUCACCCUUUUUAUUUACUUAAAAACUAAGGAAUCCCAUGAUAGGUGGAUUACAAGGAGAGUUUGGGAAUUUAGACAACAAAUAUCUAAAGCAAAAUAUCCCAAAAUAUCGCUCGAAAAUGUCAGGAAGGUUCAGGAGAACACCAUUGCACUAUACUGAGAGAAAAACUUUGCAGGUAAGCGUUAUCAGAAGGUCCGGAUAUGUAUAUCCGGAGAAGUCGAAGCGUCCUCCUCUCCCAUCCGGCUAUAGGAUAUUCGGAUGUAAAAUGUUGGCGCACGGAACGUCCUCCUUUCCCAUCCGGAUGUGAGAUAUCCGGAUGAAAAAUGUCGGCGCACAGAACUCGUGAAAAUCACACCCGGCUGAUAGCAUAUCUUAUUUGAAUAUGUUGUCCGGAUGCCCUUCGAUGGUAUAUCCGGACGCCCUGUCCGGGUAUACUCCUUGUAUGGAUUCCAAAGAACUCUCCUCAAUCUCAGAUUUGCUUUGGUGAUAAAAAAGCUAUCAAAACACCAAAACUUAACACAAUUUGAUUAGAAUUGAUUGCAAGGGUCCUUACUAUGUUAAUUGGGUUAAAAGGUGAUAACUACUACUCAAAAGUAUUUAAAAGAGUUAAUUACUGGUUAUCAAAUAGCACUUUUUGAGUAGUAAUCACUCCCCCCAACCGACAUAUUGCUAGUCCCUUAGCAAUGAAGGAGAGAAAAAAAAACAGUACUAUAAUUUACAACAUCAUGCUGAACAAAAAACAAUUUCCUAGCGGCAUGAUGAUCUAACUCUCACAUGGAACAUUAAAGAAAUAAAACUCAAACUUCAACAAGAGUUAUCAAAUAACUUGUCUAAUCACAAUUCUUAAAGAGAAGGCUUUAUGCAAAUUUAAGCUUUAAAAGAGUUUCCACUCCCAAAGGGUCAAACCUUACUCUUCCACAAAAAUCUAAGUGUUAUUUAUUAGCUUCCGAAUAUAGUAUGUAGAACUAAUCUCUCCUCCCAAUCUAGUUUUUUUUUUUCAAAGCUUAGCAAACUGGUCAACCUCCAAUAUGCUAAGAACGCACCUCAUUUUUUUCACAACAAUUUUUUUUUCAUUGUAGGAGUACAAGGCUUAAAGGUAUUAUUUUCUAACUUGUCCAUGUAACGGGGGUCCAUCGAUGACUCCCAACCAAUUAAGGUUUAGGGCAUCAAGCUUUAAGGAUAUUUCAACCACUAGCUCCUCGGAUUUUACCCCGGACUUUUGAGAAUGAAUUUUAAUACCCCAGCACCUACAGUAUGUUAGACUCCACCUAUCCACCCUUGUUACGAGCAUUGAGGUCGGUGACUCCCAACCAAUGAAGGCUUAGGGCACCUGGUUUUAAAGAUUUUCACCAUAUAUCCCUCAGACCUUGCUCGGGUUUCAAGGCAAGCAAACAUUUUUUCUUUCUUUUUCCAAAGGCUCAUUGGCCUUUUACAAGGUGUCCCAACACUAUUAAAUGAGGUCAAAGGUACCAAGUCUAAAAUUUUCCUAAGUCAAGAGGGAAAUAGUUUUUCAUCUUAUACUCGGAACCUAUUGUGCACAGUGUGUGAAUAGCUUAAAGUGGAAGACAUAAGCUUGACUUCAAUAGAAGUUUCAACAAUUCAUCAACUUUAAUAAGCAUAAUACAAACUCUAAGUCAAGUGAAAAGAUAAAAAUUCAAUUUCUCCCAUUCCAUUUUGAAAAUUUUUCCUUAAUAACCAUGGAGAGUAGAAUAAAAACUUUUAAAAAUUUUAAAAUUUAAGCAAAAAGCAACUAAAUUACCAAAAUAACUUAGCAUUAUUAAUAAAAACUUCCUUCCUCAACUCUCCCCCCAACCAAGCUCAACAUUGUCCUUAAUGUGACAACAGCGAUUGAAAAAUAGGGAGGAAGUGGUACCUCCUAAGUGACGUGGAAUGAUGGCUCAGCGGCUUCUCCUGUACUCCCAUUCCAUUUUGAAAAUUUUUCCUUAAUAAUCAUGGAGAGUAGAAUAAAAACUUUUUAAAAUUUUAAAAUUUAAGCAAAAAGCAACUAAAUUACCAAAAUAACUUAGCAUUAUUAAUAAAAACUUCCUUCCUUAACUCUCCCCCCAACCAAGCUCAACAUUGUCCUCAAUGUGACAACAGUGAUUGAAAAAUAGGGAGGAAGUGGUACCUCUUGAGUGACGUGGAAUGAUGGCUCAGCGGCUUCUCCUGUAGGAGGCUCCGGAUGAGGUGGGAAUGGUAUGCUCAGGAGCUGAUGUACUGUCAAGAUGAUGCUGAAUCUGCCUCAGGACGGCAGUGUGCUGGGCCUGAGUGGCAAGAAUCUGCUCCUGCUGAUUCUAAUCAUUCAAAAAGCUAGUUACAAUUAACAUAAUUUAAAACCAAAAUUACAAUCCAAUAAUUUACAAAACUUAAAAAUUAACAUAUUUAACAAAAUUAUGGACUUUGGUGAAACCAAGUCCAUCUAACCCUUCUCUGUUCAGGAUUUCUAUGGCUCAAGGAGGUUGAUUUCCUCCUUUUCUGGCUUGAACGGCUCAAUGUAUGGCUUGAGACGAUGCCCAUUCACUUUGAAAGUUUGAGUGCUCUUGAAGUUGAGUAGUUCCACUACUCCAUUUGAUUGCACGUCAUGAAUUAUGAAAGGACCCGUCCAUCUUGAUUUCAAUUUUCCCGGAAAAAGAUGGAGUUUAGAGUCAUAAAGCAAGACUCUUUGUCUCUUGAUAAAAUUCUUCUGAUUUACCAACUGAUCAUGCCAUUUCUUCAACCUCUCUUUUGCAAUUUUUGAAUUGAGGUAAGCAUCAUUCCUCAUUUCCUCCAAUUCGUUCAAAUGCAAAUAUCUCUUUAACCCGGCACUUGUCAAAUCCAUGUUGAGCUUCUUGAUCGCCCACCAUGCUUUAUAUUCAACCUCCACUGGGAGAUGGCACGCUUUGCCAUAAACAAGGCGGUAAGGAGACAUUCCAAGAAUGGUCUUAUAAGCAGUCUAUAAGCCCAUAAUGAAUCCAGGAGCUUAGUAGACCAAUCCUUCCUAUUCACAUUCACCACCUUCAUCAGGAUAUUCUUGAUUUCCCGGUUGGCUAACUCAACUUGGCCACUUGUUUGAGGGUGAUAAGGUGUAGCUACCUUGUGCUUGACCCCAUAUUUGGCUAGAAGAGUCUCAAACGACUUAUUGCAAAAGUGGGUUCCUCCAUCACUGAUAAUGGCCUUAGGCACUCCAAACCUUGAAAAUAUGUUCUCCUUGAGAAAUUUGAGAACCACCUUAUGAUCAUUGCUCCUACAUGGGAUUGCAUCUACCCACUUAGAGACAUAAUCCACUCCCACCAAAAUGUAGGAGUGUCCAAAUGACAUUGGAAAUGGUCCCAUGAAGUCUAUCCCCCAAACAUCAAAGACAUCCACUAUCAAGAUGGGGUUCAAGGGCAUCAUAUUCCAGCGUGUUAGCUUCCCAAGCCUUUGACACCAAUCACAUCCCUUGCACAUAGAGUGGGCAUCCUUGAAAAGAAAGGGCCACCAAAAACCUGAUUAGACCACUCUCAUGGCUGUUUUCUGGGAGGCAAAAUGACCUCCACAUGCACUAUCAUGACAAUGGGAUAGAAUUCCUGAUUGCUCUUGUUCAGGAACACAUUUCCUUAUGAUUUGAUCCGCACAAUAUUUGAAGAGAAAAGGCUCCUCCCAAUAAUAGGCAUGGAUCUUAGCAAAGAAAUGCUUCUUGUCUUGGGCACUCCACUCACUUGGAACUUCUCCAGUAACCAAGUAAUUUACAAUGUGAGAAUACCAUGGAGUUACCUCUAUUGACAUGAGAGACUCCUCAGGGAAGUCAUCAUUAAUAGGUAGACCAUGUGAGUCAUGUGCUAUCACAAGUCUGGACAAGUGGUCAGCUACCACAUUUUCUACUCUCUUCUUAUCCCGGAUUUGGAUAUUGAAUUCUUGAAGCAGAAGGAUCCAUCUUUUCAAUCUUGCCUUGGCAUCUUGCUUGGUUAGCAAGUACUUUAGAGCAGAAUGGUCAGUGAACACCACUAUAAAGGACCCUACCAAAUAGGCACGAAACUUAUCCAAGGUAAAAACUACUGCCAACAACUCCUUCUCAGUAGUUGUGUAGUUCCUUUGAGCCUCAUUCAAAGUUUUGCUUGCAUAAUAAAUCACAUAGGGCUUUCCAUCUUCUCUUUGCCCCAAAACAGCCCCCAUAGCAAAAUCACUUGCAUCACACAUUACCUCAAAAGGUAAUUUCCAAUUUGGGGCUCUCACUAUUGGUGCAGUUGUAAGGAAUUGCUUCAGUUCCUCAAAACUCUUCUGGUAUUUCUCAUCCUACACAAACUUGACAUCCUUUACCAAUAGUUCACAAAGAGGUUUUAAGAUUUUUGAGAAAUCCUUAAUGAACCUCCUAUAGAACCCGACAUGUCCUAGGAAUUGCCUAAUUCCUUUAACAUUUGUGGGAGGUGGCAACUUAACAAUUAGCUCCACCUUUGCCUUAUCUACCUUAAUGUCAUUCUUGGAGAUUAUAUGUCCUAAGACAAUUCCUUUUUGUACCAUAAAAUGGCACUUCUCCCAAAUUAGCACUAGGUCUUUCUCAAUACAUCUUUGGAGAACAGCUUCUAAAUGCAACAAACACUCCUUAUAAGAACAUCCAUAAACAGUGAUGUCAUCCAUAAAGACUUCCAUGAUGCGUUCUACCAUAUCACUGAAGAUGCUUAGCAUACAUCUUUGGAAAGUUGCAGGUGCAUUACAUAGACCAAAGGGCAUCCUCCUAUAGGCAAAAGUACCAAAGGGGCAAGUGAAGGUUGUCUUUUCCUGAUCUUCCAAAUCAAUUUCUAUUUGGAAGUACCCCGAGUAACCAUCUAGAAAACAGUAGAAAGGAUGCCCUGAGAUUCUCUCAAGGACUUGGUCCAUGAAAGGCAAUGGGAAAUGGUCCUUCCUAGUCGCUGAAUUUAACCUCCUGUAGUCUAUACACACCCUCCAUCCGGAGGUAAGACGUGUAGAGACUUCCUCCCCUUUUUCAUUCUGGAUCACAGUAAUUCCAGAUUUCUUUGGAACUACUUGGGUUGGGCUCACCCACAAGCUGUCUGUAAUGGGAUAUAUGAUCCCUGCUUGAAGUAGCUUCAAAACUUCACCUCUUACUACCCCUUGCAUGUGAGGAUUCAACCUCCUCUGGGGCUGCCUCACUGGUUUUGCAUCUUCCUCCAUGUAGAUAUGGUGGGUGCAUACCAAAGGGCUAAUCCCUUUCAGAUCAGAAAUUUGCUAUCCAAUGGCCUUUUUGCAUUUUAUGAGGACUCCCAAAAGGCUAUCCUCUUGAUCAGUGGUGAGCUUUGAAGAAACCACCACUGCACAUUUCUCAUCUUUCUCCAGAUAUGCAUACUUCAAAUCAACAGGAAGUGGCUUCAAAACUGGUUUUGGAGGGUCCUCCGUAGCUGCUCCUUGUGAGUCCUCCUUAUUGAACAAGGGCAAGAUCUCUUCCCUUCUCCUCCAAGGAGACAUGAUGGCUAAUGGUUCAAAGGGUUCAGGUAACCCUGCUUCAAGCACUCCAAUGCUUUCAUUCAAGCUUUCUUCUAAAUUCUUGUCACAAUGCUCUUCAACCAACGUGUUGAUCAAGCACACCUUCUCCAAUCCUUCCUCCUCUUCGGGUUGAAGAUGCCUCUUGCAUAGGUGGAAUAUGUUUAGUUCCAAGGUCAUGUUCCCAAAUGUGAGCUGCAUAACCCCAUUCCUAUAAUUGAUGAUGGCAUUGGAGGUAGCUAGGAAAGGUCUCCCAAGGAUGAUUGGCACAUAAUUUGGUUCCUUAAUAGUGAGAUCAGUAUCAAGCACCAAAAAAUCCACGAGAUAGUAGAAUUUGUCCACUUGAACUAGAACAUUCUCAAUCACCCCCCUUGGGAUUUUGACCGACCUAUCAGCUAAGGAGAGAGUGAUGGCUGUGGGCUUCAAUUCUCCAAGUCCCAGUUGCUUAUACACAGAGUAUGGGAGCAAAUUCACACUUGCCCCCAAGUCUAAUAGAGCCUUCUCCACAUGUGUCCCUCCAAUGUUGGUUGAAAUGGUGGGACAUCCCGGAUCUUUACACUUAACUGGAGACUUACUCUGAAUGAUGGCACUUACUUGCUCAGUGAGGAAUGCCUUCUUUGUCACAUUUAACCCUCUCUUAACCGUGCACAAGUCCUUUAAAAUUUUUACAUAUGUGGGGACUUGCUUGAUCAUAUCAAGUAAGGGUAUAUUCACCUUCACUUGUCUCAAAACUUCAAGAAUUUCUGAUGAAUUCUUGAUUCCCUUCUUUCCAUGUAAAGCUUGAGGAAAAGGGGGAGGCAUAUGUUUCUUCAUCAUAUCCUCUUUAAUCACUAUCCUUGGCUCUUCUUCAAUGCUUGAUUUAGAUGCAUUUUUCUUCCCACUCUCCUCUUCUUGGUUAUUGCUCUCUUUAACCAAGGUUUUCCUUGACAUGAAUUCUUCGUCUUGUCUCACCUUAGGCAAGGGUUGAUCAACCUCCUUCCCACUUCUCAAGGUGAUCACAACUUUGACCUUCCUCAACUUUGAAGACUCUCCAUCUUGGGUUUCAACUUCAUGAACACCCUUAGGAUUUUGGCUUGGUUGAGAGGGGAACUUUCCCUUCUCAUUCACUGUGUUGAGGUUGGUAAGCCUAGAGAUGGAGUAUUGACUAUUAUCUAUCUUCUGAGAUAGAUCAUUCUGCAUCCCAUCCAUUCUCUUAAUUUGAGAACUCUCAACAUUUUCAAUCUUUUGGUGCAAUUGGGAGUUGAUUGCCUUUUGUUCACCCACAAAGUCACCCAUGACUUUACUUAGGUUUACAAUGGCUUGCUCCACUGAAGAGGUUUGUUGAGGUGCUUGGGUUUGGGCUUGUGGUUGGUAUGGAGGUGGCCUUGGUUUCCAAGAAAAAUUUGGAUGGUUUCUCCAGCUUGAAUUAUAGGUGUUUCCAUAAGGUGCAUUGUUGUUGGGCUUAAAUUGCCCCACAACAUUGGCUUGAUCACCUAAGAUCUCCCUCACAGCUGGGAUGGUUGGGUACUCAUCUACCACAUGAUCACAUGAUUGGCAAAUGGUGUAUGGCAUGACAUGGACUUGUGUCUUUGAAAUGGCUUGGACUUCAUGCAUUUUUUUCAACUCAAGUUCUUCCAACCUCCUUGCCAUUGUUGCCACCUUAGUUUUCAUGUCCACGUCUUCACUUAACAUGUACAUUCCACCCUUUGGAUUUACAGGAGCUUUCAUCCUUCCCACUUCUCCUCUAUGCGGUUCAUCCCAUCCCCUUGAGACUUCAGCUACAUAACUCAAGAAAUCCAUAGCUUCCUCAGGAUUCUUACUCAUGAAAUCCCCUCCACACAUUGUUUCGAGGAGCUGCUUCAUUGAGGAAGACAUCCCAUCAUAGAAAUAACUUACCAACAGCCAUGUAUCAAAGCCAUGGUGAGGACAAGCAUUAAUGGCUUCUAUGUAUCUUUCCCAACACUCAUAGAAUUUCUCAUUCUCUUUAGCUAAGAAGUUUGAAAUUUGUCUUUUCAAGCUGUUUGUUCUGUGAGUAGGAAAAAAUUUCUUGAGGAAUUCUACUUGUAAAUCAGUCCAAGUACGGAUACUCCUUGGCCUUAAAGAAUUAAGCCAAAUCUUGGCCUUAUCCUUUAAAGUAAAAGGAAAUAGUUUAAGCCUCAUCAGGUCAAUAGAAGCUCCUCCCUCUCGGAAUAUAUUACAAACAUCUUCAAAUUCCUUGAUAUGGGAAUAAGGAUUCUCACUUUCCAUUCCGUGGAAAGUUGGCAGAAGUGGCACAAUAUAGGGUCUGAUUACUAGCUGUUCUGUAGGAGGCACUAUACAUGACGGUGCACUCAUACGAGGUGGAUGCAUAUGGUCCCUCAUUGAUCUGAAUUCAUUGGGAUUGUCCUGAUGAUCAUGGUGACUAUGCUGAUCCUCAGGUGUAGUUUCCAUGAUGUUCAAGAUUACUUCCAACUCCUUGUUAUGAGGUGUUUCAAUUUUAACAAGCCUUCCUCCACAAUCUCGUAUCCACUUGGGCAUACACAACUAGUAUCAACUGUAACAAAGAAAGAAAAAGAAAAACAGAGGAAAACAAAAAAACAAAACUACCAAAAAGAGUUCAAUUAACUAAAACUAAAUUCAAAACUAUGCUAGAAUAUAUAAACUAGUAAAAGAGAAAAAAAAAAAACUAAAAGAGUUAGUAAAAUGAGAGAAAACUCACCAAACUUGUGAUGAAAACCACAAGUUCCAUGAAAUAAUAUCAAUAUGAAGUUGGCACCUUCCCCGACAACGAAGCCAUUUGAUUUGUGCCCAGUCGGUGUAUCAGCUGACUUAUGUCCAGCUGGUGCUCCUUGAUUGAGGUAGUAAUCAACAAAAUUUAUAACCUAUUACACCAUGAACUAGGGUAGCAGAGACAAAGCUACUAUAGUAUAGUGGCUCUAGGAUCAUUCACUGGGAAGGGUUUUCAACUCAUAAUUGAUACCAAUUCAAAGCUGAGUUGGUGCUUUUUCAUUUCAAGGUUAGCUUUAAAAGAAAACAUAAAGUUGUUUGAGUGAAAAGGGUUUGGUUUUAAACUAACCAAAAAGAAAGUAAUGGAAAUUACUUAUGAAGAAAAACAUUCCUUGAAGGUUUAGGUUCACAGGGGAGAUUCCUUAUACAAAAACAGAGCUCCGGUCAUUUGGUUUGUUUCCUCGCAUUAGAGAAUUAACAUAUAGUCAAUUCUCUAACCGGUGUUGUAUAGAUGUAACCUUUAAAUAGAUUCCAGCUCUAAUUCCCUCUCACUGAUGCAACUUGCAAUAACUCGUGCCUCUCAUCUAGCAUUUGCCAUUCAAGGUGAUCUUUAACUUUGGAUUUCCCUUCUCAAGCUCGCAAGAGAUAACUAAUGGAAGUCUCCUCGGAGUCCAAAAGCUUACUAAAUGUUGGUAAUUCUAGAAAAUCCUACCUCCAAGUCACUUCCCAAAAGCUUGCAAGAGAUAAACAAGUGCAUCUCCAUGGACGAAGAUCACGUGUCUUACCAAGUACUGGCUCAAGUGACUUGAAGGUGUUUUAAGUUAACUAAAAACAUAGAAAUCAUUAAAGGAUCAUACUUUCUCUUCAUUAAUCACUGAAACCACAAAGCUACUAAUUCUUGCACUUAGAACCUUUCCCUGCAACCUUAACUCCAAGGAAUUAAAAGUCUAGCCACUCAUUCUCUGAGGAAAUUUCCUCAGAGCUUGUUUGGCUAGUAAGAAAACUAACAAGAAAACAAAUAUAUGACAGAAAACCAAAGCAAGUGCUCUGGAAAUAUAUUUCUUGCUUUUCUUGAUUACAAUAUAGAUCGAUACUCUUUCGAUUCGAUAUCCUCUGUAAAGGAAAUUACAAACUAUUUAUAUGGGUUUAUUCACCCUUUUUACUUACUUAAAAACUAAGGAAUCCCAUGAUAGGUGGAUUACAAGGAGAGUUUGGGAAUUUAGACAACAAAUAUAUAAAGCAAAAUAUCCCAAAAUAUCUCAAAAAUAUCGGUCGAAAAUAUCAGGAAGGUUCAGGAGAACACCGCUGCACUGUACUGAGAUAAAAACUCUACAGGUAAGUGUUAUUAGAAGGUCCGAAUAUGUAUAUCCGGAGAAGUCGAAGCGUCCUCCUCUCCCAUCCGGCUAUAGGAUAUCCGGAUGUAAAAUUUCGGCGCACGGAACGUCCUCCUUUCCCAUCCGGAUGUGAGAUAUCCGGAUGAAAAAUGUCGGCGCACAGAACUCGUGAAAAUCACACUCGGCUGAUAGCAUGUCUUAUCCGAAUAUGUUGUCCGGAUGCCCUUCGAUGGUAUAUCCGGAUGCCCUUCGAUGGUAUAUCCGGACGCCCUGUCCGGGUAUACUCCUUGUAUGGAUUCCAAAGAACUCUCCUCAAUCUCAGAUUUGCUUUGGUGAUCAAAAAGCUAUCAAAACACCAAAACUUAACACAAUUUGAUUAGAAUUGAUUGCAAUGGUCCUUACUAUGUUAAUUGGGUUAAAAGGUGAUAACUACUACUCAAAAUUAUUUAAAAGAGUUAAUUACUGGCUAUCAAAUAACACUUUUUGAGUAGUAAUCAUGUCUACAUCCACGACUGAGAGAGAACGAUUCCACUAUACAAUAGAGAAUAUUAUAGAGGACAGAACUAGAUACAACUAUUGGGUUCCCGAAACAUCCCAUGUUUCCCCACUCCUUGUAUCCAUACCCUACUACGAGGUCUCUCGCUCCACCGAGUACCUCCCGUUCUUCCUCACAUCUCUAUCCACCUCGUAUAGUCUCUACAGGUCCAUCUCCAUCUCAUGACUUUUUCCUUUUCAUGACCUAGAAUACUUAUAGAGAUAUUUCCAACAACCUUCCUUAUUCUAUAAGGAAGUCUAAUAUUACAAUAAUAUAUCAACCUAGAAUUAUUCUAUAUAAUAUUCUUUAUAAAAAAAAGAAUCUAUACUAAUUAGGAAUUUGGGAUGCUUCCUAAUACCUAUGCCAUCGACGUCCCCAUUGUGGCCUCUUCUUGAAACUUCUUGAUGUGUUUCCAAAACCUUCUCAAGGCAUCUGCAUGUUCCCAGCUUACUUGCCUCUUAGGUAGUCUUUUCCAUCGAACUAGAUACUCUAUCACAGGAAGGACCCCUUAUCUCUUGGUAACUUGUUCAAAUAGGAUAUUCUUCACCUCUUUCUCUUGUGAGGCCUGAGAUGAAUGCAAACACUUGCAUUUUCGAUGCUUGGAGUGCUGCUUCCUAUUGCUUAUUGAGUUCACCUUUUCCUUAGUGACCUUGUCCAUGUGUGUGUGGGCUACCACAACUCGCUCCUCUUUUGCCUCUUUUACUUGCACCCUUGAUAGUAAGAAGGUCUUAGGAAUACUAGGCUUUGGGUUGGAGGGUACCUAGUAGCUGCAUCAAGCCCAUAUGUGCUUCGCCUUCCUAUUUCCUCUCUUCGAUCAUGGCCUGAGCGCCUUCCUCUUUGGGCAAUCCUAUGCCCAAUGUGGAUCGUCACACAGGAAGCAUUUGAUUCUAGGCGUAAACUCCUUCCUUUUCGCCUUACGUCUUCCUUCCCGGAUGCUAGGCAUCUUGCCUGAUCCCAUUUUAGGAGCAUUAUAGUCUCUUGAAACCCCGUCUCCCCCACCCGUGGCGUGGCUAUUCUCUAAAGACUCAACCUUGGAGGAGUCUUCCCUCUUGUAAUGCGUUAAAGACUCUGCUACUACCAUAGCAGUGGCUAAGUCUUGAACACCUUGGCACCUUAAUUCUUACUCGGCCCACCCUUGUAGGUUAUCCAUGAAGUUGAAUAGUAGAUCCUCUUUAGUCAUGUUAGGAAUCUCAAGCAUAAGCGAAGAGAAUUCCUUGGCAUAGUCGCGUAUCGAACCUGUGUGCUUGAGACACCUCAUGUUUUUCCUAGUCAAGUAAGCCACGACCUUGGGGUAGAAUUGCCUCUUGAUCUCCCUCUUAAAGUCCUCCCACGUCUCUAUGGUGCAAAUGUCUUUUUCCAUAUCGGCGAACCUCCGACUCUACCAUAGAGUAGCUGUGUUAGUAAGGUAGGGGGGUUACAGUCCUUACCUUAGUCGCCUCAUCAGAUAGUGCGAUGGCCUCGAAGUAUCGCUCCAUAUGCCAUAAGAAGUUGUCCAACUCCUUGACAUCCCGCUUGCCACUAAACCCUUGUGGCUUCGGCACCUCCACCCUAGAUGCCUCUUGGGUGGGCAUGACCCAUGCCGACACAACAGUCUUGUAGAUGGCCAACUCCUACCUAACCUCCUGGUCUUGGGACUCCAUUCGAGUGGCCAAAGCCUCCAUCCUUGACUCUAUACUAGCAAGCAUGCUCAAGACAUUUUCUUGGAAGGACACAAACUCCUCGUGCGACACUGUCUAAACCUAUGAGACUAGCAUCUCCUCACGAAGGUCUUGGAUCUGUUCCCUAAGAUCUUUCAUACCCUUCUCCAUGCCUUGCUCAAUCAAGUCCAACCCCUCCCGAGUGUCUGCCAUGGCUAGCUCCACCUUAGCUAACCUUGCCUCCAUGUUAGCAACGACAUCAUGAGAUUUAUCCUUCCUACCCCUGCCCCGUGCAGUAGGCUCGGUCUCCCUCCCACGGGUUUGUUCACUAGUCUCAUCCACGUUGGAGCCCGACAUGCUUCCUUUACUAUGCCCACUUCAUAGCUACGCUUUGAUACCACUUGUCACGGACUUAAUCUUUUCCUAAGCUCGUGUGGCACUUAGACAAGUCAAGACACUUUAUCUUGCUAAGUCAGCCUUACUCCCAAUGCUUAGCUUGCUAGGCUAAGAUGCUCACGACUCGGAACCUAUUUAUAGGCACCAAUGGAACUCUCUGGAACCUUGCAAGGUUCCUUAAAACUAAAGAAUAAUCUAGAAAUUCCUACACUAGUCUUAUGUACAAGGGUAUGUACAAGAUGACUUUGAAGUAUUCUAGAACACCCUACACAAUCCCAAUUCUCUCUUAGCCAAGUGUAGAGAUGUGUGGGCAUCUCUAGCCCUCUCCAAAAGCUUCCAUACUCUUCCACUUUGUAGCCAAGUGUAGUGUCUCCAAGGGUCUUUAGAAGCUUCCCACCUCCUAUAUAAGCCUAUGGGAAGGGUCAUUUGAAACAUCUUGUGACACUAAGCUCAACUUAUGUUGGGCCUAAGUCCAAGCCUAAUAGCAUGUUUUAUAAAACUUAAUAUUUAAUACUUAUUACUUAAUGACUUAUGUUGACUUUAAGUUAAAUUGUUUGAUAAAAUUAUUUUAAGUUAUUAAAUUAACAUAUUUACCCCAUUGGUUGUAAUUAAUAUUUAUUAUUAAAAUUUUAACUAAUAUUUAUUUUUAUUAAUUUUAAGUAAUAAAUUUUUUUAUUAAACAUCCAUACUUGAAAGUAUUGUAGAUUUAUGUAAUAACUUUAAAAUAUUUAUUAGAAAAAAUGUGUCAUGGAUUUGGUUGUUAAAUAUAUUUUCAUUAGAUAUGAGCAAAUAAGACAAUAAAAAUUUAGGAUUAAGAAUAAGUUAACUAUUUUAACUUAAUAUUUAAAUUUAUUUUUAAUUUUAGGUUGUGAUAUGAAGUUGUAUUUAAAAGACAUGUUUAAUCUACUUAAUAACUUAAAUUAAAUUAUUAUGUCACUUUAAGGCAUUAAGUUAAAUUACCAAUUAAACAUCCUAUAAGACCAAAAUAAGACUCUAAUCAAAUAUAUAUAUAUAUAUAUAUAUAUAUAUAUAUAGAGAGAGAGAGAGAGAGAGAGAGAGAGAUUAUCAUUUAUAUUUGAUUACUAUAUAUACAAUAAAAAAUCAAUUUAGUUAUAAUUUUGAGAAAUUCAUGCAUAGAUUAAGGUGAUGUUUGGUAAAACUUAAUACCUAUUACUUAAUCAUUUAAGUUGACUUUAACUUAAAUUAUACUUAAAUUGUUAACUUAAAACUUAUUAUUUAAGUUUUACUUUAAGUAUUAAGGUUAUUUGAUCAAAUUAACUUAAAACUUAUUCUAAAUUAUAAAAUUGACAUAUUUGUACUCAUAAAUUAAAACUAGGGCAAAAAAGAUCGAAUAAUAGCGGAUGUUGUAGAGUAGCAAAAGAGAUGGUCUAGUUAAUUAGGAUAAAUAAGAGUAAAAAAGCAAAAUAAAUAUACGAACUUAAUUAUUUUUACUUAUUACUUAAAGUUAUUUUUAACUUUAUAUCACACCAUUAAAUUAUUUUACUAAUAAAUAAGAGCAAAAAAGCAAAAUAAAGAUAUGAACUUAAGAAUAAGUUAAUUAUUUUUACUUAUUAUCUAAAACUGUUUUUUACUUUAUGUCACAUUAUUAAAUUAUUUUUCCAAAUAUAAUUAAUGUAGUUAAUGAAUUAAAUUAAGUUAUCAAGUUAUUUUAAGUUAUUAAAUUGAUUUAUGAAACACACACUAAAUAAAAAACUUAAAUUUAUUUAUUUAUUUUUUUGUUGUCUCUCAUGAAUAAUUAAAAGAAAAGAAAAAGUAAAAUAUCACAUUUCCCAAAAUAAAGAAAUAAACAUACACUCCAAUAUUUUUCUUUUCACUUCAAUAGGCCCUCAAUAUAUCUUAAUCAUAUUGUCCAUUGUCUACUCUCUUCAACCCUUUUGGGAUAAUAUGUGAUGUCGGACAAUUACAUGAGUUGGGUUUUCACCGGGCAAUCAACUAUUUUAUAAUGGCAAUAGACCUCUGUCUUAAUUGAGGACAAAGCCUUGCACUUGGGAUCUUUUCCAAGGGAUCCUUCUAAGAAUCCAAUGAUUUCUAAACCAUUAACUUUUAUUAUAAGGAUAACCCAGUUCAUGACAAUGGGAUAUGGGCUACUUGGAUGUCUAUUUUUUUUCCUAAUUUCCACAUGCAAACUGACAAAUAGAAUGUGAACAAAAUAAGGAUAACCCAGUCCACGACAAUGGGAUAUGGACCACAUGGAUGUCUAUUUUUUCCUAAUUUCCACAUGCAAACUGACAAAUAGAAUGUGAACAAAAUAAGGACAGCAUGGUAAUAAUGAUUGAAGAAUAACAAAUUUAGUAUUCGAUGGAAUAUAUUUUCUUUUUUUUUAAAAAAAUACAAUAAUUUCUAUGUAAAAUAUAAUAAUUUUUUUAUUUAUAAAAAGGUUUAAAUUGAAAAUGUAAUGAUUUUUAAAAAUUAAUUUAAAAAAGUGAAGUGUUAAAAGCUUUUUACUACUUUAAAUUUUGAAAAAAAUCAAGGAUAUAAAAGUUAAUAUUUUUUUAUUAGAGUUUUUAUUUUUUAAAAUAAAAAAUAAAAAAUUAUAUUUAAAGAAAGCUUUGCUUUAUAAAUUAUUAUAAAAAGCCUCAUUUUUUAAAUAAUAAGAUCAUCUGGUCAUUCCAAAGUGUAUAUGGAUUGUACGUUCUUGAUGGUUAUUCUUCUUGGAAGAUAUCAUCCAUACAAACCACUGCCAAUUUUUACAAUGGCUUCGAGUGAUAAAUGACAAAUACAAGAAUGACGAAUAAAACUAUGUUAUAUAUAUAUAUAUUAUUAUCAAAAUUUUGUUUUGUCAUUGCCAGCAUUUAUCUGCUGGUGGUAGAAACUAAGUAUACAAGUGCCUCUUUUCUUUGUCACGGCUUAAAAAUUUUUAAAAAUAUUUAAUUUUUUUUCGAAAACAUUUUUUUAAGUUAAAAACCUUUUCUAGAAUUACUAUUAAAUGACUCUUAAAGUCCAUUUAGUAAUGAUUUAAACAUUUGUAAUUAAAAAAUAAAAAUUUUCAAAUGUUAAAGGUAAUAAAAAUACUUUUUAAAAUUACUACUAAACGUAUUUUUGGAGUCUGUUUAACAGUAAUUUUAAAAAGUUUUUUUAUUUUAAAAAACAUUUUUGAAAAGAAAUUAAGUAUUUGAGAAAAUUUAGGAAACAAUUUUAAAAAUCUAAAAAAUUACUUAUAUUUCUAAUUUUAUAUUUACGGUUUCAAGAGAGCCUUAGGCAUCGUUUGUAGUAACCAAUGACAUAAGCAAAGAUGGUGGUGAUACUACGAAAUUUUUGGAAUACUGAGAAGUUGAAAAGCUAAUAUUGAUAGAGACCAUUUAAGACAUAGUGUACAGGCUUUGAAAUGAUAACACGUGUUCCUAUCGUGAGGCAAUAAAAAAGUGGUGUAUAUUUGCCGGCCAUUCCUCGCCAGUGCAUAGGAUAAGAAGUGAUGGGGCUACUCGUAUAAAUUGGUUCUCUCAACUAUGAAGUAAUUCAGAGGUCGCUCCUUGAAGUCUCUUCCAAAGCGGAAAUGAAGCUUAGCUCAGUUGCAAUCUCCUUUGUUUUUAUUACUCUCUUGAUAUAUGCAUGGAGGUUAUUGAAUUGGGUGUGGUUGAGACCAAAGAAGCUAGAGAGAUGCCUCAGGCAGCAAGGUCUGACUGGGAAUUCCUACAGCUGCUUGUAUGGGGACUUUAAAGAGAUGUCGAGAAUGAUUAACGAAGCAAAUUCCAGACCCAUCAGCUUCUCUGAUGAUAUUGUGCAGCGAGUUCUACCAUUUCACGAUCAUUCCAUCCAGAAAUAUGGUAUGAAAAUGAGCUACUCUUUAUCAUUGCACUAAAAUAUAUUUAUUUGUGGAAUUUUCCCCAAGGGAUUGUUGGUCUUUGGUUUUUUUUUUAUUAGUUAUUUUUCCUAUCCAUUUUUUUUCUUCUCUAAGAAGUUAUAGCCCAAUGGAAUUUCAAUGGUAUUUCAAAUUUCUUUUUUCUACGUCGGAGUGUAAUUUUUAAGGUUUAUUUGAUUAAAAAGAAUAAAAUAAUCCCAAGUUUAGAAAAAUAUCGUUAUGAUAAAAAAAAAAACUCAUUUUCUAAAAAUAAAAAUAAAAAUACUUAUUGUUUUUCUUUUCAACCUAAAAAAUGACCUUUUUUUUUUAAUAAAAUCAUACCCCAAAAAAAUGUGUUUUCAUAUGGUAAAAAAAAAAAAUUACAAAAUAGGAACUCAAAUUUAUAAAAUACAAAUUUCAAACAACUAUCUAAAAAUAAUUACCAUUUUAUGAACUUUUUUAUCUAAUGUGCUACCUUUGAUCAUCCUUAGUACUAUCUUUGAUAGGUAUAGAGGAUUCCUAUUUUAUAAUCAUUUUUGCCUGAGUGUGUAAAAACUCAUUUGUUCGAAUAUACUUAUUGUUUUUCUUAUAAAAAUAACAAUUUUUUUUUUAAAAAAAUGUACAAAUAAAUUAUCAAAAUAUUAAGAGAUGUUUAUAUAAAAAAUGAACUAAUUUUUAAGUUGAAAUAUGAGAGGUGUUAGAUUUACAAAUUUAGGAUUAUUUUAUCCCUUUUAAUUGUGUAAUUCAAUUUUUUUAUAAGCUAUAUGUAGGUAUAUAUAGAUGUCAACUUUGAUAAAUUGUUUAAUCAUUGGGAAAUGUGAAUAGUCUUUAAAUUUUUAUGCUAAUUGUUUCUCAUCUUUUCAAAUUUUGCAUGAACUUCUGACUUUUGAUAAUUAAUCACAUCAGUAUACUUUUCUUUAGAUAUUUGAGCUUCUUCAAUCAGAGAGCCUUGCAUUUGACUCCUUGAGUAUUCAGGUCCUUUAGAUCCUUUCUGACAUUUAUCCAACAAUGGGCAUUAAAAAUGCAGGUAAAAAUAGUUUUACAUGGUUGGGCCCAAAACCAGUGGUAAACAUUAUGGAGCCUGAGCUGAUAAGGGAUGUUUUCUUAAAGCACAAUGCCUUCCAAAAAGUACCGCCACACCCUCUCGGCAAGCUGCUGGCCACUGGUGUUGUUGCAUUGGAAGGUGAACAAUGGACUAAACGUAGAAAGAUCAUAAACCCAGCUUUCCAUCUAGAGAAGUUGAAGGUAGUUUUAAACUUUUGAGGCACUAUUUUUUUGGUUAUGCAGCCAGACCCCAACUUGUUGCCUGGUUUCUCUGCAUAGCCCUCUUCUUAUAGGAAAGAAAAUAAAUUUCUGAAUGUUCCAUAAUUUAGUAGACAUAUUCACAAUUUUACUGCCUCUUGUAAUCUUUUUUCUUAUGCAUGAUAAAUUUUUUCUAAAUUUAUUAUUUGUGUUUGAAUUUGUAUAGCACAUGGUAUCGGCAUUCCAAUUGAGUUGUAGUGAUAUGGUCAAUAAAUGGGAGAAGAAGCUCUCCCUGGACGGCUCAUGUGAAUUGGACGUUUGGCCCUAUCUUGAAAAUUUGGCGGGAGAUGUGAUUUCUAGAACUGCAUUUGGUAGUAGCUAUGAGGAAGGAAGAAGGAUAUUCCAACUUCAGAGAGAGCAAGCACAUCUUGCAAUCCAGGUUACUCGGUCAAUCUAUGUUCCCGGAUGGAGGUAGGCAUAAAAUAUUUCAAGGGAUUAAUCUGAACCUCAGUACUAAUACCCAAAUGCUAUAACUUUCACAGUAUCAUCAACAACAACAGUAAUAAUAAAAAUAAAAAUAAAAAAGAAGAAGAAGGAGGGUUUGAUCCAGCAUGGGACAAAAGCAAGAAUAAAAUUAAUAACUGUUAUAGCAUUUAAGAACUGUAUGAUGUUUCAUUUAUUUUGUUAAUAUGGCUCUCGACUAAUUUUUGUUUUCCUUUAAGAGCUUUCUUUUUGUACAAAUUAAAGAAUAUAGCUGUGUCUUCAAAACAAAAAUCAAGUUCAAGUAUCCCCUUUUCUUUUAUUGGCAGAACAUCUUAGCAAGAUGCAUGGUGAAAUACUACUAUAAAAUAUAUGUAGACUCAAUGAAGUCAUGGAUGAAAAUGCAUUAGUUGUUUCCUGUAUUUCAUUGAUCUUCAUUUACUUGGAUUACUUCCAAGCAGGUUUUUCCCAACAAAGACAAACAGGAGAAUGAGGCAAAUUAGCAAUGAAGUCAAUGCAUUGUUGAAGGGUAUCAUUGAGAAAAGAGAGAAGGCAAUGAAAGUUGGCGAAACUGCUAAUCAUGAUUUAUUAGGUCUACUAAUGGAAUCCAACUACAGAGAUAUGCAAGAAAAUGAUGAGAGGAAGAAUGUUGGAAUGAGCAUCAAAGAUGUCAUUGAGGAGUGUAAGCUAUUCUACCUUGCUGGCCAAGAGACUACCUCGGUUUUACUUCUGUGGACGAUGGUUCUAUUAAGCAAGCAUUCAAACUGGCAAACUCGCGCAAGGGAAGAGGUUUUACGGGUUUUUGGUAAUAAAAAACCAGAUGGUGAUGGCUUAAAUCACCUCAAAAUUGUGAGUAUCAAUCCAAAAUAUAUUCAAUUUAGUAACUCUUCUUGAAAAUAAUAUAUUACUCUUUUCUUUUUUUUUUCUUUUUUUUUCAAUCUUGAGGCAAAAUAUGUUUUGUUUCUGUAUCCUUUUUACUUUAAUUGAAAACUAUAUGCAGAUACUUGGUAUCCCCAAUGGAAUUUUUCUUUCCUUAUCUACGCGCACAAUGCAUCAGCACUGGCCAAUUGACUUUACUGAAGAAGGGGCGGACUAUUCUUUUCUUUGCGUGAAUUUUUUAUUUGCUUGUUAGGUUGUUUUGAGUGUGGUGAAAACUUUAUGCAAAUACUUAGUAUCAAUCAUUUACAAUACUUUAUGAUAAUCUUGAUAUUUCCUCUUGCCAAGCGUGUUUUCUUGAAAUUGGAACUCUGGGCUAUAAUAAAUUUUCCGGGGGUUCUUAGUUUGUAUUCACCAGUUACUGUAUGGCCCUAUAUGUACAUGAAAGUAUGUCAUGCAAAAAUUUAAACAAUCUCUCUCAUUACUAUAUUCGAAAAGUUCUUUCAUGGUUUGAUGUAUGCUUCUUAGUAAUCAUUUAGUGUAUUUCAGUAAUGAAUUUUCAUGAUAAAAAUAUUUUCUAUAUUGCAGGUUACUAUGAUUUUUCAUGAGGUCCUUAGGUUAUAUCCACCAGUGUCCAUGCUUCUUCGAACUGUUUUUGCCGACAGCCAAGUGGGAGGAUUGUAUUUACCAGAUGGAGUGCAGAUUGCUUUGCCAAUCCUCCUACUUCACCACGAUCAUGAAAUUUGGGGAGAGGAUGCAAAGGAAUUCAACCCGGGGAGAUUUUCAGAAGGAGUUUCUAAGGCAGCAAAGACCCAAGUUUCAUUUUUUCCAUUUGGUUAUGGUCCUCGGAUAUGCGUUGGACAAAAUUUUGCAAUGAUGGAAGCAAAAAUGGCUUUGGCAAUGAUCUUACAACGUUUCUCAUUUGAACUUUCCCCAUCCUAUGCUCAUGCACCUAUUAGUCUUAUAACUAUGCAACCCCAGUAUGGUGCACACCUGAUUUUACAUGGACUUUAGCAUCAGAGUUCUUGUUAUCAGUGAGAGUUAGCAAGACCUUUAAACCUAGAUAGUGUUGAAUUUAAAAUGCCCACACUUCCUUUCACUUGAAAUGAGUGCUCUUUAAAGCCAUUAUAUUAAUAAAAUUCUCUUUUGUAUGUUUGUAAGAGAUCAUAUAUAAAAAUGAUCACUUUACAAGGAGAUGCAUUUUUCUCUAUUCUUGUCCCCCCAAAAUGAAAAGAAAAGAAGAACUGCUGACAAUCUAUAUUUGGAGAAUGGACAUACAUUGAAAUUAUUUCUGAUGGGUGACCAUGCAUGUUGUGAUAUCUACAAGGAAACUACCAUUCCAAUAAUAGGAGAAAUAUUCUCAUUUGUUCUUAUCGUUAUAGAGUGGUGUCUCAUUCACUAUAAUUGGGUAGUAGACUCUUACGGAAUUUUAUGGCUAGGUAUCUGUAAAGAAGUUCGUACUAAAUUGGGUAGCAAGAUAAUACAAUUUUGGAGUUACUACCUCUAAGAAGUUGUCUGCGUACACUUGAUUCCAAUCCAUGUAAUGACAAAUUAUAAACCUCAGGGGCCCGGUCCACCCCCUAUUUUUAUUGGAUCUACAAUUUUGCCAUUCUCCAAGAGUUUUAGACAACUUCACAAUGUUCCACAACCUUAACGAACCUUUUGGAUGAGCUUGAUGUGGUUGCAGUAGCUUUACAUGAUUGCUAUAAUCCCAUAUUGGAAGCUUAAGAAAGAGGAACCUCUCCUAGUACCUAUAAAAAGAGGACCUUGUAAUUUAUUGUUGAUAAGAGAUCGUAUAGAGAAGUUUCUUAUUGUUAUUUCACUUGAUUUCUUCAAGUGUAGUAUUCUUAUUUUCUUCUAGUUUCACUUCUGCAGCAAGCCAAACUCACUGGGAUGCUCAGAGUUUUUAGGUGCUCAAACACUACAUGGAUUUUUAGGAGAGAUCUUGGUCUACCAAAAGUGGUGGACUUGUUAGAAAGCACUAGCAAAAUAAAAAUAAAAAUAGAAAGAAAGAAAGAAAAGCGAAGAAAUCAUUGAUAAUAAAAUAUUCACAACUGAUCUUGACAUGUGGAUAAAUGAUUUCAUAAUCAAGAAGUAUUCACAAUUGCAAAACCAUCCACAAGCUUACAUGCAUGCCCUUUUAGCUUUGUGCUAUAUAUUUAGAAUUUUGGGAGAAGCAAAGAAAGAAAAAUGAAGAAUAUUUUUUAACAAUUGAAUUUAAAAUCAUGAUGCACUUUCAUCUAUUUAUAGCUAGGCAUAACAAUAAAUUAUAACAUUUUAUAUAUUUUAACUUUACAAAGUCUACCAAUGACUUUACACCUAUUCUAACAUUACAAUUUAUUUGUGAAUUUAUAAUGUAACUUCACAAUUAAUUUGUAACUUUAGAACUUUUGUUUCUAACUUCAUAAUCGAUUAUAAAUUUACAACUUUUGCAACUUCACAAGUUAUUGGUGUCUAUCUACUACCUUUUGUAACUUUAUAAUUCAUUGUACAUUACAAUAUUUUAAUUUAUAAAGUAAAUGUCUAUGAUUAAUUAACUUAUUUGUAUGUUAUGAACCCUUUAUAUUUCAAAGUUAAUUGUCUCUUAUCAAUAAGUUAAGGUGAGGACAUAUGGUAUGGGACCUUUGUGGGAUCUUUAAUUACAUCCUUAGUAAGUUUGUUAUGUUUGUUCCAAAUAAAUUUAUUAAUUAUAAUUAUAUUUAAAACAUAUUAUAAUUUCACCCCAAGAAUAGGAGAUAUAUAAGUCAACUUCCCACUUAUAUAUAUACAUAUUAAUCCUUCCAUUAAUUAAUAUUCAUAACAAGUUUAUUAGGUUGAACCAAGAUGACUGUCAUUACCCAAAUUACAAGUGCAUCACCUCUUAUAAUUGGAUCUUUAAGAAAAACAAUUUAAAAAUUCCUAAUAAACAAUAUACUAUAUUAUAGAUAUGUACACUUGAUAGAAUACUUAUUCUAAAUUGACCAACUGAUAUUUUAAUAUAUUUUGUAAGUGACACAAUAUUGAAUAUUCUCUCAUAAUAUAGUCUAUUAUUAGACAUCAACAACUAACAACAUCAAAGCUAUAUUUACAUAACUUGAUGACAUCCUUAAGCCAAAGGACUUUAUGCAACACUAAACAAAACAAGUUUUUGUUGGAAUAUCUAGAUUACUCCAUUCCAAGCAUCGUCUCAUGGAGUGCAUACUACUACAAUCCUAAGGAUACUAGAUUUAAUGCAAUGGAAGCAACAAAAACAAAAAUGUUAGAUUUAGGUGCUCCAGAAAACAAUACUUAUGAUUUGAACAGUCCUAAAUCAACUCUAGUUGGUCAAUAGUAUGAUUUAGAUCUUGAAAACAUUGCAAUUUUUUUUCUAAUGGCUCUCUCCUAAACCUUACAUGUGAGAAUGGUGGAAUCCUUUCUAUGGAGAUGAAGGCUAAGGCUCUAUCUUGUUUAAAGGUUGAAUAAUUGAAGUUAUAAGCCUUAAACCCUCAAUAGGAUUUAUAUAGUCUUUGUCUAUGGGCUUAAGUGGCUUGUGCCCAUCUUGGGUUUAGGUCGGUUAAUCUAGCCUAUUGGUUCCUAAUUAAUUAAUUAGUCAUAUUGGGAUACAAUUAUGCAACCUUGUGUAUUUAUCAAAAUACCCUUAUACACACAUAUGAACAAAAAACACCCUAAUAUCCUUCAAAUAAUUAAUGUGCCACCAAGGAAUAUGAACUUGAGUAGGGACUAUAAGGACCUAUAGGAAAAUAAUGGCCUUUUCAUAAUCUAAUUAUGAAGUUAACUCAACACUGUCAUGCUUCCUUGCACCCUUCUAUACACAUAAGGUUCAUUCUUGUUUUGACCAAAAUCAAGGGUCUUAAUUUCAUGUUCUAAACAUUUGUUCCAUGAGCAAGAAGCUUGAAUUAAUCCAAAAAUAGACUUAUGCAAUUUGCAUACUAGAUGCUCUCUGCCCUUUGCUAUGAAAACAUCUGGUUGUAUCAUAUAAAUGCUCUCAUCAAGGUAGUCAUUUAAGAAUAUUGUCUUGACAUCCAUAUGACAUAUCUCAUAAUUGAGAUAAACUGCAAUGUAUAUGAGUACUUCGAUGGAUUUGAGUAUGGCUACCAUAGAAAAAGUUUCCCAUAGUCAAAACUAGGUUUCAAACUAUAAACCUUUAGCUAUAAGCUUAGCCACAAAAGUCUCAAUUGUUAGGAUAAAGCCUCAAAAGCAUGAGAAGAUGUCAUAAAAAAAGUUUCCAUUUCUAUCAUUGAUUGCAUUAAUUUUUACCCGAGCAUUCAAAGCUCGUAUGAUUACUAGUCAAAAAGUGUUAUUUCAUAGCUUGUAAUUAACUCUUUUAAACACUUUUGAGUAGUAGUUAUCACCUUUUAACCCAAUUAACAUAUUAAGGACCCUUGCAAUCAAUUCUAAUCAAAUUGUGUUAAGUUUUGGUGUUUUGAUAGCCUUUUGAUCACCAAAGCAAUCCAAGAUUGAGGAGAGUUCUUUAGGAAUCCAUGGCAAAAGAUGUCCGGACAGGGUGUCCGGACACACCAUUAGAGAGCGGCAGAACAUGGGCUGUAGCAAGGCUUGCUCACUUUAGUCAAUGUUUUCCAUCCGGACAACAUAUCCGGAUAGGAUAUGCUGUCAUCCGGGAGAGGGGUCCCUAUACCUUGCACACGCAGACGGUCCCCCUUGCGCAGCAUAGCUCAGUCCACCCGGGGAGGAAUUCCGUCCGUCGACAUUUCACAUUCGGAAUUCCAUGCGCCAACAUUUUACAUCCGGAUAUCUCACAGCCGGAUGGGAGAGGAGGACGUUUCAACUUCUCCGGUCAGACAUAUCCAGAUCCUCUGAUAGCGUUCACCCGGAGAGCAUCUGCGGUCGACAUUUCAGAUUACCCGGAUUUUGCACAAUGUUGCAGUGUUCUCCUGAAGCUUCCCGAUAUUUGCCACCGACUAAGAUUUUUUCUCUUAAGAUAUUUUGUGUAAAUUUCUAUUUUCUCCUUGUAAUCAGUCAAAGAUAUUAUUGGGAUAUUUCUUAGAAAAUAACUUCUCUAUAUAUAUCUUUGAACCAUUGUAAAGAGGAGAGAUAUUAUAUAUAUAUAUAUGAAACCGAUGAACAGAGCACUUGCUCUGUUUUUGUUCUUCAUAUUUUUGUUUUCUUGUUAGUUUUCUUUCUAGCCAAUCAAACUCUGAGGAUUUUUCCUUAGAGGAUGAGAGGCUAGGCUCUUUGUCUCUUGGAGUGAAGAAAGCCGGGUAAGUUUCCUCAUGCAUAAAUUGGAAGUUUUGUUGUUUUAGUUUUUAAUGAAGAGAAAGUGUGAUCCGUUAAUGGUUUUUAUCUUUUUAGUUAACUUAAAACGCCUUUAACUCACCUAGGCCAACACUUGAUAAGGCAAGUGAUCUCCAUCCAUUGAGAUGCACUUGUUUAUCUCUUGCGAGCCUUUGGGAGGUGGUUUAGAGGUAGGAUUUUCUAGAAUUGCCAACACUUGGUAAGCUUUUGGACUCUAAGGAGACAUCCAUUAGUUAUCUCUUGCGAGCUUGAGAAGGGAAGUCCAAAGUUAAAGAUCACCUUGAAUGGCAAAUGCUAGGUGAGAGGCAUGAGCCAUUGAAAGUUGCAUCAGUGAGAGGGAUUUAGUGUUUGAACCCAUUAAAGGGAAGCAUCUGUACCACACCGGUUAGAGAAUUAACUAUAUGUUAAUUCUCUAAUGCGAGGAAAAGAAACAAGUGACCGGAACUCUCCUUUUUGUAUGAGGAACCUGAGCCUAGUGAUCUAAACUCCAAGAAACACUUUUCUUUGUAGUUAAAAUUAGUUACUAUUUUUUGUUAGCUUAAAACCAAACCUUUUUCAUUCAAACAUCUUUAUGUUUUCUUUUAAAGCUGACUUUGAAAGGAAAAUGCACCAAUUCAUCUUUGAAAUAAUAUCAAUUGUGGAGUGAAAACCCAUCCCAGUGAACGACCCUAGAGCCACUAUGCUAUGCUAGCUAAGGCUAUCCUAGUAUGAUUCAUUCUCAAUUGGUGUCUCAGCUGAUUCAUGUCCAACUAGUGCUCCUUGACUGAGGAAGUGAUCAAUAAAAUUUAUAACCUAUAUCACCAUGCAUUAGGAUAGCUUUAGCUAAUAUAGCAUAGUGACUCUAGGAUCGUUCACUGGGAAGGGUUUUCAACUCACAACUGAUACCAAUUCAAAGCUGAGUUGGUGCUUUUUCAUUUCAAGGUUAGCUUUAAAAGAAAACAUAAAGAUGUUUGAGUGAAAAGGGUUUGGUCUUAAACUAACCAAAAAGAAAGUAAUGGAAAUUACUUAUGAAGAAAAACAUUCCUUGGAGGUUUAGGUUCACAGGGGAGGUUCCUUAUGCAAAAACAAAGCCCCGGUCAUUUGGUUCAUUUCCUCGCAUUAGAGAAUUAACAUAUAGUCAAUUCUCUAACCGGUGCUAUACAGAUAUAUCCUUUAAAUGGAUUUUAGCUCUAAUUCCCUCUCAUUGAUGCAACUUGCAAUGGCUCGUGCCUCUCACCUAGCAUUUGCCAUUCAAGGUGAUCAUUAACUUUGGACUUCCCUUCUUAAGCUCGCAAGAGAGAACUAAUGGAUGUCUCCUUGGAGUCCAAAAGCUUACCAAGUGUUGGCAAUUCUAGAAAAUCCUACCUUCAAGUCACUUCCCAAAAGCUCGCAAGAGAUAAACAAGUGCAUCUCCAUGAACGGAGAUCACUUGCUUUACCAAGUGUUGGCUCAAGUGAAUUGAAAGUGUUUUAAGCUAACUAAAAACAUAGAAAUCAUUAAAGGAUCACACUUUCUCUUCAUUAAUGAUUGAAACCACAAAGCUACUAAUUCUUGCACUUGGAACCUUUCCCGGCAACCUUAACUCCAAGGAACUAAAAGUCUAGCCACUCAUUCUCUAAGGAAACUUCCUCAGAGCUUGUUUGGCUAGUAAGAAAACUAACGAGAAAACAAUUAUAUGAAGGAAAAACAGAGCAAGUGCUCUGUGAAAUAUAUUUCUUUCUUCCGUCGAUUACAUAAUAGAUUGUAAAGAAAAUUACAAACUAUAUAUCAGGUUAUUCACCCUUUGUUCUUACUUAAAGACUAAGGAAUCCUAUGAUAGGUGGGUUACAAGGAGACUUUGGGGAUUUAGAAAACAAAUAUCUAAAGCAAAAUAUCUCAAGAUGUCGGUCGGAAAUAUCAAGAAGCUUCAAGAGAACACCGCGGCACUGUAUACUGAGAGAAAAACUCUCUUAGUAAGCGCUAUCAGAGGAUCCGGAUAAGUCUGACCGGAGAAGUUGAAACGUCCUCCUUUCUCAUCCGGCUGUGAGAUAUCCGGAUGUAAAAUGUCGGCGCACGGAAUUCCGGAUGUGAAAUGUCNNNNNNNNNNNNNNNNNNNNNNNNNNNNNNNNNNNNNNNNNNNNNNNNNNNNNNNNNNNNNNNNNNNNNNNNNNNNNNNNNNNNNNNNNNNNNNNNNNNNAAAGCUGAGUUGGUGCUUUUUCAUUUCAAGGUUAGCUUUAAAAGAAAACAUAAAGAUGUUUGAGUGAAAAGGGUUUGGUCUUAAACUAACCAAAAAGAAAGUAAUGGAAAUUACUUAUGAAGAAAAACAUUCCUUGGAGGUUUAGGUUCACAGGGGAGGUUCCUUAUGCAAAAACAAAGCCCCGGUCAUUUGGUUCAUUUCCUCGCAUUAGAGAAUUAACAUAUAGUCAAUUCUCUAACCGGUGCUAUACAGAUAUAUCCUUUAAAUGGAUUUUAGCUCUAAUUCCCUCUCAUUGAUGCAACUUGCAAUGGCUCGUGCCUCUCACCUAGCAUUUGCCAUUCAAGGUGAUCUUUAACUUUGGACUUCCCUUCUUAAGCUCGCAAGAGAUAACUAAUGGAUGUCUCCUUGGAGUCCAAAAGCUUACCAAGUGUUGGCAAUUCUAGAAAAUCCUACCUUCAAGUCACUUCCCAAAAGCUCGCAAGAGAUAAACAAGUGCAUCUCCAUGAACGGAGAUCACUUGCUUUACCAAGUGUUGGCUCAAGUGAAUUGAAAGUGUUUUAAGCUAACUAAAAACAUAGAAAUCAUUAAAGGAUCACACUUUCUCUUCAUUAAUGAUUGAAACCACAAAGCUACUAAUUCUUGCACUUGGAACCUUUCCCGGCAACCUUAACUCCAAGGAACUAAAAGUCUAGCCACUCAUUCUCUAAGGAAACUUCCUCAGAGCUUGUUUGGCUAGUAAGAAAACUAACGAGAAAACAAUUAUAUGAAGGAAAAACAGAGCAAGUGCUCUGUGAAAUAUAUUUCUUUCUUCCGUCGAUUACAUAAUAGAUUGUAAAGAAAAUUACAAACUAUAUAUCAGGUUAUUCACCCUUUGUUCUUACUUAAAGACUAAGGAAUCCUAUGAUAGGUGGGUUACAAGGAGACUUUGGGGAUUUAGAAAACAAAUAUCUAAAGCAAAAUAUCUCAAGAUGUCGGUCGGAAAUAUCAAGAAGCUUCAAGAGAACACCGCGGCACUGUAUACUGAGAGAAAAACUCUCUUAGUAAGCGCUAUCAGAGGAUCCGGAUAAGUCUGACCGGAGAAGUUGAAACGUCCUCCUUUCUCAUCCGGCUGUGAGAUAUCCGGAUGUAAAAUGUCGGCGCACGGAAUUCCGGAUGUGAAAUGUCGGAGCACGGAUUUCCAGAUGUGAAAUGUCGGCGCACGAAAUUCCUCCCGUGUUGGACUGAGCUAUGUUGCGCAAGGGGGACCGUCUGCGUGUGCAAGGUGUAGGGACUCCUUUCCCGGAUGACACAGAGUGCGCAAGGCUAUCCGGAUCAACUCCAUCUGGAUUCCCCAAGAAGACAUGUGGUGCGCUCCCCUAUCCGGACUCCCUCAGGGAGAAGCACACGACACUCAUGAAUAUCACACCCAGACGAUAGCAUAUCCUAUCCGGAUAUGUUGUCCGGAUGGAAAACAUUGACUAAAGUGAGCAUGCCUUGCUACAGCCCAUGUUCCGCCGCCCUCCGAUGGUGUGUCCGAACGCCCUAUCUGGACAUCUUUGCCAUGGAUUCCAAAGAACUCUCCUCAAUCUCUGAUUGCUUUGGUGAUCAAAAAGCUAUCAAAACACCAAAACUUAACACAAUUUGAUUAGAAUUGAUUGCAAGGGUCCUUAAUAUGUUAAUUGGGUUAAAAGGUGAUAACUACUACUCAAAAGUGUUUAAAAGAGUUUAUUUCAAGCUAUCAAAUAGCACUUUUUGAGUAGUAAUCAUAGUACAUGGUGUAAUAGGUUAUAAAUUUUGUUGAUUGCUCCCAUCUGAGGACUGAAAUCAAGACACCAGUUGGACACGAAUCAAAUGGCACCACUGUCAGGGACCAUUGAGAGGACACGAAUCAGCUGAGACACUAAUUGGGAAUGAAUCAAAUGGCGCCAUUGCCGGGGAUGGUGCCACUUUACAGUGAUAUCACCUUUCCAUAGUACUUGUGAUCUUCAUCACAAGUGUGGUGACUUUUCUUUUCUUUUUACUAACUCUUUUUAUUUGUUUUUGUUUUUUUUCUUUGUUCAUAUUUUAGUAUAUCUUUUAUUUAGUUUUUGGUUAAUAUUAAUAAUUUUCUUUUUUCUUUAGAUUUUUUUUUCUUUUAUUUUCUUUUGUUUUCUCUAUUUUUAAUUCACAAAUUGCUAGUUGUGCAUGUCAUAUUGAAUAUGAGAUAGCAGAGGAAGCCAUGAACUUCAUGAGUUAUGUGGCUGAAGUUUCAAGAGGAUGGGAUGAACCAAAUGCUCGAGAUAUGGGGAGAAUGACGUCUCAACCUAAUGCUAAGGGUGAGAUGUAUAUUUUGAAUGACGACAUACACAUGAAAGCAAAGAUUGCAGCUAUGGCAAGGAGAUUGGAAGAGCUAGAAAUGAAGAAGAUGCAAAAAGUGCAAGCCAUCUCUCAGACACCAUUGCAAGCUAUGCCUUGUGCCAUUUGUCUAUCUUAUGAGAACUUGGUGGAAGAGUGUCCUACCAUUCCAACGGUGAGAGAAAUGUUUGGUGAUUGCAACACCUAUAAUUCCAAUUGGAGGAAUCAUCCAAAUUUUUCAUGGAAGCCAAGAGCACCUCAGUACCAACAGCCGACUCAACCAUCUCAACCAUCCCAACAAGCUUCAAGUCUUGAACAAGAAAUAGUGAAUCUCAGCAAGGUUGUGGGAGAUUUUAUUAAAGAACAAAAAUCCAUCAACUCUCAACUCAGUCAAAGAAUUGACAGUGUAGAGAAUAGGAUGGAUGGGAUUCAAAAUGAUUUAUCUCAGAAGAUAGAUAAUCUCCAAUAUUCAAUCUCAAGGUUUGCCAACCUCAACAAAGUGCAAGAAAAAGGAAACUCUCCUUCUCAACCUCAUCAAAAUUCAAAGGGUAUCCAUGAAAUAGAGGCUAAGGAGAGAGAUAAAAAGGUUGAUCUGCCCACAUCCAAGCUAGAGCAUGAGGUAGAGAGUGAAACAGAGAAAGAAAAGAGGGAGGAAAUCAAAGGAAAGAGAGAGGGGAAAAGCAUAGAGAAAGAUGACUAUAUAGAUGAAGAACCACAGAGGAUAGUCAUCAAGGAAGAAAUAAAGAAACACAUGCCUCCACCUUUCCCCCAAGCUUUGUAUGGGAAAAACAUACAAACCAAGUCUCAAGUGAGAGACACAAACUUCAUAUGGGAUCCGGGCAAGCUAAAUCAGGAUCAAAUUUUUUGAUGGACUUAGUCUUUCUAAAGACUAGCUAGUCCAUACCUUUUUGUUUUACUUAUUACUUGUUUUAAUUUUGAUUUCAAUGCUUUAAUUCUAAUUUGUUUUGAUGUAAUAUAGGUUUUUGGAUGAUCAAAAUCAGAACGGAAAUGUUGCAUUUUGCUACUGUUGGACACAUUUUUGAAGGCCUUCAUGGAGCUCAAAUUAUGCAUACUAUAUCUCUUUUUUAAUCUUGGGAAGUCAGGAGUCCAUAGCUUCAAACGGUGCUCGAUUUGGAGUUGAAACGAAGAAGUUAUGGCCGUUUGAAGACGAUCGCGCAAAGCACCAACGGGAAUUUCGCAGCUGCAAAAUGGGCUACAAAAUUCCCAUUUUGUUGCAGGAAAGCCCUCUCACUGAGAUCACACACACAAAGCCUCUUAAUCCAUUUCUUACCUCCUUAAAACCAUCAGAGCCCAUAGCUCCAGUUGAGGAGACUACCAAAGCAGAGGCCAAAGUCCUGAUCCAACCCACUCAAGAGGCCACCACAGAUGCAUCAGCUCCACAAGACCUUACCAUUACUUGAUCAUCUCUUUACUUUUUGUCUUUACAUAUUAUAUUAAUAUAAAUAAUUCCAUAUUUUGAUGUCUUAUAUUCUGGGAUUGGAUGUAUUACUGAUGAUACAUCAUAUAUAGACAUCAUUUUUUGUUUAAACUUGGCAUUUGUCUAUUUCCUCUACUCACUAACUCUUUUGUUUUUUUUGAAACAUGUGGUUUCUCCUAUACGACUCAGACUCCAUGUCACUAAGGAGGUACCACUUCCUCCCUAUUUUUCAAUCGCUUUUGUCACAUUGAGGACAAUGUUCAACUUAGUUGGGGGGAGAGUUGAGGAAGGAAGUUUUUGUUAUUAAUGCUAAGUUAUUUUGGUAAUUUAGUUGCUUUUUGCUUAAUUUUAAAAUUUUUUAAGUUUUUAUUCUACUCUCCAUGGUUAUUAAGGAAAAAUUUUCAAAAUGAAAAGAGAGAAAUUGAAUUUUUGUCUUUUUCACUUGACUUAGAUUUUGUAUUAUGCUUACUAAAGUUGAUAAAUUGUUGAAACUUCUAUUGAAUUCAACCUUAGUUCUUCCACUUUAAACUAUUCACACAAUGUGCACAAUAGGUUCCGAUUAUAAGAUGAAAAACUAUUUCCCUCUUGACUUAGGAAAAUUUUAGACUUGGUACCUUUGACCUCAUUUUAAUAGUGUUGGGACACCUUAUAAAAGGCCAAUGAGCCUGUGAAAAAAAAAAAAGAAUAGAGAAAGAAAGAAAAAAAUGCUUGCUUGCCUUGAAACCCGAGCAAGGUCCGAGGGGUAUAUGGUGAAAAUCUUUAAAACCUGGUGCCCUAAGCCUUCAUUGGUUGGGAGUCACCGACCUCAAUGCUCGUUACAAGGGUGGAUAGGUGGAGUUUAACAUACUGUAGGUGCUUAGGUAUUAAAAUUCAUUCUCAAAAGUCCGGGUUAAAAUCCGAGGAGUUAGUGGUUGAAAGAUCCUUAAAACUUGAUGCCCUAAACCUUAAUUGGUUGGGAGUCAUCGAUGGACCCCCGUUACAUGGACAAUUUAGAAAAGAAUACCUUUAGCCUUGUACUCCUACAAGAAAAAAAUUGUGAAAUGAGAGGUGCGUUCUUAACCUAUUGGAGGUUGAUCAGUUUGCUAAGCUUUGAAAAAGAACUAGGUUUGGGGGAGAGAUUAGUUCAACAUACUUGUAAACUCCCAUUUGGGGCUCAUUCCUUUGCAUCUCUACAGGUUAUAAUUUUUUGCAAGUGGAGGGCUCUCAAGGAGCCACGUGCCCAUUCAUGGUUGGUUGCUGUGGAAUCAGCUUAGUGGAGUUGAUGGACGAAUGGGAAAGCAACACGUAUGAAAGGAUAUGCUGGGGAUUUUGCAAGCCGUUAGAGGGAGCAGGCCAGCGGUAGGAGAGGGGAGGCGUUUCUGUUGAGGGGCAGCAGGCCAGCUGCAGGUGGUGCGUUUUUCUGGAGGUGGAGUGCUUUUCAGGUGGGGCUUUUCCAUUAGAGGGAGGCUGCAGAGAUCUUUGAGAGGGAGCUUUUGGUUUGGUUGUUUCGGGGAAGAAAGCUGGUGGGAGAGAGGGGAGGCCUCCAUUGACGAUUGCGAGAGAUAUUUUUGGGGCCUCAGGGAAAUCUUGACAGGAGGGAGCUUUUUUUUAUUUGGUGGUUUUUGAGCUUAGGCUGCCGGAGAGAUAUUAGAGGGAGAGUGUUUUCCUUCUGCAGAAGGAGGAGUUUUUUUUUUAGAGAGGAGAACGAGAGAGAGAGAACAGGGAGGUUUAAGGUUGGAGCAGAGAGGUGAGUUUUGGAGAGCUUAGAGGAGAGUAGAGAGAAACCCAGAGCAAAAAGGAAAUGACAUUUUGGUGGUUGUUGUAGUACAAGGAUGUUUUUGAGGGUGUUCAUUGGGCUUGAGGGGCAAGUUUGAGGGGAAGAGAUGAAAGAAGAUGCUGGAGGCAAGUCUUGCUGAGGGUUAUUUUUGUGAGAGGAAAAAGUUUUGAGGUUAAGGAAGGAGCCAUAGUCUGGAGCAGAGAUCUUGAGGAAAGUAAAUGAGCAGAGGAAGGAUAUCUUCAGCUGUUUAGAGAGAGUUCAUGAAAGCUGUUUGAAGAAAGACACAUAGGAAUAGCCUUGGAAGAGGGUGAUACAGGUAUUGUUCUUGUAAUAUGAGGAUUCUUUUGUGUUCAUGGCAUUUUAUUAUGUUUACUGGUUAUCAUGAGAUUCUAUCUUGACAUAUGAAUGCAAGCAGGUGAAACUCCUACCUAUGUUCUCUCAAUAUUUGUGUUCGCUCACCCUCAUCCUGCGUUUGGUUUCUAACUUGUCAUCUGGACUCUGUUUUAUGAGUUGUCGGUCAUUUUGAUUUAAUUUCUCUUUGCAAACUAUUUGAAACCUAUUUUUUUUCUUUAUCCACCUCUGCGUCGUGAGCUCGUUAAUUGAAAUAUGAAACGCAGCUUUCAUGAGCCCCUUUUUGUUCCUGCUCUGUGCUCUGUUUUUGCCACCCUCCUCUGUUCUUGGUAUUUGAUCAUGGGAGGUUGCCCCUUAUGUGUGAAGAAGAGAGUAUUGGCUUGAUAGGUCUGGAUUCUCAAGUCGUCCAUAGUGGUAGAGGACGUAUUCUGGGGAUCAGAUCCAUGACUUUGUUGCGUUUUUGUUGAUUGGAGGAGUGACAAUUUCCCAAGGGCAUGUAACGCAUGUGCUGGUGACUAUGGCAGAUGACAAUGAUGACAUUAACGGACUAUGACCACUAUUUUGGAGCCAUGGCUUGACACAUGGCAUCGCGUAGUGGAUUGGUUGAUACUAUUGAGUGGCCCAUUAAUAUCGAUUAUCCUGAUCAAUAACAAAGGGAAACUGAGCAUAUCAACCAGCUUAUCUCUUCUCUGUCUGAUGAGAUACCUCAUAUACAGACCUUCAAAGGGAAAUGGGCAGUUAUCAGAGGCAAGCUGAGUGAUCUCAGGACCCAAGUGGCUGAUUUUGGUGACUUUCCUGGGUUCAAGUCCAAUCCUCUUUCUAUGGAACUCAUGCAGUCCAUUUCGCAGACCCUACAAGACGCCGUUUUGGUGGCUUCGAGGUGUAGAGAGUCUGAGUUGUCUCAGGGGAAGCUCAAGACCCAAAGCGAUAUAGACUCGAUUUCCGCGAAGCUGGACCGUUUGAUCAAAGAUGGUGAGAUCUUGAUAGGGAGUGGAGUGCUUCAAGAUGGGGUAUUAGUGGGUUCGAAGAAAGAAGUAGUGCGUCACUUACAUGAAGACAUGCCUCAAAUUGUUGACAUCUAGCUCAUUGGGGAGACUAUCCGAGUUUUUGAGACUUACCUAGCUGAGUAUUGAUGUUGAAACGGAGAUGCGGUUUAGUAGGAGCGGCAGUCAUGAUUAGCAAGAAGGUGUGGUAUUGUCAUGCAAGUUCCCUGGGUUUGAGUUUAUGCUUUCUGAAAGGUGGUUGUUUAAUUAUGAUACUGUUCCACCAUGGACUCUUAGAUCUGGUGCAGUGAUAUCUGCUGCUUUUCUUUGGUUGAGCUUUUAGCUCAAUUAUUCAAGGAGUGAGAUGGGAUUGGACUUUAAAUUCUGAUUUGACCUUCUAUCCAUCCCAAUCAUGCAUGCAUAUAGGGCCAUCCUCCAUAAUACCCGCAUUCCCAUUCUUCAAAUAUCCAUUAUUCCACCCUUCCCACUACCUAUUCCACCCAUGACGCCCAUUUCCUCCAUUCAUUACACCCAUCUGCUAUAACCCAUUCCACAUAGCCAUAUCCUUUAUGCCCACCUUCUCACUACCCGUAUAUAUGCUUCAUAGCCUUCAUCCCUAUUCCCAUGCAAAUGCCUCACUAACUCUCUAAUGCCCAUCUCACUCAUUCUUUUCAUCACCACCCCACCUUCAUUAUUUCAUACCCAUUUCUAUUAUCACCAUUCUCUCUCUACACCACCAUGCACCAUGUCAUUCCUCAUCUGCUCAUCAUAUCCAUGUACCAUAGCUAACCCUACAACCAUAUUCACGUCAAAUUUUCUUCCAUGCAAACCCAUUUUCUAUAAAUCCCAUGCGUGUUGCUACCCUUACUCACCUACAUCAAUCUCUCCCCCUCAUUGUCAACACUGGUCAUCUGGAGUCUGUUGGUCCAUGUUCUUAGGCAGCCUUUCAUCACCGGAGUGUCACGGGUCUGGAAGUUGUUUCCCUUAUCACUCACAUUUGGAAAGGUAUAUGUAUUGGGCUACUUCCAUCUUUGUUGCAUUGGGCCUGUGUUGCUUCUUCUAUAUUUUGGGCGCAUGGCAACGAUGUGGUUUCGGGAAGGGAGACAGCAUGGACAUUGAAGUCACCAAACAAGCGGACUGCCGUUUCUCUCCAAUUUGAAUUUUGAGACUCGUCAUGAAGAUGAAGCAGGAGAAUGAUUGCUGUCGUACAGGGUGAAGUAAGCUCCUAAAAUGAAUCCAGUGUUUUAGGAUAGAUAUUGUUGUUGACGGGGUGGCAAUUAGAUGUAGUUGCGGAACUAGCUGCUCCCAAAGAAGAUAUGAAUCUGACUUGUUUGUUGAAUCAGCAGCUUGUGUAGCAACAGAACAACCCCUUGCUUGCUCUAUUAGGUCCAACUGGAAACAAAUUGAAGAGUAAGGGUGCUACUUUAAUCCUCAAAGCAUUGGAAGGAUACCAAGCACAGUUCGGCAAGAUCAGUUGCAAGCAAUCAUGGAUUUGACCUACUAAACAUCAAUGGUGAUUCCGCCAAAGUGUCAUUGUGUGAAAUAUAGGGGGAUGACUUGAGUCAAUACCUGGGCAACCUAUUGUUAAUCCACCCUCACCCCAUGCAAGUCUGGGCUCGUCUUUUAAUCCUGAAUAUAUUUGGGUCAAUGGACGCCUCCAGGGUAUUUUGAUGUACCCAUUAAUGCGAGCUGAUCAUCCACUCAAAGUCUCGAGAUGGCGGGUCAAUUUCUGGAAAGGGUAAUUGAAGAGGAAACUUGUGCAUAUAUAGACAGAAUGGGACUCUGUUGCAAGGAAAUUUAAUGAGGACGUGAACGUUAAGUUCCUAGGCUUCAAAGGAUUUGGAAACUUAAGUUGUGCAGAGAUGACACCCCCUAUUUGCCAGCAUUUUGAGACCAGAGGCACAAAAUCAAGGCGGAAUUGGAAAGUCUUUUAUUAGUGCCCAAGUCAAGGACAGUUGACAGUUAUUUGAUAUUCCGAGAAGCUUGGGAUAGGAUUCUUCCCUCAUGAUCUUGAAUGGGUACAUGACAAUAGUACCAGUCUUCAACCCCAGGGUAUUCUUACCCUGGACCCACUCUUUAAGCUUCUUAGUUGCAUGGCCACCUUUGGCAUGCAAUUUUGGACCACUUGUCCUUGCUCCAUUUUUUCUCUUUUUGAUUUUAAAAAUAAUCUUCCUGGAAUCAAAUACCAUCUUGUAAAUAUUUUUUUCAAAUUCUGAUUUUCAAAUGAUCCAAAAUUUCCCAUUUUCCAUCCUUAGAAUUUUUGGAUACCGAAACCUCAUUUUCAAUAAAAAUUCGGUUGCCAUUUUUUCUUCCGGCAAGCCACUUUUGCAUUUUCUUUAUUUUUAAAAUAAGUAAGAAUUAAAUUCCGUAAUUCCAAGUGAUGGAAGUUAUGGAAUUGAUUCAUGCAAAAUAGAUCGGGCUUUGGUGGGGGCCCAACAUCAAAUAAUUUUUCUUUAAAAUAAAAAUGAAUUUUGAGUGAAGUGUUAUGCGUGCCUUUGAUGAUUUUGUGCUUGAUUUUGUGACAUGUGAGUUAUGUUUAUACUCUUUGUUUUGCACUAACCCUUUCUCUUGAUAGCGCAUAGUGGCUCGCUGCACAAGUACACACUCAUUCCCACUCUGAUUAGUUUAUAUGCAUUUUCUGACUCUCGUAUGUGCAUGUUUCGCUCUGAGUAUUCAUUGAUUUCCUCAUCAUCGCCAUGUUAGCUUCAUUCUAUUAGUAGAGACCCGACUUUAGGGACUUAGAGGGGUGCUACGGUCUUUACCGUACCUUCCCGAUAAGUAACCUGACCCCCGAACCCGAUCCGGUUUUCACAGACCCCCUUUUCCAAAAUAAGGAGUCGCACUUAGGGUUUUUCUUUCUUAUUUUGUUUACCCUUUAAAAAUAAAACAAAAAUAAGUGGCGACUCCAAGUCAUUUUUGAAUAAAUAAAAUCAAUUUUUUCAAAUAAAAAUCGAGCUCGCCAUUCGAGUGGGAAACGCAUUCGAGCGAUCUAAAUGCGGGGUCCACAAUACUAUAUUUGGAAACUAAUAAAUAACACUUAGAUUUUUGUGGAAGAGUAAGGUUUGACCCUUUGGGAGUGGAAACUCUUUUAAAGCUUAAAUUUGCAUAAUGCCUUCUCUUUAAGAAUUGUGAUUAGACAAGUUAUUUGAUAACUCUUGUUGAAGUUUGAGUUUUAUUUCUUUAAUGUUCCAUGUGAGAGUUAGAUCAUCAUGGCACUUGAAAAUUAUUUUUUGAUCAACAUGAUGUUGUAAAUUAUAGUACUGUUUAUUUUUAUUUUUCUAUCCUUCAUUGCUAAGGGAAUAGCAAUAUGUCGGUUGGGGGGAGUGACUACUACUCAAAAAGUGCUAUUUCAUAGCUUGUAAUUAACUUUUUUAAAUACUUUUGAGUAGUAGUUAUCACCUUUUAACCCAAUUAACAUAUUAAGGACCCUUGCAAUCAAUUCUAAUCAAAUUGUGUUAAGUUUUGGUGUUUUGAUAGCCUUUUGAUCACCAAAGCAAUCCGAGAUUGAGGAGAGUUUUUUAGGAAUCCAUGGCAAAAGAUGUCCGGACAGGGCGUCCGGACACACCAUUGGAGAGCGGCGGAACGUGGGCUGUAGCAAGGCUUGCUCACUUUAGUCAAUGUUUUCCAUCCGGACAACAUAUCCGGAUAGGAUAUGCUAUCAUCCGGGAGAGGGGUCCUUACACCUUGCACACGCAGACGGUCCCCCUUGCGUAGCAUAGCUCAGUCCAUCCGGGGAGGAAUUCCGUGCGCCGACAUUUUACAUCCGGAUAUCUCACAGCCGGAUAGGAGAGGAGGACGUUUCAACUUCUCCGGUCAGACAUAUCUAGAUCCUGUGAUAGCGUUCACCCAGAGAGCAUCCACGACCGACAUUUCAGAUUACCCGGAUUUUGCAUAGUGCCGCGGUGUUCUCUUGAAGCUUCCCAAUAUUUGCCACCAACUAAGUUAGAUUUUUUCUCUUAAGAUAUUUUGUGUAAAUUUCUAUUUUCUCCUUGUAAUCAGUCAAAGAUAUUAUUGGGAUAUUUCUUAGAAAAUAUCUUCUCUAUAUAUAUCUUUGAACCAUUGUAAAGAGGAGAGAUAUAUUAUAUAUAUAUGAAACCAACGAGCAGAGCACUUGCUCUAUUUUUGUUCUUCAUAUUUUUGUUUUCUCGUUAGUUUUCUUUCUAGCCAAUCAAACUCUGAGGAUUUUUCCUUAGAGGAUGAGAGGCUAGGCUCUUUGUCUCUUGGAGUGAAGAAAGCCGGGUAAGUUUCUUCAUGCAUAAAAUGAAAGUUUUGUUGUUUUAGUUUUUAAUGAAGAGAAAGUGUGACCCGUUAAUGGUUUUUAUCUUUUUAGUUAACUUAAAACGCCUUUAACUCACCUAGGCCAACACUUGAUAAGGCAAGUGAUCUCCAUCCAUUGAGAUGCACUUGUUUAUCUCUCGCGAGCCUUGGGGAGGUGGUUUAGAGGUAGGAUUUUCUAGAAUUGCCAACACUUGGUAAGCUUUUGGACUCUAAGGAGACAUCCAUUAGUUAUCUCUUGCGAGCUUGAGAAGGGAAGUCCAAAGUUAAAGAUCACCUUGAAUGGCAAAUGUUAGGUGAGAGACACGAGCCAUUGCAAGUUGCAUCAGUGAGAGGGAUUUAAUGUUUGAACCCAUUAAAGGGAAGCAUCUGUACCACACCGGUUAGAGAAUUAACUAUAUGUUAAUUCUCUAAUGCGAGGAAAAGAAACAAGUGACCAGAACUCUCCUUUUUGUAUGAGGAACCUGAGCCUAGUGAUCUAAAUUCUAAGAAACACUUUUGUUUGUAGUUAAAAUUAGUUACUAUUUUUGGUUAGCUUAAAACCAAACCUUUUUCAUUCAAACAUCUUUAUGUUUUCUUUUAAAGCUAACUUUGAAAUGAAAAGGCACCAAUUCAUCUUUGAAAUAAUAUCAAUUGUGGAGUGAAAACCCAUCCCAGUGAACGACCCUAGAGCCACUACGCUAUGCUAGCUAAGUGUCACAAGAUGCUUCAAAUGACCCUCCCCAUGGCUUAUAUAGGAGGUGAGAAGCUUCUAGAGACCCUUGGAGACAUCCACACGUAGCCACUAGUGGGAAGAGUGUGGAAGGUUCUAGAAAUGCCUAGAGAAGUCCACACAACUCUACACUAUGGUAGAAGGCAUGAGAAGGGUCCAAAGCUUUCUAGAGAAAUCUAGAAGUCUCUUGAAUAUUCUAGAAUAGUGUAGGACAUUCUAGAAGUCUCUUGAAUAUUCUAGAAUAGUGUAGGACAUUCUAGAAUAUUCAUGAAUUGUAAGGAACCCUCCAAGGUUCUAGAGAGUUCCAUUGGUGCCUAUAAAUAGGUGAGGGCCUCAUUUGGCCAAGGCACCAAGCAAGUGAGCAUCCAAGCACUUGUAAAGGCUUUCUUGAGAUAAUAAAGCUUCCAUUCUUUAAGGAGUUGCCUACUAAGCUCUUAAGCUUUCGAGUCGCUAGUGUCUUAGCCGAGCAAGCUAAGCAUUGGGGAUCAAGGCUGACUUAGCAAGAUCAAGCGUCUUGACUUGCCUAAGUGCCGCACGAGCUUAGUGAACGACUAAGUCCGUGACAAGUGGUAUCAGAGCACGGUUACAAGGUGGGCAUAGCAAAGGAAGCAUGUCGGGUUCCAACGUGGAGGAGACUAGCGAGCAAACCCGUUGGAGGGAGACCGAGCCUACUGCACGGGGCAGGGGCAGAGGUAAGAAGGAUACAUCUCGUGAUGUUGUUGCCAACAUGGAGGCAAGGUUAGCCAAGGUGGAGCUAGCCAUGGCAGACACCCGGGAAGGGGUGGACUUGAUCGAGCAAGGCAUGGAGAAGGGCUUAGAGGAUCUAAGGGAGCAGAUCCAAGACCUUCGCGAGGGGGUGCUGGUCUCGCAAGUUCAGUCGGUGUCACACAAGGAGUUCAUGUCCUUCCAAGACAAGGUCAUGAGCAUGUUCGCUAGUGUGGAGUCAAGGAUGGAGGCCUUGACUGCACGAGUGGAGGCCCGAGACCAAGAGAUUCGACAAGAGUUGGCCAUCUAUAAGACCGUUGUAUCAGCUCGGGUCAUGGCCACACAGGAGGCAUCUAGGGUGGAGGUGCCGAAGCCACAUAGGUUUAGUGGCAAGCGGGAUGCCAAGGAGUUGGAUAACUUCUUAUGGCAUAUGGAGCGAUACUUCGAAGCUAUCGCAUUGACGGAUGAGGCGGCUAAGGUGAGAACUGCGACCCUCUACCUUACUGACACAGCUACUCUAUGGUGGCGUCGAAGGUUUGCCGAUAUGGAGAAAGGCAUUUGCACCAUAGAGACGUGGGAGGACUUCAGGAGGGAGAUCAAGAGGUAGUUCUACCCGGAGGACGUGGCUUACCUGGCUAGGAAAAACAUGCGGCGUCUUAAGCACACAGGCUCAAUACGCGACUAUGUCAAGGAAUUCUCUUCGCUCAUGCUUGAGAUUCCUAACAUGACUCAGGAGGAGUUGCUAUUCAACUUCAUGGACAACCUGCAAGGGUGGGUCGAGCAGGAAUUAAGGCGCCGAGGCGUUCAAGACUUAGCCACUGCUAUGGCAAUAGCAGAAUCUUUAACGGAUUAUAAGAGGGGAGACUCCUCCAAGGAUGAGUCUUUAGAGGAUAGCCACGCCAUGGGUGGGGGAGACGAGGUUCCAAGGGACCACAAUGCUCCUAAAAAGGGAUCAAGCAAGACGUCUAACGUCUGAGAAGGAAGGGAUAAGGCGGAAAGGAGGGAGUUUACGCCUAAAAUCAAAUGCUUCCUGUGUGACGGUCCACAUUGGGCACGGGAUUAUCCAAAGCGGAAGGCGCUCAGUGCCAUGAUCGAGGAGAGGGAGCAGGAGGACGAAGCACAUAUGGGCUCAAUGCAGCUACUAGGUGCCCUCCAAUUCAACUCGAAGCCUAGUACGCCUGAGACCUCCUUAUUAGCAGGGGUGCAAGUAAAGGAGAGCGAGCUGAGGUAGCCCUUACACACAUGGAAGAGGUCACUAAGGGAAAGGUGAACUCAAUGGGUAAGAGGAAGCAACACUCUAAGCAUCGGAAACGCACGGGUCUGCAUCCAUCUGAAGCCUCACUGGAGAAGGAGGUGAAGAAUAUCCUGGCUGAACGGGUCACCAGGAGACAAGGGGUCCCUCUUGUGAUAGAGUAUCUAGUCCGAUGGAAAGAACUACCUAAGAGGCAGGUAAGCUGGGAACAUGCGGAUGCCUUGAGAAAAUUCUGGAAACACAUCGAGAAGUUUCAGAAUGAGGCAACGACGAGGAUGUCGACGGCUUAGGUGGGGGAGAGUGUCACAAGAUGCUUCAAAUGACCCUCCCCAUGGCUUAUAUAGGAGGUGAGAAGCUUCUAGAGACCCUUGGAGACAUCCACACGUAGCCACUAGUGGGAAGAGUGUGGAAGGUUCUAGAAAUGCCUAGAGAAGUCCACACAACUCUACACUAUGGUAGAAGGCAUGAGAAGGGUCCAAAGCUUUCUAGAGAAAUCUAGAAGUCUCUUGAAUAUUCUAGAAUAGUGUAGGACAUUCUAGAAUAUUCAUGAAUUGUAAGGAACCCUUCAAGGUUAAUAACCUAAACAUCUUACCUCAAUAUUCUUUUAUGAAAAUUUUCAACUAUUGCAGGGUGUCCUUCAUGUCAUUGGUCAUGUUCAGGUCUGAAUAAGUAUGAGUAGUGGUGACAUACUUAAGAUAAUGACCUAUGUAUUUCAAUACAACUUGAAGAAUAUACAAUAAACAAUUUAGCAACAAAUUAGAUUCUUACAAGUUUUAACACAUUAAAUUCAAUAAGCAUAUUAAUUUCAAAGAAGGUUGGUAGCCAAAGGUAGUAAAAUAAUUGAGAUAAAGAAACGAAGAAUGAAGAGAAAUUAAUUUCAACUAAAACAUUAUAAUUAAAUUGAUCUUUUAACUUGACAUGUUAUGAAUCCAUGAAAAAUAAUACAUUGGUAAUACUUUAUUGAUUAAAAGAGUAAAAUAACACCAAAGAUAGAAAAAACUACGUGAUAUGGACAAAGGGUUUAUUUUUGUAACAAUGACCAACAGACUAAAAGUAAAAGGGCCUUGGUGGAGGAAAAAACUAUUAUGUCAAAAUGACUAGUUUCUUUCCUUACAAUUGUAUUUAGAUUAAGGAGCUAGCAUUCAAGUUGAUACCCUGUUUUAGAAAAGGAGGCUUUAGAGGCCUAUAUUAGGGAGAAUGAGGUGCUAUUUUUUUUUCCGUAGGCUUAUUUGUAAGAAGUCUUAAUCUAACUUCCUAUUUUUUAAUGUCAAAGAAAAUACAAGUAUAAGAUAUUUUAAACUUUAAGCCCAUUAGUUUAGGAGGAGGCCUCUACAAAUUUAGAUUGAAAAAAGUUAUAAAGCAAGUGAUCUUAAGGGUCCAAAAUGGUUUUUUUGAGGAUAAACAUAUUCCUAAUGCAUGCACAUGUAACAAGACUAAAGACUUUACAAAAAAGAGUUCGAAAAUGCAUGAAUUUUCAUACCAUUACAACACUAGGAUUUCUACCAAUCUAACUAAUAAGGAUGUGUACAGGAAAUACACAAAGGUUGUGACACCUACCAUGUCUAAUAGUCUUCACCUCUCAAUUUUCCAAUUACACAUCCAUCAAAAUAGAGCAACCAUUGCAUGAUCCAUAUUGAAAACACUACCAACUAGAAGUACCAAGAUAUACAUUAACAAAUCAUGACUAAGAAUAAAUUAUACAAUUAACAUUAACAAAAUAUUCACUAGAUAUUUAGAAUAAUAUGAAGUUAUAUUAGACUACAAGUCAUACAAGGUACCGUCAAGCAUGAGUAAUGAUUAAUUGACUGUUAAUUAAGAUGAGAUUGUCAAUUUGUAAUAAAUAAUAUUUAUGAUUCAAUAAUGUCACUCUUCCUAAAUUAUAGACUAAUAAAUUUUAUUCAUAAUUAAUUUAUUAUUUUCCAAAUAAAAACAAUAUGAAAUAGAAUAAAGACAAAAAGAAAAUUAGGAUUGUUGUUUAAUGUAUAAUCUAGGUUAUUUUGUCAUUUAUAAUCAUUUUAGGAAAUAAGAAAUUUUUAGAAAAAAUAAUAUUUUUUUCAAAUUCGAUAUGAUGGUGACUUCACAAAGAAAGUCAUUCUAUAAAUUAAGGGAUGACUUUAAUAGCUAUUAAUUAUCCUAUUGAUGGCUGUCAUUUCAUCACGUUUUACUAAUGAUGAUCCUUGUAGGUUUAUUUUGUCUAACAUUAAGUAUAUUUUGACAAGUUGAAAACAAAACAUAUAUAUAUAUAUAUAUAUAUAUAUAUUUAAGAAUGUAGGCAGCAUAUUAAUUACCAUGAAAAAUUAAAACCUCCAGCUCACAUCACACUAAUACCUUCACCCAUAUCUUUUCACAUUAGUAAAUACAGUUCAAAUACAAUACCAAAAAACAUGUACAUGCAUGUACUUAGCCAAUAUAAGUCAAUCCCAUUAUUUUAUAUUUUGAUCUCAUUACUUAUAUUUGAUCUUAAUUUCAUUUUGAUUAUUUUAAUCUUAUUACCUAUACCAUCAUCCAACUGUUUACAUUUUAUCCAAAAUUUUUAAUGGUUGGGAUGUAAAAUUCAAUAUGUAUUUCUUUAAGAUUUUCCUAAUAAACGCAUAAUUUCAUAAUAGUAUAGUGGAACUAUAUAGGGAUAUAAACAGGUGGCUCAUUUAGGCUCACUUAGGCCCACUUAGGCACACUCAGCCCAUUUGGACACCCCUAGGCCCUAUAGGCACAUUUGGCUCAUCUAGACUCACUUAGGUCCAUUUAGGUACACUUGGCCUAUCUAGGCUCACUUAGGCCCACUUAAGCCCACUUAGGCCCACUUAGGUUUACUUAGGCCCACUUAAGCUCACUUAGGCCCACUUCGGCCCACUUAGGCUCACUUAGGCCCACUUAGGCACACUAAGCUCAUUUGGACACUCCUAGGCCCUUUUAGGCACAUUUGGCCCAUCUAAACUCACUUAGGCCCACUUAGGCACACUAAGCCCAUUUGGGCACCCCUAGCUUUAGGCACAUUUUUUAAAUGGAGAAAUUAAGUUUUAAAUCAAAAAAUCAGGAUAUUUUUUAAACAAAGGAGUUGACACUUGAAUGUUUAAAAAUAAAAAUAAAAGAUUAAGUUUUUAGAUUGGAAAAUCAUUUUUUUUUAAUAAUGGAAAGGAUAAAUUUCAAAAUAUGAAAAUGAAAUUUUGGAAAUUUGGGAGACUUUUUUGUGGAGGGGAUAUGGAAUUCUAAGAGAGGAGGACUCCUCCAAAGAUACAGGGUUGCCAAUUGCCAUAGAAAAUGGGGGUUGGUGGUUUUGGAGAGUGGAGGAAUUUCUUUUAAAAGGGACUUUCAACACGCACGGGAGGGGGGAAUAGAAAAAAAAGGAAAGAAAAGGAGUGAGAAGACACAGCCGGGAAGAAGGACAUCUUUAAGGGUGGAGAAAACACACAGCCUACCUUGGGAACUUUCCACUACUAGCCGCCACAAGAAAAAUAAAAAAAAGAUCAGAACAUAAGACUCUACAAAAUAAAUCUAAAACAAAUAUCUAGAAGUUAAUUUUUAUCCUGAAAAUUUUCAAAGAACAUCUCCUAUAUAUCUAGUUUACCAUCUAAGUGACCAAAUCAAUUAACCAACCCUCAUUUAGUACCAGAUUUCAUAAUAAUGAUAAAUAGGUCCAGAACUGGGCAUCUUUUUAAGGUGUUCAACAAUUGAUUUUUCUAACUAAAUUCAAGAUGUCCUAAAAUCAUAAAAAAAUUUACAUAGCUAUCUUAAUAUAUAUAUAUUGUAUGAAAAAUAAUCACAGGGCAAUAUCACAUUCAUAACAUACUUAAAAAUAAAUAAACAUCUCUCCACUCCAGAAGAGCAUAUGUGUAGUGGGUGCAAGAAGAAAGAAAUUAUAUCUCUCAUUUUAGAAAUUAUUUAUUGAUAUUUUAGGCAUAAACAAUUAAAUUAAGAAGUCUAGAUUAAAAUAAAAAUAUUCAAAUAAAUCAAAUAAACCAUUUAUUAAUUUAAUUUUUCAGAACAAUACUAAGUGUAAAAAAUAGAGUGAAAAUUGAACCUUCCGAAAGAUUGAUUUAUAUCUUCUAAUUGGAAAACCAUAUUUGACCCAAGAAAUAUUCAAAAAUCAAGCUCAAGGAUUCUAGAAUGUCAUAGAAUAAUUAUACAAAUUUUAAAGGGUUUUUAAGUUACCAAAUUCCAAUUUACGAAUGCAAAAGUACAGUGAAUUAUCCAUAAUUUCAAUAAAUAAAUACAAACUUUGUUUUGAAAAAGACUUAGUAUGUAGGGAUCUAUUAAAUCCCAUUUUAAUUUCCAUGAAUUUAUCCAUGAAGACUCCAUUGAUUGGAGUUAUGAAAUUUAAUUCACGUAUAUUCAAAACCAAAAUUCAUUUUAAAUUUUCUUUUUCAAACUAUGCAUACCAAAUAAAAUUGGUUGCAUGAAUUUUUAGAAAAUUGAAUUUUCAUAACCUAAGAAUGUCCAAGACAAAUUUGGAAAAUUGAGAAUUAAUUUUUAGAAAGGUAGCUUGAUAAGAAUUUUGAAAUUACUAGCAAACACAAAUAAUCACAUAAAGUCCCACAACCAAAAGAAGAAAAUUCUUAAGGAGACAAAGUGGUGUGUGCCAAGGGUGAGUGAAGCAUGUUGACUUGUGUGUGAUGACAAUGAAAGUGUGGCUGUUGUGUGUGUGUUCAUAGUAACAACCUGGUGGUCUACUUUUCUAUGCAGCUAUGCAUGCCUUUCUUUAUCAAUUUAGCUAACGUUUGUUCUCCAAAAUUCAACUAGCGGUGUUGGUCUUCACAAGCUUAUGCAAAUUCUCAAAAUUCAGCAAUCUGAUGUGUGCUUGGGCUAGCAAUCUGGUGGUUUCAAAAUCUAAUAGUGUGAUCAUGUGUGAUACGUUCCCAAUUGGUGUCUCAGCUGAUUCAUGUCCUCUUAAUGGUCCCUAACAAUGGAACCAUUUGAUUCGUGUCCACCUGGUGCUCCUUGAUUGUGGUCCUCAGAAGGGAGUAAUCAACAAAAUUUAUAACCUAUUACACCAUGUACUAGGAUAGCCUUAGCUAGCAUAGCAUAGUGGCUCUAGGGUUGUUCACUGGGAUGGAUUUUCACUCCACAAUUGAUAUUACUUCAAAGAUGAAUUGGUGCUUUUUCAUUUCAAGGUUAGCUUUAAAAGAAAACAUAAAGAUGUUUGAAUGAAAAAGGUUUGGAUUUAAACUAACCAAAAAUAGUAACUGAUUUUACUUACAAAGAAAAGUGUUUCUUGGAGUUUAGAUCACUAGGCUCAGGUUCCUCAUACAAAAAGGAGAGUUCCGGUCACUUGUUUCUUUUCCUCGCAUUAGAGAAUUAACAUAUAGUUAAUUCUCUAACCGGUGUGGUACAAAUGUUUCCUCUUAAUGGGUUCAAACACUAAUUCCCUCUCAUUGAUGCACCUUGCAAUGACUCAUGCCUCUCACCUAGCAUUUGCCAUUCAAGGUGAUCUUUAACCUUGGAUUACCUGUCAAAAGCUCGCAAGAGAUAACUAAUGGAUGUCUCCUUGGAGUCCAAAAGCUUACCAAGUGUUGGCUAUUCUAGAAAAUCCUACCUUCAAACCACCUCCUAAAGGCUCGCAAGAGAUAAACUAGUGCAUCUCAAUGGAUGGAGAUCACUUGCCUUACUAAGUGUUGGCCCAGGUGAUUUAAAGGUGUUUUAAGUUAACUAAAAACAUAAAAACCAUUAAUGGGUCACACUUUCUAUUCAUUAAUAAUUGAAACAACAAAACUUCAAAUUCUUGCAUUUGGAAACUUACCCGGCUUUCUUCACUCCAAGAGAUGAAGAGCCUAGCCUCUCAUCCUCUGAGGAAAAAUCCUCAGAGUUUGAUUGGCUAGAAAGAAAACUAACGAGAAAGCAAAAAUAUGAAGGAAAAAUAGAGCAAGUGCUCUGUAAAAUAUAUUUCUUCCUUCUGCCGAUUACAUGAUUUUUGUCUCUGAGAAAAAACUCCUGAGAUUCGAUUAUAUAUAAGGGGUUAUUCACCCUUUGUUCUUACUUAAAGACUAAGGAAUCCUAUGAUAAGUGGGUUACAAGGAGAUUUUGGGGAUUUAGACAUCAAAUAUCUAAAGCAAAAUAUCUCAAAAUGUCGGUCGCAAAUAUCAGGAAGCUUCAGGAGAACACCGUAGUUGUGCGUGCAAGAGGGCUGUGAAAUUUCGCAGCAAAAGGACAACAUUUUCGCAGCCCAAGGCUGAUUUCACAGUCGUGCAAAAUCUGCCUUCAGCUUGGAGUGAUUGGCUUCCAAUGGCUGUAACUCCUUCAUUUCAACUCCGAAUCAUGUACCAUUUGAAGUAUUAGAUUUUUGACUUCCUGAGAUUCGAAACGACAUAUAGCAUGCAUAAAUUGAACUCCAAGAAGUGCUCCAAAAGUGGCUGACAUGACUGUCAUCUAGAAUGCUUCAUGUUAUAUUUCUCUUUGCUUCCCCUCCUUGCAUUCUGGAUUUGCUUAUGGCAAAGGACUUCAAAGCUUCGGUUCUUCAUGUUUCUGAGUUCUUCAUUGCUUUGCCAUGGAUUCUAAAGAACUCUCCUCAAUCUUGGAUUGCUUUGGUUAUCAAAUUACUAACAAAAACACCAAAACUUACACAAUUUGAUUAGAAAUGAUUGCAAAGGUGCUUAAUAUGUUAAUUGGGUUAAAAGGUAAUAACUGCUACUCAAAAUUGUUUAAAAGAGUUAAUUACAAGAUAUAAAAUAGCACUUUUUGAGUAGUAAUCAAUGUGCUUGUUGCUUUUCUCCUCACAACCAUGCACUAUCAACUUACCUUUCUACCAUUAACAAUUCGUACACAAUCAGUUUGCCUUCCCAAAGUUCUAAAGACUUCCCUUUAAAAUUUCUAAUAAUUAUUUUAUUCCCAUCAAAUUUCAAAUAUGCCACUAACUGCUACCUCUCUAAUACCUUCUCAUCUUCUUCGCUUCAAGCCAAAACCAUGCACUAAAUUUAUGUGACUCUCUAGAACCUUUUGUCAAUUUUUUUUUUUUUACAAACUGUGCACCAAACGAUCUUCAUUCUAGAAAAAACCGGUGCUAACACCAAUCCCCACCAUGUCCACAAUCAACUCGGGCGUUCCCUAUGGUGUGUGUUUGGAGCCCUUUUCAAAGGUACAAAAUUGUUUCUCUUUUAUGGCAGUAUGCUAGCGUGAAUAGAGAUGCCCUCUAACAAUCAACAAGAGAAUAGUUCCUAAGCCUUCCUAUCAAGAGUUUUCUCAAUCUACAUAAAUGGUAAUUGUCUACACUAAUUUCUAAAUACUUAGCCCCUCUGAUUAUGGGUUGAUGAACACCCAUUUGAACAUAACGACCACUUUCCCUACCUUACGUACAAUUUUGCAGUUUCCUUUCUCUAUAAAUACUAGAUUUGGACCAGAUGUGACAUUUGGCAUGCCCAAGGGCAUGGACUAGAAGCAAAGGAAAGCAACAAAAAAUAGGGCAUGAAUGGGUAAAACAAAAUGAACUAACAAAAGCCACAUUUCAUACCUAAUCAACAAAUCAAGAAUAGGUAAUAAAAACUGAGAGAAGUAAUAUGAUUAUCAAAUACUAAACCUAAAGGUAAAUUUAUCGAUUUACAAAGGGAAAUCAAAGAAUCCAAAAUGUGACCAAAACAGAGCAUGUAUGUAGACAAUUAGAUUCAGUCAAACCAACCAAAUAACUUUUGAUGUCCACACCAAAUCAACAAGACAACACUCAUAAAUCUGCAUAAAAUAAAAUAAAAUAGUAUUGAAAAUGAGGAAGAAAUGAAGAUCUUACUUGGAAGGCUCCCUCCUUGAAGUUGUUGCAUGUUGAAGAUCUUAGAGUGAGCAGUGUUUCUUCUCCACUAUAGCCCCUAUAAUUAGGGCAUGAUUUUCAAGGGGAAACUCAACCAACAUCAAAGCACUUGCAAUAAAUGAGGAAUAUGGAGUUGAAAGAGUGGAGAAUCACUUGAUUUUUUGCUCAAUGGUGGAAUUUGUAAGAGAAGAAAGGAGUUUUAGUGCUUAUUCUCUAUUAUGAGAGUCACAAAAUGGAGAUUCAAAAAUGAUUUCCAGAUUUUUAUACUCAAGAUCUCACACUAGGGCUUGGAAACGCACCGUGUGACAAGAUUUCCAGUGUCAAGAGCCUCAUCUAGAGUCAUUGAUCGAUAUUGAUUGUAGUUAACUAGGCUCCAAGGGUUUGUCGGGGUUUUGAAAAAAUGGAGGGAAUGUUUGGCGUACUAUGAAGUCGUGGGUGAGAAUGGGAAAUAUGUGAGCCAUAUAUAAAGGUGUUAUUUUGAUGUCACUUUUAUAGAGCACCAAGGUAAAAAUAAAUAAUAAAGACACUUAUAGAAAACCUCGUGCUAUAGGAAGCAUCAUUAUCCCUCAGCAUAAAGCGCCAUGGUCUAACAUUUUCCUUUUAAGCGUCAACUUCGACCACUUAUUUACUCAAUUGCCCCUCUAAAAGCCAAGUGACGACAUUUUUUUUGAAGCGCCACAAAUUGUGUUUUUUGUAGUAGUGUGGAGGUCUUCCUAUACCCUAUUUAACAUAAUAUAACCUUGCGUACAUGCUUUAGAAAAAUAAGUAAAAGUUUAGAAAAGUAUUUACAUUUGAUUUGAGUUGAAUCAUUCCCUUAUUCGACCUAUUUUGGGUCUAAACUUUAACUUAUGUAAGCCUCGUGAUGCUUUCCUAAACCUUAUUUAGCAUGGUAGAACCCUAGAUACAUCAUUUACAAAAAUAAGUACAUUCUUAAGAAAAAGUACAUCAUUUACAAUAAUAAGUAUAUUCUUAAAAUAUCUAUAUAUACAUACAUUCAUAAGGAAAAUACAUACAUUUGAUUUGAGGUUAAUCAUGACCUAAUUCAACCUAAUUUGGAUCUAAGAUUUGACUUAUGAUGCCUCAGAAUGUAUUUUAUGCCUUCCAAAACUCCGUUCAACAUGAUAGAAGUAUAGGUACAUUCUUUAGAAAAAUAUGUUCGAAAUCUGAAUUUUCCUAUUUGAGGUCUCUUAUAUAUAUUUAUGUAAUAUAUAGUUGUAAAUUAGAUUAGAAAAAUGUGUAUAACUGUAAAUUAUAUUAGGAAGAACAAUCUUUGAUUUAUAAGGAUUUACUUGAUUUAUAAGGAUUAUUAGUUUUCUUUUCCUUUAAUUUUUUUUGUAAAUAUAAGAUAUAAAUUAAGAUCGUAACAAGUAAUUGAAUAAGAAUCUUUUACCAUUUUCUCUCACAUGGUAUUAGAGCCACUUUGACAUCCUUCAUUAGCCUUCAUUGUUGAUUUUAGUUCAAGUUUUUUAGCCUUCACUGUUGAAGAUUUCAAGCCUAAUUCUUUCAACCUUCAUUGUGUGUUUUGUUUAUUUCUUUUUACAUAUUUCAUCCAUUCUACCUGCAAUUUCUGGGAUUUCACCAUGUCUAAGAUGUAUGAUAUUUCUUUUAAAACUAAUUUCAUAAUUUAAAUUAAUGAUUUAAAAAAAUAAAAAUGUUACGAAAAUAAUUUUUAUUUAUUUUUAAUUCCAUUUAAAUAUGAUUUUUUUAAUCUCUACUAUUAUGUUUAUAAGAGCAAAAUAGUAAAAAUAUAUAUUCCAUUUAGUUUACUUGUAAUGAACAAUUCAAACAUGAUUAAUUUUAAUUUUAUUUCCUAUGAGUUAAUUUAGGUAGGGAAGGUCUUAAUGGCAUAGUUUGGUUUUUUUUUUUUUUUUUUUUUUUAAAAAUGUCAAGUUCAAGUUGUUUAAAAAUUGUACAAAACCUAUUAGGAGCCUUGUACACCCUUGUACACUUAACACAUUUCCUUUAUAAAAUUAGUGUAAUACCCUUGUACAGUAAUGCAAAUUCCAUAUCCCUCCUAAGUUAUGUGUCCAUAUAGGUGUGUUAACCAUAUUUUCAAUGGUUUGGUUGAGAAAAUGAUGGAUGACUUAGGGUCAAACAUCAUUAUUGGGGAAAACAUUGGAAUUCCAUGUGGGAUUUAAAUAAAGUACAUGACAUGGGUAUACAAUCCUUCGGCGACAAGGAAAAUAAAGGAGUGGCUCAAAAUUGAUUGAAAUCUUUCAUAAAGGGUAAUCUUGUACACCUUGUACACUUAGUAUAUUUCCCUUGUAUAGUUAGUGUAACACCCUUGUACAAUGACACAAAUUCCAUAUCUCUCCUAAUUUAUCUGUCAAAGUAGGUGUGUUAACCAUGUUUCCAAUGGUUUGAUUGAGAAAAUGUUGGAUGACUUAGGAUCAAAUUUUUUUCCCUAAACAUCAUUACUAGGGAAAGUAUUGAAAUUUCCAUGUGAAAGUUAAAUAAAGUGUAUGAUAUGAGUGUACAAUUCGUGGGUGAUAAGGAAAAUAAAAUGAGUGGUUCAGAAUUGAUUGAAAUCUUUUACAAAGGGUAGCCUUGUACACCCUUGUACACUUAGUGUAAUACCCUUGUACAGUUCGUGUAAUACCCUUGUACAGUAGCACAAGUUUCACAUCCCUCCUCUUAAGUUACACAUAAGUGUGUUAGCCAUGUUUCCAAUGGUUUGGUUGACAAAAUGGUGGAUGGCUUAGGGUCAAAAUCUUUAUCCCAAACAUCAUUAUUGGGGAAAGUACUAGAAUUUCCAUGUGGGAGUUAAAUAAAGUGCAUGACAUGGGUGCACAAUCCGUAAGUGAUAAAGAAAAUAAAUAAGUGGUUCAUAAUCGAUUAAAAUCUUCCACAAAGAGUAGCCUUGUGCACCCCUUAUACAGUUAGUGAAUGCCCUUAUAUAGUGACACAAAUUCCAUAUCCUUAUAGUGAAUGUGUGCUUAUAGGUGAAUUAAACAUGACUCUAGUAGUUUGGUUAAGAAAAUGGCAGAAAACUUAAAUUCAACUUUUUGUGUGAAUAUAUUAUAUUUUUGUGAAAAAAAAAAAUACACAAUUGGCCAAUUCCUUUGUUUAAUUGUGAACAAAUUAUAUUUUUAUUUUAUUAUUAAAAUAACUAAUAAAAAAAUAAAAAAGAAUAAUUAAUAAAUGAAAUUUAAUUCUUUUUAUUGUUUUCAUAUAAAAAUAGUACUAUACAAGGUUUUCAAUUUUCAAAUUUAAAAAUAGUUUUUGUUUUUUUAAUUAAAUGUAUUUUCAAAAAGAGACAAUAUAGAAAAUAAAAAAUUGUUUUAAAAAUAAAAAUUAGAAAAAUAUUUUAAAACCAAACUCAAACAUAAUCUAUAUAAUUUUUAACUACUUGUUUUCAUCUAAAAUGAGUAAAUAUAUCAUUCAACCCUUUUAUAUAAGAAAAAAAAUCAAUCUCUACUAUACUAUAUAUUGAUAUAAUUCACUUCUAAAAUUAGGUCAUAUGAAAACAUUUUAAUUAGAUAUUUAAAAUAAAAACUCUCCAUCCAUCCUCUUUCUUUCUUUUUCUUUUUCUUAUUUUGAUAAAUUUUCAAUUAAUUCAAAUUAUUAAAAAAAAAAUCCUUAGUAAACAAAUUUGCAACAUUUCAUAUAACUUAUUACCAAAAGUCAUCUUCAAAAAGUUAUUAAAAUAAGGAAGGAAGAAGAUUAAAAGAAAAUUUAAACUUUUUAUUUUAUAAUAGUAAAAAAUAAAUUUUAAAAUACUUUUUAGUAUAAAGGGAAAGAAAAUAGUGAAUAUUUUUAUUUUAAAUAGUAUUUUAAUCAUUAAAUUAUUUACUUCUAAAAUGUAAAAGAUAUUUUUUAUUUAUUUAAAUUAACAUUUUUUGAGAAAGUAUUUUCCAAAAUAGUUUUUGAAUCAUUAAUAUAAUUUUGGUUUAUUUAUAAUUUUAAAAUAGAAAAUAAUGUUGAUUUUUCAAUUAUUUAUAAAAGAGUUUAAAAAAAUAAUGAAAAAUAAAAAAAAUGGUUAAAUAAAGAUGAAUUUGUUAAUAGUAGCAUAUGGAGAGUUGUGGAAUGAAGACAAAAAUGAGUUAAAAUGAUAUUUUUGUCAAUUACUAUUUCAUAUCCUUGUAAUCAAUUAUAGGUGAGAGGAAUACCUUACAUCAAUUAUCAAACACCAGCACAAUUCUCCCCUAGAUCUAUAUUGCCCAUAGAUUUGUAUGCUAAUACUAAAUAAAAUGAAAAUAUAUUUAUCACAUAAUUUUUAUGUUUAUGUUAUAUUCUGUUUUAAAUUUUUGUUAAAAGAAAUCAUAUUAUGACAAUAGUAAUAGAUGAGAAAAAAACCAAACAUAAUACAUAUGGUUCACUCUCAAAUGUGGGAGACUUGUCACUUUGUUGUUCCAAAAUUUCCACUAUCAUAAAAAAAAAUAAAAAAUAAAAAAUGUGUGAUCUCACCUCUUACAUGCCUCCUCUAUCAUAAAAUCAAAAUAAUUGAAUGUGGUUCUGGCUUCACCAUGGUUCUAGUUUUUUUGCUUGAUUAAAAUUUUAAGUUUUCUGUUUAUAUCAAAAUAAAAUAGAAAUAUAUUUUUUCAUAAAAAAUUGUAUUAAAUAUUUUAUAUUAAUUUUCUUUUAGUUUUAAAAUAUUAUUACAACUCUCUACUCUUAAAAAAAUAAAAGACAAAAGAUUUAGUUUCAAUUUGGUAACUAUUUUAAAAAAUAAUUGUUUUUUUAAAAGAAAAACCAAGAAAACAUGUUUGACAACUAAAAAAAAUAUGAAACAAUUUUUUUUUUUUUAUCUUAAAAACAAAAAUAUGGUAUUUUUUGAAAACGUCUUUUAGUCGUUUUCACUUGGGUUUUUAGGGCUAUUUUUUUUAAAAUAAGUAUACAAAUAUGGAGAAUGAUUAAAAAUAAAACACUACAUAUAAAAUUUAUUGUUAAAAUGUAUUUAAAAACAUAGAAAACAAGUUAAAAAUAUUUCAGGUUUCAAAACAAGCUUUUAGUCUACAAAAUAUCAAAGACCAAAUUUCAAUAACUGUUCUUAAAAACUAUUUUUUAAAUUUUUUAAAAAAAAACACUUCCUAAACAAAGCUAAUAUAACUCAAUUUUGCUUCACCAAAAUUUGAAAAAAUAAAAUAAAAAUUUUAUAUUUCAUUAAUUUUAGUUCAAAAAAUAAAUAAUUGAUUUAUUAUUAAGGAAAAAGGUUUACUAGUAAUAUUAAAUGUUUAUAAAAUGUCAACCAUUAUAAGAUAAUGAAAUUAAUUAAAAAAAAAUAUACAUCUAAUAUGUAAUUCUAAUUUGUAGAAAAUAUUUUUUAAUCAACCCCCUCUCUAUUAUUAAUUUAAAUUUUUUAAAAUUGUGUAAAAUUAUUUUUAUAAAUAAUUUUUUUCUUUAACGUAAGGGUAAGGCCACCAAGUGUUUGUUUUUUUUAUUUAUUUAAUAUUUUAUGAUUUUUUUUUUCCUUUUAAAUUAAUGGUAAAUCUUUUUUUUUUUUUUUUUUUUUGAGGUGUUAUACUUUUUUAGGGUGAGUAGUAUGAGAAAAGAAGGUUGAUCUUAAUUAGGAAAACAUUUAAGAUGGGGGGAGCAAGGUUGAAUUGAGUUUUUAAAAUAUCCUUAUUUAAACACAACAAAUUCAAGAAAAGGAAGCACAAAUAUAAAGAGAUAAAGUUAGAGGAAGCAAACAUAGAUUUUAUAGUGGUUCGACACUCCUUGCCUACGUCCACUCCCCUCAAGCUCCUAACUGAGUGAGGGUUCCACUAUCCUUGAAGCUUCAACCAAGCUUCCAACGUCUUUACACUUGAUUCCGAUUCCAAUGGCUCUUACACAAUCCUUCAAGUAUUCACUAACUUGAAGCUUUCUAUUCACACAAUCUCACUUUAAAAUAAUGAAGGAAACUCUUAACCUAGCUUAAUAAAGGCUCAAAUACAAUCGAAAUGCUAGGAAGAAUGACAAGAGUGCACUAAAGAGUAUAAAAGUAAGGAUUUAAUGCAUCAAGGAGAGAAUGAGAUCUUUUAAGAGAAGAACAUGUAGUUAAACAAUUGAAUGCAGGUGUUCUCAUGUUCAUAAAUGAAGUAAAACUCUCAAUUUAUAAGUUUCUAACCACGGGAGCCAAAACUGCCAAAAUGUUAACCUCGACUGGUCAAGUUAGGGGUCAACUGGUUGACUAGUCGUUGGGCAAUAAAUGUAUGGUAGGUGACCGACAGGCCUCGACCACACCUUAACCAGACCUCAACUAGGAAAACCUAUCAUCGAUCGGGAAUGCAUAGCUACUGGAAGAGAGAGAAUACUUUUUGCAUCCCUCAAUCAAUCCUUAACUAGGAAGGCUUAAUCGAUUGACUGGUACCCUAACCAAUUGAGCCGGUUGGAUAGUCCCUUGAUUGAUACACCUAUUUUGGUCCGAAAACCUAUUUUUUUCUAUUCCUUUCAUUUUUAACACUUAGGCAAAGUCUUUAGGAGUAUUAAUAGAUUAAAUUUAAAGCAAUUUGCAUAAGGUUUGUAUAAGAAAACUCAAGGUUUAAUGGAAAUUUAAUUUUAAUUAAUAAACCAAGUUUUUAAAGAUGCAUAAAAAGAUAUGAAAAUCCUAAGUGUACAAAUGCAUUCAUCUUACAUAUGUUUCUUAAGAUUAGAAGGCCUUCUAUAUGUUUCAAUGAUUACUACUCAAAAAGUGCUAUUUGAUAGCUUGUAAUUAACUCUUUUAAACACUUUUGAGUAGUAGUUAUUACCUUUUAACCCAAUUAGCAUAUUAAGUACCUUUGCAAUCGUUUCUAAUCAAAUUGUGUAAGUUUUGGUGCUUUUGAUAGUAAUUUGAUCACCAAAGCAAUCCAAGAUUAAGGAGAGCUCUAUGGAAUCCAUGGCAAAGUAAUUGGAAACUCAUUUACAUGAAGAACCUAACCUUUGAAGCUUUAUAGUCCUUUGCCAUAAACAAAUCAUGAAUGCAAGGAUGAAAGCAAAGAGAGAAAUCUAACAUGAAGAAUUCAAGAGGACAUCAACUGUUUAACACUUUUGGAGAACUUUUUGGAGUCCAUUUGAUGUAUACUAUAUGUCGUUUCGAAGCAUGGGAAGUUAGCAAUCCAAUGCUUCAAACGGUGUGCGAAUCGAAGUUGAAAUGAAGAAGUUAGAGCCAUUGGAAUCCGAUCACACCAAGUUGAAGGCCAAUUUCGCAGGCUACGAAAUAAUUUUGCAGCCAUCUUGUACGUCUGCCAAAUUUCGCAGCCAUUUUGUGCGCCUGCGAAAUUCUCCUGAGUGCUUCCAGAUAUUUGUGACCGAUAUUUUUUGAUAUUUUGCUUCAGAUAUUUGAUGUCUAAAUCCCCAUUUUCUCCUUGUAAUCCACCAAUUAUAGGAUUCCUUAGUUAUUAAGCAAGAAAAAAGGGUGAAUAACCUGAUAUAUAUUGUUUUUGUAAUUUUCAUUGCAGACAUCUCGGGAGCUUGUUCUCAGAGACAACUUUUUGUAUAGUUUUUGAAAGGAAGUAAAAUAUAGAGCUUUGCUCUGCCUUACCUACUCAAUUUGAUUGUAUUUUUCAUUACUAGCCAAACAAGCUCUGAGGAUGUUUCCUCAGAGAAUGGGUUGCUAGACUUUUUGUCUCUUGGAGCUAAGGUAGCCGAGGGAGGUGCCGAAUGCAAGAAUUGAGAGUUUUGUUGUUUCAGCUGUUAAUGAAGAGAAAGUGUAACCCGUUUAUGGUUUCUAUGUUUUUAGUUAACUUAAAACGCCUUCAAUUCACCUGGGCCAACACUUGGUAAUGCAAGUGAUCUCCGUCCAUUGAGAUGCACUAGUUUACCUCUUGCGAGCCUUUGGGAGGUGACUUGAAGGUAGGAUUUUCUAGAAUUGCCAACACUUAGUAAGCUUUUGGACUCUAAGGAGACAUCCAUUAGUUAUCUCUUGCGAGCUUGAGAAGGGAAGUCCAAGGUUAAUGAUCACCUUGAAUGGCAAAUGCUAAGUGAGAGGCACGAGCCAUUGCAAGAUGCAUCAGUGAGAGGGAAUUAGUGUUGAAAUCCAUAAAAGGGGAGCAUUUGUACCACACCGGUUGGAGAAUGAACUAUAUGUUAAUUCUCCAAUGCGAGGAAAAGAACCAAAGUGACCGGAACUCUGUUUUUGCAUGAGGAGCCUGACCCCAGUGAUCCAAAAACUCCAAGAAACGUUUUUCUUUAUAAGUAAUUCCCAUUACUUUCUUUUUAGUUAGCUUGAAACCAAACCUUUUUCAACUAAAGUUUAUGUUUUCUUUUGAAGCUAACCUUGAAAUGAAAAGGCACCAAUUCAACUUUGAAUUGGUAUCAGUUGUAAGUUGAAAACCCUUCCCAGUGAACAAUCCUAGAGCCACUAUGCUAUACUAGCUUAUGCUAUCCUAGUGCAUGGUGAUAUAGGUUAUAAAUUUUGUUGAUUACUCCCAUCAGGGGACCAAAAUCAAGGUACACCAGCUGGGCACGAAUCAAAUGGCGUCAUUGCCAGGGAAGGUGACAACUUCACAGUGAUAUUAUUUCAGAGUACUUGUGAUUUUCAUCACAAGUUUAGUGACUUUUCUUUCAUUUUACUAAUUUUUAAUUAUUUCUUUUACUUGUUCAUAUUCUAAAUAUCUUUUAAUUAAGUUUUAUUUCAUUUUAGUCUUUUUUGUAGUCUUUUUUUUCUUUUGUUUUCUUUUGUUUUUGUUUUAGUUACAAUUGAAACUGGUUGUGUAUGCCAAAUUGGAUACGAGAUAGUGGAGGAAGGCUUGUUAAACGUGAUACACCUCAUAACAAGGAAUUGGAAUUGAGCUUGAAAAUCAUGGAAGCUACGCCUGAAGAUCAGCAUAGUCACCAUGGUCACCAGGACAAUCCCAAUGCUUUCAGAUCAAUGAGGGACCGUAUGCAUCCACCUCAUAUGAGUGCACCAUCAUGCAUAGUGCCCCCUACAGAGUAGCUAGUGAUCAGACCGCAUAUUGUUCCACUUCUACCAACUUUCCAUGGGAUGGAAAGUGAGAAUCCCUAUGCACAUAGAAUUUGAAGAUGUUUGUAAUACAUUCCAAGAAGGAGGAGCUUCAAUCAACUUGAUGAGGCUUAAGUUAUUUCCUUUCACUUUAAAGGAUAAGGCCAAGAUUUGGCUUAAUUCUUUAAGGCCAAGAAGUAUCCGUACUUGGACUGAUUUACAAGCUGAAUUCCUCAAAAAGUUUUUUCCAACUCACAGAACAAAUGGCUUGAAAAGGCAAAUUUCAAACUUCUUAGCUAAAGAGAAUGAGAAAUUCUAUGAGUGUUGGGAAAGAUACAUGGAAGCCAUCAAUGCUUGUCUUCACCAUGGUUUUGAUACAUGGCUAUUGGUGAGUUAUUUCUAUGAUGGGAUGUCUUCCUCAAUGAAGCAACUCCUCGAGACAAUGUGUGGAGGAGAUUUCAUGAGUAAGAAUCCGGAGGAAGCUAUGAAUUUCUUGAGUUAUGUGGCUGAAGUUUCAAGAGGAUGGGAUGAACCAAACAAAGGAGAAGUGGGGAAGAUGAAGUCUCAACCGAGUGCUUUUAAUGCUAAGGUUAGGAUGUACAUCUUGAAUGAAGAUGUUGAUAUGAAAGCAAAGUUUGCAGCUAUGACAAGAACAUUGGAGGAGCUAGAAUUGAAAAAGAUGCAUGAAGUACAAGCUGUUGUUGAAACACCAGUGCAAAUACAGUCGUGUCCUAUUUGUCACUCUUAUGAACACUUGGUGGAGGAGUGCCCUACAAUUCCAGCUGUAAAGGAAAUGUUUAGAGAUCAAGCAAAUGUUGUUGGACAAUUCAAGCCCAAUAACAAUGCUCCAUAUGGAAAUACUUACAACUCAAGUUGGAGGAAUCAUCCAAAUUUCUCAUGGAAGCCAAGAGCACCUCAGUACCAACAGCCGGCUCAACCAUCUCAACAAGCUUCAAGCCUUGAACAAGCAAUAGUGAAUCUCAGCAAGGUUGUGGGAGAUUUUGUUGGAGACCAAAAAGCCAUCAAUGCUCAACUCAGUCCAAGAAUUGACAGUGUAGAAAAUACUUUGAAUAAAAGGAUGGAUGGGAUGAAAAAUGAUUUAUCUCAAAAGAUAGAUAAUCUCCAAUACUCAAUCUCAAGGCUCACUAACUUGAACAUAGUGCAAGAGAAGGGUAGAUUUUCUUCUCAACCUCACCAAAACCCCAAGGGUAUCCAUGAAGUGGAAACUCAUGAGGGAGAAUCUUCACAGGUGAGAGAUGUUAAAGCCUUAAUCACUCUAAGGAGUGGUAAAAAAGUUGAGUUGCCAACACCCAAGCCACAUGUUGAAGAGGAAGAAGAAAAAGAGACAAAGAAGAGGGAGGAAAUCAAAGGAAAGAAGAAAGAUAUCAGUGAAGGGAAAGAGGACCAUGAUUCAAUAGUGAAUGCAAAUCCGGAGAAAAUACUUAUUAAGGAAGAAAUUGAAGAAACACACCUCUCCACCUUUUUCUCAAGCUUUGCAUGGGAAAAAGAGGAUAAAAAAUGCAUAAAAAAUUCUUGAAGUAUUGAGACAAGUGAAAGUCAAUAUUCCAUUGCUGGAUAUGAUUAAACAAGUUCCAACACAUGCAAAAUUCCUAAAGGACUUGUGUACUAUCAAAAGAGGGUUGAAUGUAAACAACAAAGCCUUCUUGACUGAGCAAGUAAGUGCUAUCAUACAAUGCAAGUCUCAUUUGAAGUACAAAGGUCCGGGAUGUCCUACCAUUUCAGUCAUGAUUGGAGGAAAGGUAGUGGAGAAAGCUUUGUUAGACUUGGGAGCAAGUGUGAAUUUGCUACCAUACUCUGUCUACAAGCAAUUGGGACUUGGUGAAUUGAAGCCAACAUCAAUCACUCUAUUUCUAGUAAAUAGAUCAGUGAAAUUUCCAAGGGAGGUAAUUGAAGAUGUCUUAGUUCAAGUUGAUAAUUUCUACUAUCCAGUAGAUUUUGUUGUUCUUGAUAUGGACCCUACUGUCAAGGAAGCUAAUUAUGUUCCUAUAAUCCUUAGAAGGCCAUUCCUUGCUACCUCAAAUGCAAUCAUCAACUAUAGGAAUGGACUCAUGCAACUCACUUUUGGCAACAUGACACUUGAGCUCAAUAUCUUUUAUAUGUCUAAAAAGCAAAUCACUCCGGAAGAAGAAGAAGGUUCAGAGGAGGUAUGCAUUAUUGACACUCUAGUGGAGGAGCACUGUAAUCAGAAUAUGCAAGACAAGUUGAAUGAAAGUCAUGGGGAUCUUGAAGAAGGGUUGCCUAAACCCUCUAAUGUGCUUGCUACUCUACAAGGUUGGAGGAGGAGAGAAGAGAUUCUACCUUUGUUCAAUAAAGAGGAGGCACAAGAAGUUUCUAAAGAAGAGAUCCCAAAGCUCAAUUUGAAGCCUUUGCCCAUGGAGUUGAAAUAAACAUACCUGGAAGAGAAUAAAAAAUGCCCUAUUGUUAUAUCUUCAUCUCUUACUAGUCCUCAGGAAAAGUGUCUACUUGAAGUUCUCAAGAGGUGUAAGAAAGCAAUAGGAUGACAAAUAUCUGACUUGAAAGGCAUUAGUCCUUGAUUCGACUCAUGGUAGCUUAGCUUUAAAGGCGUAUCAACAAAAUUUAUACCUUAAAUACUAUUACUAAAGUAGCCAAGCUACUAUAGCAUAGUGGUUCUAGGAUCGUUCACUGGGAAGGGUUUUCGCAAACACAAGUGAUAUUCAAAUUAGGAAAAUAAGUGAUUUUCUUAUGGAUGUUAGCUUUAAAAGAAGAUGUAAAUGUUUUAGAAAGAUUUAAACUAAUCUAAGCUAACAUUAAAGACUAAAAUGAAAGGGUGUAAAAACAAGUUUCUCAAAGAUAGGAUAGCUAUGCUCUGGCUCUUAUGCAAAUUGGAAAUCUCAGGAUAGGCUCCUCGCGUUGGGGUUGCAACUAUGGUGAUGCUUGCUUCCCGAACCGGUAUGGAUUUAGCAAAUCAAGUUUUAAUCCUUUAAAAUGACAAAACAGAUGGUAGUGAAUUUCAUCAAUGGUUAUUCACCUUAGACUUCCUUUGAAUGGCUCGUAAGAGAUAACUAAUGGUCUAAAGCCAAAAGCUUACCAAAUAUUGGCAACUCAAAGUCAUUCCAGGUGAUAAACUCACCUUUCAAUGGCCAUUGAAAUUGGUUCUAACGGAUUAAUGCAAAACUUGGAAUUGAAAACCUCACCUUCCAAUAGCUCGUAGGAGAUAACUAAUGGAUAGAAAUCCAAAAGCUUAUCAAGUAUUGGCCGUUGGAAGUUGUCCAAAGGAAAUAAAAACCAAACUUUGCAUUAAUGAACCUUUAAUGAAAAACGUCUACCUUACCUUCCAGGUGCGAGAAAUUUCCAUGGGAUUGCAUCCAAGCCAUCACAUAACCUCCAUACUUUGAGAAACUAAAAGUUUUAGCCAAUCAUCCUUUGAGGAAAAGCCCUCAGAGGCUGUUUGGCUACUAAGAAAAUAGAAAUAGUAAAGAGAAAAGAGAGACGAGAGAGCUCUGUAUAUCCCUCAGUGUAAAACGUAACACGCAUGUUCUUUAUCUUCCAAGAGGUGAUUUCCACCCCUUAUAUAGUCUUUACAAAAGCAAAAGCUUGUGAUUGGUUAGUUACAAGGAUAAGAAAGGAAAUUACAUCACAAAAUACAAAGGAAAAUAUCUAAAGUGGAGUCGGCAAAAACAGAGGAAAAUUCGCACCACGCAUGGGUUAUGCGAAUUUUGAAGGUGUUAUGCGAAUUUCGCAUAACACCUUGUGUUGUGCGAAAUUUUCGCACAACCUGGAGCAGUUGGCUUCCGAAGGCCAUAUCUUCCUUAUUUCAGCUCCAAAUCAUACACGGUUUAAAGCGUUGGAUUCUUGACUUCCUGAGCUUUGAAAUGGUAUAUAGUAUGUAGAAAAUGGACUUCGGAAAGUGCUCCAAAAGUGCGAAAGAAGACUGAAGAUGCUGUCCUCUUUGCUUCUCUUCAAUUUGCUUCACUCCUUGCAUACUUUGAACGACUUUGGCAAAGGGCUAUGGAGCUCCAAAGCUUGGUUCUUCAUGAAUUUGAUCUUCCAAAAGCUUUUCCAUAACUUGUCCAAGUAACUCCUCCAUCAUUUGGCAUGCUUGAAUUGAUUCAUAAGCUGAUAAAAACAUGUAAACUUGCCACAAAAUGGUUAAAACCAAUUACUAAGGACCUUAAUAAAUUAAUUGGGUUAAAUGAAUAUGAUUACUACUCAAAGGUGCUUAAAACCAUUAUAAUUAAGUCUACAAAAUAGCACUUUUUGGUAGUAAUCAGUCCUUUGGUUUGUACACAUCAUAUAUACAUGGAGGAAGAAGCUAAACCAAUUCGUCAGCCUCAAAGAAGAUUGAAUCCUCAUUUGCAAGAGGUGGUGCGAGUUGAAGUGCUGAAGCUACUUCAAGUAGGUAUUAUCUACCCCAUAUCUGACAGCCCUUGGGUGAGUCCUACUCAAGUGGUACCAAAGAAUUCAGGGAUUACUAUGGUUCAAAAUGAAAAAAGAGAAGAAAUUACUACACGCCUCACUUCAGGUUGGAGGGUGUGUAUAGAUUAUAGAAAAUUGAAUGUUGUGACAAGGAAAGAUCAUUUUCCAUUGCCAUUUAUUGAUCAAGUCUUGGAGAGAGUCUCUGGCCAUCCUUUCUAUUGUUUCUUGGACGGAUACUCCGGAUAUUUCCAAAUUGAAAUUGAUGUUGAAGAUCAAGAGAAGACCAUUUUCACAUGUCCACUUGGAGCAUAUGCCUAUAGAAGAAUGCCUUUUGGUUUAUGCAAUGCACCUGCAACAUUCCAAAGAUGUAUGCUAAGUAUCUUUAGUGAUAUGGUGGAGCGAAUUAUGGAGGUUUUCAUGGAUGACAUCACCAUAUAUGGAGGUACAUUUGAAAAAUGCUUAGUCAACUUGGAAGCGGUUCUUAAUAGAUGCAUUGAGAAGGACUUGGUGCUUAAUUGGGAGAAAUGUCAUUUUAUGGUACAUCAAGGAAUUGUCCUUGGCCAUAUCAUCUUCGAGAAAGGCAUUGAAGUUGAUAAAGCAAAGGUGGAACUUAUUGUCAAAUUGCCAUCCCCAACAACUGUAAAAGGAGUAAGGCAAUUCCUUGGCCAUGCAGGGUUCUAUAGGAGAUUUAUAAAAGAUUUCUCUAAGCUUUCAAAGCCUCUUUGUGAACUUUUAGCUAAAGAUGUUGAGUUUAUAUGGGAUGAAAGAUGUCAAAAGAGUUUUGAUCAACUGAAGCAAUUCUUGACAACAACUCCAAUAGUGAGGGCUCCUAACUGGCAACUGCCCUUUGAAGUAAUGUGUGAUGCCAGUGACUUUUCUAUAGGAUUUGUGCUUGGCCAAAGAGAAGAUGGAAAGCCCUAUGUGAUCUACUAUGCAAGCAAGACAUUGAACGAAGCUCAAAGGAACUACACAACUACAGAGAAAGAAUUGUUAGUUGUAGUGUUUGCCUUAGACAAGUUUUGUGCUUAUCUAGUAGGGUCUUUCAUCAUUGUUUUCACUGACCAUUCAGCCUUGAAGUAUUUAUUGACAAAACAAGAUGCAAAAGCAAGGUUGAUUAGAUGGAUUCUCUUAUUACAAGAGUUCGAUCUCCAAAUCAGAGAUAAGAAAGGAGUGGAGAAUGUGGUAGCUGACCACCUUUCAAGGUUAGUUAUAGCACACAAUUCCCAUGUCCUACCUAUUAAUGAUGAUUUUCCUGAGGAAUCACUCAUGUUGCUAGAAAAAACUCCUUGGUAUGCUCAUAUUGCUAACUAUUUAGUUACUGGUGAAGUUCCAAGUGAGUAGAAAGUACAAGACAGGAAGCACUUCUUUGCAAAGAUUCAUGCUUAUUAUUGGGAAGAGUCUUUCCUUUUCAAGUAUUGUGCAGAUCAAAUAAUAAGGAAGUGUGUCCCUGAAGAAGAGCAACAAGGAAUCCUCAGCCAUUGCCAUGAAAGUGCAUGUGGAGGCCACUUUGCCUCUCAAAAAACAGCCAUGAAGGUGUUGCAAUUAGGGUUUACUUGGCCAUCACUCUUCAAAGAUGCCCACAUCAUGUGUAGGAGCUGUGAUAGAUACCAAAGGCUCAGGAAGCUAACAAAAAGAAAUCAAAUGCCUAUGAACCCCAUUCUAAUAGUUGAUUUCUUUGAUGUUUGGGGCAUUGACUUCAUGGGACCUUUCCCAAUGUCUUUUGGUAACUCUUAUAUCUUGGUGGGGGUGGACUAUGUUUCUAAAUGGGUUGAGGCAAUCCCCUGUAAACACAAUGAUCACAAGGUGGUUCUCAAGUUUCUCAAAGAGAACAUCUUCUCAAGAUUUGGGGUGCCCAAGGCCAUAAUCAGUGAUAGAGGUACUCAUUUUUGCAAUAGACCCUUUGAAACCCUAUUAGCCAAGUAUGGAGUGAAGCAUAAGGUAGCUACACCUUAUCACCCUCAGACUUCCGGGUAAGUUGAGCUAGCAAACAGGGAAAUCAAGAAUAUAUUGAUAAAGCUGGUGAUUACGAGCAAAAGAGAUUGGUCUAUUAAGCUUUAUGAUUCACUAUGGGCAUAUAAAACAGCUUACAAGACUAUUCUUGGCAUGUCUCCAUAUCGCCUAGUCUAUGGCAAAGCAUGACAUCUCCCUGUGGAAGUUGAAUAUAAGGCUUGGUGGGUAAUCAAGAAGUUAAACAUGGACUUGAUCAGAGCCAGGGCAAAGAGGUGCUUAGACCUUAAUGAGAUGGAGGAAUUAAGAAAUGAUGCUUACAUCAAUUCCAAAGUUGCAAAACAGAGGAUGAAGAGGUGGCAUGAUCAAUUAAUCUCCAAUAAAGAAUUCCGGAAAGGACAAAGAGUCUUACUCUAUGAUUCAAGGCUCCAUAUCUUUCCUGGGAAGCUUAAGUCAAGGUGGAUAGGCCCUUUCAUUAUUCACCUAGUGCAUCCCAAUGGAGUGGUGGAAUUACUGAAUUCCAAUAGCACUGACACUUUUAAAGUCAAUGGUCAUCGUCUCAAGCCAUUCAUUGAGCCAUACAAGCAAGAAAAUGAGGAAAUCAACCUCCUUGAGCCAUAGAAAGCCUAAUCAGAAAAGGGUUAGAUGGGCUUGGUUUCACCAAAGUCCAUAUUUUUGUUAAAUUUUGUUAAUUUAAAAGCUUUAUUAAUUCUUUUGAUUUUAAUUUUGGUCUUAAGUUUUGUUAUUUAUAUGUAACUUAAUUUUUUUGAAUGAUCUAAUGUAGGAGGAAUUGCAAAGAAAAUGAAGAAAGGUCUCUUGGAGCUAAAAAGGAGUUCAAAACCAAGGGAAAAUUCAUGGCCUGCGAGAUUUCGCAGAAAAAUGAGGCCUCUGUGAAAAUGGCCCUUGCUGCGAAAUCAUUUCGCAGCCCCAUGCCCCCUUCUGCGAAAAUUUUCGCAGUUGCGAAACCCCCUCUUGGCACACGAGUGCCAUUUCGCAACACAGUACCCCCAUUUCGUAGCUGUGAAAUGGCUGCUGAUUCGACUCAUGGUAGCUUAGCUUUAAAGGCGUAUCAACAAAAUUUAUACCUUGAAUACUAUUACUAAAGUAGCCAAGCUACUAUAGCAUAGUGGUUCUAGGAUCGUUCACUGGGAAGGGUUUUCGCAAACACAAGUGAUAUUCAAAUUAGGAAAAUAGGUGAUUUUCUUAUGGAUGUUAGCUUUAAAAGAAGAUGUAAAUAUUUCAGAAAGAUUUAAACUAAUCUAAGCUAACAUUAAAGACUAAAAUGAAAAGGUGUAAAAACAAGUUUCUCAAAGAUAGGAUAGCUAUGCUCUGGCUCUUAUGCAAAUUGGAAAUCUCAGGAUAGGCUCCUCGCGUUGGGGUUGCAACUAUGGUGAUGCUUGCUUCCCGAACCGGUAUGGAUUUAGCAAAUCAAGUUUUAAUCCUUUAAAAUGGCAAAACAGAUGGUAGUGAAUUUCAUCAAUGGUUAUUCACCUUAGACUUCCUUUGAAUGGCUCGUAAGAGAUAACUAAUGGUCUAAAGCCAAAAGCUUACCAAAUAUUGGCAACUCAAAGUCAUUCCAAGUGAUAAACUCACCUUUCAAUGGCCAUUGAAAUUGGUUCUAAUGGAUUAAUGCAAAACUUGGAAUUGAAAACCUCACCUUCCAAUAGCUCGUAGGAGAUAACUAAUGGAUAGAAAUCCAAAAGCUUAUCAAGUAUUGGCCAUUGGAAGUUGUCCAAAGGAAAUAAAAACCAAACUUUGCCUUAAUGAACCUUUAAUGAAAAACGUAUACCUUACCUUCCGGGUGCAAGAAAUUUCCAUGGGAUUGCAUCCAAGCCAUCACAUAACAUCCAUACUUUGAGAAACUAAAAGUUUUAGCCAAUCAUCCUCUAAGGAAAAGCCCUUAGAGGCUGUUUGGCUACUAAGAAAAUAGAAACGGGAGAACAGGAGAAGAGAGAAAAACAGAGCAAGGCUCCGUCUGUAUAUAUGCGUCUAUGUCUUCAAGAGGUGAUUUCCACCCCUAAUAUAGUCUUUACAAAAGCAAAAGCUUGUGAUUGGUUAGUUACAAGGAUAAGAAAGGAAAUUACAUCACAAAAUACAAAGGAAAAUAUCUAAAGUGGAGUCGGAAAAGGCAGAGCAAAAUUCGCAACACGCAUGGGUUAUGCGAAUGUUAUGCGAAUUUCGCAUAACACCUUGUGGAAUGCGAAAUUUUCGCAUAACCUGGAGCAGUUGGAUUCCGAAGGCCAUAUCUUCCUCAUUUCAGCUCCAAAUCGUGCAUGGUUUGAAGCGUUAGAUUCUUGACUUCCAGAGAUUUGAAAUGGUAUAUAGUAUGCAAAAAAUGGACUUCGGGAAGUGCUCCAAAAGUGCGAAAGAAGACUGAAGCUGCUGUCCUCUUUGCUUCUCUUCACUUUGCUUGCUUUUCCUCUUUGCUUCUCUUUGCUUGUGCUCGUGUUUCCACUUGAAAUUCAAGCCUGUAAAUGUCCAAAAUCCUUGCUUUAACUUGUCCAAGUAGCUCCUCCAUCAUUUGGCAUGCUUGAAUCAAUUCAUAAGCUGAUAAAAACAUGUAAACUUGCCACAAAAUGGUUAAAACCAAUUACUAAGGACCUUAAUGAAUUAAUUGGGUUGAAUGAAUAUGAUUGCUACUUAAAGGUGCUUAAAACCAUUAUAAUUAGGUCUACAAAAUAGCACUUUUUGGUAGUAAUCAGCUGCAAAAUCCCCAAAGCGUGAAAUCUCCAAUUUUCGUAGCCAAAGCCCCAUUUCGCAAGGUGUUUCGCAGUUGCGAAAGACCCCCUUGGCACACGAGUGCCAUUUCGUAGCACAGUAGCCUCAUUUUGCAGUUGCGAAAUGGGCUGCGAAAAGGGCCCUCCGCUGCGAAAUCCACCCUCCUCUGCAAAAAUUAAAACGACCCUUGGCAUCCAAUUUUUUAACGGUAUAAAUUCCACAUUUCUAAUAAACCGGUCAUUUGAACUUCAAACAGGUGCCAGAGAAGAGCCAAAACAGAGCAACCUUCCAUUUUCUCCCUCCUAUAUGAGCCUAAGCUACGCGUGCCUCCGCCCAUCUCCUUCGGUCAGCCAUGGCAAGAACCCGAGGAGCUAAGUCUUCGUCUCUGUCAAGCCGCAAGAGAGCCGCAAAUGAGACCCCUGUUCAAGGCUCCAUGUUCGAGCCUCCGCGACCACGAGUCGUCCCACCUCCAGUUGAGGACGCACCGAUGAGUCCUCCGGUAAGGCGCUAUCAAACCAGGUCAAGUAGCCAUCCCCCGAAGAAGAAAGCUAGGGUAUCCGAGCCAAAGCUAAUUGACUUAUCAAAGCCGUCUUCAGAGCCUCUACAAGAGCCUCACCGUUCUCAGCCACCAUCCAAAGAGCCUCAACUGUCUCAGCCACCAGCUACAAAUUCUCAGAUUCCCUCAGGCAUGACUCCUGAGAUGCUUAUUAGGCGUCCCAUGCUCACUCAGCCGCCCAUUGAGGGUAAUUUGGAUUGCAGGGCUAAGCCAUUCCACUCUGAGAUCUGCUUCGACACAGCCACUUUCAGACUUCAGCUCGAGCUCAGGGACUCCUUCCAUCUGCUACAGAGGUACCAUAUGGAGCAUUUGCUAACUCCCAAGGAUUUUUUCUGUCCCCGUGUAGCAAUGGACUUCUAUCAGUCCAUGACCACACACCAGGUCUGAGAUCUUACUGUUAUCCACUUCACCAUAGACGGACAUCAUGGCAUUCUGGGAGCUAGUACAUAGUAGAGGCAUUGCGUAUUCCCUACGAGCCAGCCCAUCCAGAGGAUUAUCGAGUCUGGACUCAUCCUGCCCAGAGCGACAUAGUUCAUAUUCUGUCCAGAGGAGCAUCCUCGCGCCAGUAUCUAUUGAGGAAGGAGCUCCCUCAUAGCAUGUUUUUCAUAGAUGCACUCCUGCGCCAUAACAUCUUUCCACUUCUGCAUUGGGUGCAGAGGAGAGGAGUUUUGCUAGAGGCAUUGUUCAAGAUAUCUAAGGGAUUCUUCUUUGGCCCUCAUCAUCUCAUUAUGGCCGCUCUUCUGUACUUCGAAGAGAAAGUCCAUAGGAAGAAGCUGCUCAGAGCGGAUGCUAUUCCACUUCUCUUCCACAGAUUGCUAUGUCAGAUUCUGGAGCACUUGGGGUAUCCAUCUGACCCUCAGCUUGAGUGCAAACGUAUUUGCCGAGAGAUAUUCACUCUCAAAAAAUGGAUGAAUAUGACAGCCUAUAGUGCAGACCAGGGAGCCCCAACUGGAGCAGAGCAUCCAGAGCAGCCAGAGGAGCCACAGCCGGUUGAGAUACCAGCUGACAUGAGAGCACCUACCCUUGCAGUGCCCUCUACAAAGCCUAUACCAGAGGUUGCACCCUCUGCUCCUCCUACCACACCACGGACUCCCCCUGUUAUUCCAGCUACAUCAGAGCCCUCUCCUUCAUCUGAGCCUAGGAUUGCUAUAUUCAUUUCCGAGUACAGAGGUCUAUGUCACACUUUACAGGCAUUGACCACUUCUCAGAGCAUCCUUACUUAGGAGAUGACAGCUCUUCGUGCUCACCAAGAGCACAUUAUCGCCACUCAGACUAAGCAUACUACCAUCUUGAGGCAGAUUCAGCACCACCUGGGUAUUCCAUCAGCUCCUGAGCACCCCAUUCCUAUCUUCUCAAAGCCCACAAAGCCAUCACAGGCCCCUCUUUUCGUAAAGCAGGCUUUUCCCUCUGAGGAGCCGACUACAGGAGAUGCAGAGACAUCCACCUGAGCCAUCAUCAUCUUCCCUCUAUCUGAUCAUUUCCAUACUUUUCUUUAUGUAUUUGCAUUUGUAAUCCCAUGCUUUUGAUAUUUUAUAUAUUGGGAUUGGUUGUAUUACUUGUUUACCUUUAUAUUGUACUUUCAUGAAGUAAUACAAAUCUAUCAAUUUUUUAGCACUCUUAGCAUUGUUUUAUUUUAAUUCCUCUACUCAUAUCUUUUGUUGUUUUUGAAACAUGUGGUUUCUCCUAAUCUAAUCGAACUUCAUAUCACUCAGGAGCUACCACUUCCUCCCUGUAAUUUCAAUCGCUCAUGUCACAUUGAGGACAAUGUUCAGCUUGGUUGGGGGGAGAGUUGAGGAAGGAAGUUUUUUGUUGUUAAUACUAAGUAUUUUCGUAAUUUAUUUUAUUUUUGUUUAAUUUAAAAAUUUUUUUGUAAGUUUUUAUUCCACUCUCCAUGGUUAUUAAGGACAAAUUCUCAAAUUAAAAUAAGAGAAAUCGAAUUUUUGUUUUUACUUGACUUAGACUUUGUAUUAUGCUUAUUAAAGUUGAUGAAUUGUUGAAACUUCUAUUGAAUUCAACUUUAGUUCUUCCACUUUAAGCUAUUCACACACUGUGCAAAAUAGGUUCCGAGUAUAAGAUGAAAAACUAUUUCCCUCUUGACUUAGGAAAAUUUAGACUUGGUACCUUUGACCUCAUUUAAUAGUGUUGGGACACCUUAUAAAAGGCCAAUGAGCCUUUGAAAAAAAAAGAGAAAGAAAGAAAAAUGUUUGCUUGCCUUGAAACCCGAGCAAGGUCUGAGGGGUAUAUGGUGAAAAUCUUUAAAACCUGGUGCCCUAAGCCUUCAUUGGUUGGGAGUCACCGACCUCAAUGCUCGUUACAAGGGUGAAUAGGUGGAGUUUAACAUACUGUAGGUGCUUGGGUAUUAAAAUUCAUUCUCAAAAGUCCGAGGUAAAAUCCGAGGAGUUAGUGGUUGAAAGAUCCUUAAAGCUUGAUGCCCUAAACCUUAAUUGGUUGGGAGUCAUCGAUGGACCCCCGUUUCAUGGACAAUUUAGAAAAGAAUACCUUUAAGCCUUGUACUCCUACAAUGAAAAAAAAAUGUGAAAUAAAAGGGUGCAUUCUUAGCCUAUUGAAUUUGGUCAGUUUGCUAAGUGUUGAAAAAUAACUAGGUUAGGGGGAGAGACUAGUUUAGCAUACUAUAUUCGGAAGCUAUCAAGUAACACUUAGAUUUUUGUGGAAGAGUAAGGUUUGGUCCUUUGGAAGUGGAAAUGAUUUUAAAGCUUCAAUUUGCAUAAUACCUUCUCUUUAUGAAUUGUGAUUAAGUAAAGUAUUUGAUAACUCUUGCUGAAAUUUGAGUUUUAUAUCUUUAAUGUCCCAUGUGAGAGUUUGAUCAUCAUGCCACUUAAAAAUUUUUGAAGUGAUCAGCAUGAUUUUGUAAAGUAUAUUACUGUUUAGUUUAUUUUUUUCUCUCCUUUAUUGCUAAGAGACUAGCAAUAUGUCGGUUGGGGGGAGUGAUUACUACUCAAAAAGUGCUAUUCAAUAGCUUGUAAUUAACUCUUUUAAACACUUUUGAGUAGUAGUUAUUACCUUUUAACCCAAUUAGCAUAUUAAGUACCUUUGCAAUCGUUUCUAAUCAAAUUGUGUAAGUUUUGGUGCUUUUGAUAGUAAUUUGAUCACCAAAGCAAUCCAAGAUUAAGGAGAGCUCUAUGGAAUCCAUGGCAAAGCAAUUGGAAUCUCAUUUACAUGAAGAACCUAAGCUUUGAAGCUUUAUAGUCCUUUGUCAUAAACAAAUCAUGAAUGCAAGGAUGAAAGCGAAGAGAGAAAUCUAACAUGAAGAAUUCAAGAGGACAUCAACUAUUUGACACUUUUGGAGCACUUUUUGAAGUCCAUUUGAUGCAUACUAUAUGUCGUUUCGAAUCUCGGGAAGUCAGAAAUCCAAUGCUUUAAACAGUGUACAAAUCGGAGUUGAAAUGAAGAAGUUAGAGCCAUUGGAAGCCGAUCACACCAAGUUGAAGGCCAAUUUCGCAGGCUGUGAAAUAAUUUCGCAGCCAUCUUAUACGUCUGCGAAAUUUCGUAGCCAUUUUGUGCGCCUGCAAAAUUCUCCUGAGUGCUUCUAGAUAUUUGCGACCGACAUUUUUUGAUAUUUUGCAUCAGACAUUUGAUGUCUAAAUCCCCAUUUUCUCCUUGUAAUCCACCAAUUAUAGGAUUCCUUAGUUAUUAAGCAAGAAAAAAAGGUGAAUAACCUGAUAUAUAUUGUUUUUGUAAUUUUCAUUACAGACAUCUCGGGAGCUUGUUCUCAGAGACAACUUUUUGUAUAGUUUUUGAAAGGAAUUAAAAUAUAGAGCUUUGCUCUGCCUUACCUACUCAAUUUGAUUGUAUUUUUCAUUACUAGCCAAACAAGCUCUGAGGAUGUUUUCUCAGAGAAUGGGUUGCUAGACUUUUUGUCUCUUGGAGCUAAGGUAGCCGAGGGAGGUGUCAAAUGCAAGAAUUGAGAGUUUUGUUGUUUCAGCUGUUAAUGAAGAGAAAGUGUAACCUGUUUAUGGUUUCUAUAUUUUUAGUUAACUUAAAACGCCUUCAAUUCACCUGGGCCAACACUUGGUAAUGCAAGUGAUCUCCGUCCACUGAGAUGCACUAGUUUACCUCUUGUGAGCCUUUGGGAGGUGACUUGAAGGUAGGAUUUUCUAGAAUUGCCAACACUUGGUAAGCUUUUGGACUCUAAGGAGACAUCCAUUAGUUAUCUCUUGCGAGCUUGAGAAGGGAAGUCCAAGGUUAAUGAUCACCUUGAAUGGGAAAUGCUAAGUGAGAGGCACGAGCCAUUGCAAGAUGCAUCAGUGAGAGGGAAUUAGUACUGAAAUCCAUAAAAGGGGAGCAUCUGUACCACACCGGUUGGAGAAUGAACUAUAUGUUAAUUCUCCAAUGCGAGGAAAAGAACCAAAGUGACCGGAACUCUGUUUUUGCAUGAGGAGCCUGACCCCAGUGAUCCUAAAACUCCAAGAAACGUUUUUCUUUAUAAGUAAUUCCCAUUACUUUCUUUUUAGUUAGCUUGAAACCAAACCUUUUUCAACUAAAGUUUAUGUUUUCUUUUGAAGCUAACCUUGAAAUGAAAAGGCACCAAUUCAACUUUGAAUUGGUAUCAGUUGUAACUUGAAAACCCUUCCCAGUGAACGAUCCUAGAGCCACUAUGCUAUACUAGCUUAUGCUAUCCUAGUGCAUGUUGAUAUAGGUUAUAAAUUUUGUUGAUUACUCCCAUCAGGGGACCAAAAUCAAGGUACACCAGCUGGGCACGAAUCAUUUAAUCUUGUAUCCAUUGGGUCCUUUGAUAAGUUUCUUGGAUAUCCUUUUGAAUUUCCAAACUAAAACUUGAAAUUCUUUUAAUUUAAAAUAAUUAGCAACUUAACCAUGGUUUGUUAUCAUUAAAACACGAUUAGGAGAACCUUUGGGCUAACAUAGUAUGUUAAUGAGCCUAUUUAUUUUUCAAAUUUUUUAUAUGAUUAUUUAAUAAGAUUAUUGUUAAAUUACUAUGGAUGCAAUUUAGGGAAGACAAAGACCCUAAUUGUUUUUUUUAUUUUUAUUGUUUGCAAACUUAAUGAAUUAUUUUGAGUUAUGUUAUUUAAAUUGUUGGAUUAAUUUUACAUAAUAUAUUAUUGUGACAUUAUAAUAUAAAAAUAAGUAAUAUCAUUUAGUUACCUUCAAUUCUAUUACUAUAGCUAUUUGAUAGACAGUAUUAAUUUAGUAAUGUUAUUUUAAUAGUUUAAACCAUAGGAAAUAUAAUCUAAGCUUAAAAUAUUAAUAUUUAUGUUUUUUAAAUGAUAUAUAAUGUACUUAUUUUUCUAAGGAAUGUAUUUAUUUUUAAGUUAAGAUGUACUUAUUUUCAAAUAGGAUGCACUUAUUUUUUCCAAUGACGUACCUAGUAUCAAAGCAUGAUAGAUGAGAUGUGCGAACAUCAUAAAUGCAUGCCUAGACCUAUAAAAAUGGAUGAUCUUGUCCAAUAUCUUGUUCAAUAUGCUUUGAUAAAAGGUACAUCAUUGGCAAAAAUAAAUGUAUCCUAUUUGAAAAUAAGUACAUCUUGUUUAAAAAUAGGUACACCAUAUGUAUAUCAUGCAUGUGACUCAUUUGCUCUAAUUUGGACAUGAUCUUCCAUUUUUGUAGGCCUAGGCAUGCAUUUAUUGACAUAAGCUAUAUUGGACAAGGGCUUUCACUUUUAUGGGCCUUGGAAUGCAUUUGAAGCUUUUAGCCAUCCCAUUUUGCAUCCUAGAACCCUAGGUACAUCAAUUGGAAAAAUAGAUACAUGGCAUUGAAAAAUAAGCACAUCUUCACAAAAAAUAAGUACAUCUCAUUUAAACUAUAUACCUAACGCAUUUGUCCUAUUUUGGACAUGAGCUUUUACUUUUAUAGGCCUCAAAAUGUAUUUAGGGUCUUCCCACAUCCCAUUUUGUAUCCUAGAACCUUAGGUACAUCCCUUGGAAAAAUAGGUACAUUGUGUUAAAAAAUAUGUACAUCUUUUGAAAAAUAAGUACUUUGCAUUUAAAUUGUAUAACUGACUUAUUUGGCCAAUUCUAAGUAUGAUUUUUCACUUUUAUAGGUCUUGAGAUGCAUUUGAGGCCUUCACACAUCCCAUUUCACAUCGUAGAACUUUGGGUAUAUCCUUAGGAAAAAUAAAUACAUCAUAUUGCAAAAUAGUACAUUCCCUUAAAAAAUAAGUACAUAUUAUUUUCAUUCUAUGGGUGACUUGUUUGGCUUAUUCCUAUCAUGCACUUUCACUUUUAUAGGUCUCAUAAUGCUUUUGAGGCCCUCACACAUCUCAUUUCUCAUUCUAAAACCUUGGGUACAUCCCUUGAAAAAGUAGGUUCAUCUUGUUGAAAAAUAAGUAUAUCAUCUUAAAGCAUAAGCACAUCGAAUUUACAUUGUAUAACUGAUUCAUUUCACUUCUUAUACACAUUCAUUAUUUAUUUGAGUUAUAGGUUCAAGUGACUAAUUCUGGAACAAGCAUAAAGCAUAAUCAAGUUGCUUAACUUUACUUAUGUACUACUAGUUAAGCAUGACACAUUAUGGUAUAUCAUUCAUGAAUAUGAAUAGGUAUAAGACUCAUCAUUCAUUCUAUAGGAAAAAGGGAACAUUUUAUGAACACUAUGUACACAAGUCAUUUGAUAGUAAUUAAGACAACAUGUAUGUUCUUUGUCCUAUCACGCAUUAAAAAAAAAUUAGUUUAGUUUUUAAGAUCAAUUUCAUUAUUAUUUGGUUUCGAUGUUAUGUAGCUAUUUUUUUCCUAUGGAUGCACAAAAGGUUCCAUGAUAUACUAAUUUUUCCUUGUCCAAAAUAGGCCAAAUGAGUAUUUUAAUUUAAUGUAAAUGCAAUGUACUUAUUUUUUAAGUGAAUGUACUUAUUUUUUAACAUGAUGUACCUAAUUUUCCAAUGGAUGUAACUAUGGGUUCUAGGAUGUGGAACAAGAUAUGGGAAGACCUCAAAUGUAUCUUGAGGCCUGUAAAAGUACAAGCUCAUGUCCAAAAUAGACAAAUGAGUCACCUAUACAAUUUAAAUAUUUAAGAGGGUGUAAUUAAUUUUCAACACAACGUACCUAUUUUUCCAAGGGAUGUACCUAGGUUCUAGGAUGCAUAAUGAGAUAUGGGAAGACCUUAAAUGCAUCUUAAGGCCUAUAAAAAUAAAAGCCCAUGUCCAAAAUAAGCAGAAUGUCACCUUUACAAUGUAAAUGCAAUGUACUUAUUUUUUAAGUGGAUUCACUCAUUUUUCAAUGGGAUUUUUUAACUUUUGUAGCAAUUUUUAAAAAUAAUUAUUAAAAAAUGGUAGUUGGGAAAAUAUUAAUAGAUCUACGGCGGUUUUGGCCACGUGGAAGGUGUCUUUUGAAGAGACACCUUCCACAAUUUUCAAAAUCAUGAUACUAAUUUAAAAGAAUUGAAUUUAAGCUAAAGGUGUCUCUUCAAGAGACACCUUCUACAAUCCCAGAAAAUUGGAUUUAUAUUAAAGGUGUCUCUUGAAAAGACACUUUCCACGUGGCAAAAAAUCCAAUAUGAAUUAAAGGUGUCUCUUCAAGAGACACCUUCUACAAUUCCAAAAAAUUUUAAUUUAUACAAAAUGUGUCACUUAAAGAGACACUUUCCACAAUUCCACAAUUCCAUAAAUUCCAAUAUAUAUUAAAGGUGUCUCUUCAAGAUACACCUUCUACAAUUCCAAAAAAUUGGAUUUAUACUAAAGGUGUCUCUUGAAAAGACACUUUCCAUAAUUCCAUAAAAUCCAAUAUGUAUUAAAAAUUGUGGAAAUGAUUUUAAAGCUAAAGAUGUCUCUCUUCAACAUAAAUUCGAAAUUUUCCACUGUGUAUGGAAAUUGUGGACAAUGUCUCUUCAAAAGACACCUUUAGUAUAAUUCCAUUUUUUGAGAAUUGUGAAAGGUGUCUCUUCCACAAAUUUAAAAAAAAUUGGGUUUAUACUGAAGAGACACUUUCCAUAAUUUCAAUUCAAACAAUGGAAAAUUUUGAAUUUAUGCUAAAGGUGUCUCUUCAAGAGAUACCUUCCACAAUUCCCAAAAAAAUGGAAUUAUACUCAGACGCCUUUCAUAAUUUUUAAAAAAUUGGGUUUAUACUGAAAGUGUCUCUUCAGAAGAGACACUUUCCACAAUUUUCAUACACAGUGGAAAAUUUCGAAUUUUGAAAAGACAUAUUUUACAAUUCCCAAAAAAUGGAAUUAUACUAAAGGUGUCUCUUGAAGAGACACCUUCCAUAAUUUUAAAAAAAUUGGGUUUAUACUGAAAGUGUCUCUUCAAGAGACACUUUCCACAAUUUCAUACACAAUAGAAUAUUUCAAAUUUAUGCUAAAGGUGUUUCUUCAAGAGACACCUUCCACAAAAGGAAAAAAAAAUUAUAUCUCUUAAUUAGUAUUACCUGCUAUACAACCAAAUGUUUAAAGUUUAUCCCCUGUAUACAUUAUAAUCAAUAUUUUGACAUUCAAUCCAAAACCAAUGAAAAUAAGUAAACCAAAUGUCAAUUAAGUCAACACAUUUCCAAAAUAGUAACAAUACUAUUUUGUGUAAAAUAAAUCCAAAAUAGAUAGAAUACUAGAGAACUUACGUUAAUAAAAAGUUAGUUUAUCCAAAAUAUAACAAGUAUAAAUAUACAUCUUGAGUAUUUGUCAAAAAUAAUGAUAUGCAAAAUACUAACAGUAUCCAAAAUACAAGUCAUAUGUAGUAACAUCCUCAAUGUGUACCGCAUGAAGGAGCCUUCCUCUUCCAUUGUGGACAUCCAUGAUAUGCAUGCUCCACUAUUGGCUCUAUGGGGCUAACAUGUACCCCUCUAUGAGCUCGACAACCACGUCUCCUACCACGUCCUCAACCAUGUCCUCGACCAUGAUCAUUCUUUUGUCCUUGUUGAUCAUCAUUUGCUAUAUGAACUAACUUCUCAUCAACCAAUGUAACCUCUAUCGAUUGUGGUGAUGAUGCAACAAGUAGUACUAUAGGUGGGUUAGAUGGCACCUCCAUAUGUGUAAUACGAGUCUCCUCAACAGGUGGCGGGCUAAUGUCAGUCGAUGGUGCAUUUCUAAGAACAAAUGUAUGCUUAGUCACUCUCGUAUAAGCCCCUCUCCCUCUAGUCCGUACACCUCAUGAUCAAGUAAUGGAUGAUAUCAGUUGCUGAUGAGGUGGUGGAUUACAAUAAAGUGGACGUACCAUUAUGGGAAAUAGCACAUCUCAUUUGAAGAAGAGAGUCCUUUUGAUAUAAUCUAGGCAUUAAAGUUUAUCAUCGAGAUCAACUCAAAUGAAUCGCUACAUGAUUUGUACGCUCCCUUAAUUUUAUUUUCCUUAUAUUUUUUUCCUUCAUAUUAAUUCCACCACCAAAUCUGAUAAAAUCAAAAUUAAGUUUUAUAAGCCUCUAAGUGAUAAAUAAAAAAAAAAAAAAAAGCCUUCUAUCGAGAAAGGGGGUUAUUUCUGAACAUGGAGAGUCGGCAUAGAAGACCUUUAUUGAAAAUGGUGUUGAUGCUUUGAAAAGUUUGAAUGGACGAGACUCUAAGUUGAGUUGAUGGGAAGAGCAAGAGACGCAGUUUAUUGGGACUUUAAGAGAAAUAUUUUUCUCUUCCACACCAUCCUUUGACAUCAGUCACUUGUAACUCAUCAAUUGACCAACUUCGUUUAUAUGAUUUAUUAUUAUUUUUUUCCAGUUUUCUAAUGAAAAUAUUUCUUUGGUUUGAAGAAAUAUUCAUGUUAAUGGUUCGGAUAGAGAAAGAUAAGAUUGAAUCAAAUCAAAUUUAUUUUAAUUAAUCAAAUUCAAUUUAAUGUAUUCAUUUUAUACAAGAUAAACUAUUUAAUUUUAACAAAUAAAAAGAUAGUAUAUCCAUUUUUAUAUAUGAUAACUUGAUUUGAAUAUAUAUAAUUUUUUUUUUUGUAACCCCUGUUUGAUUCCAAAGAAAAUCCAUCCCCCAUUCGAUUUCCAAAAAAAUUCAUCCUCAUUUGAUUUAUGAGAAAAUCCAUGCAAAACCCCCAAGGAAAACCAAAAAAAUUGCUUUUUUUAUUUAUUUUUUUGCUCUCUAUGCUUUAUGGAUUUAUUCUAGGGGUCUCUGUGGAUGUACUCAACGUCUUAUGCAAUCAUGAAAUAACAUGAAUUGAGUGGAUGUUAUUGCAUAAUAACAUUGAUAGACAAGACUAUUAGAAAAGAGAGCACCACUUUUAUAUAUAUAAAGUAACAGUUAAGUGUGCUAAAAGUACCACCAUGCUAAAAGUGUAUUACACUUUUUAUGUACUACUUUUUCAUAAAAUAAAAUAAAUGGUACCCUCUUUUCUAAGGAUUGUGUCAAUUGGUGUUAUUGUGCAAAACACCCACUCAAUUCACAUUAUUUUAUCAUCACAUAUGACGUCGAGUAUGUAACAAGCGAUAAUAGAUCUUACCCUAAACCAAAUAAGAGAAGUACAUUCUUCCCACCACAAUGAAACUAAAAAAAGAGUGACAUAUUCUUCCCACCACAGUACUACUUUUAACAUAGUACAUUUUUCAUUCAUGAGUGGUACCAUUUUUUUUCAAAGGUUGUGUUGACUGUUGUUAUUGCACAAUAACAUCCACCCAAUUCAUGUUAUUCAAUCAUUACAUAAUACAUUAAGCAUGUAACGGGUGGUAACAUACCUUAAACCAAAGAAGAGUGAUACACUAUUUCCACCAUAGUGGUACAUUUAUCACACUUCAGUGGUAUUUUCUUUUUAUAAAUAAAUGGUAUGCACUUUUCCAAAGGUUGUAUUGAUCAAUGUUAUUAUGAAAUAACACUCAUUGAAUUCAUGUUAUUUCACCAUUAAUAAGACAUCUAGCAUGCAACGAAUGGUAACAUACCUUUGCUUAAACUAAAAAAGAGAGAUACAUCCUUCUUACCACAAUAUUACUUUUAGCAUUUUUAGCAGUACUUUUUUUCAUAAAGGAGUGGUACUAGGGAAAUGCAACUUAAGUUGCGCAAUGGUUUGAGGUGCACCAACUUAGUGUUUUAGGAGGGUACACUAUUUUUUUCUUAACACAUUUAAAAGGUAUGCAACUUCAAUAUACAAAAAUUUUAAUUUUUAAUAAAAUUAAGAGAAAAUCAAUAUAAACAAUUGAAUACAAACUUUUUAUGAAAAUACAUAUUUUUAUUUUAUAUAACUAAAAAUUAAAAAUUUGAACAAAACAAAACUUUAGAAUCACAACCAUGUUUUUAUUUUAUAUAAAUUAAAAAUAUUAAACAUUUCAACCAAGAAGAAAAUUAAAACUAUGGUCAAGUUACAUCCAUAAGAAAAAAGCUAAAACCAUGAUCAUCAAUUUUGAUUUUCACAUGAAAAUUUAAAAAUUUUUAAAAAUAUAAAAAAAUUAAAUAAUAUGACAAUAUAAGAAGAUUUAUAAAAUAAAUAAAUAUUUUAUUUAGGAGGAAUAUAAAAAGUCUUAUAUCCUAAACUUCUAAAUUUGUUAUUAUGUAUUUAUUUUUAUAUUAAAUUUGUUCUUAUUAAUUAUUUAUUAUAUAUUAUUAAUUUUUAUUUAAAUAUCUAUAAAUAAUUAAAAUCAAUAAAUAUGAACAAAUGAAAUAGUGAAAAAAAAUUAAAUUAUAAAAUUUUCAUGAAGCCAAUACAUUAAAAAUAAAUAAAAAAUAAAAAUAAAAAUAAAAAUAAAAGCAAAAAUGUGGAGAUAUUAUGGAGGGAAAAAAAAUCAUGUGACAUAGUAGAUUGUUACAUAUCAAAGUUUUUUUUUUUUUUUUAAACCAACCACGAUUAGCACUUUGACUUAUCAUGUCAAAGUAUAAAAAUAAAAAUUGUGAUAAUUAAUGUCAUGAUGAGAAAAGGGUUAGUCGUUUUGAAAAUACAUGUUUUCAAGACAUAUAUAUAUAUAUAUAUAUAUAUAUAUAUAUUGUGAAAAUAAAAAACCAAUCUCCCUUUUGAAACAGCAGAAACCUUUUGGCAAAAAACCGUGUCUUUCAUUCAUAUUUGCACGAGUAUAAAUACACACAUAUAGACUAGAUUCAAGAAGGAAUUACGACUAUAAUUGUGGGUCUGACUUUUUAUAUAUAGUAGGUACAAAUAUUAUAUGGUAUAACUGCAACUAUUAUAGGAUUGAAUCAGAGGAUGAGUUGGUCAAAGGAUACGAUAUAACUGCAACAAUCACGGGCUUGUCUCAAAGUAUGAGUUGGUCAACUAUUUUCCACAAAGACCACAUGCCGAGAAAUGAACAUUUUUGAGGUGGAUGGGUCAUAACAUCUAUAGGAAUUAUGUGAGAGAAUAGCCAAGGAAAACACAGGGUCGAGACUUGGGAUCCAAUUUAUGGCAUGUGUAGGGUUUUAGCUAGGGGUAACAAAGGCAACCAAAGAUUUUAAGUUCGAGAUAGUAGGGGGAAGGGUGAAAGAGGGUCUCAAAAGGAGAUUUGUUAUCUAAAAGUGGGAUUGGCAUCUGAUUAAUGAGGUAAAUUAUCGUUUGACAGGCAACAGGCCAAAAUUGAAGACGAAUGGAGGCUUGAUGAAGAAGAGUCAAUGUCAUCUCAAGAUUAUGUCUAUGUUGUCUUUCAGCAAUCCCUACAAUUUGUGAAGUGUAUGGAGGAGAAUAGGGGUGUUAAAUUCCAUGUUUUGGAGAGUGUGGGAUGAAGACCUGCAUAUUCCCAGGAUUGGGGUUUUGAAAUAUUUUUCUACUAGUUGCUUGAAGUUUUCAAAAAUACAAGUGGUAUCUGAUUUGUUUUUUAGAGGAUAAAGCCAUAUGUAUUUGGUGAAAUGGCCAACAAAAAUCACAUAAUAUAAAAAAUUAUCAAGGAUGUGAUAGGAGCAAGUCCCCAAAUAUAAUUAUAAAUAAGUUUAAGGGGUUUAGAGCUUAUAAGAGAAGAUGCACCAAAGGAAAGUCAAUGACUUUUAUUACAUAAGCAUGAGUUACAAGAGUCUAGAGACGACUUGGACAUUGAAAGUGAAUGACUUGAGAUGACAUGUCAGAGAAUACGUCGAUUGGGAUGAUCAAGACAACGAUAACAUUUAUUUAAGGAUGUUGGACUGGUGGUGGUGUUGUAGGCCUGAGGUGUGGAGCUUGAGUAGGGAAAAGAAGUCGGACACUCAUACAGAUUUCCCUUAAACGAGUGUUGCCCCCGUGCUCAAAUCCUUCACCAAAAAGUAAGUAGGGAAAAAUUCAAUUGAUGUACAAUUAUGUUUGCAAAACUGAGAAACAAAAAUUAAGUUUUUAUGAAUAGCUGGAGCACACAAAACAUUACCAAACAUAAAAUUUGAAUUUUUAAUAAUUAAAUUAGUAGAAUCGGUAUGAGUGAUAGAAAUACCAUUACCAUCACCAAUAAUUACAUGUCUGUACCACCAUAUUCAGAAUGAAUGGAAAGAUUCUGAAGAUCUGAAGUAAUGUGGUGUGAGGCUCCGGAGUCUAUUACCUAAUUGGCAUUAUGAGUUGGUGGUUCUCGAGCCAUGAAAUUUGCUUGUGGUGUGGAAUAGGAGGAUGGGCGAGACCUGCAGACCCUGGCAGUAUGUCUAGCUUUGUCACAUAGUUGACAAACAACACAGAUUUGAGGGGGAUUGAAUGGAGGACGCCCUUGUGGACCAAGAAAUCUAUUCCCUUGGUUAGGGAACAUGUGUCCAUGAUGAUUCUUGUUGCCUUGAUAAUUAUUUCCAAAUUGAGAACUUUGUCCUUUCUUAUUGUUUGAGUUGUUCCCCUUUUUGCCAAAGUUGUUUGAGCCCUUUUGAUUAAACUGAGUUGUAACAGUAACACUAUCCUUCUUGAAUUCUUCACGUUUUAGGAACAUUUCAUGAUCUGCUAGUUUGUCAUGUAGUUCUUCAAAGGAUAUGGAAGAAUCUCAAGCUCUUAUUGUUGCACUCAAUUCCUUGAACUCAGAUCCUAAACCUUUGAGAACACUUAUCACCAUUUCUUCUGCACCAAGAGGGGAUCCAACAAUAGCCAAUUCAUCAUCGCUCAUAGUUUUGAUUACUGUCAUAUAUUCAACAACAGAUUUAUUUUCUUUGAUGAGUUGGCUCAGCAUCUCUCGGAGUCCUAAGAUCCUAGUCUUCAAUUUGCUGGCAUAUGUGGUGUAUAGACGAGCCCAAGCCUCUUGAGCAAAUGUAGUGGAUGCAACAAGAGGGGCAAUGGUGGAAUCAACUGAUUCCAUGAUAGCAUGCAGAAGUAGGCUCUCUUGGCGUUUCCAAAUUUUGUGCUCCGGAUUGGGUGUGAAAGUGUCACCCAUUUUUAUCAUUUCUAGUGGACUUGGAUAUGUUCCAUCAACAUACCCAAUCAGAUCAUAGCCAUAAAGUAGUGUUGAGAACAUUGUUCUCCAAGAGGGAUAAAUGCUGCUACCGAUGAGUUUCAAGGGGAAGUUGUGUUGCUGCAUUAAUAGACACCAGUGCGGUUGAAGGAGUGUUUCCACAUGACAUGAUGACUCUGUGAUAUGGGAAGGGCCCGGAGGAGUAGGAGUCUUCAGCCAUAGGGAUAGGAAUAAAAGGUGGUUUCAAUGAAGAGACUACAAGAUUUGGGUGGCUGCUGGAAUAGUGACUGUGGAGUUUAUGGCUUUGAUACCAUGAAACAGCAGAAAGAUUUUGGCAAGAAACAAUAUCUUUCAUUCAUAUUUGCAUGAGUUUAUAUACACACAUAUUGACUAGAUUCAAGAGGGAAUUACAGUUAUAAUUGUGGGUCUGCCUUUUUAUAUACAGUCGGUACAAAUAUUAUAUGGUAUAACUGCAACUAUUGUGGGAUUGAGUCAGAGGAUGAGCUGAUCAAUGGAUAUGAUAUAACUGCAACAAUCACGGGGUUUUCUCAAAGUAUGAGUUGGUCACGUGAGCUGUCUAUCACCUUCUUGUUAGAAUAACUAGGGACUCACAUAAAUUAAUAAUUGUUUAUGACUGACUCAUGCCCAAUUGGUGUCUCAGCUGAUUUGUGUUCAGCUGGUGCUCCUUGAUUGAGGAAGUGAUCAACAAAAUUUAUACCUAUAACACCAUACACUAGGGUAGCAAAUACAAAGCUACUAUAGUAUAGUGGCUCUAAGGAUCGUUCACUGGGAAUGAUUUGCAAGCAAUCAAGGAUACCAAUUCCAAGUGAAUUGGUUUUGUUUCAUUUCACGGUUAGCUUAAGGAAUAAAACACAAACUUUGAUUUGUAAAGGUUGAGACUUAAACUAACUAACUUAACAGAAGUUUGGAAUAAUUUAGGAAGAAAAGCAUUCCUUGGAGAUUUAGGUUCACUGGGGUGGUUCCUCAUGCAAAAGACAUAGCUCCGGUCAGAUGGUUCAUUUCCUCGCAUUAGAGAUUCAACUUAUAGUCAAUUCUCUAACCGGUGAUGUACAGAGACUCCUUCAAUUAGAUUUCACUUUAAUUCUCUCACUGAUGUAACUUACAAUGGUUCAUGCCUCUCACGAGCACUUACCAUUCAAGGUGAUCUUUAACCUUGGAUUCCCCUUCACAAACUCGCAAGAGAUAACUAAUGGAUGCCUCCUAAGAGUCCAAAAGCUUACCAAGUGUUGGUAAUUCCAGAAAAUCCUACCUUGAAGUCACCUACCAAAGGCUCGCAAGGGGUAAACUAGUGCAUUUCCACGGUUGGAAAUCACUUGCCUUACCAAGUGUUGGCCCAGGUGACUCCAAAGUGUUUUAAGUUAACUAAAAACAUUGAAAUCACUAAAGGAUUUCACUUCCUCUUCAUUACUAGCUAAAACCACAGAGCUUUGCAUUCUUGCACUUGGAACCUUCCCCGGCAACCUUAGCUCCAAGGAAUUGGAGGUUUAGUUACUCAUUCUCUGGGGAAAACUCCUCAGAGAAUUCAUAACUUAGAAAUAAAAUGAAAAUACAAAGUGAUAAGGUAAGGCAGUAGAAAGAAAAGACCUUUACUUCCUUACCAAAUGGUUACAGAAGGAACUCCUCUCUGAGGACAGGCUCCCGAGAGGUAUUUAUAGCAAACUAAUAUAAAACUAAUUCUUACAAAGAUAUUUGGUCUUUUUACUAACUUAAAAACUAAGGAAUCAUGUAAUUGGUGGUUUACAAGGAGUAUUUUGGAAUUUAGACAACAAAAAUCUAAUGGAAAAUAUCUCCCAAUGUCGGUAGCAAGCUUCGGGAGGCUUCCGGAGCCAUUUCGCAGGAGAAAAGUGAGGUCUGCGAAAUUUCGCAGACACCCAAGAGGGCUGCGAAAUUAUUUCGCAAGACCAAGCUGUCUUCAUAGGGCUACGAAGUUGGCUUCCAUCUUGAAGUUUCCAGCUCCCUUCUCGCGGCAUGGUUCGUGCAUCGUCAGAAGGAGAAACACCUUGCUGUACAAAAGUGCUGCGAAAUUCUCGCAACAAAAGGCCGAUUCCGCAACACUUUAGAGUGACUGGCUUGUAAUGGCUGCAACUUCUUCGUUUCAACUCCAAAUUGCACACCGUUUGAAGCAUUGGAUUGUUGACUUCCUGAGCUUUGAAAUGGUAUAUAGCUUGCAUCAUUUGGACUUCAGAAAGUGCUCCAAAAGUGGCUGCUACGACUGUCAUCAAGAAUAUGCUCCAUGACUGAUCCUCUUUGCUUUUUCUCCUUGCAAUCCGGAUUCACUCUUGGCAAUUGAAUUCUAAGCUUUGCCCAUGAUUCCUCAUAGUUCUCCUCAUUCUUGACUUGCUUUGGUGAUCAAAAUACUAACAAAAACACCAAAACUUGCACAAAGUGAUCAAAAUUGCUUUAAAGGAUCCUUAACAUGCCAAUUGAGUUAAAAGGCCUAAACUACUACUCAAAAGUGUUAAAAAGGAUUAAUUAAAGGCUAUCAAAUAGCACUUUUUGAGUAGUAAUCACUCCCCCCAACCGACAUAUUGCUAGUCCCUUAGCAAUAUAGGAGAGAAAAAUGAAAAUAAAUAGCUAAUUAUACUAAAAUUUACAACAUCAUGCUAAACAAAAUCAAUUCUCAAGUGGCAUGAUGAUCUAUUUCUCACAUGAAUCAUUAAAGAAAUACAAACCCAAAUCUCAACAAGAGUCAUAACACCUAUGCUAACCACUGUCAAUCAAGGGAGUGCAUUAUGCAAACUGAAGUUUUAAAAUCAUUUCACUUUCUGAGAACUAAACUUCGAUCUUCCACAAAAAUCUAUGUGUAUUGGUUCCUUAGGUUCCGAGAAUAAUAUGCUACUAAUCUCACCCCCCAACCUAUCUCUUUUCAACACUUUAGCAAACUGACCAAAAUCAAUAAGAAAAGAACACACUUUCAUCCUUUUUUUUUUUUUUUUUUUUUUUUUUUUUUUUUUUUUUUCAAGGUAGCUUUAUGGGGUACUCUUUCUGACUUGUCCAUGUAAUGGGGGUCCAUCGAUGACUCCCAACCAAUUAAGGUUUAGGGCACCAAGUUUUAAGGAUCUUUCAACCACUAACUCCUCGGAUUUUUCCCCGGACUUUUAAGAAUGAGUUUCUAAUACCCAAGCAUCUACCAUAUGCUAGCUCUACUAUUCACCCUUGUAACGAGCAUUGAGGUCGGUGUCUCCCAACCAAUUAAGGCUUAGGGCACCAGGCUUUAAAGGCUUUCACCAUAUGCCCCUCAGACCUUGCUCGGGUUUCAAGGCAAGCAAACAACUUUCUUUAUUUCAAAGGCUCAUUGGCCUUUUGCAGGGUGUUUCAAUUUUUAUCAAAUGAGGUCAAAUAUACCAAGUCUCAAAAUUAUUCUAAGUCAAGAGGGAAAUAGUUUUUCAUCUUAUAAUCGGAAACUAAUGUGCACAGUGUGUGGAUAGCUUAAAGUAGAAGAACUCAAUUCAAUUUCAGUAGAAGUUUCAACAAUUGAACCACUUUAGUAAGCAUAAUCCAUACUCUAAGUCAAGUGAAAAACAACAGUUCAAUUUCUCUUGGUUUAAUUUGAAAAUUUUUCCUCAAAAUUCAUGGAGAAUAGAGUAACACUAGUAAAAAGUAAAAACUACAACUAAUUAACCAAUAUAAUUGCAAUACCAAAAAGGUUUAGAAUACUUCCUUCCUCAUACCCCCCAACCGAACUGAACAUUGUCCUCAAUGUGAUUUGAGUGACUGUAAUAAAAGGGAGGAAGUGGUACCUCCAUGCUGAUAUCAAAUUCGAAUAUUGAUUGGGGAAAACCACAUGUUUCAAAAAGAAUAGAAUAUGUGAGAAAAGGAAAUAAUAAUAACUUAAUGUUAACUUUUAACAAGAAAUAGUCAACUUGUAUUACUUUGAGUUCAUUUGAUUACAAUACUAAAGACAAGUAACACAAGGAAUCCCAUAUAUAGUACCAAAAUAUUGGGAUUUCAUUGCAACUAAAACAAAAUAAACAUGCAUAAAAACAUAAACAGCAAAUAUAUAUAAUGUCUGAUAAGUGGGGUGAUAGUUGCUAGGCAGAAGGAUCUGCCUCCUCAGUAGGUGGAUCAGCUGGUGCUUCGGGUUCUGGAGGAUGAGACUCUGAAGGCUGAGAGUGUGGCUCUGGUGGAGUAGGAAUGAAGGGCUCUACAGCUUGUGGCAGAUCGAAAUGGACUUGAAGCUGCCUUAGGAUGGCAGCUUGUUGAGCCUGAGAGGCUAACAUCUGCUCCUGGCAUGCUUUGAUGGCUGCCAACUCCUGAGCAAGAUUGCUCUGGGAAGCUGUAAGAGUCUCCAAUGCAUGGCACAGCUCUCGAUAUUCAGAUAUAGGGAUGGCCAUCCUAGGCUCAGCUGAUGUGGAUGGUUGUGAUGGAGCAGGUGCAGCUGGUGGAGCUCGAGGGAUGGCAGGAGUAGCAAGUGUGAUAUCUUCAGGUGCAUGUCUUGGGGAGGCUCUCCUUGCUGCUGGCUGAGGCUGCCCAGGCUGAUCAAUUUUGUAGGCCGUCAUAUUAUUCCAUUUAUCAAGGGUAAAUGGCUCACGGCAUAUUCUCUUUCUUUCCUGCUGAGGCUCAGAGGGGUAUCCGAGAUGUUCCAAAACUUGGCAUAGCAGCCGUGGGAAGAGGAGUGGAAUGCAAUCUGCUCUUUGAAGCUUCUUCUUAUGAACCUUCUCCUCAAAGUAAAGAAGGGCUGCCAUGAUCAGAUGAUGAGGCCCAAAGAAGAAUCCUUCAGACAUCUUGUAUAGAGCUUCCAAGAGAACUCCCCUUCUUUGGGUCCAAUGCUGCAAGGGAUAGAUAUUAUGCCUCAAAAAGGCAUCAAUCAAAAACAUCACUGGAGGUAGCUCCCCCCUCAGCAGGUGUGAUCGAUUUGCAGCUCCUCCAGUUAGGGUGCUAACCAUCUCUAACUCAGUAGGAUUUACCCAAGCUUUAAAAUUGUCAAAUUGGGUUGGCUCAAACGGAAUUUGCAGGGCUUCAGCAAUAUGUCUUGCUCCCAAAAUACCAUGUCUUCCAUCAAUUAUGAAAUGGAUCAGAGUUGGAUUUCUUACCUCUUUGGUUGUCAUGGUCUGGUAGAAGUCUGUGACUACCCGGGGAUAGAAAAAAUCCCUUGGAGCUAGCAGAUGCUCCAUAUGAUAUCUCCUCAGCAGUUGGAAUGAUUGGGCAAGCUCUGGCCUCACUCUAAAUGCUGCUAAAUCGAAGCACAAUUCAGAAUGGAAUGCCCGAGUUCGGCAAUCCAGGUUUCCUUCGAUUGGGGGCUGGGGCAGCAUUGGCCUUCGGAUCACUUCUUCCAGAGGUGCUUCAGCUGCAAUUUGGGGCUCUGGAAUUGGCGCUUGAGGCUCCUGAGCUUUUUCUUGGGGGGCCGGAGAUGGUACCGGCGAUGGAAUUGGAGUUGCUUCUGGUGAGGGAAUUGGCGAGGGAACCGGUGACGGCACUGGAAUUUGUACCGGUGAAGGAUUUGGUGAUUUCUCAGGGGAUUGCUCAGUCAAAUCAAUUGGUUCAGAGCUCUCAACCCUGGCUUUCUUCUUCAAUGGCUGACCACCUGACCUGGUUAAAUAUCGCCUUGCCGGCGGCUUUGGUGGCGCCGGCUUCACUGGAGAAGGUUGUGGUCUCGACGGCGAAGGCUUUGGAGCAGGUUCUGGAACAGAGCCUGAACUUGGCUCCUUUCGCAGACUCCUUUUGCGGUUCGAAGGGGAUGAAGACUUUGCCCCUCGCGUUCGUGCCAUUUUGGAAUAUCGAUCUUUGGCCGGCGCUGCUAAACGGAGAAGACGACCGGAGGUUCGGACGGCGUGGCUUGGCGAAGAAGAUGAAGGGGCUGCGAGAAUGGUGCUCUGAUUUUUGAAACCCUUUUCGCAGCACUUUUGACCGGUAUAAAUAGGAAAAACGGAAGCCCAGGGGUCAGAUUACGUUUCGCAACAAAACGCCAAUUUCGCAGCAACUUGCCAUUUUCGCAGCAACUUCGCAGUGAGUUUCGCAGCUGCGAAAUUGAUGUCACUGUGCUGCGAAGUGGCACUCGUGUGCCAAAUCCACUUUCACAAUUGCGAAAUGCCCUGCGGAAUGGGACUUUUGGUGCGAAAUCACGCUUUUUCAUUUCGCAACGCGUUUCGCAGCUGCGAAAUGGAUGCUACUGUUCUGCGAAGUGGCACUCGUGUGCCAAAUCCACUUUCGCAAUUGCGAAAUACACUCGCAGAGGCUUCUACAGUGCUGCGGAGCGGUUUGGCAACAAAAAUCACAUUUCGCAGAAGUUUCCUUCACUCUGCGAAAUUUCGCAGAGCUCUGUUUUUCCCCUGUUUUUGCUCUGUUUCGGCUCCAAUUUCGACCCGAUUUUUUUUCUUUUCAAUCCCCUUGAAAUUUCUUCCACCUGGGAUCAUAUAACAUGAUUAAAACACACCUAAAAACAUGAUUUAAGAUCAAAAACUAAGAUCAAAAGUAUGAAAACAACUUGAAAAUUUACAAAAUUUACAAAAAUUUUGGACUGUGGUAAAACCACGCCCAGCAAACCCUUUUCACUUAAGCUUUUUGAGGUUCAAGGAGGUUGAUUGCCUCCUUUUCUGAUUUGAAUGACUCCAUGAACGGCUUAAGACGAUAUCCAUUGACUCUAAAGCUAUCCUUGCCAUUGGAAUUCAAUAAGUCCACCACUCCAUUGGAAUAUACUCGGUGAAUAACAAAUGGACCAAUCCACCUUGACUUGAGCUUCCCAGGAAAGAUAUGGAGUCUUGUGUCAUACAUCAAAACUUUUUGCCCUUCCUGAUUCAGUUUGCCUGGAUCCCAUUUGAAGCUUGCAUCCUUCACUUGAGACUUGGUUUGAGAUGAAGAUAUUACGACAGGACAUUGAUUAUUUUCUUCAAGAUAUGUAUAAUUCAGCUCCACAGGUAAAGGCUUCAGAUUGAGUUUUGGAAUUUCUUUUUCAACAGCUGCCUCCUCUUCCUUAUUGAACAAAGGUAAAAUUCCUUCUAUCUUUCUCCAACUUUGUAGAGUAGCAAGCCUAAUAGGAGAUUCAGAAAAACCUUCCUCAAUAUCCUCAAGACUUUCAUUCAACUUGUCUUGCAUAUGUUGAUUGCAGUGCUCCUCCACCAAAGUAUCAAUUAUACAUAGCUCUUCUGGACCUUCUUCUUCUUCCGGAGUGAUUUGCUUUUUAGACAUAUAGAAAAUAUUUAGAUCCAGUGUCAUAUUACCAAAAGUGAGUUGCAUCAGCCCAUUUCUACAAUUGAUGAUUGCAUUUGAAGUUGCAAGAAAUGGCCUUCCAAGGAUGAUAGGAACUAAAUUAGCUUCCUUUACAGUUGGAUCAGUAUCAAGAACAACAAAAUCUACAGGAUAGUAGAAAUUAUCUACUUGAACCAAUACAUCCUCAAUUACUCCUCUUGGAAUUUUCACUGAUCUAUCUGCCAAAGAUAAAGUGAUUGCUGUUGGCUUCAACUCUCCAAGGCCCAGUUGCUUGUAGACAGAGUAUGGAAGCAAAUUCACACUUGCUCCCAAGUCUAGCAAGGCUUUCUCCACUACCUUUCCUCCAAUCAUGACUGAAAUGGUAGGACUUCCAGGGUCUUUAUACUUCAAAGGAGACUUACACUGUAAGAUUGCACUUACUUGCUCAGUCAAGAAGGCUUUCUUGUUUACAGUCAACCCUCUUUUGAUAGUACACAAGUCCUUUAGGAAUUUUGCAUAUGUUGGAACUUGUUUGAUCAUAUCCAGUAGUGGAAUAUUAACUUUCACUUGCCUCAAUACUUCUAGGAUUUCAGCUGCAUUUCUAACCCCCUUUUUCCCCUGUAAUGCUUGAGGAAAAGGUGGAAAAGUUGAUUUAUUCAGCAUUUCUUCCUUCAGAAGCUCCUUCUCUGGAAUUACUUCCCUUGUUGCAUCAGAGUCCUUCUUCUCUUCACUGAUCUCACUGCCUUUAUCUUCCAUUUCCUUCCCUUUCUUCAUCUCUUCUUCUUUCUCAACAUGUGGCUUGGGUGUUGGAUGCUCAAUUUUUUUACCACUCCUUAGAGUGAUCAAAGCUUUCACAUCUUUCACCUGUGAUGAUUCUCCCUCAUGGCUUUCCACUUCAUGGACACCUUUGGGAUUUUGGUUAGGUUGAGAAGGAAAUCUUCCUUUUUCUUGCAGUGUAUUCAAAUUUGUAAGCCUGGAGAUUGAAUAUUGGAUGUUAUCAAACUUUUGAUUCAUGUCAUUUUGCAUUCCAUCCAUUCUUUUGUUCAACAUACUCUCCAUUCUGUCCAUUCUUUGAUCCACUCGAGCAUUGGUGGCUUCUUGCUUUCCCACAAAAUCUCCCACUACCUUGUUGAGAUUGGCUAUUAUUUGUUCAAUACUUGAAGAUUGCUGAGAUGGUGGAUCCGGCUGUUGGUAUUGAGUUGCUCUGGCCUUCCAUGAGAAAUUUGGAUGAUUCCUCCAACUAGAAUUGUAGGUAUUUCCAUAAGGAGCAUUGUUAUUGGGCCUGAAUUGUCCAACAACAUUUGCUUGAUCUCUAUACAUUUCCCUUUCAACUGAAAUUGCAGGGCACUCCUCCACCAAAUGUUCAAAUGAUUGACAAUUGGGACACAGCUUCACUUGCACUGGUGCUUCAGCAACAGCUUGCACUUCAUGCAUUCUUUUCAGCUCCAGCUCCUCCAAUCUUCUUGUCAUAGCUGCCAACUUUGCUUUCAUGUCAUCAUCUUCUUUCAAAUUAUACAUCCCAGCCUUUGCAUUGUAAGCAUUCAACUGAGACUUCAUCUUUCCCACUUCUCCUUUGGUUGGUUCAUCCCAUCCCCUUGAAACAUCAGCUACAUAGCUCAAGAAAUCCAUAGCUUCCUCUGGAUUUUUGCUCAUGAAAUCUCCUCCACACAUUGUCUCGAGGAGUUNNNNNNNNNNNNNNNNNNNNNNNNNNNNNNNNNNNNNNNNNNNNNNNNNNNNNNNNNNNNNNNNNNNNNNNNNNNNNNNNNNNNNNNNNNNNNNNNNNNNAACUUAUAGUCAAUUCUCUAACCGGUGAUGUACAGAGACUCCUUCAAUUAGAUUUCACUUUAAUUCUCUCACUGAUGCAACUUACAAUGGUUCAUGCCUCUCACGAGCACUUAUCAUUCAAGGUGAUCUUUAACCUUGGAUUCCCCUUCACAAACUCGCAAGAGAUAACUAAUGGAUGCCUCCUAAGAGUCCAAAAGCUUACCAAGUGUUGGUAAUUCCAGAAAAUCCUACCUUGAAGUCACCUACCAAAGGCUCGCAAGGGGUAAACUAGUGCAUUUCCACGGUUGGAAAUCACUUGCCUUACCAAGUGUUGGCCCAGGUGACUCCAAAGUGUUUUAAGUUAACUAAAAACAUUGAAAUCACUAAAGGAUUUCACUUCCUCUUCAUUACUAGCUAAAACCACAGAGCUUUGCAUUCUUGCACUUGGAACCUUCCCCGGCAACCUUAGCUCCAAGGAAUUGGAGGUUUAGUUACUCAUUCUCUGGGGAAAACUCCUCAGAGAAUUCAUAACUUAGAAAUAAAAUGAAAAUACAAAGUGAUAAGGUAAGGCAGUAGAAAGAAAAGACCUUUACUUCCUUACCAAAUGGUUACAGAAGGAACUCCUCUCUGAGGACAGGCUCCCGAGAGGUAUUUAUAGCAAACUAAUAUAAAACUAAUUCUUACAAAGAUAUUUGGUCUUUUUACUAACUUAAAAACUAAGGAAUCAUGUAAUUGGUGGUUUACAAGGAGUAUUUUGGAAUUUAGACAACAAAAAUCUAAUGGAAAAUAUCUCCCAAUGUCGGUAGCAAGCUUCGGGAGGCUUCCGGAGCCAUUUCGCAGGAGAAAAGUGAGGUCUGCGAAAUUUCGCAGACACCCAAGAGGGCUGCGAAAUUAUUUCGCAAGACCAAGCUGUCUUCAUAGGGCUACGAAGUUGGCUUCCAUCUUGAAGUUUCCAGCUCCCUUCUCGCGGCAUGGUUCGUGCAUCGUCAGAAGGAGAAACACCUUGCUGUACAAAAGUGCUGCGAAAUUCUCGCAACAAAAGGCCGAUUCCGCAACACUUUAGAGUGACUGGCUUGUAAUGGCUGCAACUUCUUCGUUUCAACUCCAAAUUGCACACCGUUUGAAGCAUUGGAUUGUUGACUUCCUGAGCUUUGAAAUGGUAUAUAGCUUGCAUCAUUUGGACUUCAGAAAGUGCUCCAAAAGUGGCUGCUACGACUGUCAUCAAGAAUAUGCUCCAUGACUGAUCCUCUUUGCUUUUUCUCCUUGCAAUCCGGAUUCACUCUUGGCAAUUGAAUUCUAAGCUUUGCCCAUGAUUCCUCAUAGUUCUCCUCAUUCUUGACUUGCUUUGGUGAUCAAAAUACUAACAAAAACACCAAAACUUGCACAAAGUGAUCAAAAUUGCUUUAAAGGAUCCUUAACAUGCCAAUUGAGUUAAAAGGCCUAAACUACUACUCAAAAGUGUUAAAAAGGAUUAAUUAAAGGCUAUCAAAUAGCACUUUUUGAGUAGUAAUCAAUGACUAGGCUAUCUAUACAUAUUUCAAUUUAUAUUUAUUAAGUACGAGUCACCUUGUGAGUAGAGCCCAAGUCACAUGUCUUACAUGAUGGGCCUAAAACACAUGAUGGGCCUAAGACACAUGUGGCCCAACAGCCCAAUGGGUAUGCUCUCCAACCUCCCAUCACAAGAGAGAAAACAGAAAAGUGGUUUCCUCCUCUAUUGCCUUAGAAGAACCAUAUUUCUUCAAAAUCAACAAUGGAUUCGCGUUUGUCUACAUUCUCUAAUCUAAUCGACAUGUUUUUUUUAUUAUUUAACAUGAGAUUUCUGGUUUUGGGUUGAUAAAGAAUUUGGUAAUCUUUAAAAAUGUUUUACAACACUUCUAUCUAUGGGGCAUGAUAUCUUUAUAGACUACGCAUCUGAUCAACUUUGUGGCAUGUCUCAUCCAACUUAUUUUAAUGCUUGUUUAUGUGACAUGAUACAAUGGAAUGGUAGUUAAAAACUCUUUUAUUUCUUUAAUACAAGAACACGUCUCUAGUCCAAAACAAAAGAAAACAAAUUGGAAACAUGUCUUUCCAGCCCUCAGGAAGGGAUUUAAACCGGAAAUAUUAACGAUACAUUUUCAAAGCAUACUUAAAGCAAACACUCCUCUCAUAUUACCAAUGCAACACGAUUCAAAAGCCCUUUUAUUCUACACGAAACUUCUUUCUGAUCCACAAGACAAAGCCAUGGACCUUCUGUGGGUCUUCGAUGGGAAGACCCCCACACAUGAUGUUCCCCUUUUACUCUAUACCAAGCUUCUUCCUCAUCUCCAUGACAAAGCCAUGGACCUUCUGUGGGUCUUUCAGAGAAGACGACACACUCUCCUUUUCCUUGCACCUCUUGGUCCAAGCGAUCAACUUGGGGCACUCCACCUCUAUGCUGAAGUUACCAAAGCUCUCAUACGCAUAAAACAAGGUUGAGAAAGUCACCAGAGCCACAUCCACAAACCCAAAUUUCUCACCACCAAAGUAAGGCUUCUCUCCAAGCUCUCCUUCCAAAAUCUUAAGGUACUCUAUGAAUUCAUUCUUGGCUGUUUCCUGCUCUUCUCCUUUGGUUGACCAUAUCCUCCUUCCAAGUUCAUAGAGCUGUGGAAAGUAAUGGAGUCAAAGAGAGAAAAGGCUUGUUUUUUUUGGAGCAUUUCAUCAAGUUUCAAACUUUCUGUAUAGUUGGACAAGUUUAUUAACGACCCUUCAGCAUAGAAAUCUCGUAUCCUAGGAAAAAUAUCAGAAUCAGCUGAAAGAAUGUAUCAUUUGCUAAAGUUUUUCCCCUCAAUUUGGGUUAAAGAAAUGAGAAGAAAGAGAUCAAAAAGACAGAACACAUAUUAAAACAACUGUUGUGCAAAAUGUUGAACAGAAGGAUAACAAAAAACCAAAAUCUGUUCUUUAAAAUCUGGUUUAUGUAUCCCCUUUCUUGGGGGAAAACGUAUUCUUGAGAUCUGCUUUUUUGGAUGGAACGAACAGACUUCGGAUUCAACAGAACAAAGAAAUAAAAACCCAUAUCAGAAAUGCAGAGUGGAGUCUUGUUGAAGAAACAGCAAAGAGAAUCAGUAAAGUUCUAGUUUGGGACACCAAAGCCAACAAAACUAAAUAUCAGAAGAGAAUAUGUGAAGAACCAGAAUUUUGGAUAAAUCCCUCACCAUAAUCAAAAUGUGAGUCAAUCGCCAUGAAUCAAUGGAAAAGAAUGCUUUAAAUCAACAGAAAAGGCAUACCUUCUUGUCUAUGUAGUCCGCCCAGAACCUGGCCUGAGCUCUCUGGUAUGGGUCACUAGGCAACAAGGGAGAUUUUUCGUUCCAAACCUCAUCAAUAUACUGAACUAUUAUCAUAGACUCACAAAUGGGCUUUCCAUUGUGGAUCAGAACUGGGAUUUUCUUAUGAAUCGGGUUCAUCUCAAGAAGCAGAGGACUCUUGUUGCUCGUGUCCUCCUCUCUAUAUUCAUACUUGAGACCCUUCUCUGCCAGGGCAACUCUGACCCUCAUACCAAACGAGCUAGGCCAGAAAUCCAACAAGAUAAUCUCGUCUGCCAUUGCUACUACUGUGAUUGAUAAGAUUCAAACUCAAGCAUUGAUGAACUCAAGGGAAAUUGUUAAGUAUUUAUAGCAAACUUCAGAGACGUGGGUUAGAUACUUCUAGGAGGUGAUGAUGCUCAUUCCCUAGCUUUCAUUUUCAUUUUCCUUAAUUAUAUUCUUAUCUCCGAUUCGUAGCUCUCCAGGAUUCCCAUAUUUUGAGUUUAUUUAUUUAUAAGCCAAGUGUUUUUAAUUAAAUAUAAUGCUUUCGAAAUUCUUUGAAAAUUAGAAAAAAUAGUCAUAUUUGAUCAUUUUAAUUUUACUACUUACUUUUAAAUCCAAAAUAGAAAGAAAUUUAGUGUUAUUUUGAAAAUUUAGUGUCAUUGUUACAUUUUUUAUUGCCAUUUUAUGAUUCAAAUUAUCCAUUUCUUUGAUGUUGCUUCUCCCUAUCCAUUUUCGACAUUGGGAUUAAAACUAUUCACUAAAAAAUUGAUUGAUAUAAAAUUACAUUAAAUUUAAAUUAAAUUCAGAUUGACGGAUUAUUUGUCACUAUGCAUGUCAUGUUGCUUGCAAAAACUAUCCAUUCGAUCUCCUUUGCGGUGGUGAUCGCGACAACAAAAACAUGGAAGGAAAGGAAAAACCUUAAUGUUGUUAGCAAGAAAUGAAAGAAUUGGGAGGUUGUGAAGUCUACUUAUGAUCUUAUGAUCUUGUCAAAUAUGAUCAUCAUACAAUACUUGGUAACAUUUAAUUAAAAUAUAUAGUAUUUUUGAGUGACAUUCCCUGCUUAUUACCAACAUAUGGUAGUCACUAAAACCAAUGUCUUUAGUAUAUUUCUUAAUUUAAAACAAUAAAAAGUUAUAAAAAAAUAAUAAAAUGAAAAAUAAAUUUAAAUUCAAUUAACAUUUCUUACAUGUUUCAACAAGACUAUCUCUUUUCUUUUCUUUUUUUUCUAUUCUACAUAAAGAUUGAAAUUUUUUUAUUAUAUUUGAUUUUAUUUUAUACCUUUGAACUAAAGAGAAUUUAGAUUUCUUUCCAUCUCUAUUUUUUUUCUUCAUUUAGUACUUUUUGUAAUCCAAUGGGCUAAAUAUAUUUGUUGCUAGAAAAUUUUACAUUCUCCGUAUUAAAAUUAUGAUCAUCACUACUAGCACUCAAGUAAAAUCUCUCACAAGAAAUAUGUGUAUUAUAAGAAACUAUCGGUUGUAGGAAUUACUCACUAAUUGGUUAAUAAGUAUGGCAAUCUUAUCUUAACACUCAUGGUAGGAUUUUACAUUCCAGUAUGGAAAAAAAACAAGUGACAAGAAAGGAUCACGUACGGAAGAUGCCCAAGCAAGUUCUUGUUGUUUGGUCUAUAUUUUUGGAAUUUUCUUUUUUCUUCUUUCAUGAUUGUGGGCUGUAGUAUAAAAACAUUACUUCUCAACCCCUUUUUCUUCUUUCAUGAUUGUAGCAUAGUUAGAAUCUUAAGAAUCCUUGCUUUGUUGCCUUCUCAUUUGUGAAAAUUUUCAAUAGUAUUAAAAACGAAAGUCAAUGGGUAUUAACGGUGUUACGAUAUUCUUUCCUUUUUUUAAUGGGUAUUGAUUUUGUCCUAAAUCAAACUUCCAAUUCAGACCAUUCAAAUGCAUAAUGAAAUCUAGGUCAUUGGGUCGGGCCGCCCAUUCCGUGGCUCGACACGCCACAAGGUCAGGCGGGGCCAUUACAGGCCAACACUGUAGCAAGCUGGGCUAGCAUGACCCAAAGGAGCAGGCCAUGCUAGGCCUAAAGAAAUAGCCCAUCGGCCCAUCGUGUUGGCCCACUUGGCCCUUUUAAAUUUCACUUUUUACUUUUAACUUUUUAUUACAUGUCAAAUGUCUAUAAUACCCAUCUCAACAACUAUAUUACGACUAGUUUGAGGGGUAAAAAAAGUAAAUCAAUAACUAUUUUUACUUUUUUUAUGUCAAACUUUAGAGGAUGAACUUAAAGAAGCCUUCAAGAAAUUGCAUCUCAAUGCAAACAAUGAUGUUCAAGAGAUUUAUGAUGAUUGAAGAUGAAAAAAUAAGAAUGAAGAUUGAAUAAGAAGACAAAAGUGAAUAUGAUAAUUGAAAAAUUAUAUGUUGUUCGUUUCUUUUAAAUCUAUUAAAUGUAGUUAAUUUUUAAAGGUUAAGUAAUGCAUAUGAUUGAUAGUUGGGUGGGUGUCAACCUGGAUGGGAUGUACUCAAACUAUAAUGACGCAAUUCUCACUUUUGUUUUUUUUUUCUCCUUAUUUUUUCAUGUAAUUUGUUGAAAUAUAGAAUAAAAGAAUUAUUUUUUUAUAUUUCAUUUCCUUUUAUAUUCCAUUAUUUUAAAUUUAUUGUUAUUUUGAUUUUAAAAAAAAUAAACAAAUUCAAAUAUAAUUUUUUUACUAUUUUUAAAAACAAAAAACUAACAUUUCUAUAAAUUUUACAAUUACAAACUCAAUAAAUAUAAAUGUAAAAAAUAAAAAGUAUAAUUAUUAGAAGUGUAUAAAAAAUAAUAUAUAUAAUUAUUAGAGGUGUUUCAAGUAACAAAAAGAAAUUUUAUUUAAUAUUAAGGAAAAAACUUAAGAAAAAAUGACUUAAAAAAUUAAAUUAAAAUUUUUAACAAAGUGAGUGGCCCAUGGGCCAUGGCCCACCGGCACAGCACGGCCUGACCCAGCACGACACGAUUAGCCCACGGACUUAUGGGUCAUGCCAAGCCACCUAUUUGGCUUGCAUGGGUCGGCCCAACCCAACACAUUGGCCCGUAAUGGCCCGAUCAAUAUUAGGCCAUGUCGGCCCAACACGACCCAUUGGGCAUCUCUAUAUACAAGAUUGAAAACCCUUCUUAUCAUGAGAUUUUUCAAAUCCGUUAUUUAUCUUUCAAAGUAAGACUUGUUUGCUAAAAAAAUUGCUCUCUUAGUCUUUAUUUUUGAACUAUCCAUAUCCAAAUAGGGGUUUCCUCCUUAUCUAAGGAGGAGAGAGCCUGAAGGACCAUCCUAGGUAUGGUGUAGUAGCUUGGAGAAGCAUCUAUACCAAAAUCAAAAUGAUAGUUCCAAAUGAAUAAGAUUCUCAUUAGCAACAACCAAUUCAAAUAUAUAAUCUUGGAAAAAUCUUUUCAUGAAAAUUUACUAAGAAUACCAAAACAUUUUUCUUUAGGUUUGAAUACUUAUUUUGGUAACCUUCUUAAUUAUAAAUUAUCUAUUAUGAAUUUUCAAAAUUAACUUAUUUUCUUUAAAUCCAAACCUUGUGCAAAAUAAGAAAAAUAUUAUUUUAUAAAGAUUUGGAAAAACAAGAGUUUUUUUAUUAAAAGAAAGAUUUUAUUCUUAGAGAUCUCGAAGAUCUAAGAAAAUUUUAAAUAAAAUUAAAAUCAUUAAGAAUUAAUUUUUAAAAGGAAUGGAAACUCUUAAUUCUUUUCUAACUUAUCUUUUCUUAAAAUAAAUUUCCUAACAAUACACAUUCCAAUUUAAAUAAGUUUUCCUAUUUUGAAAAACUCCAUCAAAAUUUAUAUCUAAUUAAGAAUACCAAAUUAUCCUAUUUUAGGUCACAUAUGCAAGUAAUAAAGAUAACAUAAAAUAAAAACAAGGAAAUAAUUAAAUAAAUAUUUCUCAUGAACUUUAGGGAUCCUAUUGCAUAUUUGGUAAUUAAAAAUUGGAUAAAAUUCAAAUUAUCAAAAUAUUCUUGCAACCAAAGAUUAGUUAGUAAAAAUUGAAAAAACUCUAAAAAGUUGAAUUUCCACAAAAAAAAAAAAAAAAAAAAAAACCUAAAAAAGAAGCCCAAAAUCAAGCCCAAAUAACCGAAAACAAUUUGGCCUGAACUCAAUUCAGAAAUAGCAUGCUCUUUGCACAACCUUACUACAAUUGACUAUAUAUUCCUCAUUUCAACUCCGAAUAGAAAAUUGUUUGAAGCAUUGGAUUCCUGACUUCCUAAGCUUCAAAAUCAUAUAUGAUUUGUUCCAAUUUUGAGUCAAAUUAGGAUCUAAAUCAAGAACUUCCAAGAAUCUUUCUUUUUUCUUAAGUCACCAUAGGAUCUCAAAAAUGAAAAUUUAAGAAUUUUUCCUUUCCUUUUGGGUCACCAUAGAUGGAUGAAAAAAAACAAAUUUUUUUACAACCAAAAAAAUAAAAAUAAAAAUCUUAUACCCCUCAUGGGGUGUACAACCCAACCUAGAGAAUAAAAUAGCAAAGAUCAUAUCCAUUCAUAUUCAUUCAUUCAAUUGAAUUAAUAAAAGCAUUUCAUUGAUUCAUCCUUAGGGUCUAUGAGAUGAAUAAAAAAACAACCCUGCAAAAUAGAUGUGAGCGCAACUUAGAAUAAAUCUAGCAUGCAAGUGUAGACCUUCCAUUUGUUCCAUUAGCACAUGCCCUAUUAAGUGCUCUUUUCAUACUUUGCAAUAGUCUCCUUUGGUGGCCCAUUUUCUACUCACACAACUUACCUUUUUUAGCCAUCUCAAAGACUCUAGUUGAGAGAUUUAUCUAGCCCCUCAUUGUGAGUGACCCUUGGCAACCCCAAGUUAGAUCUAGGAUUUUCUUUUUCUCUUUUUAUAAUAGCUCCUUUUUAAGUGCUCCUUUAGGACAACAUACUUAGACAUAUUCAAGUACACUUCUUAGGUCACUUAAACACACCCUAGGUCACCUAAGCACCUUCUACCUUAUAUAGACUCACUCUAGGUCACUUAGGCACUUUAUAAACUCACAUUAGGUCAAUUAGGCACUUUUAUGAUCACCUUAGGCCACUUAGGCACUUUUCUUAUCACUUUGGGUCACUUAGCACUUUUUUUUAUCACCUUAGGUCACUUAGGCAUUUUUUUUUAUUAUCUUAGGUCACUCAAGCGCAUUUUUGAUCACCCUAAUCCACUUAAACACAUCCUAGGUUACUUAAGCACUUUUCUUAUCAUCCUAGGUCACUUAAGCCCAUCUAGACACAUCUAGCCCAUUAAGACACACUCUGACUUAUUUAGACAUGCCUUAGUUAAUCUAGGCACAUCUAACCUAUUUAGACAUACCUUGAUCCAUAUAAGCCUAUUUGGUUCAUCUAGGCACACUUAGCCCAUCUAGGCACACCUGACCCACUUAGGUACAUACAUACUCGUCUAAGCACACACCGGUCCAUCUAGGCACACACCAGCCCAUCUAGGCACACCUUGACCCAUCUAGACACACCCUGGCCCACCUAGGGUUACUUGAGCCCACCUAGGUCACCUUUUAGGUAAUUUUUGCUUGCAAGACAUCUUUUUCUAUUUAGUAAUUUAUUUUAUUUAUUAUUUUGUGUAUUUUCUUUCUUUGUUUUUUAGUUUUUUUUUUUUUUUUAUAUUAACAUUGUAACACCUUUUUAUUCAUUUAUUAAAUCUAAUAUUUUUUGUGCUUUUGUAGGGAAAAGUUUGGAUAGGAAAGGAUCCUCUUUUGGAGAGAGAGAACUAGCCAUCUUUGAAGAUCACAAACAACCUCCUGAUAAGAUGAAAAGUUUUAGCUAUAUAUAGGGACUAGUUUUGAAAACUUGAAGAUAUACAAAUAAUGAAAGAGGUGCAUCACAUUAAGAGUCUAGAGAAGAAAGGUUUUUUUACAUAAGAAUGUAAAAAGAUAUGGAGGUAAGAGGGAUUUGGAAUAUAGUUGGUUGCUACCUUGGUUUUGGAAAGAGAUACUCAGCCAUAAUGGGCUCUUAGAAAGUCCUUGAAAGGUUAGAAUUCCGCAUAGGGAUUUUGAGGUUUUUUUUAUUUUUUAUUUUUAGGGGAUUAUGCUGGUUUUCUAGAGGGAAUAUCCAACAAUGUAAAAAAGAGGAAUCAUGUAGCGGUUUUUUUGGGAAGGAAGAUUUUAACAUGCAAAAGGGAGGUUCAGUUGCGGUCUUUGAAAUAAAAUCAUUCAGAGCGUGUGACGAACGAAAAAAGGAGAUUCGGUCCGUGGUGAGGAUGAGAGAUACAGUCCGCGUUUUGAAGACGUUUCGGGAGGGUUUUGAAAGAAUAUGGAGAUAGAGAGAUAUUCAACUCAUUUUGGGAGCACAUUCAGGCCGUGUUCUGGGGAUAUUCAGAGCGUGUUUUGGAGUCACAUUCAAGCCGUGUCUGAGAGUAAGAGGGAGCGUGUUUUCGAGGGUCACAUUCAGUCUGUGUUUUGGGAUCAUUGAGAACACGUUUUGGUUCCCAUUAGUAUGCAUCUAGUACAAAUUGAACCUACCAAUUCGCCAAUUAUGAGUUGGGCGCUUUAACCAUUCAGCCAUGGAUGCUUAGUGGGGAUCCUCGUACAUGGUGAAUAACCAAAUUCUAAUUGAAAUGAAAUCUUUAGGAUAAAUCAAUGUAAUUUAGGAGGAAUAAUGAAAGGACAUCAAUUCAAAUCUUGGAUUUUCAAAUUGAGAGAUAUUGAGAGAGAUCAAUAAUUCUCACUAUUUCUUAGAUUCAUGGACCCAAUUCACUUCAGUGGGAUAUUUCAUUCAUAUUUUUUUCCACCAAGAGAGCACAUUCAGGCUGUGGUCUGAGGGGAAGAUAAGAGAAGGUAAGAAAGGUAUCAUUUGGACAUUGUUUCAUUUUGAAAAUUUGUUUUGACUUUGUUAGUUUUUUGCGGAAUUUUGGAAUUAGGAUUAGAGAUAAGGGUGAUUUCUUUGAAAGUUUGAAUGAUUUUAAUAUCUGGACCUUUUGCUUUUAUUCAUGUUAUUUCAUUAAAAGCUUCAUCUUGAAAAUUUUGGUUAUGCUUUAAAUUUUUUUGGUUCUGAUUCAUGUUAUUAGAAUGUUAUUUCAUUAAAAGUUUCAUCUUGAAAAUUUUGGUCAUGCUUUAAAAUUUUCUGUUUAUGAUUUAUGUUAUUAGAAUGUUAUUUUAUUAAAAAGUCCCAUCUUGAAAAGUUGGUUAUAUAAAAAUUUGGUUAGGUUUUAAAUUUUUCGGAACAUAUUUCAUGAUAUUAGAAUGCUAUUUCAUUGAAAGUCUCAUCUUGAACAUUUUGAUUAGGUUUUAAUUUUUCUAGUUACUAUUCAUCUUAUCAAAAUGCUAUUUUCUUAAAAGUCUUAUCUUGAAAAUUUUGGUUUGGUUUUAAAUUUUCUAGCUAUCAUUCAUGGUGUUAGAAUGCUAUUUUAUUAAAAAUCUUACCUUGCAAAGUUUGAUAAUUUUAACGUUUAUAGGUUAUUCCCAUACUAUCAAAAUUUUCAUGUUUCAAUGAUUAGUUCUUAGGGUUUUUUUAUAUUCUCUAUUUAUUAUGCAUGUUAGUUGAUUGGGUUAUUGGAUUAAAUUGGCAAUGGUAGUUUUUAGGGGUUUUAGAUUCUCUUGUUACUAUGCAUGUUAUUUGAUGGGUUUAUUAGAUUAAAAGUUCUUAUCUUUGGAAACGGUAGUUCUUAGGUUUUUAGAUUUUUCUUGUUAUUAUGCAUGAUUAUUUGAUUGGGUUGUUGAAUUAAAAGUUGUCAUAUUUAGAAAUGGUAGUUCUCAAGUUUCUAGAUUUUGAUGUUAUUAUGCAUAUAAUUUGAUUGGGUCGUUGAGUUAAAAGUUCUCAUCUUUGGAAGAACCAAAUGAAUCAACCCAAGCUCUAAAGAAAAAUCUAAUAAAAAAUUCUUUUGAACUUUAAAAUGGGUUGGAGUUUCCUAGGAAACAAACACACCCACUCUUUGAAUGGAAGAGGAACUCAAUGGAGUUUGUCUGACUGUUGUAGGGGAGGUGUUCCCCUAACCCUAAAAAUCAAUUUUUGGUUCAAAUAGGUAAGAAAACCCUUAGGAAAUGUAAAUUUACAACCACAUGAAGUAUCAUUCUUAAUGCUACUUCAAUUUUGAGUCAAAUAAAUUUGAGUAAAAAUAAGACCAAAAUACCUACCAUGUCCUUGACUAAUUCAAAGGUCAACCUAUUCCAUAUAUUAAUGAACAACAAAUAAAGAAUGCUUGCGAUUUCUCAAAUAAUUCAAAGGCAAGACUUGACUCAAAGGAGUCAAAUGACACAUUAUUUUCUCAUAUGCAUCAUGACAAUAUUUGACACACAGAGUCAAUUGGCAUGUCUAUAUCAAUUUUUUUUUUAGUGCAAAAUGGAAUGGUGGUUAAGAACUUUUUUACCUCUUUAAUACAACUAAUACAAACAAAGCAUAUAUCAAAGUCUCACAAGAAAAAGCAAGGUAAAGCUCAUAAGCUUAUUGUGUGAACAAGUUGACAAAACAUGAAGGCCAAAAGUUUUGGCAUUACGAGGUCCAUUGGGAGGGCCCUACAAAUGCACAUUACAUUUGACCCAAAUUCUUCAAAUUUGCUUUUGAAAAGUUUAUCCAGUUAAAAUGACUACUAGCAUUGAAUAUAAAUUAAAUCAUUUAAGAUUAUCUUUUGCCAAACAUAUUAAUUAUAAAAUAAAAAAUCGUUAUAAAAGUGAUUUAAAAACCAUGCCCUAUCACAUUCUAUUCAUGGAGAAUGAUGUAAUCAUGCAACAACUAAAAAAUCCAAAAAAAAAUUUAAAGUUUUAAAUUUAAAAUUUUAAAGUACAUAGAAAAAUUAAUUCUAGAAACAUGUAUUUCAAUAGUGAAAUUAUCAAAAUUUUAAAAUUACACUGUAACCCUCGAUCUCAUUUCGCAAUUAAUUACUGCAAAAAAAUUUUAUUUUUUUCUUUUUACUUUAAUGUGACAAGUUAAAGAGCAAGUCAUUGUUGUCUUUUAAAAAACGAAAAGAAAAAAAAAUUGACUCAUGGUAACCAACCAUGUCAUAUGAUUUUUCUUUUUUCUUUUUCCUCUCCUUCGUAAUAUCUUUACCUUUCUGUUUCUUAAUUUCUAAUGUGUUGACUUCAUGAAAUCUUUUUAAUUUCAUUUUUCAUUAUUUCAUCUUCUACAUUUAUCGAUUUCAAUUAUUUAUGGAUAUUCUAGACACAAAAUAAAAAUAUAUAAUAAAUAAUUAAUGAAAACAAAUUUAAUAUACAAAUAAAUUCAUAAUGAACAAAUUUAGAAGCUUAGGACAUAAGAUUUUCUAUAUUCCUCCUAAAUAAAAUAUCUAUUUAUUUUAUAAUCUUAUUGCAUUGUCAUAUUAUUUUAUUGUUUAUAUUUUUAAAAAAAUUGUUAAAUUUUUAUGUGAAAGCACCUUUGAGUAGUAAUCAUAUUCAUUUAACCCAAUUAAUUCAUUAAGGUCCUUGGUAAUUGGUUUUAACCAUUUUGUGGCAAGUUUACAUGUUUUUAUCAGCUUAUGAAUCAAUUCAAGCAUGCCAAAUGAUGGAGGAGCUACUUGGACAAGUUAUGGCAAAGCCUUUGGAAGCUCAAAUUCAUGAAGAACCAAGCUUUGGAGCUCCAUAGCCCUUUGCCAAAGUCGUUCAAAGUAUGCAAGGAAAGAACAAUGGAAAAGAGGAAAAGCAAGCAAAGUGAAGAGAAGUAAAGAGGACAGCAGCUGCAAUCUUCUUUCGCACUUUUGGAGUACUUCCCGAAGUCCAUUUUUUACAUAAUAUAUACCAUUUCAAAGCUCUGGAAGUCAAGAAUCCAACGCUUCAAACCGUGUACGAUUUGGAGCUGAAAUGAGGAAGAUAUGGCCUUCGAAAGCCAACUGCUCCAGGUUAUGCGAAAAUUUCGCAUAACACCUUCAAAAUUCGCAUAACCCAUGCGUGUUACGUUUUACACUGAGAAUAUAUACAGAGCUCUCUCGUUUCUCUUUUCUCUUUGCUAUUUUAUUUUCUUGGAAGCCAAACAGCCUCUGAGGGCUUUUCCUCAGAGGAUGAUUGGCUAAAACUUUUAGUUUCUCAAAGUAUGGAUGUUAUGUGAUGACUUGGAUGCAAUCACAUGGAAAUUUCUCGCACCCGGAAGGUAAGGUAGUCGUUUUUCAUUAAAGGUUAAUUAAUGCAAAGUUUGGUUUUUAUUUCCUUUGGACAACUUCCAACGGCCAAUACUUGAUAAGCUUUUGGAUUUCUAUCCAUUAGUUAUCUCCUACGAGCUAUUGGAAGGUGAGGUUUUCAAUUCCAAGUUUUGCAUUAAUCCGUUAGAACCAAUUUCAAUGGCCAUUGAAAGGUGAGUUUAUCACUUGGAAUGACUUUGAGUUGCCAAUAUUUGGUAAGCUUUUGGCUUUAGACCAUUAGUUAUCUCUUACGAGCCAUUCAAAGGAAGUCUAAGGUGAAUAACAAUUGAUGAAAUUCACUACCAUCUGUUUUGCCAUUUUAAAGGAUUAAAACUUGAUUUGCUAAAUCCAUACCGGUUCGGGAAGCAAGCAUCACCAUAGUUGCAACCCCAACUCGAGGAGCCUAUCCUAAGAUUUCCAAUUUGCAUAAGAGCCAGAGCAUAGCUCUCCUAUCUUUGAGAAACUUGUUUUUACACCCUUUCAUUUUAGUCUUUAAUGUUAGCUUAGAUUAGUUUAAAUCUUUCUAAAACAUUUACAUCUUCUUUUAAAGCUAACAUCCAUAAGAAAAUCACCUAUUUUCCUAAUUUGAAUAUCACUAGUGUUUGCGAAAACCCUUCCCAGUGAACGAUCCUAGAACCACUAUGCUAUAGUAGCUUGGCUACUUUAGUAAUAGUAUUCAAGGUAUAAAUUUUGUUGAUACGCCUUUAAAGCUAAGCUACCAUGAGUCGCAUCACAAAGCCCACAAAACUCAAUAUCAGAAGGGAACGUGUGAAGAAACCCAGCAUUUUGGACAACUCCCUCGCCAUAAUCAAAAUCUGAGUCAAUCGCCAUGAAUAAAUGGAAAAGAAUGCUUUCAAUCAACAGCAAAGGCAUACCUUCUUGUCUAUGUAGUCCGCCCAGAACCUGGCCUGAGCUCUCUGGUAUGGGUCACUAGGCAAAAGCGGAGAUUUAUCGCACCAAACCUCAUCAAUAUACUGAACUAUUAUCAGAGACUCACAAAUGGGCUUUCCAUUGUGGAUCAGAACUGGGAUUUUCUUAUGAACUGGGUUCAUCUCAAGAAGCAAAGGGCUCUUCUUCCACAGGUCCUCCUCUCUAUAUUCAUACUUGAGACCCUUCUCUGCCAGGGCAAGUCUGACCCUCAUACCAAACAUGCUAGGCCAGAAAUCCAACAAGAUAAUCUCGUCUGCCAUUGCUACUAAUGUGAUUGAUAAGAUUCAAACUCUUUAAGUAUUGAUGAACAGCACGGGAAAUUGCUGAGUAUUUAUAGCAAAUUUCAGAGAGUGGGUUAAACCCUUGGAUACUUCUAGGAGGUGGUGAUGCUCAUUCCUUAUCUCAGCUUUCAUUUUCAUUUUCCAUUCUAUCUCGGUUUCGUAUCUCUCCAGAAUUUGUGAAUUAUGGAAACGUUUGUUAUGGCAUGGUAAAAUAUAGAAGCGUCCCGAUAGUUGGUUGCUUCCACGUCAUCUCAUUGCUUUGAUCAUUCCACAUCAUCGCUUUCGCCAGCCCUGUCAAUUAAGUACACUGGUCCUCUGCAUAAUUUCCACCACAAAAAUGAUGUUGCAAGGAAAAGAAAUGAUAUUGUAGGGAAAAGAAAAUAGAACUUGUAUAUUUUUAGAUCGACAAGUCACUAUUGGUCCCUUCCUUAGUUCUUAGAUUCCUGAAAUUAAAUAAAUAUUUAAACUUUAUGUGUAUUAUAAAUAUUUAAAAUUUCAGUGGUGAUUGUAUUUUUAUCUAAGAUCUAUUUUUUUUUAAUUUGAAUAAAUUAAGUAUUGUUAAAUAUUUAAAUUUUUUAUAUUUUAAUUAUUAGUAAAUGUUAAUAAAUAUUAAAUAACUGAUCUUUUACAUUACAAAAAUAUUUAUAAAAUAUAAUAUUUUAUUUCUUGUUAAAUUAGUUUGCAAUCCAACACAUUUUUGAAUAUUUAAAUAUCAUAAUUCAUUAACAUAUUAAAAUUUUAUAAUAAAUAAUUAUGUAAUUGAUAAGAAAUUGGUAGUUUGAUAAUAAGUAUAAUUAUGGGGUAUUUGGUAAAACUCAAUAAUUAUUACUUAAUGACUUAAGUUGAUUUUAAGUAAAAUUAUAUUUAAGUUAUUGACUUAAAACUUAUUACUUAAUUUUUAAUUUAAAUAUUAAGGUUGUUUAAUAAAAUUAAUUUAAAAUUUAUUCUAAAUCAUCAAAUUGAUAUACUUACCCCCAUAAAUUAUAAUGAGGAUAAAUGAGAUCGAGUAACAAUGGAAGUUGUAUAAUAACAAAAAAAAUCGUGGAACUAAGAUAAAUGAGGGUAAAAAGAUAAAAUGAAAACAUGGAUUUAAGAAUAAAUUAAUUAUUUUUACUUAUUAGUUAAAGUUGUUUUUUACUUUAAGUCAUACCAUUAAAUUAUUUUACCAAUUAUAUUUAAUUUAUUUAAUAACUUGAAUUAAGUUAUUAAGUUGAUUUACCAAUACCCACUUAGACUUGUUAGAAACUAUUAGAACUUUUCUAAGUUAGUAUAUGUUUAGAUUUGAAGAUUUGUGAUUGAAAUAUGUAUUCUUUUUAAAAUUAAUUCAUUGAUUUUUGGAAUUUUAUCUCCAAAGGAGUAUCAACUUUUAAUUUAUAUUUUUUAAAAUUAUUAAUUCUAAUAAAUAUUUAGAUGAAUGUGAAUUAUGCUUUAGAAUUUUGAUUAAAAAAAAUCUUAUUAGAAUUGCUAACUAUUUUUAUUUUUUAUAAAGCUGAAUUUUUAUUAAAUAUUUUUCGAAUUUAAAUUUUAUGAUUUUUAGUAUAAUUUAUUUUUAUUUUUGAAUGAGUAAUCAAUAAUAAUUUGUGGAAUUCAAUUUUAUUGAGAAUGGGAUAAAUUAUGGGGUAAAAAUAAUGGAAACAUGUGGGGAUUUGAAAUUUUGUAAAUUUAUCUUUUAGCUAUCAAUUUAUGAGAAAAUUUUAAAUCUGAUUUUUCUUUAAAAAAAUGAAAAAUGAAAAUGAAAAAAAAAAACAAACAAAAAAUCAAAUAUAUUUGAUGCUUUUUGUAAAUGACAACUUUGUUAAUUUAUAAUAAAUUUAUUUCUCACUCAAAUUAUAUAAAAUUAACAUAGUUUAACUAUUUUUUAAAACAAGUUAUCUAUUCUUUUUUAAAGGAAUUUAGUUUAAAUUUUUGUGAAAAUUUGUAUUUAAGCAAGUACUCUUAAUUAAUGAUUAAAAGCUUUUUUAUUUUUUACUUUUUCCCCAUAAAUAAUUAAAUAUUAUAAUUAAUCCUAGUUUUUUCAAACUCUUAUAAAUAGGAGACUUGGGUCAAUGAAAUGGAUACCUCAAAGUUAUUUUAGAACUCUAUCUCUUCUCUAAUUCUAGUCUCUCCAAAAGAAAACUCUUAUUAUAAGUUUUUGUAUAAGAUUCAAACACUAAAAGGACAAACUUAUUCUCAUAAAAUAUCUUUUUUAUCAUCUAAAAGGUAUGUGAUAAACUUCUACUUUUAUAUUAUUUUCUAUUUAAUUUAUCCUUUCGAUGAAGAAACUAGAAAAUAUUUUUUUUUAUAGACAAAAAUUAUGAAAAAAAAAUUGCAACUAGAAGUUAUAAAAAAAAAAUGUAAAAUAUGUACAAUUGUAUAGCCAAAGGUUAUAUGAGAAAUUAUAAAGUUAUAAAAAUAUAAAGAAUGACUUACAUGUAAUUUCUAAUUUCUUUUAAUCAUAAUGAUAUAACCAAAUGUUACACAAAACAAAAUUGUAUUGUCAAAAGUUAAAUAAUGAAUAUUUCAUAGCCUAAAGAUGUAUACAAAUUUGCACAUUUUUGUUAUGAUAAAAAUAAUCCAUAGCCAAAAACUAUGUAAGCAAUCAAUUCGUACUUUUUAUUUUGUUAAUGCUACAUGAUGUUCAUGCAUUUUUUUUUUACCAUAUUUAUAAUAAUCCUUUAGCAAUAAAAUAUAACAAAAUCUUAAAUCAUUAUGCUUUUAUUAAUGAAUAUUAACCUGAUAAAAUAUUGUUAGAUAAUUUUAUUCAUUUAUUUUGGUAAAUUGAAAUAUUAUUCUAAUUAAAUUAUUUCAAAUAUAGUUUUCAAAUAAUGUCAAAUCUUACCAAGUUUGAGUUUGUUACAUUCCCUAUUUCGGGCAAAACUAUUUAUCUAGAUUCUAAAUGCUAAAAUUCACCUAAACGAUAUGAAUCUUGAAUAGACCAUUAAAGAAUAAAAUGAGGCAUCCUCACAAGAUCGCACUAGAGCAUUAAUAUUCCUUCAUUAUCACAUUGAUGAAGGAAUAAAAGGUGAAUUCCUUACAAUCAAAGAAUUUUCAUUCUUUGAAAUAAUCUAACGGAAUGAUACUUUGAUCCUUUGGAAUAAUAUAACAAAAUGAUAUGGCCACCACGAGAUUAUAAUCCUUCCAAAAGAACAUCAUGAUUGGAUGCACUUGAGAUUACAAAAUUUCAAGUUUGUCAAUGACCACAACUCGACUUUAUUCAAAAGUUGUUCACAAUUUAUAUGGAGAAAAAAUCAUUAAAGAAUAUAUCCUUGAAAAGACAUUUACUAUUUUCCAUGCCUCGAAUGUACUCCUAUGGCAACAAUAUCAAGAGCAUAAUUUCACUAAAUAGUUUGAAUUAGUUUAAUGUCUUCUUAUGGCUAAACAAAAUAAUGAACUUCUACUAAAGAAUCAUCAAUCUCAUACUAUUAGGUCUAUGUCAUUGCUUGAAGAAAAUGUCACAUCCGUCCAAGCUCCUAGACAUUGAGUUGGACUUGGACAUGAACAAGGCUAAGGACACAGUCAUGGUCGUGGUAAACAUAAUUCUUGGUACCAUGGUAAUUAUAGUCAUUAGAAUAGAAAAAACAAUUCAAACCAUUAGAAGUGGAAUAAUUCAAAGGUACAACCUAAAAAGGAUAUAUAUAUAUAUAUAUAUAUAUAUAUAUAUAUAUAAUCACAAAACAAACAUGAUAGUAAGAAUGAAUGCUAUAGAUAUGGUAUGAAAAGACACUAGUCAUGUACCUAUCAUAUUUCCAUAUGUUAAAAAAAUUGUACAUAGGUUUUAGAAAUGCCCAAUCGGGUAAGGGAAAGCCUCAAACAUUCCAACACUUCCUUAUGUUAAUAUUUAAAUCCUAAUAAGGAUGUAUAUUGUCAUGGUUCACCUUAAAAAAAUUGCAUGUAUGUUUCUUAAGGAUGUAUGUAGGAUUUAGAAAUGACCUACGACGAACAGGAAGGCCUCAAAUUCAUUAUGAGGCUUCUAUAAUUUAAUAUUUAGACCCAAAUAAGAAUGACUGGAACUAUGGUCCACCUUAAAAGAAAAGGUUUUUUUUUUUUUUUUUUUUAAGAAUUUACAUACUUUUCUUAAGAAUGUAUGUAUUUUUCUUAAGGAUGUACGUAGACUUUGAAAAUAACCAACGAGGAAUGGGCAGCCUCAAAAUUAUUACAAGGCUUCCAUAAAUUAAUAUUAAAACCUAAAUAAGGUGAAAUAAGGUCACAAUCUGCUUUUAAAAAAACGCACAUAUUUUGUUUUUUUAAGAAUGUACAUGUUUUCCAUAAAAAUAUAUGUAUUUUUUCUUAAGAAUGUUCUUAAGGUUUAGAAAAACCUAACAAGGUAAGGAAAGACCUCUAAUUCAUUCUCAGGCUUCCAUAAGUGAAUACCUAGACCUAAAUAAGGUCAAAUAGGAUUAUAGUCUUAAGAUAGAGUUCUUAAAAGCAUAACAUGGUGUAUUAAAUUUGAAAUUCAUUAUUUAUUUAAUGAUGUUCCCAUUUCACUUUUAUCUAUCUUUAUUCCAUGUAUUAUAUUUUAUGAGAAGUCUUGUCAGCAUCUUUUGCAUUGUACAUGACUUAGGUGCAUUAAGAGUUGCACAGAAGAUCUUUAAGCCAUGGGUUCCUUGCAAAUAAUUGACUUGUUCACAACCAGUUUAUGGGUCUAGGCAACCCAUUAGAAGUUGUAGUGCACCACCUCUUAAUUAGAGGGAUGGUUGGUCUCCGUUAUCGGGAUGAGUUUCCCAUGGUGAGUACACUACUGUGUAUGAUUUACACAUUAGACAAGACCUACGAUGAGUCAUGACUUAAUACUAUCAAGUAGUCAUGACCUCACCAAGCUACUUCAUUGUGUUAUCUCUCAACCUUGAGAGAAUAUCGAGAAAAUUAGCAAUGAAUUUUACCUAUGAGUGAGAUUGUAAGUUGAUCAUAUAUUCCCUAUGGAUUGGGUCACUGUUGAUGGAAGUCAGUAACAAUAGGUAUUCUUAAUAGACACCAUGAUAUCUCAUGGGAUUGAGACAACAUGUCCCCUUGGGUGAUCCUAAGGGGAUGUGUUCAUGGAAACUAUGGCCAUAAUAGUUCCUUAAGUAGAACUUGACAUAGGCUCUUUGAGAGCUAAGACAUGUCAAUUGAAUAUACAAUAGGAGGAUUCGUAACUCAAGGAUAGUAGAGGUAGUCUUGAAAGGUUGAUAGCUUUCACCUUGUUAGGCUAGAACACCAGUUCAUGGGGAGACUGAACACAAUGGAUACUAGGUCACAGACCCGAGCACGUAGUGUCUCGUUGUUAUUUACAUAAGAUAUUGGAGUUUAGUUUAUUCUUUGUAAUAAGAUGUUGAAUCAACUUCAUAAUUGGAUCCUGAGGGAGUUAGUACUCUUAUAGAUCCUAAUGGUCCCUGCUCUGAGCUUAUAUAUCUUUUUGGCAUAGUUAUGAGUGUCGAAUUGACUCUAGGUUCACUUUUGUGCAUAAGGGCAUUUUGGUAAUUAUGCAAGAUUGCAUAAGGGUAAGUGAACAAAGUCUCUAGAUUGAGCUAAUUAAUUAAUUAGUAGGCCCUAUUGGGUUAAUUAAUCAAUUAGGAUCCAUUUUGGGCUAAAUUAAGUUACCCAAACCCAUGUGGGCUCAAGUCACUUAAGCCUAGUUAGGAACCCUAUAAAUACCCCCUAGGGGUUAGAGUCUUCAUCACUUUUGUCUUCCACCAUUUAGAGAGAAAGAGGGCAAUAGCCUCCACCUUUCUUUCUUCCCUAUCGAAAGUGUGCCAAGAAUAAAGUUGAGUCAUUAGGCAAAAGACCAUGGGUUUACAAGACUUCCAACAACUUCAAUGUCAUCUUCAACACUUGGAAUUUAAGGUUUGAAAUAUCCAAACCUAAAGGUUGCACUUUAACCCUAAAGAUCAAUUUUAAAAAAUAAAUAAAUAAAUUGGUAUUGUUUCCAUUCCUUAGAUCUACUAUGCCAAUACACAAUUCGCUUGAAAAAAAUGUAAGUAUUUUCUUCAAAAUAUAUAUAUUUGUUAAGAAUGUAUGUAUUUUUGUAAAAGAUGUACCUUAGGUAGGGUUCCACCAUGUUAAAUGAGGUUUGGGAAGCUCUCAAAUACAUUUCGUAGAGUACAUAAGCCAAAUCUUAGACCCAAAUGAGUGUGAAUCUAUCAUGUUAAGUUGAAAUCAAAUGUACAUAUUUUUCUUAAGGUGUUAUAUUUUUCUAAAAAAUGAACUUGUGAGUGUUUAGCUAGGUUGGAAAUUCCAAAAAAAAUUCCAAAGGGUCCCCUAACUUGGUUUACCAAUCCCUCUUUGGACUACUUGACCUUUGAAGAUUAAGACUUUGCUAAGAGGUCGAGGUAUGUAGCUGAAUCUAUGGUGAUUGAAUGUGAAUCAACCCUAUUUUUUCAUUUUUAAAUGAGUAAAGAAAGCUAAGAGAAAUAUUGUUGGUGCAAGGCUUUUGUUCCCUUGUUUCUGGAUCGAUCCAGGUAUAGGGGCAAAUCGAUCCAACUAACCUGUUUUUCAGAUCAAUUUUCAACAUUUGGAUUAAGGUUUCACUCUCAUUUAAAAUCAAAUCUCCCCCAUUUUUGGAAGUGGUGACUGUAGUAUCCGUGAGAGAGUUUUUUCUUUCCUCACUAUUUAGAGGGUGUUUACCUAUGAAGAAAAUCCAUCCAAGUUUUCCAAGAAUUUUUUUUUAAAAUGGAUUUUCUGAAAAUGAACAUGGGUUGAUUUCUAAAACAUUCAUAUCUCGUUCUCUUGGUUUUGUGCAAAAACCCAUUUUCUUCUUGUCUAAAUUCAAGAGGAAAUCGAGCUUGGUGCCAAACUCCAAGUGUGCCCCGAAAGAAGAAGCUAAGAAGCUGAAAAUGAAUGUACUAGUCAAGUGGUUUGGGAAAGAUUGGUUGGUUUGAGCAAGGUAAAACUUUGUAUUCAGAUUUUAUUUUUCAUAGUGGAUGUUUUCAAUCAGUAAUAGGCCCAUGGUUUUUUAUCUCUUCGGAGAUUUUUCAUGUAAAUUUAUGGUGUCUCAUUGUCUCUCUUUCUCUUCUUAGCAUCAGUUUUCAGUUUCAACAAUUUAUUAUAAUUUUGAUUGUCUACUAUUUGAUUGAAUGAUGAAGAGAAAUGACUAUGAAUCAUCUUUGAAGCUGUUUCUAAUUGUUAAUCAUUGAUAUUUUGAGGUAUAUUGAUCUUGCUUUUAUCAGAAUUUAGUUUAAGUUGAUUUGGGUUUGGGAGCGUUAGAUCAUGUGCAUGUGAAUUACAUUUGAAUAUUGUUGGGGAGUGUUGUUGCAUUCAUAUAUGCAUGUGAUUUAUAAUUUGUGUUUUUGAGAUUGUGUGAAGAGAAGAAAAAUAUUAAAAAAGUUUUAAGGUUUUCUAAUUUGAGUUGAGAUUUUGUUUAAUUAGUCAAAACACCUAUUCAACCUCCCUUAGGUGUAUUCUAUUGAGAUUCACCUUUUCAAUUGGUAUGAGAGAGGGUUUUUAAAGCAAAAAUCAUUUUCAAUCCUUAAAUCUCAAUCAUGGAAUCUCAUUAAGAGGGAGCUUCCAUUAGGAGACCACCAUUCUUAACCAGUGAAAAUUAUUCUCAUUGAAAAGUGAGAAUGCAAUAUUUUCUCAAAAUGCAAAGUGACAAAAUUUGGAAUGUCGUUGAAUUUGGUUAGUCUCCACCUAAGGUGUUAGAUAGAGAAGGUAAACUAACAAAUGUUAUCAAGCCAAAAUUGGAAUGUGAUAGAAGUGAAAAUGAAGCAAGUGAGAAUAAAGCUAGAGCCAUGUACUCCAUCUUCAAUGCCAUUAGUACGAAUGAAUUUUGUAGGAUUGCCACAUGCACUUUGGUUAAAGAAGGCUUAGGAUAUCCUCCAACUGACUCAUGAAGGAACUAAUGUUGUGAAAAUGUCCAAGCUUCAAAUGUUGACAUCUAGGUUUGAGACCAUUAGGAUGAAUGAUCAUGAAACUUUUGGAGAAUUUCAUGCAAAAUUGAUGGAUAUAGUGAAUUCUAACUUCAAUCUAGGUGAAUCCAUCUCUAACUGUAAGGUGGUUAGAAAAAUUUUAAGAUCUCUUCCAGAUAGAUUUAGAGCUAAGGUUACCGCCAUUGAAGAGUCUAAGGAUGUGGAUUCCUUGAAGAUAGAUGAACUUGUAGGUUCUCUCCAAACCUUUGAGAUGAUGCUUGUAUCACCUAGAAAAGCUAAGGGAAUUGCUUUAAAAGCUAUUAAAGAAGAGUCCCUAAGUUCCGAAAGUGAGGAUGAUGAGAAAAUGUCAAAGGGUGAGCUUACUAAGUUUACUAAAAAAAUUAAGAAGUACAUGAAAUUCAAAAAAUUCAAGAAAGAAUCAAAUGAUGGUAAAAAUGGAGGAACUCUAUUAGAAAAAAAAAAAAGAAUAUGGAGAAAUGUGUGAAAAAAGAGUUGGAGAUUGAGUGCUUUAAAUGUGGAGGAAAUGGGCAUUAUGCCGCCAAAUGUCCCUCAAAGAAAAAAAAAAUGAAAGAAGGUCAUGCAAGUCACUAGAAGCAACAUAGAAUCUUGGCAAUCAAGUGAAAAAGAAUCCAAUGGAAGUGAAGAAUACACUAACUUCAUAGCCUUUGCUGCAAGUGUCAAUGAGAAACCACUUAAGAAAGAGGUCUUAAGUGAGUCGUGAGUCAAGUGACUCCAAUGAUGAUGACAUGAAUUUUGACACAGCAUAUGAGACUUUGUAUAAGGAGUGCUUGAGCCUUAAACAAGACCAAGUCAAGUGGAAGGCUUCUAAGAAUAUUCUAAUCAAUGAGAUUGAUGUCUUGAAGGGAGAAAAGAAGGCUUUGCUUGACAAAAUUGGAUUUCUUGCAAAUGAACACUUGGAAGUGAAAAAAAAAAUAUUAUGUAUUGAAAAGUGAAUCAAAUGUUCAAGGAUGAGUUUAAGUCUUAAGAAGGAAGAAUCACAUCCUAGCUCUAAGAGACUUAAUGAGUUUAUCAAUUUAGGGCGUAAAUCUUUUGAUAAACAAGGCUUAGGAUUUGUUGAUGCAAAUACUACUCCAAGUAGUGGUAAAACAAUUUUUGUUAAGCCUUGUGAAAAAUAAUAUCCUAAGAAAACUCAUUCUCAAAUCAAGUUUCAUUGCAAUCAUUGUGGCAAAAUGGGGCACACUUUUGAUAGAUGUUGUGCAAGAUUGUUUGAUAAUUUUCAAAGGAAGUUGACCAACCUAAUGAAUGAAUGUUAUUCUUUGAAGAAUAGGUUAUUGAAUGAGAACAAGAGAGUGUCCAAGAAGUGCUCAAAGAUCCCUCAUAAUGGUGAGUUGAAAGGAAGCACUUUGAAUGAAAAGACAAGUCUCAAAUGUUAAACAAAUUUGGGUGUGAAUGAAUGAGUUGAAGUGUUUUGUUGUCCAUACCGCACUUAGAGCUAGUGAGUCACACUCAUGGCAUCUUGAUAGUAGAUGUUCACAUCAUAUGACUAGAAAUAAAUCUUUGUUCACUUCAUUCAUUGAAUUUCAUGGAGGAAAUGUGACAUUUAGAGAUGGUAAUGUGGCUAGGGUGAAAGACAAAGGUACCAUUUGUGCCCCUAACAUUCCUAAUCUUGAAGAGGUCUUAUAUGAAGGUUUAAAGGCUAACUUAAUUAGCACAAGCCAAAUGUGUGGGAAUGAGUUCAAUGUAAAAUUUUCACAAACUUUUUGCAAGGUGUUUGACUUGAAUGAUGUAUGUGUGAUAAUUGGCUUGAGAACUUGUGAUAAUUGCUAUGUUGUUAGUAAAAAAUCUCCUUCAUCCUCUUCUCUCGUGUGUAGAAGUUCUAAAAUUGCAUAUGUUAAUCACUUGUUGCAACAUAGAUUGUUGCAAAAUGAAAAAGAGCAUCCCAUUGUAAAAGUUAGGAUUGGUGGGGGGGAUUUGAUGAUGCCAAUGUUAUUGAUAGGCUAAAGAACCAUGUUCUUCAUUAUAGACAAAAAUAUGUGGACAUUAAGCAUCACUGCAUUCAAGACUUGGUAGAAGACAAGGUUGUUUACAAGAGGUUUACCCUAUAGAGAGUCAAAUUGCUAACAAUGUUACUAAACCUUUGGACAUUUCUAGGUUUGAAUCACUUAGGAACCCCAUAGGUUUAUAUACUCUCUGUUUAACUACCUCUAGAACUUGUCUAGGACUCCUCUUGCAUAUCCUUGAGUCCUAGUUGUCUUCCUAAGUUCCCAAAUAUCAUCAACUUGAUGUUCUUUUUGUUUUGGUUCAAUAUUUUCUCCAUUUUUCAUAAAUUUUCAACAAUUGUUGAGUUCAUGAGAGUGAUAUGCUUAUUCAUUUUGUUUAAAAGUUAAAUUAAAUCAUAAUGAUCUUAAAAGCUUCAAGAUGUAUUUAUCUUCAUGGCUUGUUUGAUAAACAUGAUAUUGAAUCCUUGCUAUUUUGAUUUGGUUAGAUAAACUACAAAUGAUUAGCUUCAUUUCUAUUAAGUGAGUAAGAGCUCAUUGUUGGACCUUGUGUUUGCAUAAUGGUGAAUAAUGCACUUUAAAGUCUAAAUGUAAACUUAUACCCAUUUAAUGAGCUUUAAAGAGUGAGUAAAGACACCUGGAAUAUCCUUGAGAGGUUGAGAUGAUCAAUCCUUGAUUGUUUGUCCUCUCUUUGAAAUUAAAUUUGUUUAAAAAUGAAAAAGAAAAGAAAAAGAAAAUAUGAAGUUUCCCGAAAUGGAUAUGGCUAUGUGGAAAUGUUUCAAGAAUUAAAAAGCCUCAAUUGCAAGAGUGGGACAUCCCUUAUGUUGUUAUGUUGUAAAGGCAUCCUUCGAGAUCCUCAAGUCAAAAAUUGAUCUUAAGGGUAAAACAUAAAGCUUUGUAUUACUUUCAAUGCUAAAUGUGAAAAGCAAAUAGUGUAUGAAUUUUAUUAAAGGGAUGUGAUUAGGUCAUGUUAAACAGAAAUCUAGCCAAGAGAGAUGCAAAUUGACUUUGAUUACUAAUCAAAAAGUACUCUUUUAUAGCUUGAAACUAACUGUUUUAAACACUUUUUGAGUAGUAGUUAAUACCGUUUAACUCAAUUGGCACAUUAAGGAACCUAGCAAGGGUUACUAAUAAGUUUUUCGCAAGUUUUGGUGUUUUUUGUAGCUAUUUGAUCAUUGAAACAAGCCAAGAAUGAGGAAGAAUUUUGUGAAAUCCAUGGCAAUGUAAGUUAAAGCUCAAAUACAUGAGGAAUCCAAGCUUUAGAGCACUUCAUAGCCCUUUGCCAAGCCAAUCAAAGAUGUAAAGAAGAAAACCAGAGGAAGAAAUCCAACAACCAGCAUUUCCGCAUGGUUGUGCGAAAUUUCGCACACCAUGCAAAACCACUUGAGGCAGCCAAAGAAUUUCGCACAACAUGCGAAAUUUCGCAUGGUAUGCGAAAUCUUCCUGUGCACCGACUCCGUUAGAUUUUUAUCUCUAGAUAUUUUGUGUAAUUUCCUAUUUUCUCCUUGUAAUCAACUUCGAUAUUUUCAUAUAUAUUUUUUUAUAUAUUUGGUGUGUGUAACAUCUUUUGAUAUAGACACACAGGGAUGUAAUCAGAGAACACUUGUAAAUUCCCCUUUAUAAGAAAUAUACAGAGCUUUUGCUCUACCUUUUCAUCUCAUUUUGUUUUCACUCUUCUUUCUAGCCAAACAACCUCUGAGGAUGAUUUAUCAAGGGAUGAGUGGCUAGGUUUUACGUUUCUUGGAGUGAUGGAAGCUAGGUGAAGGACCCGAAUGCAAAGAUGGGAGUUGUCCUUGCUUUAAAUGAAAGUAGUUGUUAACCAUUAAUGGUUUUUAUUUUAAGAUUUAGCUUUAAAUCCCUUAAAAGCACCUUGAAUGGCCAAUACUUGGUAAGCUUUUUGGAUUCUAUGGAUGCUUAUUGCUAGAUCCAUGGAUGUCUAUUAGUUAUCAUUUAUGAGCCAUUGGAAGGUGGUUCAAAGUGAGAGUCUUUAGUGUUUCAAGCCAUUAAUGGGAAGCAACUAUUAUUUUUCAUGAACCCUUUGGAUCAAAUCUUAAUAUCUAAAUAUAAAACCGGUUCGGGAAAUAACCAUCCUUUAUAUUAUUGUCCCCAAUGUGAUGAGAAGAUCCGGAAUCUCCCCCUUUGUCUAAGGAACCCGAUCCUAGUGACCUAAAGCUCUAAGAGACCUUUUCUUUGUAGUUAACUUCACUUAUUAUUUUUGCUUAACUUAAAAUCGAUCUUUGCAAUCACAAUUCCAUUUUCUUUAAAAGCUAAUUUUCAUAACGAAAAAUAUUAUUUUAUUUCCUUCACUAAAGUCAAUUGUACAAUGAAAACCCAUCCCUGUGGACGAUCCUAGAGCCACUAUACUAUGUUAGUUAUGCUACCCCAGUGUGAGGUGAUUUAGGUUUUAUAAAUUUUGUUGAUAACACCUAUCUGAGCCAGAGUCAAAUGGCAUGACUACAAUGGGGAUGAAUCAAAUGGCACCGUUGCCAGGGAGAUGAUGCCAAAGUACAUUGACAUGACUUUUGGUGAACACUUGUGAUCUUCAUCACAAGUUUGGUGAUUUUUCUUUUACUAAUUCUUUUUCUUUAUCUCUAUUUUAGCUUAUCUUUUAUUUAGUUUUCAGCUAACCUUAACUUUUUCCUACAAUUGUAUUUCUUUUGUUUUCUGUGUUUUUGUUUCAGUAAUUUUUAGUUGUGCAUGCCUUAUUGGAUAAGAGAUAUUGAGGGAAGACUUGUGAAGAUUGAAACUCCUCAAGAAACUGAGUUGGAAGUGUGCUUGAACAUCAUGAAUGUUCCACCUAAAGACCAAAAUAGCCAACAUGGUCAAGAGGAUAAUUUCAACGCAUACCGAUCCAUGAGGGAUCACAUGCAUCCACCUCGUAUGAGUGCACCAUCAUGCAUAGUGCCUCCCAUUGAGCGACUAGUAGUCCGACCUCACAUUGUGCCACUCUUACCUCCUUUCCAUGGGAUGGAAAGUGAGAAUCCCUACUCGCAUAUUAAGGAAUUCGAGGAGGUUUGUAAUACAUUCCAAGAAGGAAGAGCUUCAAUUAACUUGAUGAGGCUCAAGCUAUUUCCUUUCACCUUGAAGGAUCAGGCCAAGAUUUGGCUUAAUUCUCUAAGGCCAAGGAGUAUCCAAACUUGGACUGAUUUGCAAGCCGAGUUUCUCAAGAAGUUCUUCCCUACUCAUAGGACUAAUGGUUUGAAAAGGAAAAUUUCAAAUUUCUCGACUAAGGAGAAUGAGAAAUUCUAUGAGUGUUGGGAGAGGUACAUAGAACCUAUUAAUGCUUGUUCUCACCAUGGCUUUGACACAUGGCUCUUAGUGAGCUAUUUUUACGAUGGUAUGUCUUCUUCAAUGAAGCAACUCCUAGAAACUAUGUGUGGAGGAGACUUCAUGAGUAAGAAUCCGGAGGAAGCCAUGGACUUUUUGAGUUAUGUGGCUGAAGUUUCAAGAUGAUGGGAUAACCAAACGCUAGAGAAGUGGGAAGAAUGAAGUCUCAACCUAAUGCUAAGGGUGGGAUGUAUGUUUUGAAUGAAGACAUUGACAUGAAGGCAAAGGUUGCAGCUAUGGCAAGGAGAUUGGAAGAGCUAGAAAUGAAGAAGAUAUAAGAAGUGCAAGCUAUUUCUGAGACACCAGUGCAAGCUAUGCCUUGUUCCAUUUUUCAAUCUUAUGAGCACUUGUUGGAGGAGUGUCCUACAAUUCCAGCAAUGAGAGAAAUGUUUGGAGAUCAAUCAAAUGUUAUUGGUCAAUUCAAGCCCAAUAACAAUACUUCAUAUGGCAACACCUACAAUUCAAAUUGGAAGAACCAUCCAAAUUUCUCUUGGAAACCAAAGCCACCGCAGUACACACAACCUGCUCAAGCACCUCGGCAAGCCUCGAAUCUUGAACAAGUUAUUGUGAACCUUUGCAAGGUUGUGGGAGACUUUGUGGAAGAUCAGAAGUCCAUCAAUGCUCAACUAAAUCAGAGAAUUGACAGUGUGGAGAGUACAUUGAACAAAAUGAUGGAUGGGAUGCAAAAUGAUCUGUCUCAGAAGAUAGACAAUGUCUAAUACGCAAUCUCAAGGCUUACCAACCUCAACACAGUGCAAGAGAAAUUAAAGUUUCCUUCUCAACCUCAUCAAAAUCCCAAGGAUAUCCAUGAUGUGGAGGCUCAAGAGGGAGAAUCUUCAAAGGUAAGGGAAGUCAAAGCAGUUAUCACCUUAAGAAGUGGUAAAGAGGUUGAUCUGCCCACAUCCAAGCCAAAGCAUGACGAAGAGAGUGUAGCAGAAAAAGAAAAGAGUGGAGAAAAUAAAGGAAAGAGAAAAGGGAAAAGUACAAAGAAAGAUGACCAUGAGUCUAGUGUGGAUGAAGAACUCGAGAAGAAAGUGAUCAAGGAAGAUAUGAUGAAGAAACACAUGCCUCCAUCUUUCUCCUAAGCUUUGCAUGGCAUAAAGGGAACCAAUAAUGCAUCAGAAAUUUUUGAAGUGGUGAGGCAAGUGAAGGUCAAUAUCCCUUUGCUAGACAUGAUCAAACAAGUGCCGACAUAUGCAAAAUUCUUGAAGGACUUGUGCACUAUAAAGAGAGGGUUAAAUGUGAACAAGAAGCCUUCUUGAUUGAGCAAGUGCCAUCAUACAGUGCAAGUCUCCAGUGAAGUACAAAGAUCCGGGCUGCCCUACCAUCUCAGUGAGUAUUGGAGGGACUUGCGUGCAGAAAGCUUUGUUGGACUUAGGAGCAAGUGUAAAUUUGCUACCCUACUCUGUCUAUAAGAAGUUGGGACUUGGAAAGUUGAAGCCAACAUCCAUCGCUCUAUCUCUAGCAAAUAGAUCAAUGAAGAUUCCAAGAGGGAUGAUCGAAGAUGUCUUGGUUCAAGUUGACAAAUUCUACUAUCCAGUGGAUUUUGUUGUUCUUGAUAUGGAUCCAAUUGUCAAAGAAACUAAUUAUGUUCCUAUCAUACUUGGAAAACCAUUCCUAGCUACAUCAAAUGCAAUCAUCAAUUGUAGGAAUGGAGUCAUGCAACUCACGUUUGGCAACAUGACAUUGGAGCUCAACAUCUUCCAUUUGUGCCAGAAACAUAUCCAUCCGAAAGAAGAAGAAGGGUUAGAGGAAGUAUGCAUGAUUGACGCUUUAGUGGAGGAGCAUUAUGAUCAGAGAAUGCAGGAGGAUUUGAUUGAGAGUUUUAGGGAUCUUGAUGAAGGGUUACCUGAACCCUUAGAUUUGCUUGCUACCCUGCUCCCUUAGAGGAGAAGAGAAGAAAUUCUACCCUUAUUCAAUGAGGAGGAAACGCAAAGAACUGCUAAGGAGGAGUUCUCAAAGCUUAUUCUUAAGCCACUACCCACAGAGUUGAAGUAUGCAUACUUGGAAGAAGACAAGCAGUGUCUUGUUGUUAUAUCUUCAGAUCUUACCAUUCAUCAAGAGGAUUGUCUACUUGAAGUCCUUAGAAGAUGUAAGAAAGCAAUAGGCUGGCAAAUUUUUUAUUUGAAAUGGAUCAUCCCUUUAGUCUGCACCCAUCAUAUUUACAUGGAGAAUGAAGCUAAGCCAAUUUGUCAACCUCAGAGAAGGUUGAACCCUCACAUGCAAGAGGUGGUGCGAGUUGAAGUCUUAAGCUACUUUAGGCCAGUAUUAUUUACCCUAUAUCAGAUAGCCCAUGGGUGAUUCCUACUCAAGUUGUGCCAAAGAAGUCUGGGAUCACGGUGGUGCAAAAUGAUAAGAGAGAAGAUGUCUCUACGCGCCUCACUAUAGGUUGAAGGGUGUGUAUCGAUUACAGGAGGUUGAAUGUAGUGACAAGAAAGGACCAUUUCCCAUUGCCCUUUAUUGAUCAGGUACUUGAAAGGGUCUCUGGGCAUCCUUUUUAUUGUUUCUUGGAUGGCUACUCCAAGUACUUUAAGAUAGAAAUUGAUGUUGAAGACCAAGAGAAGACCACUUUCACGUGCCCAUUUGGCACCUAUGCAUAUAGGAGAAUGCCUUUCGGCCUAUGCAAUGCACCUGCAACUUUCCAAUGAUGCAUGUUAAGCAUUUUCAGUGAUAUGGUGGAGCAUAUUAUGGAAGUCUUUAUGGAUGACAUCUUCAUAUAUGGAAGUGCAUUUGAUUAAUGCUUAGUCAACUUAGAAGUUGUUAUGAACCGAUGCAUUGAGAAAGACUUAGUGCUUAACUGGGAGAAGUGUCAUUUCAUAGUACAAUAAGGGAUUGUCCUUGGGCACAUCAUCUCCAAGCAAGGCAUUGAAGUUGACAAAGCAAAGGUUGAACUCAUUGUCAAGUUGCCAUCCCUAACAAAUGUCAAAGGAGUAAGGCAAUUCCUUGACCAUGUCGGGUUCUAUAGGAGGUUUAUCAAGGAUUUCUCUAAGCUUGCAAGGCCUCUUUGUGAAGUAUUGGUGAAGGAUGCUAAAUUCAUAUGGGAUGAUAGAUGCCAAAGGAGUUUUGAAGAAUUGAAGUUAUUUCUAACAACCGCACCAAUAGUGAGGGCUCCCAACUGGAAACUGCCCUUUGAGGUAAUGUGUGAUGCCAGUGACUUUGGAAUAGGAGCUGUUCUUGGGCAAAGAGAAGAUGGAAAACCCUAUGUGAUCUACUACGCGAGCAAGACAUUGAAUGAGGCGCAAAGAAACUACACAACCACCAAGAAAGAAUUGUUAGCUGUAGUUUUUGCUUUGGAUAAGUUUCGUGCUUACUUGGUGGGGUCCUUCAUUGUGGUUUUCACUGAUCACUCUGCUUUGAAGUAUUUGUUGACUAAGCAAGAUGCUAAAGCAAGGCCAAUUAGAUGGAUCCUCUUGCUUCAAGAGUUCAAUCUCCAUAUCAAAGACAAGAAAUGAGUGGAGAAUGUGGUAGUAGACCACCUUUCAAGGCUAGCUAUCGCACAUAAUUCCCAUGGUUUGCCCAUCAAUGAUGAUUUUCCAAAGGAGUCUCUCAUGUUGGUGGAAGUUGCUCCUUGGUAUGCUCACAUUGCUAACUACCUAGUCAUAGGAAAAGUUCCAAGUGAGUGGAAAACACAAGAUAAGAAGCACUUCUUUGCAAAAAUUCAUGCCUACUAUUGAAAAUAGUCAUUUCUAUUCAAGUAUUGUUUCGAUCAAAUAAUAAGAAAGUGUGUUCUUGAAAAAGAGCAACAAGGGAUCCUCAGUCAUUGCCAUGAAAAUGCAUGUGGAGGCCACUUUGCUUCUCAGAAGACAACCAUGAGAGUAUUGCAAUCGGGUUUCUGUUGGCCAUCACUUUUCAAAGAUGCCCACACCAUGUGCAAGAGUUGUAAUCGAUGUCAGAGGCUUGGGAAGUUGACACGCAAGAACAUGAUGCCUUUGAACCCCUUUUUGAUAGUUGAUCUUUUUUAUGUUUGGGGCAUUGACUUCAUGAAACCUUUCCCUAUGCCUUUUGGCUACUCUUACAUCUUGGUGGGAGUAGAUUAUGUUUCUAAGUGGGUUGAGGCAGUCCCAUGCAAACACAAUGACCAUAGAGUGGUUCUCAAGUUUCUCAAGGAGAACAUCUCCUCAAGAUUUGGGGUGCCCAAAGCCAUAAUUAGUGAUGGGAGUACUCAUUUUUGCAACAAGUCUUGUGAAACUCUCCUAGCCAAGUAUGGGGUGAAGCAUAAGGUAGCUACACCUUACCACCCUCAAACUAGUGGGCAAGUUGAGUUAGCAAACAGGGAGAUUAAAAACAUAUUGAUAAAGGUGGUGAACACAAAUAUAAAAGAUUGGUUAGUCAAGCUCCUCGAUUCACUAUAGGUAUAUAGAACAACUUACAAGACCAUUCUCGGGAUGUCUCCUUAUCGCCUAGUCUAUGGUAAAACAUGUCAUCUCCCUGUGGAAUUGGAAUACAAGGCUUGGUGGGCAAUCAAGAAGCUCAACAUGGAUUUAAGCAGUGUUGGGUUGAAAAGGUUCUUAGACCUUAAUGAGAUGGAGGAAUUGAGAAAUGAUGCCUACAUCAAUUCAACAAUUGUAAAAGAGAAAUUAAAGAGGUGGCAUGAUCAGUUGAUUUCCCGCAAGGAUUUUAAAAAGGGAAAAAGAGUCUUGCUCUAUGACUCUAAGCUCCCCAUCUUUCCAAGCAAGCUAAAAUCAAAGUGGAUAGGUCCUUUUACCAUUCACCAAGUUCAUUCAAAUGGAGUAGUGGAACUACUCAACUCCAAUGGCACCAGGAGCUUUAAAGUGAAUGGCCAUCAUCUCAACCCCUUUGUGGAGCCUUUUUCUCGCGACAAGGAGGAAUUCAUCCUCCUUGAUGCACAUCAAGCUUGACAAGACCAGUUUUCUUAACGGACUUAGUCUUUCUAAAGACUAUUGAGUCCAUAUCUUUUUAUUUUAUUUUUUAUUUAAGAGUUUUCCUAUAUUAUUACUUGUUUUGAUUUUGAUUUCUCGUUUUAAUUUUAUUUUAGUUUGAUUUAACUUAGGUUUUUGAUGAUCAAUUGCAAAAGGGGCCUCAAAGCAGUUGGGUGUGUCCUUAAAGACUUCAAACAGAGGAAAAACCAAGAUAAUUCAAGCACCCUGCGAAAUUUUUGCAGGGCAUGCGAAAUUAAUGAAUCAUUUUGCAUGGGGUGAGAAAAUUUCGCACACCCUGCGAAUCAAUUUCACACACUAUACGAAAAUGAAAAGACCUUGCUAAAUCAUUUCAAACACUUUGCGAAAUUUUCGCAGAGCAUGCGAAAAAUUUUGCACACCCAACACCGUUUCGAAUGCUGUGCGAAACCCUAAGGGGUCUACAAAACCAUUUCGCACCUCCAAAGCCAUUUCGCACGCUGUGCAAAAAUCAAGAGGCGUUGUGCGAAAACGAAAAGUAGCCUUACUAUCCCUUUUUAAACCCCGAGCUCUAACUUCUCCAUUUCGCAAACACCAAACACCCUGCAAAUCCCUCAUUUUCCUCUACCACCUUGUGACCUCGUCCCUCUCCAUUCAACACCCCGUCCCGCACAUCUCAUUUUGAAGACUCGCACUCUGCGGCCCCUUCGAGCACGGCUCACUUUCCAUUUUCUACAUGGCGCUAACUCGAGGAGCCCUUCCCGCCCCUUCACCGAGACACACUCCGAGGCAGAGAGCCUCCUCUACUUAAGUGCCUAGUGAUUCUCCAUCUUAGGCCGCAGAGGCCUCGUGGAUUCCACCUCCUGAGAAUGGAGUAGCCAUUGGUCCUUCCUCUCCUGCUCCUCAGCGCAAAUAUGAGACAAAGAGACCACCUAUUACACCAAGGGCAACUACUUCGCUCCUUGAGAGUUCAGUAUGAUGUCCUCCUGCCAAGAGAGCCAAGACUUCAGGCCCAAGCGAGUCAUCCAGAGUUUCAUAGCCUAAGGCUCUUGCAGAUUCUGAGGUUCCUUCUGACUUAUCACCGGAGUCUAUUAUCUGACGCCCGAUGCUCACAGCACCACCCAUUAAGGGCAACUCAGAUUGCAGAGCAAGACCUUUCCUCUUGAAGCUAUAUUUUGAUCAAGAGGCCAUGCAACAGCAGCUUGAGCUCCGAGACUCUUACGGCCUACUGUAGAGGUACCACCUUGAGCACCUUAUAACUCUUUGUGAGUUCUUUUAUCCUAGAGUAGCACUAGACUUCUACCAGUCCAUGACUACUCUUGGCGUCCCGAGUCUUACUGUGAUUUACUUCACCAUUGAUGGACAUCAUGGUAUCCUCAAGGCUAGACAUAUUGUAGAGGCUUUACAAAUUCCUUUCAAGCCAGUGGAUCCAUCUGCUUUCCGCCAGUGGUCCUAGUAUCUCAGAGGGACAUGGUCCGCAUUUUAUCCAGGAAGACCUCUACAGAUUCGAUCCUUCUACGGAAGGAGCUUCCACCUAGGAUGCUCCUUGUAGAUAUGGUGCUACGCUCCAACCUCUUUCCCUUACAGCAUUUAGUACAGAGGCGAUGAGCUAUUUUGGACGCUUUAUUCUGUAUAUCGGAGGGCUUCUACUUUGGCCUGUUCCACUUGAUCAUGGCCUCCCUCAUCCACUUUGAGGAGAAGGUCCAUAGGAAGAAGCUUCAAAGGGCGGACACCAUUCCAUUACUAUUCCCGAGGUUGUUGUGCCAAAUCUUGGAGUAUAUGAGCUUUUCUAUUGAGCCUCGGCUCGAGCGUCACCGCCUUUGUCGAGAGUGAUUCACUCUGGACAAAUGGAAUCAAUUGACGGGCUAUUAUGCACCUCUAGGAGCCUUUCCUAUGGUAGCACCUCCAGUGCUCCUAGAACCAGAGCAAGGCGAGCUCCCGACAAAGACUGCACCACCAGUGCCCACACCUGAGGCUACUUCUACUGCUCCGCCUACGACUCUUACUGUUACACCAGUCGCGCCUACUACAUCCGAGCCUUCCAUCACCAUAUCGGCUUUAGAGUUUCGCUCCCGUGUGCAUACUUUUUAGACACUUACCACCACACAUGCUACUCUCUUUCAGCAAAUGGCUGAGAUGCGUGCCCAUCAGGACCAGCAGACUGCUAUACUUCGCCAGAUUCAGCAGCACUUGGGACAUCUACCUCUGCCUCAACCUGACCUUUCUGCAUCAUUAGAGCCUUUAGCUCCAGCUAAGGAUACUAUUCCACCUGAGGACACUACCACAGUAGAGGUCCGGAUUUCGCCACCUCAGAAGGCCACCACAGCUACACCAGAGGAUUCUUCAUUUCUACCUGAGGCUCCCACUACUUGAUCAUAAGAAAUCUCUUUAUCUUAUUGUAUUUACAUAUUAUAUUACUAAAGAUUUGUCCUUGUUUUGAUGCUUUAUAUUCAGGGUUGGAUGUAUUACCUGAUCAUAUCUCAUAUUGUACUUUCUCAUAUUAAUAUAUAGACAUCACAUUUUUUUAUUAUAUUUAAAAUUUUUCUAUUUAUUCUACUUGUCACUCUUUUGUUUUUUGACUCAUGUGGUUUCUCCUAUACGAAUCAGACUCCAUUUCAUUCAGGAGGUACCACUUCCUCCUUUUAUUUUCAAUUGCUCUUGAAACAUUGAGGGCAAUGUUGAUCUCAGUUGGGGGGAGAGUUAAGGAAGGAAUUUUUGUUAAUAAUGCUAGAUUAAUUUGUUAAUUUAGUUACUUUUUGCUUAAUUUUAAAAGUUUUUUACCCUACUCUUCAUGGUUAUUAAGGAAAAGUUCUCAAAAUGAAAUGGGAGAAAUCGAAUUCUUGCAUUUUUACUUGAAUCUUAGAGUUUGUAUUAUGCUUAUUAAAGUUGAUGAAUUAUUGAAACUCCUAUGGAAUUCAACCUUAUUUCUUCCACUUUAAUCUUAUCACACUAUGCACAUUAAGUUCCGAUUAUAAGACGAAAAACUAUCUCACCCCCUAAACUUAGGAAAAUUUCAACUUGGUACAUUUGACUUCAUUUUAAUAGUGUUGGGACACCUUAUAAAAGGCCAAUGAGCCUUCGAAAAAAAAAAAAAGAACAAAGUGUUUCGCUUGCCUUGAAACCCGAGCAAAGUCCGAGGGGUAUACGACGAAAGUCUUUAAAACCCGGUGCCCUAAGCCUUUAUUGGUUGGGAGUCACUGGCCUCAAUGCUCGUUACAAGAGUGAAUAGGUAGAGUUUAACAUAUUGUAGGUGCUUGGGUAUUGAAUUUCAAUCUCAAAAAUCCGGGGAAAAAUAUGAGGAGUUAGAGGUUGAAAAAUCCUUAAAGCUUGAUGCCCUAAACCUUGAUUGGUUGGGAGUCAUCAAUGGAUCCCCAUUACAUGGACACUUUAGAAAACAAUACCUUUAGCAUUGCACUCCUACAAUGAAAAAAAUUGUGAAAUAAAAGAGGUGUGUUCUUAGCCUAUUGGAGGUUGGUCAAGUUGCUAAGGUUUGAGAAAAAACUAGGUUGGGGGAGAGAAUAGUUUGACAUACUAUAAUCAGAAGCUAAUAAGCUUAACACUUAGAUUUUUGUGAAAAAAUAAGGUUUGAAUCUUUGGGAGUGGAAAUUCUUUUGUUGCUUAAAUUUGCAUAAUGCCUACUCUUUAUAAAUUGUAAUUUGGCAGGAGAUUUGAUAACUCUUGUUGAAGGUUGGGUUUUGCAUCUUUGAUGUUCCAUGAGAGAGUAUAAUCUGCAUCAUGCCACUUGAAAAUUUUUUGGAGUGAUUAGCAUGAUUUUGUAAAUUAUUUUACUAUUUAUUUUUCUUUAUCUCUCCUUCAUUGCUAAGGAACUAGCAAUAUGUUGGUUGGGGGGAGUGAUUACUGCUCAAAAAGUACUCUUUUAUAGUUUGAAACUAACUGUUUUAAACACUUUUGAGUAGUAGUUAAUACAUUUUAAUUCAAUUGGCACAUUAAGGAACCUAGCAAGGGUUACUAAUCAAUUUUUCGCAAGUUUUGGUGUUUUUGGUAGCUAUUUGAUCAUUGAAACAAGCCAAGAAUGAGGGAGGAUUUUGUGAAAUCCAUGGCAAUGUAAGUUAAAGCUUAAAUACAUGAAUAAUCCAAGCUUUUGAGCACUUCAUAGCCCUUUGCCAAGCCAAUCAAAGAUGCAAGGAAGAAAACCAGAGGAAGAAAUCCAACAUCCAGCAUUUCCGCAUGGCUGUGCGAAAUUUCGCACACCAUGCAAAACCACUUGAGGCAGCUAAAGAAUUUCGCACAACAUGCGAAAUUUCGCAGGGUAUGAGAAAUCUUCCUGUGCACUGACUCCGUUAGAUUUUUAUCUCUAGAUAUUUUGUGUAAUUUCCUAUUUUCUCCUUGUAAUCAACUUAGAUAUUUUCAUAUAUAUUUUUGUAUAUAUUUGGUGUGUGUAACAUCUUUUGAUAUAGACACACAGGGAUGUAAUCAGAGAACACUUGUAAAUUCCCUGUAGUAAAAAAUAUACAGAGUUUUUGCUCUGCCUUUUCUUCUCAUUUUGUUUUCACUCUUCUUUCUAGUCAAACAACCUCUAAGGAUGAUUUAUCAAGGGAUGGGUGGCUAGGUUUUACGUUUCUUGGAGUGAUGGAAGCUAGGUGAAGGACCCGAAUGCAAAUAUGGGAGUUGUCCUUGCUUUAAAUGAAAGUAGUUGUUAACCAUUAAUGGUUUUUAUUUUAAGAUUUAGCUUUAAAUCCUUAAAAGCACCUUGAAUGGCCAAUACUUGGUAAGCUUUUCAGAUUCUAUGGAUGCUUAUUGCUAGAUCCAUGGAUGUCUAUUAGUUAUCAUUUAUGAGCCAGUGGAAGGUGGUUCAAGGUGAGAGUCUUUAGUAUUUCAAGCCAUUAAUGGGAAGCAACUAUUAUUUUUCAUGAACCCUUUGGAUCAAAUCUUAAUUGCUAAAUAUAAAACCGGUUCAGGAGAUAACCAUCCUUUAUGUUAUUGUCCCCAAAGCGAGGAGAAGAUCCGGAAUCUCCCCCUUUGUCUAAGGAACCUGAUCCUAGUGACCUAAAGCUCUAAGAGACCUUUUCUUUGUAGUUAACUUCACUUAUUAUUUAUGCUUAACUUAAAAUCAAUCUUUGCAACCACAAUUCCAUUUUCUUUAAAAGCUAAUUUUCAUAAGGAGAAACACCAUUUUAUUUCAUUCACUAAAGUCAACUAUACGAUGAAAACCCAUCCCUGUGGACGAUCCUAGAGCCACUAUACUAUGUUAGCUAUGCUACCCUAGUGUGAGGUGAUUUAGGUUUUAUAAAUUUUGUUGAUAACACCCGUCUGAGACAGAAUCAAAUGGCAUGACUGCAAUGGGGAUGAAUCAGACUUAUUGGAACAUUAUCUUGAAUUUCUUUAGGAAGGAAGAGUAUCUUGAAAAUGAUUUUUGGCUCAUAAAUGAAUAUAGGUUUCUAAGUGGAAAUUAUUUAACAUUCUCACCGUUUUAUGGUGUCAUGAGUGAGUUUUUUUUAGCUUAAGCUUCCUUGUUAGAGUGUUGAUAAUCAUUUGUUUUUUACCUAUUCAUUUGAUAAAUUUGGAAAGUACUUCAAUCUCUAUGUUUAUUAAUUUUGUCUAUUGUUAAGUUCUUGGAAGCAUUUUUGUUCAAUGUGAAUCAAUUCUAACUCAUUAAUUGAAAGAUAAGUAUGUCAUCCUAUUGUAUCUCAUCUUUGGUCGAUCAAUUUUCAGUUUUUGGAAAGCUUAUUGGUGUAUUUCUUGUGAUUUUUCGAUAGUUUUUGCCUAAGUCAUUUUUCAAUUGGGUGUCGAUCGAUCUACUGAAUUUGUGGAUCGAUCCAUUGUGUGCACAAUGUAGUGACCGAGAGCCCUUGAAUGAAUCUUGGAUCGAUCCACCAAGAUCGAUACCACCUAGUCCUUGUCUCUCACACACUUAGCCAUUUUUUUCAAAUUUGGUCUAUUCAAACCUAUGUGACUAUGUAUCAUCGAGAGCACAAUUGAAAGCUGGAUCGAUCCACCCAGAUCGAUACCACUUAUGCAUUUGUGAAAAAUUCCAUUUUUGCCCCCAACUAGUUAUACUCAUAUGGUUUAAUGGAUAAGGGGUAUUUUCAUAAUUAAAAGUAAAAAAUUGAAAAUUUGAAAAAGUCAAAAUCCCUAAAUCAGUUUUUCCCAAUUCAUUUCUUUCAAAAACCCUAGGUUUUUUGUUCCAAAGAAGAGAACUUCUCUACUCUAAGCUUCUCUUUAGCCAUCAUUGUCAGUCCAUCAUUCCUACCACUACCAUCAAAAGUCUCUACCACUGGAAACCUUUAUCGUUAGACUUCCCUAUCUGGUGAGCGUUUCAAGUCUGGCCAAUCCCACUAGACAGCCUCGUCAAAUAGCCUAGAAUUGUUGUGUUGCUCAGCUCAUGUCGUCGGCCUGUGUGUCUUUUCUUAAUGCGUCGAUGUUUUAGAAAAUUGUCUUCUACAUAGUAUGUGUUGGCUAGGACCUCCUGUGUGCAUCACUAGAUUGUAUCUUGUGCAAUUAGGAUUUUGUUCCAACAGUUGGAAAUUCCAAUCUGCCCUUAGGACUGUGUUUUUCACCGCACAAUCAACACAACGCAAUCUACACUUCUGGAAAUUGUGUUCUACAUAGCCCAUUUCUCUUGUUUUUUGCUCUACUAUUUUCCAAUGUUCGUGUCUUUAAUGCAACUUAUUUGCAAGAGUUCUCAUUUUUGGCAACCAUUAUUGUUUGAUUUAUCCAUUCUUCUCUCUUCUAUUAGUCUCAUUUGGAUUUUUUAUUUUUUAUUUUUUUAUUUUUUUUAUAGAGUCCUCUCACAAUAGUUUUAAUAGUUUGAGAUUUCAUUUUUGCCUUGGAGUGUUCCUAGUUUCUAGGAAUGCUAAUCCUAGGCUUUGGUUAUUCAUUUUGAGUGGUCUUCAUACAUUUUCAUGCUUGAAAUCUAUUUUCAUGGUGAUAAAGCAUUUUUUGAAAGUUUUUAAUUGAAACCAUGUGAUAGGAUUUAGGAGGAGAUUCUUAUAUCCUGUGAUGGGAGUCAAGGGGAGAUUCUUGUAUCCUAUAUUUUUUUUUUCUAGAAUGUUGAUAUGGAUACUUGGUGAUAUGUGAAUAUUUGAUUUUUGGGUAUUUGACAUUUUUGUUGAAAAGUAGAUGUUUGUUGAUUUGGAUGUGAGAUAUUCUGCUAUUGAAUUCUCAUCCAUUUAUCUUUUUUAUUGGAUAGAAAAUGGGAGAUUAUGACUUUUUGUCUCCUAUUGGGACAAAAAGGAGAAAACAUUUUACAUGGAUGUUGAUAUGACAUGUAGUUGAUCAUGACGGUUUCUUUGUGUUUUGUUGCUUUGGAUAUUUGAUAUGUUGAUCAUGAUCACCUUUUUUGUAUAUCGAUGGAUAUUUGACACGUUUUUGAACUCAUGAAUGCAUAUUAACUAUCUUUAGACAAGUUAUUUUUGUGGAUAUAUGUGGAUAUUUGUGUGUCAAUUCAUUUGAAACUUAUGGAAUUGUCUUGGUAAUAUGUGCAAGUGCUACUAAUGUUUUUUCUUGAGAUUUAUUUACAGGAUUGGUAGUACCUUUGGUUAGGUUUUGAGUGAGUGAGUGAGUGGCCUUGUAUGAGAGUUGGGUGGGACUUACUUGUAUUCAUUCGUGUUGUAAAGGGUUUUGUCCCAGAAUUUCCAAAUGGGGAGAUUGUGAGUGUUUAGCUACGUUGGUAAUUCCAAACAAAAUUCCUAAGUGUCCCUUAACUCGGUUUACAAAUCCCUCUUCAAACUACUUGACCUUUGAAGAUUAAAACUUUGCUAAGAGACCGAGGUAUGUAGCCGAGUGUGUGGUGAUUGAAUGUGAAUCAACCCUAUUUUUUCAUCUUUAAAUGAGUUAAGAAAAUAGGGAGAAAUAUUGUUAGUGCAAGGCUUUUGUUCCCCUUAUUAUGGAUUGAUCUAGGUGCAGGGGCAAAUUGAUCCAACUAACCCACUUUUAAGAUCAAUUUUCAACCCUUAGAUUAAGGGUUUCUUUCUCAUUUAAAAUCAAAUCUCUCCCAUCUCUAGAAGUGGUGACUACAACAACUGUGAGAGAGUUUUUUCUUUCUUCACCAUUUUAAGGGUGUUUACCUACGAAGAAAAUCUAUUCAAGUUUUCUAAGAAAAAAUUUUUAAAAUGGAUUUUCUGAAAAAGAGCAUAGGUUGAUUUUUGAAACAUUCAUAUCUAAUUCUCUUGGUUUUGCGCAAAAACCCAUUUUUUUUCUUAUGUGAAUUCAAGAAGAGGCCGAGAUCGACCUUGGUGUAAACUCCAAGCGUGCUCUAAAAUAAGAAUGUGAGAAAGUGAAAGUGAAGGUACUAGUCAAGUGGUCUGGGAAGGAUUGGUUGGUUUGAGCUAGGUAAAACCUUGUAUUUAGUUUUUAUUCUUCAUAGUGGAUGUUUUCAAUUGGUAGUAGGGCCAUGGUUUUUGAUCUCUUCGAAAAAAUUUCAUGUAAAUUUAUGGUGUCUCAUUGUCUCAUUUUCUCUUCUUAGCAUCAUUUUUUAGUUUCAACAAUUUAUUAUAAUUUUGAUUGUAUAGUAUUUGAUUGAAUGAUAAGGAGAAAUGGCUAUGAAUCAUCUUUGAAGUUGUUUCUAAUUGUUAAUCACUGAUAUUUUGAGGUAUAUUGAUCUUGUUUUUAUCAUAAUUUAGUUUAAGUUGAUUUGGGUUUGGGAGUAUUAGAUCAUGUGCAUGUGAAUUUCAUUUGAGUAUUGUUGGGGAGUGUUGUUGCAUUCAUAUAUUCAUGUGAUUUAUAAUUUGUUUUUGAGACUGUGUGAAGAGAAGAAAAUAUUCAAGAAGUUUUAAGGUUUACUAAUUUGAGUUGAGAUUUUGUUUAAUUGGUCAAAACACCUAUUCAACCCCCCCUUUAGGUGUAUAUUCCACUAUUGAGAUUCACUUUUUCAGAACCUAUACUUCUACCGAGCUACAUGAAGUUUUGUAAGGCAUAAAAUACAUUUUGAGGCAUAUAUAAGUCAAAUCUUAUAUCCAAAUUAGGUUGAAUUGGGUCAUGGUUAACCUCAAAUCAAAUAUAUGCAUUUUUCUUACAAAUGUUUAUAUAUAUAUAUGCAUUUAAGAAUAUAGUUAUUAUUGUAAAGGAUGUACUUUUUCUUAAGAAUAUACUUAUUUUUGUAACAGAUGUACCUAGGGUUCUACCAUGCCAAAUUGGGUUUGGGAAUGCAUCAUGAGGUAUAUAGAAGUUAAAAUUUAGACUCAAAAUGAAUAAGGGAAUGAUUCAACUCAAAUCAGAUGUAAAUACUUUUCUAAACUUUUAUGCAUUUUUUUAAAGCAUGUACGCAAAGUUAUAUCAUGUUGAAUAGGGUAUAAGAAGACCUCAAAUGCAUUCCGAGACCUACAUAAGUGAAAUCCCACACCCGAAUUAGGUUGAAUGAGGAUAAGAAUCCCCAAUGAAAUGAAAUGUACAUGUUUUUAUACUAGAUGUACCUAUUUUUCUAAAUGAUGUACUUAUUUUUUUUAAAAGAUAUAUGUAUUUUAAGAAAUAUAAAAAUUAAUUAAAGAAAUGUUAAUACAAUUUUUAUGAAAAUAAUUUUUUUUCUAUUUUAUGUUUAUAAAAAAGUUAAAGAUUUUAACCUAGUAAAAAGUUAGAACCAUGAUCAAUUUUAAAUCAUAUGAAAAAUUAAAACAAAUGUUAAUAUGAAAGUUCAAAUUUUUACAUGCCCUUAUCAAUGUCUCAUCAAAUUUUUUUAGUACAAAAUGGAAUAGUAAGUGAAUACUCUUUUAUUUCUUUAAUACAAAAAAUACAAACCAAGCAUCUCUCAAAAUCUUGUUCCUUGCUCUUGAAUAUAAAGUAAGAUAAGCUCGUGAACUUAUUCACAGUAAAAGUUUUGCUAACCUACAGUCACGCAACACAUGAAGGCAUUAUUCGACUUUAUUUAGGCAUCGAACACAAUUCGGUGAAGCUACUAUAUGCCUUUUGAAGUGAUUUUCAUUUGUCAGCAACUUGUUGUGCAAAGCCAGCCACAAAAAGGAUCUAAUCCUUUGGGGACCCCUUCAUUUCCACAAGGCCAUCCAAUUCUUAUUCAGCUUUGUCCAGCAACUCUCUUCAAUCAGUUCGUAAGCCGACUUGGUAGUUGACAACGUUGACAUAAAGGCCAAAAAUAGUGGAGGAUUGUACAAGAGCACAUAGCACUAACCCAAAUUCUCAAAAUUUGCUAUUGAAAAGUUUUUAGCCUAUUUGGCCAUUUCAUUAAAAAAUAAUUUUUGUUUUUAAAAAUUAAAAAAAAACUAUUUUUAAAAAUUCAUAAAAUUGUUUGUUAGUUGUUUUCUAUUUGUAAUUUUUAAAAAUAAAGUGAAAUAAAAAACAUAUUUUAUAAAACAAAUAAAAAUUGUUUUCACCAAUUUUAAAAACAAAAGAAAAAUAUAGAGGAAUUAAAAAACUAUAAAAAGAAAAUUGAAGAUGAUAUCAUUCUUCUUUACCUCUUUCUACGAUCUAAUAUCGAUACUGAAAAUCUUCAAAUAUAAUAUUCUUUUAAAUUACAUGUGUUUUUAUCAAUUUCAUUUAAUUUAAGAAAAUUUUCAUUGAUAAAAUAAAUUCUAAAUCAAAUUAUACUUUAUACAUAAAAUUUACUAAUUUUUAAAAAUAACUUAAAAGUUAAAAACUGAUUUAGUUAGUACUAUAAAGUCAUGAAACUCACUAACAUUAGAAUGACAUACACCAAAAUUCAUUUGAAUGUCUUGGCUAGUUUUUUCUUUGCAUAUAAUCAUAUUUUUACAAUUUUUUUCACUUAGUAAAUAAUCACCAAAUCAAGUAUGACUUAAUGCGUUGAAUUUAUUAACAAGUCUAAGUAAUUCUAAAAAAUAAAUUGAAAUGCAAAUAGUGAUCCAAUUAAUACCAUAAAUUUAUGGACAAAAAUUGAACUUGAAUGACUUUAUUGUUUCCAAUUUUGUUUCAUUGGACAAAUAAACUUAAAAUUAAACCAAACUUAAUGUGUUGAAUUCAUUAAUAAAUUUAGUAAUUUCUAAAAAUAACUUAAAACUCAAAUAAUGAUGUAAUUAAUAUUAAAAAAUUUAUGGAUGAAAAUUGGUCUAAAACAACUUUAUUAUUUUUCUUCUACAUGGAAUCAUAUAUUCCCAAUUUUAUUUUACUAUAUAAAUAAACUCAAAAUUAAACAAGACUUAACAGUCUAGUAAUUUUUAAAUUAGAAUAAUAUUUGAAAUAAUUUAAUUAGAAUAAUAUUUUAAUUUAUUAAAAUAAAUCAUAAAUAAAUGAAUAAAAUUAUCUAACAAUAUUUUAUCAAGUUAAUAUUUGUUAAUAAUAAGGAUUUAAGAUUUUGUUAGAUUUUAUCGCUAUAGGAUUAUUAUAAAUAUGGUUUUAAAAAAAUGCAUGAACAUCAUGUAAUAUUAACAAAAUAAAAAUUACGAAUUGAUCGCUUUCAUAGUUUUUGACUAUGGAUUAUUUUUAUCAUAACAAAAAUGCGUAAAAUUGUAUACACCUUUUAGGCUAUGAAAUAUUCAUUAUUUAACUUAUGAGUGUACAAUUUUGUUUUGUCCAAUAGUAGUGCAAUUAAUAUUAAAAAUUUAUGGAUAAAAAUUGGGUUUUAAUGAGUCUACUUUUUUUCUAUACAUACUUAUUUAUUUAUAAAUUUUUUUAUUAAAGAAUGAACUUCAAAUCAAGUAAUUGAAUUUACUAAUAGGUUAAUUUUUUAGUUUUUUUAAAGUUACAACCUAGUAAAUAGAUCUAAUCACUAUAAGAAAUAAUAUAUGAAAACUAAUUGUAGACCCCAAAAUUUGUCAUAAUUUUAUUUUUACAUUGAUAUUGAGUUCAAUUUUAUCCUUAGAUUUAAAUUUCGAUUACAUCUUAAUUGUUUAACCCACUUACACUAUUUUUUUAUUUUUUUUAUUUUUUCUCUCCUCUCUCCUCUCUCUUCUCUCUUCCUCUUUCUCCUCAUUCUACCUAUUCCACCUACUUCCCUUACCCAUUUCCUUCUCGUCUAAGCCACUCCCCAUACCCCCUCCAAGUUUUUUUUUUUAAAUUUUUUAUCAUCUUUCUCUACUCUCCUCUCUUCACUUUUUUUUUCUCUCCAUCAUUUCUUCUUCGGGUUCCCUUCCAACACCACAACCACUCCACAACCCACAUACCAGACACGGUCGACUCCCCCAUCUCCUCUUUUUUUUUUUUUUCCUUUCCCCCAACUCUCACACACGACGGUCCCCAUUUUCUCUUCCAUUUUUUUUCUCUUUCCCACAGUCCUUCCCUCUACACUGCCAUUUUCCAAAGACUCCCAUUAUCACACGCUCCCCAUCUUCCUUCAUUUUCUUUUUUUUCUUUUUUUUUUCUCUUCCUUUUUCUUUUCUUUUCCCCUCCCCACACUCCAUAGCCACUACCGGCCCUCCACUGCCCGCCACUACCAGCAGCCACUGCCAACAACCACCACCCGCUACUAUCUGCCAGUCAUUGCCGGCUAGCAAUCCUACCAUCCAUAGUUCUAAAAAAAAUGGGUAAAUUUCCUUUUUACUUUAUUUUAUUUUCAUUUUUUUUAUCUUUAUAUUUUUAUUUUCAUUUGCAUAGUAAUUUAUUUAGACUUGGAUCUAUUGCUUAUUGGUUAUUUAUUUGGACUUAUUGGAUUGGGUUUGAGACAUUAUUUUCUUUGGUCAUGUAUAUUAUUAAUGUGGGUUUGUUAAUUGAUAUGAAUUUUUGACCCAUAAUGUGAGUAUGAAUUUUGGGCCCACAAUGUUGGUGGAAUUUGAUUGAUGACUUGAAUAUUUGAUAUGAGUUUGACCAAUUUGAACUAUUUAAUUUGGAUAUGGGACAAUUAUGAUGUAUAUUAAAUUAGGCUUGGAUUAUGAGAUAUUAAAUUUAGGCCUAAUUGAAUUUAUUUUAUUUUGUGAUAUUUUGGGCUUGGCUAAUUGUGUUGUAUUUUGGUUAUUAAUUUGAAAAUUUUGGAUUAAGAUUUAUAGCAUGUGAGAUGUUUUUGUUAGGUUAUAUUUGUUAAUUUAUGCCCAUUUUGAUUGACAAAAUUUAUCAGACUAAUUUGAAAUUUGAAUUUGAGUUUGAAUAUUUGUUUGGGAUUUUGUACAUCUUUGGAUAUUUACAUUUGAGCUAUUUUGUUUUUGCAUGGGUUUAUUUUGCAAAUUCUGUUGGCUGAAUACAAAUUUAUGACACGUGGAGCACGAAAUUUUAUGGAAGAAAGUGAGAAUCAAAAGGUUGUAGGAACACAUUAAACUUGUUAUAAGCUUAUUUUGGUACACAUUUUAUUUCCCACUUUUAUUUGAUUUUAUUUCUAUUAGUUCUUGUAAAUAUUCAUUUGUAUAUAUUUAUUGAGUGUGUACAGAAUUGAAUAUUUAACAAAUCAAAAUUUUCAUUUAAAUAAGAGGAAUAAUUCAGUAAAUAUGUUCUAAUAAAAUAAUAAUUUUAAAAUAUUCUUCUUCAUAAAAGAAAGUUUUUUUAUUAAUAAAAAUUCAUAAAAAUGCUUUUAAAAAAAUUCAAAAAAAAUUGUUUUUAAUAGAAUUUGAUAAAUUAUUUUUAAUAAUAAUUGUCCAAAAAUGUCUUUGUUUAAUAAAAAUUGUCCAAAAAUUGUUUUGUAAAUAAAGUUGUCCCAAAAAUUCUUUUGCAAAUAAAGUUAUAUUCUUUUUAAUAAUUUGUACAAGUCACUUUUCUUAAAUGAAAACAAAUUGAAAUACUUUUGUAAAUAAAAUUGUAAUUUUUUUGUAAAAGCGAGUAAAAAUCAUUUUUGUUACCAAAUUGAAAUUUUGUAAUAAAUUAUUUUGAUAUAAUAAGUGAAAAUAACUUUUUUGGAAAAUUAACUACAAAUUAAAUUGAAUUAAAUCAUUAAUUAAAAAUAAAUUGAAACUUCUUUUCUGUAAAUAAAAAAAAUUAAAAUCAUUAAUUUAAAAUCAUUUUUAAUAAAAUCCUUUGAAAUUUCUUGAAAAUUAUUUUUUUAAUAUUUUUUUAUUUAGUUCAAUAAAUCAUUUUGCAUAAUUCUCUUGUUAUUUAUUUUGUAUAUUCUUGUAAUUAGAUUUCAUCAUUAUUUUUAUGUAUAUUGAUUUUCAUCAUGACUUGCACAUACUCAUUUGCAUAAUUAUUUUUCUUGGUAUCCAUAAUUAAUUAAUUAAUCAUCGCAAUUUCCUUAAUUCAUUUAGUAGAGGUCGUAUGUAUACGAGCUUAGAGGGGUGUUACAACUCAUUACCAUACCUUCCCAAUAUGUAACGGAGGACUCAAACUCGAUUUUUCACAAACUUGUUUUUACUUCAAGAGUCACACUUAAGGUUUUUCUUUUUUAUUUUGUUUUUCCCUUAAAAAAUAAAACAAAAAUCAGUUGACUUCAAGUCUUUUUUUUAAAAUCAUAUUUUUCACCAAAUAAAUAAAAAAUGAGUCUCGCUGUCGAGUGGAGACGCACAUAAAAAACGUAGGUCCACACCAAUAUAUUAUACUAUUUUUUAAUUUAUUUAUAAUUUAAAACUAAUUUCAUUUUUUAUAAGACCUUAAUUAAAUUUCUAUUAAUUAAAUUUAGAAUAUUUUUACAAAAUCAACAUAGAAAAAUUAUUUAAAAAAAAAACCAACUUUAAAAUAACUUGCCAAACAUCCUUAUUUUAUAAAAUUUUUAAAACAUAUUUUUAUUUGUUUAACAUAAAAGCAACUUUCAAAAACAAACAUUAUGGAACGUGAUUGAACUUUUCUCUUAUUUCUUUUUCAUUUUCUUGUUACUUAAAAUGACCGACAAAGGAAGAUGAAUUAAAUUAUUGAAGAACAUCUUUUGCCAAACAUAUUAGUUAAAAAAAGUGAUUUAAAAAGCGGGCCCUAACCUAUUCUGGAGCCCAUGAUAUCUUUGUACGUUACCAUAAAAGGCCACACGCCACACGCCUCAGCAAACCCACCAACCCUCAGAAAGGGGUUUCAACUGCAAAUAGUAACCAUACAAUUUCAAAGCAAAAAGCCAAACACUCACAUAAAUCUAAUAUUACCACAGCAACACUACUAAAUAGUUAAUAGCCCGUGAUGUUUCCUUUUUAUUCUAUGCCAAGCUUCUUUCUCAUCCCCAUAACAAAGCCAUGGACCUUGUGUGGGUCUUCCAGAGAAGACGACACGCUCUCCUUUUCCAUGCACCUCUUGGUCCAAGCUAUCAACUUGGGACACUCCGCCUCUAUGCUGAAGUUUCCAAAGCUCUCAUAUGCAUGAAACCAGCAAGAGAAGGUCACCAGAGCCACAUCCACAAACCCAAUUUUUUCACCGCCGAAGUAAGGCUUCUCUCCAAGCUCUCCUUCCAGAAGCUUGAGGCACUCUAUGAAUUCCUUCUUGGCUGUUUCCUGCUCUUCUCCUUUGGUUGACCAUAUCUUCCUUCCAAGUUCAUAGAGCUGUGGAAAACAAUAAAGUCAAAGAGAGAAAAGGGUUAUUUUUUUGGAGCAUUUCAUCAAGUUUCAACUUUCUGUAUAGUUGGACAAGUUUAUUAAGGACCCUUCAGCAUAGAAAUCUCAUAUACUAGGAACAAUUUAAAUGAAGGGCCGGUGGAAGAAAAAUAUCAGAAUCAGUUGAAAGAAUGUAUCAUUUGCUAAAGCUUUUCCCCUCAGUGUGGGUUUUAGAAAAUGAGAAGAAAGAGAUCAAAGCAACAAAACAUGUAUUAAAAGAACUGCUCUGCAAAAUGUUGAACAUCAGGAUAACAAAAAAAAACCAAACACUGCUUUAAAAACUGGUUUUUGGAUCCCCUUUCUUGAGGGAAAAGGCAUUCUUGAGAUCUGCUUUUUUGGGUGGAAAGAACGGACUGAAAACCCACAUCAGAAAUGCAAAGUGGAGUCUUGUUGGACACACAGCAAGGAGAAUCAGUAAAGUUCUAGUUUGAGACCCCAAGGCCCGCAAAACUCAAUGUCAGAAGAGAAUGUGUGAAGAAGAACCCAGCAUUUUGGACAAAUCCCUCAUCAUUAUCAAAAUCUGAGCCAAGCGCCAUGAAUCAAUGGCAAAAAAAUGCUUUAAAUCAACAGCAAAGACAUACCUUCUUGUCUACGUAGUCCACCCAGAACCUGGCCUGAGCUCUCUGGUAUGGGUCACUAGGCAAAAGCGGAGAUUUA